AUGAAGCAGCAGUCUCAUUAACUGUGAAGGGAACAGAGUAUGAAGUAGCAAAUAACCUUCAUAUUUACACAGCCAUUGAUCUGUCGUGCAACAAAUUUCAGGGAGAAAUUCCAAAGGUUGCCGGAGAGCUUAGAUGGCUUGCAUUGCUCAAUUUAUCUCAUAAUAGUCUAACAGGACCUAUCCCAUCAUUGCUGAGAAAUAUGAAAGAACUCCAAUCUUUAGAUUUGUCCUCAAAUCAACUGACAGGGGCUAUUCCACCUCAGUUAACUGCAUUGACAUUUCUAGAGGUCUUAAAUCUCUCGAACAACGAUCUCAGUGGAGAGAUUCCUCAGAAAGGACAGUUCAGCACAUUCAACAAUGAUUCUUAUCUAGGAAACUCCGCGUUAUGUGGAUCACCAUUGACGAAGAAAUGCGCAAACACAGCAUCACCUCCACAAGAAGUCAGAAAUGGUGAUGAAGAUGAUGCUGGUGAUGAAUGGACAUGGGAAGCAAUCGUGAUGGGAUAUGGAUGUGGACUGAUAUGUGGAUUGUCAUCUGCGUACAUUGUUCUCAAACUAGGAAGGCCUUGGUGGUUUGUGAGAUAUGUCGAAGUAUUGCAACUGAAGUUGAUGAAAAGAUAUGCUUGAAGAAUGGUAUUUGGUCUUGUACUAGCUGCAUAAGUAUUUGGCAUUGUGUAGUAUUCUGUUUGGUCUUGAAUUAUAAUGAUUUUUCUUGCUUCAGGGGUAUUAAUAUAAACCUUGCUAUCUUGCUCAGUGUUAAUGCAAAUUAAGAUGAAUGAAUAAACAAAAAAUAUGCAUCAAAUUAAGAAUUCAGAAAUGGUGAUACUCAUGCAGUGUCACCAACUCAAGAAUUCAGAAAUGGUGAUACUCAUGAAGAUGACGAUGCUGAUGAUGAACUUUGAUGUGGGACUUGGGUUGACCACUUGUUGGGCCGCACAACACCUGUUAAGCAUUAGUAUGACGUUGUCCGCUCUGGAUCGUGACCAAGCCCGCACGGAUUUGUUUUCGAGCUCCUCUCAAAAGGUCUAAAACUAAUGGAGUUGUUUGGCUGCUUAUAUUCAAGAUAAAUCUUUUUGAUGUGGGAUUUGGGUUGACACCCACACAACAAGACGUGAGGAAAUAUUGUUGUCUUGAGAUGACAUAUGUUCUGAAUUAUUAUUAUGCUUUCAACAAUAUUUUCAAACAUUUUUCAAUAUGUAUUUUUAAAGAAUUCUCAAGCACUCGUGACCCCUAUAAUUUUUUCUCAGGCAACGCCUAUAGUUUCAAAGAAUUCCCAGGCACUUAAACAUUUGGACCGGUUCUUUGGAAGCCAAGAUGCCCAGGUUAUCAUGGCCAUGCACAAAAUGCAGUACCAAAGAAAAAAAAUAAUAAAUUAAGAGAGAUUGCUCUGGGUCACCCCAAGCCUUCGAGGACUCAUUCCAAGCCUCGCCCUUUCAAAGAAGUGAUAGUAGCCGGAAAGUGAUAUAAAUUAUUCUCCGGACACUAAAACUAAAUAAUCAGAUCAAAUUAAUCAAUAAUAAAUUAAAGAUAUGAAAUCAAAAUUAAUCCUAAAUUUUGAUAAUAUACAAAAAUUAUAAUUAUAAAUUUUAUUAUCAAAUCAAGAUUAAAUUAACUUACAUGGCCGUUAAAAUUGAUAAACGCAAUAUAAUAGGGUUAAAAAUGGGGCGGGUUCGGGACGGGUACUUCAUUUCCCAGCCUCGUCCCAUAUAUAUUUUUCCUGCCCCGUCUCCGCCCCAUUCUCCACGAAGAUUUAUUUUUAAUCCCCAUUGCCGCCCGCCCCACCGGGGAUUGAAUAUAAUUUCGCCCCGCCCCGCUGCUAUAAUAUUACACUUUAAUUAAUUACCUUAAAAUUUAAUAAUCAGAAUUUAAUAAAAAUAUACGAGACAUGUAUAUUAAAAGCAAAAAACUAAAUAUAAUAGAAAUCAAAGAGACAUGUUAUACAUUGUAAAAUUAUAGUUUUAUGUAUUAUAUAAUAGAUAAUAUUAAAUAUAUUAUAUUAAAUAUAAUUAUUUAUUUUUAUUAAAUAUAUGCGGGGCGGGGUGGGGAAUCCCCGCGGGAAUUCAACAAAUACCAUGCUUGCCCCAUAUUUUAGCGGGGCAGAUAAUCAUUCUCCGUCACUACCCCAUUCCCCAUAGAGUAGUGCUAGAUGCACAAAAUUGGAUACAUAAUUUUACACAAAAUGACAUGGCAAUCUAGGUGGAGAGCUUUAAUUGGUAUUAUUAAUGCAUGUGCAGGGGCUCAUUCCAAUCACAAAUUGACACAUACUCAUUCUGUGAAUAUUUCUGUACUCAAUUCUGUGCAGGUAGCAUUUUUCUUCCCCAUAUUAGCGGGGCGCAUCGGCUCCAUUCGGGGCGGGUUCCCCAUUUUCCCCACCCAAUUUUUAACCCUACAAUAGUAAUCAAAUUGAUGAAAAGUCAAAGUCCUCUAAUAAAUCCAUAAAGAAUAUGAUAAUCAAAACUACAAAAAUUAUAAUUGAAAAAUCAAAAUCAUCCUAAUAAGUUCAUAGAAUAUAUAUGAUCAGUAGAGCAUUAGAAUAGUGUUCACACACUUAUAUGUCAAAAUUUGUGGUCCAAAGACUAUGACACAAUAUCCUAAAUACACCCCCAUUGAAUAGUAGUUCAAAAUAUUUAAUAUAUAAUUGUUUUCAUUCAUAAUUUUGUUAUUAUUUAAAAAAUAAUAAUUUAAUUGCUGUUAACCUUUAUUUUAAUAUAUAAUCAUAUCGUUUCCUUACAAUUUAAUUAUCUAGAAACAAUAUUUUUGUUAUAAUCAUUACAUUAAUUAUAUUAAAAAAUAUAAUUUUGUUAAAACAUUGAAUGAAAUUAAGAGUAUUAAUCUACGUCUCUCCAAGUCUACAGGACUCAUUCCAAGUCUGCGUGAGACCACUGCCACCACCUUUGAGAGAUGUGGAAGUGGAAGUAGCUUCAGAUUGACCUAAAUUAUUUCCUGACAAUAAAUUUAAUAUCCGAAAUAAAUUAAAUUAAACUAGUUUUUUGAAACAAUUAAAUUAAACUAGUUAAUAAUAAAUUAAGAAUAUAUAAAAUCAAAACUAAUCAUGAAUUAUGAUAAUAAUUAAAUAAAUUAUAAUUAAGCUAUAUAAAUCAACUCCAAAUGACACCAACAGCACCAAACCUUAGUUACUUUAAUAUUGGUAAAUAAAUAUAAUAUAAUAAUCAAUUGAUGAAAAAUCAAAUCAUCUAAUAAAUUCACAAAAAAUAUAUGAUCAUUAGUAUAUUAUAUUAGUAUCCACACACUUAUAUUUCAAAAUCUAUCCUCCAAAAUUAUCAUCUCGAUAAACUAGCCACAUAAAAUAAAAAUUUAAAGAUAUUAGAUAUUUAGUUAUUUUCAUUAUAUAAUUUUUCCACACUAAAUAACAAAAUAUUUUUAUCAAAUUAUUAUUUAUGAGUUAAAUAUUCAAGUUAUAAAUCCAGCAUGCAGCGUAUAAAUAGAAGUGUGCAGUAUGAUAUCAGAAUCAUAACCCAGUUGAUCAGGAGAAACAUGGCAUACUCUGCAAAGCCUUCUCACCUUCUUCUCUUUGUUUUCUUUCUCUCAUCACUUGAAUCCAUUCUAACAACACGAGAGGGAGAAGCUCUUGUGAAGUGGAAGAAUAGCCUAGCCCCGUCUUCUUUUCUCGACUCUUGGUCACUCACCAAUCUCGAUAAUCUUUGUAACUGGACUGGCAUUACUUGUAACUCUGCAGGUUCAGUUUCUGAGAUUAACCUCUGUGAGAAACAACUUGAUGGAAUGCUGUCCGAGUUCGGUUUCACUUCAUUUCCAAAUCUCAAGAAUCUCACCCUGGCAGACAACUUCUUCUCGGGUCCAAUACCACCAGCCAUUGAGAAUUUAACACAGCUUCAAUAUCUUGAUUUAAGCAUGAAUAGUCUUAAUGGUCCCAUUCCGUUCCAGGUUAGCCAUCUUCAGAGUUUGCUCAUAUUAAACCUGUCACAGAAUGCAUUGCAAGCUCCAAAUUGGUCCCAUUUCUCUCCCAUGCCUGUUUUGCGCUUCCUCAAGCUCAGUAGAAAUCCUCUUGUGUCGAAAUUCCCAAAUUUUAUAUCCAAUUCUCAUAGCCUGACUUAUCUCAACCUUUCACAUAACAAGUUUAGUGGUGAUCUUGUACGUGAAUCAGUAUUUAUACCAAUCUGCAUCAUCUUGAAGUCCUCAGUUUUUCACCGAAGAGUUGUGUGAGCCUAUUUUAGACAAUGGAUUCUCUUACAAUGGUAUAACCUCUGUAACAGUUGUGUCAUUUUUAAUGACACAACAUAUGUGCGUAUAAAAACCGUUGUCUAUUAGACACUACAGGACAAAAUUUACCUUUUUACAAUAAGACAAAAUUUACCUUUGACUGUUAUUGUUAAAAAAACAUACAUAAUAAACGUAAAAAAUUUUGAAUUUUUUUAUGUAUGAUUAAUAUUGUUAAUUCUCGAGAUCCGUACGGUCAGAUCAUCGAAAAAAAUAUUUAUAAAUUAAUACAGAGUUAAUCGUAUACAUAACAAAGAUUCUAUUGAGUACUUUCUAAAUUGUAACCAUAAAACAAAUACUAAUAUCCACAUCCGAACUACAAAAUUAUCUUCAUUGUACAAAUGAACAAUAUAUAUUUGCAUAUAUGCAUAAUAUAAAUAUAUGUUUUAAGAUAAACUGUGCAAAAAUUAGAAUUUAUCAAGGAAUAGAGAAUUUUUAACUUUUAAAAAGAAAAAUUAAUCAUAAAACAGUUUCAUUGCCAUAAAUAAUUAAUAAUUAAUUCAAUUGUAACCCCUAAAAUAAUUACUAAUUAAUAAUUAAUACAGUGCUAAUCGUAUAUAUAACAAAAAUUCUAUUAUGUACUUCCUAAAUUAUAACUUUAAACACAUACUAAUACUAUUAUAUAAUAUUUUUCAAUUAUUAAUAUUAUAAUAUAUAUUAUAAUACAACUAAUUCUUUUAAAUUUUCAAUUAAAUUUUAAUAUUCUAUAAUAUAUAGAUAUAUGAAUUUAAGUAAUAUAACUUUUAAUUAUAUUACACAUAUUUCUUCUUGUUUUUAAUAAAUUAUUUAAAUUAAGAUAAUAUUAAUUAUUUUCUUGACGCAAAAACAAUUUUAAUUAUUAAUUAAAGAAUUAAAAGGAAAAAAAAGUAGAUCUGCCCAAUGUACAGGUGAAAGUGAGAAGCGGCAAAGUUCCCCCCAAAACUAAAAACCACUGCCGAGUAAAAACCCCUAACCUGUACUCUCAAAAAACUUCUCACUCACAAACACUCUCCCUGGAUCUAUGUAUCUAUCAACACUCGGGGGGUUUGUUAUGUUUAAAUGGAAGCAAAACAAUGCUAUAGUCAUUUUCAGUAUCCAUGUGGUCCUCUUGCAUCUCGGUUUGCUCUGCUUUUCACAUGUUUGUGGCCAACAUGAAUCUUAUAUCUUGUUUAUGAGUUUAAUUUUGUUUAUUUGUAUUUGAGUGGCUUGAUUUUGUAUUUCUUCACUACUAAUUGUUAUUUUCUAAAUUAUCCAUGUGAUUAGGGCUCAUUUUUAGGGGAACUUUGAAUUAGGUCAUUAAAUUACAGUUUUGGUGAAUUGGGGCUUUCAUUGUAUAUAUUUGAUUACAUACAACUGUUAAUAUUUGAGCAGCCAAGGCUCAAGAGCUCAAAAGAUGACAUAUCGAUGGGGUGACAUGUAUGGCUAACAAUCGGAGUAAUUUGAAAGGAUUAUUUUUUCGUUGGGCUGACAGAGGUAUAUUGUUCUUGACACUGGUUUUUAACUUGCUGUCUUUAGUUUAGUUGUGAAUAAUGAGAUGGUUGGAUAUUCUAUUUCGUAUUGUUGUAUGUGGUCGUUAGCAGAAGCUCAUUAAGUCUGCUAUGGUUUAUAGAUUUUAUAACAUUGAUAAGUAUGGUUUGGGUGUCUAGGCUAGUUUUGUUUGUGUGUGUAAUGGAUGUGUUUUGAUUUUUCUGAUUUUUCUGAUUUUUCGAUCAUCUACUUCUUUUUUGUUGCGGGGUUGUUAUUUGUUUACUCUUGUUCCCUGCAAAGAAAUAAGUGUGGAUAGUUAUGCAUUGGAAUCAUAAGUAGCAAUUAAGUGUUAAUUUCCAAUUCAACGAGUUCAAUGCACGCCUGUCUUCAACUAGAUCCGUUUCUUAAUGAAUUUACAAGCAUGUUUGAGCACAAUACUGAGCAGGGUUGUGUGUAGGUCACUUUAUAUAUUUUAGUAUCAAGAGACGUAUUAUGUUGAUAUGUGCUGUAUAAAAUAUUUAAUUGAAGCUAGGUUUAUGUGUAACUGUUACUCAUCUGGCUAUGGAAUACAUUCCCAGAUUAAAAAAUUUGAUAAUGAUUGAUACUGUCUUGUCACUCCAUUAAACAUGACGUAACAUCUGUAUUCAACUUUGGACUUCAUUAAUUGGUGUUAGUCGUGCAAUAUGUUUAAAUUAAAAAAGUUAUGUUUCUUUUAUAUGUUCGAAUUUACUCCAAAUUGCAUGUGGGCGUUUCACUUCUUAUGAGCAGGCUGUGCUUUGGGAAGUUUAGGCAUGCUUUGAGAAUAGAUAUUUUAAUCAAACUGUGCACUUUAGAUAUAAAAAAUCUUGCUGUUCUGAUGGAUUGUAUGGUGUGGAACAAGAGCUGUGUUCCAAGUUAUGCUCAAGACUGUGGGUUUUUUUUGUUUUUAACACCCUUCCAUAACUUCUCCAUCUUAGUUAUUAAACUCUUUCAUUCUGUAUUCCUAACUAUACCAUUCUUUUUUCCACAUAAACCAAGCCAUAAUAAGAAACUGACUUUCUCAAGGAACAAAGGACUAUCACCACAUGGCAGGAUUGUGCAUAGGCGUGCAUAUGCUUGAGUAAGUACACUUUUGGACUUAUGUUGUGAAGUAUUAUUUUUACAAAUGUCAUCCUUCUGGUCAUAUGACAAAUCUUUUCCCUAUCAUUUCUGUAAUUUGUUUUAAAGGUUAGAGCAAGAGUGGAGAUGUCCCAAAUUGAUGCAGUUGCUUACAACAUUGGCAUGGCUUUGUGGAAAGUUUUUGGUGGAGCUUCUAGCACAAUAAAACAGAUAUAAUAGUUUAGUUUCCGAGCUACACCAUUUCCCGGCUCAUUUUGUCGGCUUCUAUCGACUCUAUACAGGCUCUUGCCAGUUGUGUGAAACAUUACAAGAUUUUACAUUUUUAUAUGUGGUUGUACGUUGAUACUAUAGUUGGUAAUGAAAAUUUUUGUUACUAAUUUAUGGCUUGUUAAUUAUAUUCUCCAGCAUAGUUUAAUUAGAUUAUGUAAAACCAUUGUCUGACAUAACUAAACACAAAAGGAAAAGAAAAAGAAAACAGUUGUCCCAAGACUUACAAACAACACAAUUUUAAAAAUAAAAUCGUUGUCUAAGACAUAUACAAAUAAGUAAAUAGUAGUAACAAACCAUUGUCUAAAUCAGUAUUAUUCAAGCAUUUUGAACAAAAACUGUUGUAGAAGAGCUUUCACACAAUUGUUUCAUUAUAUAAACUAUUGUUAUACGGAGCUUCACAGAAGUGACCACUGCUCUAAGCCCGUUGUACAAGGUAGUAAAACACGAGCCUCUAAAACGCAAACAAUCUUGUCUGAUACUCUUAUUAACAAGUAAAUAUAUCCACAAACUGUUGUGGAUAGUCCUAAUAACAACACAAAUUCCAAAUAUGACUGUUGUUAUAAAAUGUUUAUAACAACACUUUGUUAAACUAAUCUGUUGUUGUUUGUGGGUGUAACACAACACGCUGUUAAAUAUAAACCGUUGUGUUUCUUGAUCUCACACAACGGUACGUACCGUUGUCUGAGGCGCGUAUCAGACGGCAUCGCAAUAGACCACGGUUUUCUUGGGUAUCAGACAACGGGCAAAAACCGUUGUCUGAUGCUGUUUUUGUUGUAGUGACAAUUCCUUUGAAGGACCGCUUCCACCAGGUAUAUUCAAGCUUUCAAAAUUAAAACAUCUUUUUCUUUGGGGUAAUAAGUUUUCAGGUUCUGUUUCCAAUGAUAUAUGUUUGCUUUCUGAGCUUGAAAGCCUCGAUCUUAACUCUAAUUUUUUUGAGGGGCCGCUUCCGCCAAAUGUAUUCAAGCUCUCCAAAUUAAAGUUACUUUCCCUUCAGAAGAAUAACUUUUCAGGUUUUGUUUCCAAUGAUAUAGGUUUGCUUUCUGAGGUUGAAACUCUCGAUCUUCACUCUAAUUUUUUUGAGGGGCAGCUUCCGCCAAAUAUAUUCAAGCUCUCGAAACUAAGAUUUCUUGCCCUUUGGCAGAAUAACUUUUCAGGUUCUGUUUCCAAUGAUAUAGGUUUGCUUUCUAAGCUUGAAACCCUCGAACUUGACUCCAAUUUUUUUGAGGGGCCGCUUCCGCCAAAUAUAUUCAAGCUUUCCAAAUUAAGAGUUCUUUCCCUUGACAAUAAUAACUUUUCAGGUUGUGUUUCCAAUGAUAUAGGUUUGCUUUCUGAGCUUGAAACCCUCCGUCUUGGCUUCAAUUCUUUUGAAGGACCGGUUCCACCAAAUAUAUUCAAGUUUUCCAAAUUAACAGGUCUUGACCUCUCAGGCUAUAGAAAUUUAUUUGAAGGUAGUAUCCCUAUUGGACUGGGACUCUUGACUAACCUCAGCUACUUAGAUCUAAGUUCCAAUAAUCUCAGUGGCUAUAUUCCAUCUGAACUUGGAAACCUUAAGCUACUAGUAUUUCUUGAUCUCAGUUCUAACCAAUUGACUGGACCGCUUUUAAAGAUCGUUUCUAAUCUCACAAAUCUUAUAUAUCUCCAUGUACAAGAUAAUAGUCUUAGUGGGAAUAUUCGCAGUGACUUGUGGAAAAACUCUUUAUCCUUACGUUACAUUGAUCUUGAAAAUAAUUAUUUGUCUGGGAACAUUCCUAAGGAAUAUAACGAUCAUCCAACUUUGGAAUACAUCAAUUUAGGUGGGAACCAUUUUACAGGUAUAUUUUUCUCUAUAUAUCUUUUCCUUUUGUCAUAUGUAACUAAGCUAGUAAUCUGAUUGAUGCAGUUUUACCAAAGUUUCAACAAUCUUGACAGGUGAGCUUCCANNNNNNNNNNNNNNNNNNNNNNNNNNNNNNNNNNNNNNNNNNNNNNNNNNNNNNNNNNNNNNNNNNNNNNNNNNNNNNNNNNNNNNNNNNNNNNNNNNNNNNNNNNNNNNNNNNNNNNNNNNNNNNNNNNNNNNNNNNNNNNNNNNNNNNNNNNNNNNNNNNNNNNNNNNNNNNNNNNNNNNNNNNNNNNNNNNNNNNNNNNNNNNNNNNNNNNNNNNNNNNNNNNNNNNNNNNNNNNNNNNNNNNNNNNNNNNNNNNNNNNNNNNNNNNNNNNNNNNNNNNNNNNNNNNNNNNNNNNNNNNNNNNNNNNNNNNNNNNNNNNNNNNNNNNNNNNNNNNNNNNNNNNNNNNNNNNNNNNNNNNNNNNNNNNNNNNNNNNNNNNNNNNNNNNNNNNNNNNNNNNNNNNNNNNNNNNNNNNNNNNNNNNNNNNNNNNNNNNNNNNNNNNNNNNNNNNNNNNNNNNNNNNNNNNNNNNNNNNNNNNNNNNNNNNNNNNNNNNNNNNNNNNNNNNNNNNNNNNNNNNNNNNNNNNNNNNNNNNNNNNNNNNNNNNNNNNNNNNNNNNNNNNNNNNNNNNNNNNNNNNNNNNNNNNNNNNNNNNNNNNNNNNNNNNNNNNNNNNNNNNNNNNNNNNNNNNNNNNNNNNNNNNNNNNNNNNNNNNNNNNNNNNNNNNNNNNNNNNNNNNNNNNNNNNNNNNNNNNNNNNNNNNNNNNNNNNNNNNNNNNNNNNNNNNNNNNNNNNNNNNNNNNNNNNNNNNNNNNNNNNNNNNNNNNNNNNNNNNNNNNNNNNNNNNNNNNNNNNNNNNNNNNNNNNNNNNNNNNNNNNNNNNNNNNNNNNNNNNNNNNNNNNNNNNNNNNNNNNNNNNNNNNNNNNNNNNNNNNNNNNNNNNNNNNNNNNNNNNNNNNNNNNNNNNNNNNNNNNNNNNNNNNNNNNNNNNNNNNNNNNNNNNNNNNNNNNNNNNNNNNNNNNNNNNNNNNNNNNNNNNNNNNNNNNNNNNNNNNNNAAACCUGUCAGAGAAUGAACUGCAAGCUCCAAAUUGGUCCAAUUUUUCCCCCAUGCCUUUUUUGACCAUCCUCGACCUUUAUAAAAAUAAUCUUUUGUCAGAAUUUCCCGAAUUUAUAUCUAACUCGUGUAACCUUACGUACCUUGACCUCUCAUCCAACAAGUUUAGAGGGGAUCUUGCGCGAGAAUCAGUAUUAACCAAUCUAGGUGAUCUUGAAACCCUCUAUCUUAUUAGAAAUUCUUUCAAGGGGUCAUUUCCGUCAGAUUUAUUCAAGCUUUCUAAAUUAAAACGUCUUCACCUGUCGAGCAACAAAUUUUCAGGUUCAAUUCCUAAUGCCAUAAGGUUGCUUUGUGAUCUUGAAUUCCUAUAUUUAGGCAACAANNNNNNNNNNNNNNNNNNNNNNNNNNNNNNNNNNNNNNNNNNNNNNNNNNNNNNNNNNNNNNNNNNNNNNNNNNNNNNNNNNNNNNNNNNNNNNNNNNNNNNNNNNNNNNNNNNNNNNNNNNNNNNNNNNNNNNNNNNNNNNNNNNNNNNNNNNNNNNNNNNNNNNNNNNNNNNNNNNNNNNNNNNNNNNNNNNNNNNNNNNNNNNNNNNNNNNNNNNNNNNNNNNNNNNNNNNNNNNNNNNNNNNNNNNNNNNNNNNNNNNNNNNNNNNNNNNNNNNNNNNNNNNNNNNNNNNNNNNNNNNNNNNNNNNNNNNNNNNNNNNNNNNNNNNNNNNNNNNNNNNNNNNNNNNNNNNNNNNNNNNNNNNNNNNNNNNNNNNNNNNNNNNNNNNNNNNNNNNNNNNNNNNNNNNNNNNNNNNNNNNNNNNNNNNNNNNNNNNNNNNNNNNNNNNNNNNNNNNNNNNNNNNNNNNNNNNNNNNNNNNNNNNNNNNNNNNNNNNNNNNNNNNNNNNNNNNNNNNNNNNNNNNNNNNNNNNNNNNNNNNNNNNNNNNNNNNNNNNNNNNNNNNNNNNNNNNNNNNNNNNNNNNNNNNNNNNNNNNNNNNNNNNNNNNNNNNNNNNNNNNNNNNNNNNNNNNNNNNNNNNNNNNNNNNNNNNNNNNNNNNNNNNNNNNNNNNNNNNNNNNNNNNNNNNNNNNNNNNNNNNNNNNNNNNNNNNNNNNNNNNNNNNNNNNNNNNNNNNNNNNNNNNNNNNNNNNNNNNNNNNNNNNNNNNNNNNNNNNNNNNNNNNNNNNNNNNNNNNNNNNNNNNNNNNNNNNNNNNNNNNNNNNNNNNNNNNNNNNNNNNNNNNNNNNNNNNNNNNNNNNNNNNNNNNNNNNNNNNNNNNNNNNNNNNNNNNNNNNNNNNNNNNNNNNNNNNNNNNNNNNNNNNNNNNNNNNNNNNNNNNNNNNNNNNNNNNNNNNNNNNNNNNNNNNNNNNNNNNNNNNNNNNNNNNNNNNNNNNNNAAAACCAUUGAUAAGGAUGGUAAAUUCGACUCUAAAUCUUAUGAAGCUAUAUUCUUGGGUUAUUCUUUAACAAGUCGUGCUUAUAGAGUGUAUAAUCUUGCUAAACAUACUGUUGAAGAGUCUAUUGAUGUUUCAUUUCAAGAGUCUACUGAUGAUCUUGCAAGGGAUGAGGAAGAAUGUGCAGGUACAGGUACUAGCAGCAAGCUGACAGUGAAGGAAACUGGAAAUCAGCAAGCUGACAAGUCAACUGCCACAACUUCAGAAGGCAAUAAAGCUACUGAAUCCACUCCAUCUCUUGAAGAAACUUUGGAUAAGAUGUCUAAGCUCACAUUGGAUGAAUCCAGAGGUCAAACUUCAUCAGCAAGCCAAAAUGUUGUUGAUCAGACUCCUCCUAGGCAGACUACAAGGAAUGAAGAGGUCAUAGCUCAACAUAAUCUACCAAAAUCAACUAGAACAGUGAAGAAUCAUCCUCCUCAGUUGAUCAUUGGAGAUAAAUCAGCUGGAAUCAAGACAAGGAAAGCUCAAGCCAACAUUUGUGCUUAUGCUGCCUUCAUAGCUCAAGAGGAACCAAAGAAUGUUCAAGAAGCUUUACAAGAUGAAAAUUGGAUCAUGGCAAUGCAAGAAGAACUCAACCAAUUCGAAAGAUGUGAUGUUUGGGAACUUGUAGAUCCACCAGAGGAUGCUUCAAUUGUUGGAACCAAAUGGGUGUUCAAGAAUAAAGUUGAUGAAUUUGGUACUAUCACUCGGAACAAAGCUAGACUUGUUGCACAAGGAUACAAUCAGCAAGAAGGAAUUGAUUUUGAUCAAACAUAUGCUCCGGUUGCAAGAUUGGAAUCUAUUAGGAUGCUAUUAUCAUUUGCAUGCUACAAGAAGUUCAAGCUACAUCAAAUGGACGUCAAAAGUGCAUUCUUAAAUGGAUAUCUAAAGGAAGAAGUCUAUGUCAAGCAACCACCAGGAUUCGAGGAUGAAAAAUAUCCCAACCGUGUCUACAAGCUCAAGAAGGCACUAUAUGGAUUAAGGCAAGCACCUCGAUCAUGGUAUGAAAGGUUAAGUGAAUUUUUGAUCAAAAAUGGUUUCAUUAGAGGUAAAAUUGAUCCUACUUUGUUUACUAUCUUUAAAGGUCAAGAUAUAUUAGUUGUUCAAAUAUAUGUAGAUGAUAUUAUAUUUGGAUCUACUAAUGAUUCUUUGUGUAAGUGGUUUUCAAAGUGCAUGCAUAGUGAGUUUGACAUGAGCAUGAUGGGAGAGCUCAAUUAUUUCUUGGGGCUCCAAAUUAAGCAAACUCCAGAAGGAAUUUAUGUGCAUCAAUCCAAGUAUAUCAAGAAUCUACUCAAAAGAUUUGGAUAUGAGAAUAUCAAGGCGAAAUCAACACCAAUGAGCGUUGUCAGCAAGCUGACAGCAGAUGAAAAUGGUAAAGAUGUUGAUAUUCGAAUGUAUAGAGGUAUGAUUGGUAGUUUACUUUAUCUUACAGCCUCUAGACCUGAUAUUAUGUAUAGUGUUUGUGUUUGUGCUAGAUUUCAAGCAAAACCAAAGGAUUCUCACUUACAAGCUGUUAAAAGAAUAUUUAAAUAUUUAAGUGGAACCAUUACUUUGGGCUUAUUCUAUCCUAUCACAAAUGCUUUUGAUCUUGUUGGGUAUAGUGAUGCAGAUUAUGCAGGUAGUCAAACUGAUAGAAAAAGUACAAGUGGUGUUUGUGCAUUUUUGGGUCAAAGCUUAGUUUCUUGGUUAAGCAAGAAGCAAACUUCAGUUGCUCUAUCUACGGCUGAGGGGGAGUAUUUAGCAGCUGGUAGCUGUUGCUCUCAAAUGCUAUGGAUGAGACAACAAUUGAAGGACUUUGGAAUCAAAUGCAAGCAAACUCCUAUCUUUUGUGACAACACAAGUACAAUCAACAUUUCAGAAAAUCCAGUCAAUCAUUCAAGGACAAAGCAUAUUGAUGUUCGACAUCAUUUUCUGAGAGACAAUGUUGCAAAGGGUGCUGUCAAGCUGAUUUUUGUGGCUACAGCAGAUCAGCUAGCUGACAUCUUCACAAAACCUCUUCCUGAAGAACGAUAUGUCAUGCUGAGAAGGGAAUUGGGCAUGUGUGAUGUGCAGUCAGCAAGCUAAUAAGCUUGGUCCGGGUACUAUCAGCUUACUCUCAGUUAUUAUGACCAUUAUGUGCUGAUUUGGAUAAUUGUUGUGAUCUCGAUGACGAUGCUUGAUUUUCUACCCUUUUGAUGAUUAAGGGGGAGAAAAUUUAGGAACUUGGUUUGUGUUGUGAAUGUUGUGUUGUGAAUGUUAUAUUUGUUGUAUAGUUUAAUGUUAUAAGAUUGCUAUAUUCAGGGGGAGUAUUAUUACUUUUCCUAAAUAUAGUGUAAUCAUCAAAAAGGGGGAGAUUGAUACUCUCGAGAUUUUGAUGAUCACACUAACAGCAACUUGAUAACAUAAAACUGUACUCUGGUAGCUAGCUGAGAACGAGAUUAUAACUGUGCUAACAGCUAAUGUCUUUUGAAGUUAUCAUUGUUCUGUCAGCAAGCUUACAGGAAUAUUGACAGACUAUCAGCAAGCUCACAGCGUACUGACAGGAUGCUUAUCGGAUAAAGAUCAAGUCCUAUUUUCAAGGAGAUUUGUUAGGGAACGUUUUGUGAGGACUCUAAUACAUAUAUAUACAGUAUAUAAAUAUUAGAGCUCAUCUUUUAUCAAAGAGUUUUAUUCAAAAUCGUUUUCCUAAAAUAUAGGAGUUGAUUUCAAACCUUGUUUAUCCUUUUAGACUCCUACUUCUAUUCAAACUGUUUUGUUUUAUAAACAAACGUUUACUGAGUUGUUUCAAACGUCUUUAUGCUUUUACUCAGUAAAAAUACAUUGUUCAAACGUUCAUUAUUCAAGCAAAUUAAACGUGAGGUUGUUGGGCCAAGAACGUUGGAUAGUUUGUUGAGUUAUGACCGUUUGGAAUGAUGGUAUAUAAACUUGAGUGUGGUUUCCGUUUUGGUAGAGAACAAGAACACACUUCAAGCUUCUGAAAUACAACACACUUACAUUGCAAAAUCUUUACUUGAGCUCUAGUACUUAUAUUUGAUUAUAUAUCUAUAUUGAGUUCAUAGUUUCGGUUGUAUUACACUCAUACAUUGUAUUGUUCAAAGUGUAAAGGUUUGUUGCUGUGUAUCGAGCUUGUGAAACAAGGGAACAAGGGGACUAGUUAGCUAGAAGAGUAUACUUGGGAAGUAUAGGUCUUGGAGAGCUUUUGGUUCGUGGUUCAGGGGUUUCAGCAAGCUGAUAACAGGAACAAGGGAUAAAGGGAGUUAUAUUAUUGAAUCAUUGUAAUCGUUAACAUUAUUGAUUAAUAAUAUAAUCUCUUACCAGUUGGUAGGGGACCAGGACGUAGACCAUUAGGGUUAGGGGUCGAACCUGGCUAAAAUUCUCUGUGUUGCUAGCUUACUGAUUAUAUCUGUUUUGCAUUGCAUCUGCAUUGUUAGCUAGCUGACUGUUUACUCUGAAAUUAACAGCAAGCUGUCUGUGACAGUUUAACUAUUCGGUAACAAUUAAAAAUCGGUCAUAUUAGCCAUAACACCUAUUCACCCCCCUCUAGGUGUGUAAUUUCAGUUUCUUUUCGUUUUCAAAUCUCACCAAUCUCAUCAUUACACAUAACAACUUCACUGGUCCAAUACCACCCGAAAUUGGAAAUUUAACAGAUGUUCAGUACCUCGACUUUAGCUAUAGUAAUCUCAAUGGUACCAUUCCAUACCAGGUUAGCCAUCUUCAGAGGUCGGUCGUCUUAGGCCUCUCAUUUAAUCACUUGAAAGCUCCGAGCUUGUCCAAUUUUUCCCCCAUGCCUAUACUGGUUGGUCGCGGUCUUAGUGGUAAUAAGCUGGCAUCAAAAUUUCCAGAAUUGAUAUCUAAUUGCUAUAACAUGAUUAACCUUGAUCUUUCAUUUAACAUGUUAACUGGUAAACCUCUGUUCUAAAAGUCGGUGAUUAAUCACCGAUUAAUCCAUGUUUCCUAGCUCGCCAAACUGAUUAAAUAUCCGAUUAUUUUAAUUAAUGUCCGAUUAAUCACCGAUCAAUGCAAUUAAUCUACAAUUAAUCCUUAUUCUGGGACUUCACCGAUUAAGCUCGAUUCCCAUUUUUUACAACGACAUAACAGUGAAUCAUGAUUAUCAAGCAUCUGUCUUGUUAACAUUGAAACGAAGAGAGCAUGAAGUGAAAGGAAUCCUUUAUAUUUACGAUGUCAACAGCCCUACUGUCAAAAUUCCUUUCAAGUCGGGGCUUUUUACGAAUAAUUGGUAAUUCAGUGUUGAACUCCGCUCAACUUAUAAUUAGAUAAUCGAAAUCAAAAAUCUUGCAAUCAACAAAUAAAUUAUUAAGAACUUGCAAUUGAGUAAUGGCCGUCAAGUCACUUAACAAUACUAACCGGAAACUAACGUGACGGGCUGAUAUGUUUAAAAAAAUGCAUGAUGACUAUAUACUUGAUGUUUACGACCCUAACUAAAAUAUCCAACAAAUAAUACAUACAACCUGAUCUAAUAAUGUAAUACCUCUACUUAAGUAUAUUUUUAUGCCAAAUAUUUAUAGAUUUGUUUUUACAAAAAUGAUUAGAGACUUUGUAUAUACAAAAAUUGAGAAUUAUUGCUUGACUAGACGAAAAUAGGUGAGUUAUGAUUAUAAUAAAUAUUUAUUUCUACGAUGUAGUUUUUAUUAGUUAUAUAUAAAAAAAAUCUUGCUAUAUUUUGAUACUAGUGCAAUGAUUACUUCAAUUUAUUUUUUAUGAGAGUUACUAAGAUAUAUGACCAACUCAUCUUGCACUCGUAUUAAUUGUCUUAUAUAAUAAUAAUAAGAAAAAUAUGAGGCGGUGCUUAGUCAGAUGAUUUUAGUUGUUAAAAUAUUUUUUUGUUAUUUAUAGAUAGUGAAACAUGUCUAAUAUUUUAUCAAUUUUGUUUCGUUUCUUGAGAUUUCCAAAUAUUUAUUAGGACAUUGUACCAUGGUGUAUUUCAAGAUAUUAUUGUUAUUUAGAUAAUUAGUCAUAUUCAAUGAAUUUUGAGGACAAAAUUUAAAUAAGAGGAGAACAAUGUCAUAUCUCACAUAUUAGCAGUUUUAAUUAUUUUAUAUUUUUAUUUUAAAGAUAAGAUAAAGUUUAUUUAUUUAUUUGUUUUUAUCUUAAAAGCGAUUUUGAGUACUUUGUUUGAGUUAGAUAUAUACUUCUACUGUGGUUCAACUAGUUUUGCCGUCAGUGAAUAAUUUCCGGUCAAUAUUUUGAAAUUUGUUGUUAUCUUCUAAUUAAGAUAAGGGGUUAAAUAGCUUUUGAAAAAUGUGAAAAAAAUCAAAAAAAUUGGGAAACCAAAAGUGGCAAGCUUUUUUUUGUUCUUUUCAAAUUUUCUAAAAUCUGGGGAAAAAAGAACUUGCCACCUAAUUUUUUCCAAAUUUUUUCAAAUUCUUUUCAGAUGUUUGAAUUUUUUCCCAAUUUUUUCCUUUUUUUUUGAAUUUAUUAAGAUUUUUUUUGUUUUUUCUGCUUAUUCUGAAUUUUUUAAGAUUUAUUCGCAUUUUUUUUCAUAUUUUUAAAAAAUAUUUUUGAAAUUUCCGUUAAGUAAUUAAUGGAACUGACAGAGAGUGAUGCUUUUGAAAGUUUUUAAUUAUUUGAUGAUGCAUCUGAAAAUUUUUCAACAACAUGAUUCAGUUGCAAAUUUCCGGCGAGGUUAGUGAUAAAUUAGCUAUUUAACUCUUAAUAAAAUCUAUCUUAACAAUAUUAUAAAUAUUAUUGUUAUGGGUUCGAUGAGUCGUGUAAAACAUGGAAGAAGUUUAGGUGGGGUAAAAAGAGCCUAGCUGGGUGAUUUCCAUUCUGUUAUACGUGAUAUACUGUAGUUGAUCAUCUCCUUUGUCCGCUUCAUCCUGUGCAACCUUAACCUUUAAGGUAAAACUUAUGAGAUUCUCUGGAGCAUCUAAGGGGCCGUUUGGACAAACUUAAAAGAAGUGACUUCUUGCUUAAACUAGAGAAGUGGAGUAGAAGUGAGAAGUAAAUUAGUUAAUAAAGUGUUUGGAAAAAAAGCAGAAGCCAGAAGCAUCUUCGGCUUCUGUCAAACAAACAGGGCCUAAAUUUUUGUGUGAAAAAUGUUAGUCUCAAAUUAUUUUUCCUAAAAUGCUUACAUGUUACAUUUUAUAUGUAUGUCCUGUCUUUAAGUAUAAUUUAGCAUUUGUAUUUAGUAUUGUGUAAAAGUAAUUCAUUUUAUUCCGUCUUAUUAAAAAUAUAAUCAUGUUAUGCUGUAAAAGUAUUUGUGAAUUUCUUUGUUGCAUAUGUGUUUAAAUUAUUUUAUUUAUAUAUGUUUUACAAUUUUUACAAAUGUAUAGGUUGAGUAUUGCAUAAGAAUAUAAUUACACUCACAACUGUUAUGCGUGCAUGUAUAUUGCCGCUAAGUUUUAAACUUCUUACGAACCGGAAUAAUUUUGACAGAUGUGUGGAACUUGAUUAAUUUAGUUGCACUACAAGAGAAAGCGUUUUUACCAAUAGAAAUUGCUAAGGGAAAUUAGUCCGUCGGUAAUUUCCAACGAAUUUGUAACAAUUUGACUGGUCAAUGUUCUGCCAAUCAAUUCGCAACGAAAUACCCACGCUUAUUUACCAACGAGAUGUUCUGUUAGGAAAUAUAGCCACAUAAUGGAAUAAUAACAACAGCCCAAAGAAUGAGCAACAGACUAGCAACGAAAGCAUCUGUUACUACGUUCGUUGAUAUUCCGUUUAUAAAUACUAACAGUUCCGUUAGUAGUUAUUAGUUUUACAUUGGCAAUUGAUAUACACCAGAUGAGCACAUACACGGAUACAAUGCCAGUCUCUUAGUUGAAAUGUGUGUAAUGCUAAAGCCCAAUGAGCUUUAGUUGAUUAAAUUGAUUUGAGUUGUAGAAAAAAGCUAAUAAUAUAAUGGAUUUUGAUAUAUGUAUUGUAAAUAUUAAGUAAUUCUCUUGAAUUUAUAUAUGUAACAUAAUUGUUAAUUGGUUCAUCCUUGACUAGAAAUUUUAUAUUACAUUCUUAACUACAAAUUUUGUAUUUAAAAUUGUUUUAAAAAAUCAACUUUUAUUUGGCAUGUGGAUUUUGUAGUCAAAUGCGGUCAAUUUACUUAGCCUUUGAUCGAAUACCAACCUGAAACAUAAAAAUAUUUUUUAAUCAUUUAUUUUCGACGAUCCAACUAUAUUCUAUAAUUGUAAUGUGAUAAUAUUGAUUACAAAAUUUAAAAAAAAAAAUUAACCUUUUAUUUGGUAUGUGCAUUUUGUAGUCAAAUGCAAUUAAAUUACUUAGUCUUUAGUGAAAUCUUUACUCGAAACAUAAAACUUUUUCUUAAAAAAAAAUUGGACGAUCCAACCGUACAAAUGUUAUUGCAACGUGUUAAUAUUGGUUAAAAUAAAUUUUAAGAAAAUAUGUCUUUUAUUUGGUGUGUGGAUUUUGCGGUCAAAUAACUUAGCCUUUAAUUGAAUACUUACCCAAAACAUGAAACUAUUUUUUUUAAAUCAUUUCGGACGAUCCAACCGUACGGGUGUUAUUCUAACAUGAUAAUAUUGAUUAUUUUUUUUAAAGAAAAAAUAUAGCCUUUUAUUUGGUGUGUGGAUUUUGUAGUCAAAUGCAGUCAAAUUACUUAACCUUUAAUGAAAUGCUUACAUUAAACAUGAAAUUAUUUUUUUUAAAAUCAUUUGGAUGAUCCAAUCGUACGGAUGUUAUUAUGACAUGUUAAUUGAUUAAAAAAAAUAUUUAAAAAAUUGCUUUUUAUUUAGUGUGUGGAUUUUGUAGUUAAAUGCUACUUGGCCUUUAAUCGAAUACUUAACCGAAACAUGAAACUAUUUUUUUAAAAACCAUUUUGGACAAUCCAACCGUACGGAUGUUAUUGUAACAUGACAAUAUUGAUUGUUUUUUUAUAUAAUAACUUUUAUUUGGUGUGUGGAUUUGUAGUCAAAUUACUUAGCCUUUAAUCGAAUACUUACCUGAAACAUGAAACUAUUUCUUAGAAAAUUAUUUUAGAUGAUUCAACCAUACAGAUGCUAUUAUAACGUGAUAAUAUUGAUUAUUUUUUUUAAAAAAAUUAGUCUUUAAUUUGGUGUAUGAAUUUUAUAGUAAAAUGAUGUCAAAUUACUUAGUCUUUAAUGGUAUAUUUAUUAGAAUUAUGAAACUAAUUUUAAAAAUUUAGUUUGGACGAUCCAAACUGUAUGAAUGUUAUUUUAACAUGUUAAUAUUGAUUAAAAUUGUUUAAAAAAAUUUAGUGUUCUUUUAUGUGUGAAUUUUUAGUCAAAUAUGAUAAAAUAUUUAUUUAGCCUUUAAUGAAAUAUUAAAAAUCCCUACUUUAAAAGAAACUUGUCUAAAACUACCUAUACGCGUUAGAGAUUCAUCGAUUUAGUUAUCAAAUUAGUUAUAAUUAGGGUUUUACUCCGCUUUUCUCUGGUAUGAUGUUGAUUUUUGGGGUUCGAUUGGUCGACUUUCAUGUUUUAUAAGUUAUGUGAGUUCGAUUUUGAUGUUUUUACAAUUAGGUUUAUGUAUGUUUUUAUACGGGUUUUCAUGUUCAUGUUUUGAUUUGUUGAUUUCCUAUUUUUCCUAUUUGUUGAUUAGUUAUUUGUGUGGGUUUUGGAUUUUGAUGUGUGUGUAUGUAAUCUCCUGUAUUUUUUUUCAUUUUUUCUGGUUCGAACUCUUCGAUUAGUAGAUGAAAAAAACUGAUGCGGCAGUAGCGGCUAGCAAGGAGAUGGAUAACAAGAAAAGGACGAUUUUGAGGUCCUCUCGUGCAAGUCUUCAGGUAUAAUUUUGUUCCUUUAUGUUUUUAAUUAACAUAAAUUUUCACAUUUGCUGAUUAUAUUAUGGGGGAUUCUGGGUAUACUUGUAUAUAAUCUAGCAAGUAAUUAUAGUUCUGAAUGGGAAGCUUAUUGUGAAAUUAAAUUGAGGAAUAAGUUGUGUUAUUGGUUCUGGUGGAUUAAAUUUAUGUUAACACUUGAUAUAUGCAUUGAUGUCGUAAAAUAAGUUGUACAUCGAACUAUUUGGCUUGUUUAAGUUGUAUGGAGUAUGGUUGCCAAGCAUUGGUUGGUUGUACACGUAUAAACAAAAUGAUAUUUUAAUAUUUGAACAAAACAAUACAGAGCCCGUUUGGCUGAACUUGUAACUCAUAAAUUAACGUGAUUUAUGAUUUAACGUGACUUAUCUAAUAAGCUGAGAGUUUUAAAAUGUCUGUUUGGAUAAUUUUGACUUAUCAACGAUUUAUGGGUCAUUAAAAAUAUAAAAAUAAAAAUUAAAGUGUUUUAUGAGUAGGUUAUGAUUUAUGGAUAAUUUUUAUAUAAAAAAAAGUUCAAAAAAAUUAAGUUACUGGAAAAAUACCUCAAACUAAUUUCAGGCUUUAAGUCAGCUUCUGAUUUAUUAGUUUUUAAGUUUAAGCCGGCUUCUGACUUAUUAAAGCCAUCAGAAUAAUUUUAAACCGCAGCUCUAAGCUACGACAAACGGGCUCACAGUCAUAAACAGAUCGUGUCGGGCUGGACUGAUUGUGAUUUUCCUUUUUGGAACUCGUACUCGGCAUGUUCCACGCGAAUGAUAUUUAGAAGUAUACUCCAUGUCAUAAUAAGAGUUCUUUAAAUUUUUUAUAUGUAAUUUGAAGUAUAAAAAAAAUAUUUUAACAUAAUAUUUUUAAUUUUUUAUACAUAAAAAUAUAACAUCUAUAUUUUUAUUUAGAAAAAAAAAUUUGAAAAAUAAUAUAUAGAUGCAUGUUUUUUUUAUACGUGAAAUUACAUGUAAAAAUCAAAAGACUUUUAUUUUGAGUAAGAGAGAAUAUGAUGUACCAUAAAGUCAUCGAUUUUUUGUUAUCAAAUGAAUGUGAUAGUUAACUAUUUAAGAGCAAGUCCAAAAGUGUUCUAGUUCAUGCUCUAAAUAUAAUAUAAAAUAUUAUGUCCUAGUGAUUUGGGACAUAUUUUACUAACUUGGACUUCAACAAUGAGUCUUAAGGCUCAUUUGUUUUGAGCUUAACAUUGCUGAACGGAUUCCAGCUUACUGAUUAAUGCGAGUUCAGAUUGUUUGGCGACCAUAUUUUAUAAGCUUACCGAUUAAUGCGAGUUUAGAUUGUUUGACGAUCAUAUUUUAUAUUCUGAAUUGUUCAUAUACAGCUGAGCGGAUCAGUCUAAAGUGGGUGAAAGAAUCAUUCAGCGCCAUCCUUAUUAGCUUAUAAUACUGUAUGUCAACUUCAAUCUUAUAAAAAUAUAUUUUAUUUGUUUACUAUAUUUUAUAUAUAUGUUGAUUUUAUCCCAAGUUUUGUUCGUAUCAACUGAAAAUAAUAACUCUUUCAAAAAAUUAAAAAUAAUAUAAUAAUAAUCGAUAUAAUUUUUAACUUUAUAAUUAUUUUGAAUAAUAAUAUGUGAAUUUUUUUUAUAUGUCUAAAUAAGUUUUCAUCUUAUUAAAAAUCAAGUGAUAUAUAUUUUAUUCAAGUGAUAUAUAUUGUUUUAGUGAUAAAAAAGUUCACUAAAACAAUUUAUCAUAUUUAUAAUAUAUUAUUCAGAUAUUUCAAAUAUUAUUCAUCAAACAAUAUUAUUCAUUCAGAAUUCAGAUGAUUCAUCCGUUAAGAUCAUUCAGGUAUAUUAAUCAUUCAAUUCAGAUUUGCCAAAUGACCCCUUAUUCUCACACGAUGUUUAAUAUUUUAUUAUUAGAGAGAGAAAAGGAGUGUUGAUAAGAAUUAAUAACAAAAUAUGGACAGGGUAAGGAAAGAUGUACCUCAAAAAUAGGACUUGAGAAGGUUGUCCCAGUGAUAUAAGGCAUCACUAGGACAUUGUUGGAUCAAUUUUUUACAUCAAAUGCCUUAAAUAACAACUUAGGACGACAUAUAUGGAAAUUGUUGGACUUGCUCUAAGUUGUUACUCCUUCCAAGUAUAAAAGAUGAGUAAAGUUAAAUGAAGACGUGGUAAAAUAAUGUGACCUAUUUAUAUUUAAUAAUACAUUUGAAAUAGUGGAGGAAAGUAACAUGUGUAAUAACGUUUAUAUUAUUAUUGCAUAUAGAUAAGAAGAAAGCAAUGGGUAUAAAAGUGUAUUAUAUUAUUAAAAUUAUUAUUUUUAAAAUGUUUAGAAAUAAUGGGGCAUCCAAAAAGAAAACUGUAUAGAAAUGAAAAAGGAAAUACAAUUCAAAAAGUCAUAUAUCUAAAUUCAAACUAGGUAAUAUAUUUAUGAAUUAUAUUAAAAAAAAUAUUUGACAUUCAAAUAUAAAAAUUUAUUUUAUCAUCUCAACAAUGAAUAUUCGAUUAUUAACUUUCGUAAAUAACAUUAAUUUUUCAUUAUAAUAUACUCUAAACUUUUAUUUUAUGUGCCUGUUUGUUUACGAGAAGCUGGAAUUUACUUCUCUUGACUCGUUUGUGUAAAAAAGUAAAAGGUGCUUUUAAAAAGUACUGAGAACGAAAUGGAAGUAGAAAAUGCUAGCUUUUCUUUAUAAUAUCUAUUUCUUUUCCAGACAUUUUAAUAAUUUAUAAUUAUUAAUUUAUUUGUCAUUUCUACUUAUUUUUUUUAGAGAACUUUUUUUAAACUAACCGGCUCCUAUAACUAGUAAUUACUUCUAAAUCACAAAUUACUGAUAAAUCAUCACUUUUAUUAUUAUUAUUAUUAUUAUAUUUUUAAUAACUCAUAAAUUAUUAAUAAGUCAAAAUUAGUCAAACAGAUAUUUUUAAGUUGAGCUUAUGAGAUAACUAACGUUAAGUCUUCUGAGCCCCCAUUGGCUCACAAUUGGCCCAAAAAAUAUUUGGUUAUGCAUUGCUAUUCACACACUUAGACAUCAAAAUUUAUCAUCCGACAGCUAACUGCACACUAUUUUUCCCACAAGCUCAAAAAUCAACGAUCAAUUAAUUUUUUCUUAUCAAUUACUAAUAAAGUUAUGAUUUCACGUACACGGCAGGCAAAAUGCUAAUAAAUAGACGAGUGCAGUAUAGUAUGGGUUCAUGAUCCCCUUGAGAUUUAAUUGAAAAAUAUUAUGGUGAUAUAGAUUAAAUUAAAUUAUAAUAUUUUGAAAAGUUAUAAAUAAUUUUAAUUACUAAUAAUAUUUAUUUGUACAUUUAAAUAUUUUUAUAAAAACACAAUAAUAGCAUUAUACUCAUUUAAGUUUCUCGUAUCCGCCUCCUCUUCUUGGAGAUUGUGGAUUUGCGAUAUUUGUAUUGAUUAUUAUAGGAAAAUGUUAUUUUCAGAGCAAACAUUUUUAUUUCUGGAGCAAAUUCAAUUCCCACUUCCUUGUCCUUGUAGCUACAUAAAUCAUACAACUUCAAUACAAACUUUUCCAAAUUGUUCUGGAAAUUAAAAAAUUGAUAUGGAUAUAACAAUUCCCUUAUUAUAUCCUAUGUAUAUUACAUUAAUGCAAUUAACAUGGUUGGUUGUUUUAGUAUAUAAUUAUAUUAGUGUGGCCUUUUAGUAUAUAAUUAUAUUAUUUUUGUUAUAUUUUAUGCAUCUAGAAACAAUUUUUUUAUGAUAUUUAUUAUAUUAAUUAUAGUAAAAGAUAUAAUUUUGUUUAAAAAAUUGAAUAAAACUAAGAGGGAUAGCCUACGUCUCUCCGAGUCUUCGAGGACUCAUUCCAAGUCCGCAGAGGACCACCGCCUCAACCUUUAAGAGAUGUGAAAGUAGCUUGAGAGAGACAUAAAUUAAUGUUUGAUAAUAAAAUUUAAUAAUCAAAUAAAUUAAAUUAAAUUAAACUAGUUUAUAGUAAUCGAUUAAAAAUAUAUAAAUCAAAAUUAUUCCUGAAUUAUGAUAACAAUUAAAAUCAUAUUAAAAGUUGCAAAAAUCAAACCCAAAUCGAACAAAUUCCCCUAACACUAAAAUGUAGUUGCUUUAUUGUAGAUAAAAACAGUAUAAUAAUCGUAUUGAUGAAAAAUCAAAUUCAUCAAAUAAGUUUAUAAAAAAUACAUGAUUUUAGUGUGUUGUAUUAGUAGUGUGUCCACGCAUUUAUAUAUUAAAAUCUAUCCUCUAAAAACUAUCGAUCUAUUUACACAACUAUUGAUCUGUCGUGCAACAAAUUCCACGGAGAAGUUCCAAAGAGAGCUUAAAUGGCUUGCAUUGCUCAAUCUAUCUCAUAAUAGUCUUAACGACAUAUGUUCUGAAUUAUUAUUAUGCUUUCAACAAUAUUUUCAAACAUUUCUUAAUAUGUAUUUUCAAAGAAUUAAGAGAAUGCACAAAAAUUAAGAGAGAUUGCUCUGGGUCUCCCCAAGCCUUUCAGGACUCAUUCCAAGUCUUCCUAGGACCACUGCCUCACCCUUUCAAAGAUGUGAUAAUAGCUCGAGAGUAAUAUAAAUUAAUUUACGGACACUAAAAAUAAAAAAUCAGAUCAAAUUAAUCAAUAAUAAAUUAAGGAUGAAAUCCAAAUUAAUCCUAAAUUUUGAUAAUAUAUAAAUAUUAUAAUUAUAAAUUAUAUAACCAAAUCAGAAUUGAAUUAACUUACUUGGCACUAAAAUUGAUAAAGACAGAAUAAUAAUUUAAUCGAUGAAAAGUCAAAGUCUUCUAAUAAAUCCAUAAAAGAUAUGAUAAUCCAAAUAACACACUUAUAUAUCAAAAUUUAUGGUCCAAAAACUAUAGCAAAAUAUCCUAAAUACACCACAUUAAAUAAUAGUUCAAAAAUAUUCAAUAAACAAUUGUUUUCAUUCAUAAUUUUGUUAUUUUAAAAACUAAUAAUUUGGUUGAUGUUAACCUAUAUUUUAAUAUAUAAUUAUAUUAUUUUCAUCUUAUUUUAUUUAACCAGAAACAAUAUUUUUAUAAUAUUUAUUACUUUAUUUAUAUUAAAAUAUAUAAUUUCAUUAAAAAAAUUGAAUAAAAUUAAGAGAAUAACUCUAUGCCUCUCUAAGUCUACAAGACUCAUUUCAAGUCUACCGAGGACUACUACCUCAACCAUCGAGAGAUGUGAAAGUAUAGUUUGAGAGUGACAUAAAUUAUUUUCCUGACAAUAAAAUUUAAUAUCUAAUAUAAAUUAAUUAAAUUAGAUAAUAAUAAAUCAAAACUAAUUAUGAAUUAUGAUAAUAAUUAAAUAAAUUAUAAUUAAAUUAUAUAAAUCAACUCCAAAUGUACAAAUAACACUAAACCUUGGUUACUUUGUUGGUAAAUAAAUAUAAUAUAAUAAUCAAAUUGAUGAGAAAUCAAAAUCAUCUAAUAAAUUCACAAAAAAUAUAUAAUCAGUAUAUUAUAUUAGUAUCCACACACUUAUAUUUCAAAAUCUAUCCUCCGAACUUAUCAUCUCUGUAAACUACCCACAUAAAAUAAAAAUUUAAAGAUAUUAGAUAUUUAGUUAUUUUCAUUAUAUAUAAUUUUUCCACACUAAAUAACAAAAUAUCUUUAUCAAAUUAUUAUUUAUAAGUUUUUUGAAUAUCAGAUUCAUAACCCAGUUGAUCAGGAGAAACAUGGCCUACUCUGCAAAGCCUUCUCACCUUCUUCUCUUUGUUUUCUUUCUCUCAUCACUUGAAUCCAUUCUUGCAACAACACAAGAGGGAGAAGCUCUUGUGAAGUGGAAGAAUAGCCUAGCCCCUUCUUCUUUUCUCGACUCUUGGUCACUCACCAAUCUCGAAAAUCUUUGUAACUGGACUGGCAUUACUUGUAACUCUGCAGGUUCAGUCUCGGAGAUUAACCUUUGUGAGAAACAACUUGAUGGAAUGCUGUCCGAGUUUGGUUUCACUUCAUUUCCAAAUCUCAACAAUCUCAUCCUCGCAGAUAACUUCUUCUCGGGUCCCAUACCACCGGCCAUUGAGAAUUUAACACAGCUUCGAUUUCUUGAUUUAAGCUUUAAUUCUCUCCAUGGUCCCAUUCCGUUCCAGGUUAGCCAUCUUCAGAGCUUGCUCAUCUUAAACCUGUCACAGAAUGCAUUGCAAGCUCCAAAUUGGUCCCAUUUCUCUCCCAUGCCUUUCUUGCGCAUCCUCAACCUCAGUUACAAUCCUCUUGCGUCGAAAUUCCCAUAUUUUAUAUCCAAUUCUCAUAGCCUGACUCACCUUAGCCUUAAUUAUAACGAGUUUACUGGUGAUUUAGUACGUGAAUCAGUAUUUGCCAAUCUGCAUAAUCUUGAAGUGCUCAGUCUUGUUGGCAAUUCUUUUGAGGGGCCAUUUCCGCCGGAUGUAGUCCAGCUUUCCAAAUUAAAACGUCUCUUCCUGUCAGGUAACAAAUUUUCAGGUUCAAUUCCCAAUGACAUAAGGUUGCUUUGUGAUCUUGAAUACCUAUAUUUAGGCAACAAUUCCUUUGAAGGACCGCUUCCACCAAAUAUAUUCAAGCUUUCAAAAUUAAAAAAUCUUGUUAUUUGGAGUAAUAAGUUUUCAGGUUCUAUUUCCAAUGAUAUAGGUUUGCUUUCUGAGCUUGACACCCUCAAUCUUCGCUCUAAUUUUUUUAAGGGUCCGCUUCCGUCAAAUAUAUUCAAGCUUUCCAAAUUAACAAGUCUUGACCUCGCAGACAAUAGAAAUUUAUUUGAAGGAAGUAUUCCUAUUGGACUGGGACUCUUGACUAACCUCAGGUUCUUAGAUCUACAUUCCAGUAAUCUCAGUGGCUAUAUUCCAUCUGACAUUGGAAACCUGAAGCUACUAGUACUUCUUAAUCUCGGUUCUAAUAAAUUGACUGGACCGCUUUUAAAGAUCGUUUCUAAUCUCACAAAUCUUAUAUAUUUUGAUGUAAGUGAUAAUAGUCUUCGUGGAAAUAUUCAGAGUGACUUGUGGAUAUAUAACGAUCAUCCAACUUUGGAAUACAUCAAUUUAAGUGGGAACCAUUUUACGGGUAUAGUUUUUCUCUAUAGAUCUUUUCCUUUUGUCAUAUGUAACUAAGCUAGUAAUCUGGUUAUUGCAGUUUUACCAAAGUUUCAACAAUCUUGACAGGUGAGCUUCCAACAACAAUUUGCAAUGUCACUUCCCUUUCAAUUCUUGAUUUGUCAAAUAAUGAAUUAAGUGGUGCACUUCCAAACUGUUUCGGGAAUCUUGCUGAUGGAUUGCUUUACAUUAAUCUUGCUAAUAAUCAGUUUCGAGGAACAAUACCAACUACUUUCUCCAGGAGUUGUCAGCUGACAUAUCUAAACAUGGAUGAUAAUGAGUUUGAAGGAUUGUUGCCCCCAUCUUUGGCGAACUGUAAGCACUUGAAAAUUUUUGAUAUUGGCAAUAAUAAAAUAGGUGGUACAUUUCCGUCAUGGCUUUAUGCACUUGGAGAGCUAGAAGUCCUUGUCUUGCGAUCAAAUAAACUCUGUGGUACAAUAAGUGGAAGGAGCAUAGAAGAUCCCUUCCCCAAGUUGCGGAUUGUGGAUCUGUCCAACAACCACUUCACAGGCCAUUUGCCAAUUCAAUACUUUAAGAAUAUGAAAUCAACUGAUAAUUUGUAUAGUUAUCAGCUUUUCACAGCAGUUUUUUCUUUCCAUUAUGAAGCAGCAGUCUCAUUAAUUGUGAAGGGAACAGAGUAUGAAGUGGCAAAUAACCUUCAUAUUUACACAGCCAUUGAUCUGUCGUGCAACAAAUUUCAGGGAGAAAUUCCAAAGGUUACUGGAGAGCUUAGAUGGCUUGCAUUGCUCAACUUAUCUCAUAAUAGUCUAACAGGACCUAUCCCAUCAUUGCUGGGAAAUAUGAAAGAACUCCAAUCUUUAGAUUUGUCUUCAAAUCAACUGACAGGGGCCAUUCCACCUCAGCUAACUGCAUUGACAUUUCUAGAGGUCUUAAACCUCUCGGGAAACCAUCUUAGUGGAGAGAUUCCUCAGAAAGGACAGUUCAGCACAUUUAACAAUGAUUCUUAUCUAGGAAACUCCGCGUUAUGUGGAUCACCUUUGACGAAGAAAUGUGCAAACACAGCAUCACCUCCACAAGAAGUCGGAAAUGGUGAUGAAGANGAUUUGUCUUCAAAUCAACUGACAGGGGCCAUUCCACCUCAGCUAACUGCAUUGACAUUUCUAGAGGUCUUAAACCUCUCGGGAAACCAUCUUAGUGGAGAGAUUCCUCAGAAAGGACAGUUCAGCACAUUUAACAAUGAUUCUUAUCUAGGAAACUCCGCGUUAUGUGGAUCACCUUUGACGAAGAAAUGUGCAAACACAGCAUCACCUCCACAAGAAGUCGGAAAUGGUGAUGAAGAAGAUGGUGGUGAUGAAUUGACAUGGGAAGCAAUCGUGAUGGGAUAUGGAUGUGGACUGAUAUGUGGAUUGUCAUCGGCAUACAUUGUUCUCAAACUAGGAAAGCCUUGGUGGUUUGUGAGAUAUAUCGAAGUACUGCAACAGAAGUUGAUGAAAAGAUGCUUGAAGAAAGGUACUGGUCGAUCAAGACGAACUUGAAAGUUGUUGUCCAUGUGGACAUUUCUGAACCAGUAGUGUACUAGCUGCAUAAGUAUUUGGUAUUAUGUAAUAUUCUGUUUGGUGGGGAAUCAUAAUAAUUUUUCUUCCUGUAGGGGUAUUAAUAUUAACCUUGUUAUCUUGAUCAAUGUUAAUGCAAAUUAAAAUGAAUGAAAAAACAAAAAAUAUGCAUCAAAUCCACUCCUGCUGUACCAAGAUCCAUUAAUUUGCUUUGGUCUUUUACAUAACAAUUUAACAGCGCACUUCCCCACUGUUUGAAAGAAUUUAAUAAUAAACUCGAGUUUUCCAGGACUGCACCAAGUUCACAUAUUCAAUAUCACACAUUCCAGUCUCAGCUUCAGCUCCCAGGGUAGAAGAGAAGUUUUAUGUACAAUAACAGUUAAUUACCAUAGCUACUUUAGUCUUGGUUCAGUUUUUGCAGAGAUAAUUACCAGAUUUUGAAAUCCUUCAUGUGAGGAAACAAAUAUCGAGAGACAUUUCUGUUUACAAAUAUAGGUUUUCUAGACAUAAUUACAGGAACUUUUACCAUUAUACACUUUUAUAGUACUGGUUAAGAGUUUGUUGUUCAGCCUAGUGAAAGAAAUAAUUCCUCUGCUAUUUCAUUAACAUUGCUGGUAUAUAUACAAUGUACAACACACCCUUCAAGGCUAUAAUCAGGGAACCUAAAAUAUAUCCAAAACUAAUCAUAGAAACAGACUAACUAAUUACAAUAAAUCAUAUCCAGAAAUAUCUCCACAGAUGUCGCAUAGAUAUCUUUAACACACCCCCUCAGUCGAAGCGGGAGGUAAACGAACACUGAGACUGUCUCUGAAGUCUUCAAAAAGAACACGCGGAAGACCUUUUGUAAAAAUAUCUGCUACUUGAUAUCUGGAUGGCACAUGAAGAACCCGUACUUCACCUCGUGCAACUUUUUCCCGAACAAAGUGAAUAUCCAUCUCAAUGUGUUUAGUACGUUGGUGUUGUACUGGAUUACCCGAUAAAUAAAUAGCACUGACAUUGUCGCAAUACACCACAGUUGCCUUUGUAACUGGACAAUGCAAUUCCAACAACAGAUUUCGGAGCCAACAUGAUUCAGAGACCACAUUAGCUACACCCCUAUACUCGGCCUCUGCACUGGAUUUGGAAAGAGUCGGUUGUCGCUUAGAAGACCAGGAAAUCAAGUUGUCACCCAAAAACACACAAUACCCAGAUGUAGACCGCCUCGUGUCGGGGCACCCACCCCAGUCAGCGUCAGUAUAUGAAACAAGAGAGGACUGUGAAGAGGAAUAGAGAUGUAAACCAUAGUCCUGUGUUCCUUGAAUGUACCUAAUGAUUCUUUUAAGAGCUUGCAUAUGAGUAACCCGUGGAUCAUGCAUGUGCAGACAUACUUGUUGAACCGCAUAAGAAAUAUAUGGACGUGUGAAAGUCAGAUAUUAAAGUGCCCCAGCAAGACUCCGAUACAAUGAAGGAUUCUCAAACACAGAACCAACAGACGCACUAACCUUGGCCUUCGUAUCAACUGGUGUAGGUGAUGAUUUACAAGAGGACAUGCCAGCCCUCUCAAUUAUCUGUUGUGCAUAAUUCUUCUGUGACAGAAACAUGCCAGCCUUAUGACGAGUGACUGAUAUACCAAGAAAAGAACUCAAGGGGCCAAGAUCCUUCAUAGCAAAUUCUGAACUAAGAAGCUUUAUAAUCGAGACACGGAGAUCAUCAGACGACGCAGUGAGAAUUAUGUCAUCGACGUAAACCAGAAUAUAGGCCAUGUGAGAACCGUUGCGAUAAACGAAUAAUGAGGUGUCACAUUUGCUUCUAAUGAAACCAAUAGACAGAACAAAAUCAGCAAACUUCUCAGACCAAGUCCGGGGGGACUGCCUCAGGCCAUAAAUUGAUUUACGUAACAAACACACAUAAUCCGGAUGAGCACGAUCACGAUACCCCAAAGGUUGAUGCAUAUAUAUUGUUUCCUUUAAGUCACCAUGAAGGAAGGCAUUCUUUACAUCUAGCUGAUGAAUUGACCAGCCAUUCGAAAGAGAGAGAGAAAGCACUGUGCGGAUUGUAGCUGGUUUCACUACCGAGCUAAAAGUUUCGCCACAAUCAAUACCCACCAGCUGAGUUUUUCCAUUUCCGACAAGGCGAGCUUUAUGCCUCUGAAACACACCAUCCGAAUUUUCUUUAUGAGCAAAAACCCACAUAGACCGAAUAACAUUAACAUCAGGUGGACGGGGCACCAAAUCCCAUGUCUUAUUUUGAAUAAGUGCAUUAUACUCCUCAUCCAUGGCUAUUUUCCAAUUCGGGUCCCGAAGAGCAUCAACAGGGCUAUGUGGUAAAGGUGACCGAGGAGCUGUUGUGUUAUAUGCAUGAUCAGAAUAUCGCAUAUUUGGUUUAAAAAUACCUCGUUGGCUCCUGGUAACCAUUGGGUGCUGGUUUAUAGGAGUAGGGGAAGAUGUUGAUGUUUGUGGACUCGAGGAGGAAGAUGAACUCAAUGAGGAGGGAGAUGGCGACGUUGAUGAAAGUAAGGGAGAGGAGGAUUGGUUUGAGAGUACUGGACUCGGUGAAAGAGAAUGAGGAGAACUCCCAGGGGAAGGUGAGAAACUACCAUGUCGUGUCUCAUGUGUGUGAGUACUGUCUGGGUGAGCAGACACAGACACAGAAGGACUUUGAUUUUGCAGAUGAUACACUGAAUAAGGUGAUAAGCCAUCUGCUAAAAAAUCAUAGGUAGAAGUGGAUGAAUCAUGUAACUUAGCAAACGGAAACACAUGCUCGUCAAAUAACACAUGGCGACAAAUUAUAAUCUGUGCUGUGAUGAUAAAUCAUAACAUUUGUAACCACGGUGAUUAGCCGGAAACCCCAAGAAAACACAAGGUGUUGAACGAGAUUGCAAUUUAUUAAUUGUGGUAGAGGGAAUGAGAGGAUAGCACAAGCAACCAAAGACCCGAAUGUGAGAAAAUGAGGGAACCCGUUGAUAUAGGAUUUCAAGAGGUGAUAAAUUGCCUAAGACCUUGUUCGGAAGAACAUUUAGAAGAUAGGUGGCCAUUUGUAAUGCAUGAUUCCAAAAAGAUGAAGGAAGAGAUGCAUGAGCUAAGAGUGUUCGAGUGACAUUAUUAAUAGUUCGAAUUUUUCUUUCUGCUUUCCCAUUUUGAGAAGAAGUAUGAGGACAAGACAACCGAAAAGUCAUGCCAUUGUUCUUAAAAAAAUCCCAGAAAUGAUGAUUAGUAAAUUCCCUCCCAUUAUCGCAUUGCACAUUUUUAAUGGUACACUCGAAUUGGGUGAGAAUAUGAUUGUGAAACGCCACAAAUUUAUCAAAGACAUCAGAUUUCUUAGCAAUUGGAAAAGUCCAAAGAAAAUUGGAGAAAUCAUCUAAUAACACAAGAUAGUACUUAUGACCCAUAGUACUCAAAACCGGAGAUGUCCAAAGAUCACAAUGAAUUAUAUCAAAUGGCUUUAAAGUACUUGAACUAGACGAAACAAAUGGCAUCUUGAUAUGUUUUCCAAACACACAAGAUCGACAAAUGCUAGAAUGUGAAAGCUUAGAACAAUGAAUGCUUUUAUUGAGUCGAAGAGCAUCCAAAACUUGUGCACCGGGAUGGCCUAAACGAUCAUGCCAAAGAGAGGAAUUGAUGGCUGCAAAAGUAGAAUGAAGAGCUCGAUUGUUGAUAGAUUGUGUAAGAGGAUAAAGAUCGCCUUGGCUCUCACAUCUCAUUAUUAGCACUCACGUCUGUAAAUCCUUCACAGAAAACCCAAAAGGAUCAAAUUCCACCGUAACAGAAUUAUCAGUGGUAAAUUUGCGAACAGAAAUAAGGUUUUUAACAAUUUUGGGAGCGUGGAGGACAUUUUUAAGGGACAAAGGAAGGCCAGGAGAUGGUAAUGCAGUAUGACCAUAUCCUUGAAUUGAAAUAAUAUUGCCAUCACCCACAACAAUGCCAUUAUGAUGAGAAUUAUGUUGAUUGCUCAAAUUAACAUAGGACGAGAAAUUACCAUUUGAGGAUGUCAUAUGAGAUGUAGCACCAGUAUCCAUGUACCACGACGGAUCAGGUUGAUUGAGAGUCAUGGUAUGCAUUGCAGAUUCAAUAUCCGUUGGAACAAAAGAAGCUGACUGCCCAACCGUUGUUCCUGUGAAAGCCUGCUGUGGUCGAGGACCAAGAACUCCAGGCUGUGGUUGUUGAACUCCCGUGGAACGGGGCUGAGUCCAGCCCUGAGUUGGGAAUGGACAAGGGGGAGCGGACCAUCCCUGCAUCCAAGGUGGAGCAGCCAAGAUUGGAAAUAACCCGGUGCCCACUGUUGUGAACCCCAUUGCAUCCUAUUCUGUUGUUGUCCACCACCACGGCCUUGACCCAUACGACCCCCACCAGAACCACGACCUCCACCUGAACCAGAUCGUUUAUUAUUUUUCCUGUGGUUAUUAUGCUUAUUGCCACGGGGAGGUGCGGAUCCCUGAUUCGAGCCUGUGUCGUCAAAAUCCGUCUGUGAGGCAACCAACAUUGCAGAGUCAGACCCUGUGGCAGCUUCUUUUGCUAAAGCAGCCUCCUCUAAUGUUAACAUAGACCGGGCUUGAUAGAAUUGUGGGAGAGGGUCACUCUGUCGAAUUAAGGUCCCAACACCACGGUAUGCCCUUGGAAGGCCGGAAACCAGUUGAAUAACAAGUCUACUAUCCGAGAUUGGUGCACCAACAUUUUUCAGUUGAUCAGCAAGAGAUUUGAGACGCUGACAGUAAGCCGAAACAUUCGGAAAAUUCUCCAUUUUUGUACUGGAGAAUUCAGCCUCCAAAGUUACCACACGGGAAUUCUUGUUGUCCUGGAAUAUGUCACGCAACCUGUUCCAUGCCUCCAUAGCAGUGGCAUCUGGUUCAAUGAUCGUAUGUAAAAGAUCAUUGGAGAUAGUCGCAUAAAUCCAAGACAGAACCGUAGCAUCAAGCGUCGACCACAAUUCCUUUUCAUCCUCAGUAGAAAGAACCUUCUCUUUGCCUGUGGCAGGAGGAAUAAUAUGAGAAAGCACCUUAUGAGAACGUGCGGUAAUUUUGAAAAGCUCCGCCCAUGUCGAGUAUUGACCAUUCUCCAUCUCAAGAAUAAUGGGGAUAUGAUUGCGGAUAUUUGACACCGCAAGAGCUGGAUGAAAGGAGCUCUUGUUACCAGACAUUGGCUGCUGAUUAGUUGUAUCAGUCAUGAUAAUGAGAAAAGAAAAGAAGAUGAGUGCUUAGCGGAAGAAAAGAAAGAAAGAAAGAUCGUGGUAUUGCCUUAAGGCUCUGAUACCAUGAAAGAAAUAAUUCCUCUGCUAUUUCAUUAACAUUGCUGGUAUAUAUACAAUGUACAACACACCCUUCAAGGCUAUAAUCAGGGAACCUAAAAUAUAUCCAAAACUAAUCAUAGAAACAGACUAACUAAUUACAAUAAAUCAUAUCCAGAAAUAUCUCCACAGAUGUCGCAUAGAUAUCUUUAACACCUAGUCCUAAACUAAAAUUAUCAGUUCGAUGUGAAAUACGAAAUCAUAUUGCAGACGUCAUUCGUUGUUCCACCUAGUCCAAAACUACUCUAAAACUAUAUUGCUGGUAGUCUUUCAGUUCAUCCUACUGUAUGCAAUAGUUUCAUAUAUAGGUAACUCGGCCUUGUGUGGACUUCCUUUAACAAAAAAAUGUCUGCACUCAGUGUCACCACCACUGGAAGUCGAAAAUAGUGAUGAUGAAGAUGAUGCUCAUGGUGAACUUAAUUGGGAAGUAAUCCUGACGGGAUGUGGAUGUGGAUUGAUUUGCGGAUUGUCUUCUGGGUACAUUGUUUUCAAAAUAGAAAGGCCUUGGUGAUUUCUGCAAAGUGCUGCAACUUAAGUUGAUGUUACGAAGCACGAAAAAUAUUGUUCGACCAAGAUCAACAACUUGAAAAUGUGUUCUGAAUCUGUAUUAAUAUUAAAAUAUUAUAAUAUUAUUCAUUUAACACUAUCGUCCAAUCAAUUUAAUUGAUUAUCAUUUAAUCAAUAUAUUAGAUAAAUAUUAAUUGUCUUCCUUACCUCUAACCAAUGAUGAAAUUAAUAACCUCCCUAUAAAUCUAUUAAGACAGCUUUGAGUUGUCAAAGUCCUCAAACAUAUUAAACACUUUGAAAAAUUUGUUUCUGCAAGUCAAAAUUGCAAACAACACUUUGAAAACUUAGGUGCCGAAUAGUCCUUAUAUUGGAUUAAUCAGAUUUAAAUAUUUAAUGGCGCUAACAAAAUCUGUUGAAGUUAGCAGUUAUAAGGCAUAUAAUUAGAAAAAUGGCACAGUAUAUAAAGCCUCAUCAUCUUUUUCACUCUGUUUUAUUUCUCUCAUUACUUCCAUCCAUUCUUACAACACUAGCUGAAACAAGACGAGAGGGAGAAGCUCUUGUGAAAUGGAAGAAUAGCCUAGCCCCGUCUUCUUUUCUCGAUACUUGGUCACUAACCAAUCUCGAUGAUCUUUGCAACUGGACUGGCAUUACUUGUAACUCUGCAGGUUCAGUCUCUGAGAUUAACCUUAAACAAAAACAACUCAGUGGAACGAUUUCUGAGUUUGGUUUCACUUCAUUUCCAAAUCUCAACAAUCUGAACAUAGCACGAAACAACUUUUACGGUCCAAUACCACCAGCCAUUAAGAAUUUGACACAGCUUCAAUACCUUGAUUUAAGCUUUAAUCAUCUCAACGGUUCCAUCCCGUACCAGGUUAGCCAUCUUCAGAAAUUACAAAUCUUACACCUGUCGCAUAAUGAAUUGCAAGCUCCAAAUUGGUCCAAUUUCUCUUCCAUGCCUUUUUUGCGCAUCCUCGGCCUCGGCAGCAAUAAUCUGGAGUCAGAAUUCCCAGAAUUUAUAUCCAACUCUCAUGGCCUCACUUUCCUUGACCUUUCUUUUAACAAGUUUACAGGUGAUCUUGUGCAUGAAUCAAUUUUUACCGAUCUACGUAAUCUCGAAAACCUCCAUCUUGCUAAAAAUUACUUUGAGGGGCCGAUUCUACCUAGUAUAUUUAAGCUUUCCAAUUUAAAAAUUCUUGAACUAUCAGGUAAUAAAUUUUCUGGUUCUAUUUCCAACUAUAUAGGUUUGCUUUCGGAGCUUGAGACCCUCUAUCUUGACUUCAAUUUUUUUGAAGGACCAAUUCCACCAAAUAUAUUCAACCUUUCUAAACUAAAAAUUCUUGAACUAACAGGUAAUAACUUUUCAGGUCCUGUUUCUAAUGAUAUAAGUUUGCUUUCCGAGCUUGAAAACCUCAAUCUUGCCUUAAAUUCUUUUGAUGGGCCUUUUCCAUCAAAUAUGUUCAACCUAACCAUAUUGAGACAUCUAAAUCUCUAUGGCAAUAAAAAUUUAUUUAAAGGAAGUAUCCCACUGGAUAUCAAAAUAAGUCACAAGGACUAAUUAAUUACAUCUAUGAAGCAUCUAUCUCCUUAAAUGUGAAAGGAACAGAGUAUGAAGUGAAAAACAUUCUUCAUAUUUACACAACCAUUGAUCUGUCAUGCAACAAAUUUCAUGGACAUGUUCCAAAGAGAGCUUAAUUAAAUGGCUUGCAUUGCUCAAUCUAUCUCAUAAUAGUCUUAACAGACAUAUGUUCUGCAUUAUUAUUAUACUUUCAUCAAUAUUUUUAAACANAACAAAAACAACUCAGUGGAACGAUUUCUGAGUUUGGUUUCACUUCAUUUCCAAAUCUCAACAAUCUGAACAUAGCACGAAACAACUUUUACGGUCCAAUACCACCAGCCAUUAAGAAUUUGACACAGCUUCAAUACCUUGAUUUAAGCUUUAAUCAUCUCAACGGUUCCAUCCCGUACCAGGUUAGCCAUCUUCAGAAAUUACAAAUCUUACACCUGUCGCAUAAUGAAUUGCAAGCUCCAAAUUGGUCCAAUUUCUCUUCCAUGCCUUUUUUGCGCAUCCUCGGCCUCGGCAGCAAUAAUCUGGAGUCAGAAUUCCCAGAAUUUAUAUCCAACUCUCAUGGCCUCACUUUCCUUGACCUUUCUUUUAACAAGUUUACAGGUGAUCUUGUGCAUGAAUCAAUUUUUACCGAUCUACGUAAUCUCGAAAACCUCCAUCUUGCUAAAAAUUACUUUGAGGGGCCGAUUCUACCUAGUAUAUUUAAGCUUUCCAAUUUAAAAAUUCUUGAACUAUCAGGUAAUAAAUUUUCUGGUUCUAUUUCCAACUAUAUAGGUUUGCUUUCGGAGCUUGAGACCCUCUAUCUUGACUUCAAUUUUUUUGAAGGACCAAUUCCACCAAAUAUAUUCAACCUUUCUAAACUAAAAAUUCUUGAACUAACAGGUAAUAACUUUUCAGGUCCUGUUUCUAAUGAUAUAAGUUUGCUUUCCGAGCUUGAAAACCUCAAUCUUGCCUUAAAUUCUUUUGAUGGGCCUUUUCCAUCAAAUAUGUUCAACCUAACCAUAUUGAGACAUCUAAAUCUCUAUGGCAAUAAAAAUUUAUUUAAAGGAAGUAUCCCACUGGAUAUCAAAAUAAGUCACAAGGACUAAUUAAUUACAUCUAUGAAGCAUCUAUCUCCUUAAAUGUGAAAGGAACAGAGUAUGAAGUGAAAAACAUUCUUCAUAUUUACACAACCAUUGAUCUGUCAUGCAACAAAUUUCAUGGACAUGUUCCAAAGAGAGCUUAAUUAAAUGGCUUGCAUUGCUCAAUCUAUCUCAUAAUAGUCUUAACAGACAUAUGUUCUGCAUUAUUAUUAUACUUUCAUCAAUAUUUUUAAACAUUUCUCAAUAUGUAUUUUCAAAGAAUUCUCAAGCACUUGAACAUUUGGACCGGUUCUUUCGAAGCCAAGAUGCCCAGGUUAUAUCAUGGCCAUACACAAAAAUGCCCAAAAAUAAAUAAAUUAAGAGAGAUUGCUCUGGGUCUCCCCAAGCCUUCCAGGACUCAUUCCAAGUCUUCUGAGGACCACUGCCUCGCCCUUUCAAAGACGUGAUAGUAGCUCAAGAGUGAUAUAAAUUACUUUCCGGACACUAAAAAUAAAUAAUCCGAUCAAAUUAAUUAAUAAUAAAUUAAGGAUGAAAUCCAAAUUAGUCCUAAAUUUUGAUAAUAUAUAAAAAUUAUAAUUAUAAAUUAUAUAACCAAAUGAGAAUUGAAUUAACUUACUUGGUACUAAAAUUGAUAAAUACAGUAUAGUAAUUUAAUUGAUGAAAAGUCAAAGUCUUCUAAUAAAUCCAUAAAGAAUAUGAAAAUCAAAAUAACGAAAAUUAUAAUUGAAAAAUCAAAAUCAAUAGUGUAUUGGAAUAUUGUUCACACACUUAUAUAUCAAAAUUUGUGGUCCAAAAAUUAUAGCACAAUAUCCUAAAUACACCACAUUAAAUAAUAGUUCAAAAAUAUUCAAUAAAUAAUUGUUUUCAUUCAUAAUUUUGUUAUUUUAAAAACUAAUAAUUUGGUUGAUGUUAACCUAUAUUUUAAUAUAUAAUUAUAUUAUUUUCAUGUUAUUUUAUUUAACCAAAAACAAUAUUUUUAUAAUAUUUAUUACAUUAAUUAUAUUAAAAGAUAUAAUUUCAUUAAAAAAAUUGAAUAAAAUUAAGAGGAUAACUCUAUGCCUCUCCAAGUCUACAAGACUCAUUUCAAGUCUACCGAGGACCACUACCAUUGAGAGAUGUGAAAGUAGUUUGAGAGUGACAUAAAUUAUUUUCCUGACAAUAAAAUGUAAUAUCUAAUAUAAAUUAAUUAAAUUAGAUAAUAAUAAAUCAAAACUAAUCAUGAAUUAUGAUAAUAAUUAAAUAAAUUAUAAUUAAAUUAUAUAAAUCAACUCCAAAUGAUACAAAUAACACUAAACCUUAGUUACUUUAUUGGUAAAAUAAAUAUAAUAUAAUAAUUAAAUUGAUGAAAAAUCAAAAUCAUCUAAUAAAUUCACAAAAAAUAUAUGAUCAUUAGUAUAUUAUAUCAGUAUCCACACACUUAUAUUUCAAAAUCUAUCCUACAAAAUUAUCAUCUCUGUAAACUAGCCACAAAAAAUAAAAAUUUAAAGAUAUUAGAUAUUUAGUUAUUUUCAUUAUAUAAUUUUUCCACACUAAAUAACAAAAUAUCUUUAUCAAAUUAUUAUUUAUGAAUUAAAUAUUCAAGUUAUAAUUCCAGCAUGCAGCGUAUAAAUAGAAGUGUGCAGUAUGAUAUCAGAUUCAUAACCCAGUUGAGGAGAAACAUGGCACACUCUGUGAAGCCUUCUCACCUUCUUCUCUUUGUUUUCUUUCUCUCAUCACUUGAAUCCAUUCUUGCAACAACACGAGAGGGAGAAGCUCUUGUGAAAUGGAAGAAUAGCCUAGCCCCUUCUUCUUUUCUCGACUCUUGGUCCCUCACCAAUCUCGAUAAUCUUUGUAACUGGACUGCCAUUACUUGUAACUCUGCAGGUUCAGUCUCUAAGAUUAACCUUUUUGAGAAACAACUUAAUGGAAUGCUGUCCGAGUUCGGUUUCACUUCAUUUCCAAAUCUCAACUAUCUCACACUCGCAGACAACUUCUUCUCGGGUCCGAUACCACCAGCCAUUGAGAAUUUAACACAGCUUCAAUAUCUUGAUUUAAGCAUGAAUAGUCUUAAUGGUCCCAUUCCGUUCCAGGUUAGCCAUCUUCAGAGCUUGCUCAUCUUGAACCUGUCACAGAAUGCAUUGCAAGCUCCAAAUUGGUCCCAUUUCUCUCCCAUGCCUUUCUUGCGCAUCCUCGACCUUAGUUUUAAUAAUCUUGUGUCGAAAUUCCCAGAAUUUAUAUCCAAUUCUCAUAGCCUGACUCACCUUAACCUUUCAAAUAACAAGUUUACUGGUCAUCUUGUGCAUAAAUUUACCAAUCUACAAAAUCUUGAAACCCUCUACCUUCAGAUCAAUUCUUUUGAGGGGCCGUUUCCACCAGAUAUAGUCCAGCUUUCCAAAUUAAAACGACUCUCCCUGUCAUGUAACAAAUUUUCAGGUUCAAUUCCCAAUGACGUAAGGUUGCUUUUUGGUCUUGAAUCCCUAAAUUUAGGCAACAAUUCCUUUGAAGGACCGCUUCCACCAGAUAUAUUCAAGCUUUCAAAGUUAAAACGACUUGUUCUUUGGAGUAAUAAGUUUUCAGGUUCUGUUUCCAAUGAUAUAGGUUUGCUUUCUAAUCUUGAACACCUCGAUCUUGACUCUAAUUUUUUUGAGGGGCCGUUUCCGUCAAAUAUAUUCAAGCUCAGAUUAAAAAUUCUAAACCUCUCAAACAAUAGAAAUUUAUUUCAAAGAAGUUUUCCUAUUGGACUGGAACUCUUGAGUAACCUCAGCUACUUAGGUCUACAUUCCAGUAAUCUCAGUGGCAAUAUUCCAUCUUACAUUGGAAACCUGAAGCUACUAGAAUUUCUUGAUCUCGGUUCUAAUCAAUUGACUGGACCGCUUUCCAAGAUCGUUUAUAAUCUCACAAAUCUUAUACUUCUUGAUGUAAGUUAUAAUAGUCUUCAUGGAAAUAUUCAGAGUGACUUGUGGCAAUAUAACGAUCAUCCAACUUUGGAAUACAUGAGUUUGAGUGGGAACUAUUUUACGGGUAUAGUUUUUCUCUAUAGAUCUUUUCUUUUGUCAUAUGUAACUAAGCUACUAAUCUGAUUAAUUGCAGUUUUACCAAAGUUUCAACAAUCUUGACAGGUGAGCUUCCAACAACAAUUUGCAAUGUCACUUCCCUUUCGGUUCUUGAUUUGUCAAAUAAUGAAUUAAGUGGUGCACUUCCAAACUGUUUCGGGAAUCUUGCUGAUAGAUUGCUUUUCAUUAAUCUUGCUAAUAAUCAGUUUCGAGGAACAAUACCAACUACUUUCUCCAGGAGUUGUCAGCUCAAAUAUCUAAACAUGGAUAAUAAUGAGUUUGAAGGAUUGUUGCCCCCGUCUUUGGAAAACUGUAAGCACUUGAGAAUUCUUGAUAUUGGCAAUAAUAAAAUAGGUGGUACAUUUCCGUCAUGGCUUUAUGUACUUGGAGAGCUAGAAGUCCUUCUCUUGCGAUCAAAUAAACUCUAUGGCACAAUAAGUGGAAGGAGCAUAGAAGAUCCCUUCCCCAAGUUGCGGAUUGUGGAUCUGUCCAACAAUCAAUUCACAGGCCAUUUGCCAAUUCAAUACUUUAAGAAUAUGAAAUCAACUGAUAAUUUGUAUCGUUUCCAGGAUGGCAAAGGAGUUUUUUGUUUCCGUUAUGAAGCAUCUGUCUCAUUAACUGUGAAGGGAACAGAGUAUGAAGUGAAAAAAAUCCUUCAUAUUUACACAACCAUUGAUCUGUCCUGCAACAAAUUUCAAGGAGAAAUUCCAGACGUUAUUGGAGAGCUUAGAUGGCUUGCAUUGCUCAACUUAUCUCAUAAUAGUCUAACAGGACCUAUCCCAUCAUUGCUGAGGAAUAUGAAAGAACUCCAAUCUUUAGAUUUGUCUUCAAAUCAACUGACAGGGGCUAUUCCACCUCAGUUAACUGCAUUGACAUAUCUAGAGGUCUUGAACCUCUCGGGAAACCAUCUUAGUGGAGAGAUUCCUCAGAAAGGACAGUUCAGCACAUUCAACAAUGAUUCUUAUCUUGGAAACUCCGCGUUAUGUGGAUCACCUUUGACGAAGAAAUGUGCAAACACAGCAUCACCUCCACAAGAAGUCGGAAAUGGUGAUGAAGAUGAUGCUGGUGAUGAAUUGACAUGGGAAGCAAUCGUGAUGGGAUAUGGAUGUGGACUGAUAUGUGGAUUGUCAUCUGCAUACAUUGUUCUCAAACUAGGAAAGCCUUGGUGGUUUGUGAGAUAUGUCGAAGUACUGCAACUGAAGUUGAUGAAAAGAUAUGCUUGAAGAAUGGUACUGGCCGAUCAAGACGAACUUGAAAGUUGUUGUCCUUGUGCAUUUCUGAACCAGUUGUGUACUAUUCUCUUUGUGGCUGCAUAAGUAUUUGGUAUUGUGUAAUAUUCUGUUUGGUCUUGAAUCAUAAUGAUUCUUCUUGCUCCAGGGUUAUUAAUAUAAACCUUGGUAUUGUGUGCUAGCUGUAAUAUUCUGUUUGAUCAAUGUUUAUACCAGUAAUUUUAUGCUCCGCAGUGCAUCAUGCAGCUCUCAUAUUAUCUCUAUGAUUAACCUGAAUUCAGUUUCAUUUUGUUUCCGAAUCUCAACUACUUCAACUUGAGCUACAAUAGCUUCACUGGUCUAAUACCCCCAGAUAUUGAAAAUUUAACAGAGCUGCAAUACCUUGAUUUUAGCUCUAAUAAACUCACUGGUGCAAUUCCGGACCAGGUAAGCCAUCUUCAAACAUUGCGAACCUUAAACCUGUUGGAUAAUCACUUGGAAGCUCCAAACUGGUCCGCUUUUUCCCCUCUGCCUUCUCUGACAAACCUCUGUCUCAAUAAUAAUAAUCUUUCGUCGAAAUUCCCAGACUUCAUAUCAAAUUACAUCUUUUAUACGAUAUAUUAUGAAAACACUAUAUUUUGUAAUGUUCAUCUUAUCCUACCAGCAAAAUUACAUCGCUAACAAAAUUAUAUCAAUUUUAUUUUAUAAACUCAAAUAAUUUAAUUUAUGAAACAACUCUAUGAGAUUCUUAUCAUGAGUUAGAAUUCAAAUAAAUAAAGAGUUCAUAUUGAUAAGUGGAAUUGAUGUGCAAGUAAGGGGUAUAAAAAAAUCUCAAAAUAACUCCAAAAAGCACAUGACAUGUUUGAUUUAAUAGAACUGGUACAUAAACAGGGGGACCAUUAUAUUUAUAAGCAAGUGACCAACAAUAGUUUACUACUGAUAUUUUGUGAUAUUUUUUGUGAUAUUUUUUGAGACCUUUAACAUUAUUCUGUGAAGUGGUAUACUACUGUUACUAGUUCUGAAACUUCAAACAAAGUAGGCGCAACAUUGUAAGAGUGAUUAAUAAAGUUGAGAAACAGUGUGUACAUUGAGCAGUAUGACAAUCAGGUUCAGCAUAUAAUACAAUCAGAUUCACAAUCAGGUUCACGAGAAACAUGCUGCAUUCCAAAAAGCCUUAUUAUCUUCUUCACUAAAUAACAAGGCAAAUACAGCAUAUAAAUACAAGUGUGCAGUGUGGUAUUAGAUUCAUAACCCAGUUGAGGAGAAACAUGGCACACUUUGUAAGGCCUUCUCACCUUCUUCUCUUUGUUUUCUUUCUCUCAUCACUUGAAUCCAUUCUUGCAACAAGACAAGAGGGGGAAGCUCUUGUGAAGUGGAAGAAUAGCCUAGCCCCUUCUUCUUUUCUCCACUCUUGGUCACUCACCAAUCUCGAAAAUCUUUGNNNNNNNNNNNNNNNNNNNNNNNNNNNNNNNNNNNNNNNNNNNNNNNNNNNNNNNNNNNNNNNNNNNNNNNNNNNNNNNNNNNNNNNNNNNNNNNNNNNNNNNNNNNNNNNNNNNNNNNNNNNNNNNNNNNNNNNNNNNNNNNNNNNNNNNNNNNNNNNNNNNNNNNNNNNNNNNNNNNNNNNNNNNNNNNNNNNNNNNNNNNNNNNNNNNNNNNNNNNNNNNNNNNNNNNNNNNNNNNNNNNNNNNNNNNNNNNNNNNNNNNNNNNNNNNNNNNNNNNNNNNNNNNNNNNNNNNNNNNNNNNNNNNNNNNNNNNNNNNNNNNNNNNNNNNNNNNNNNNNNNNNNNNNNNNNNNNNNNNNNNNNNNNNNNNNNNNNNNNNNNNNNNNNNNNNNNNNNNNNNNNNNNNNNNNNNNNNNNNNNNNNNNNNNNNNNNNNNNNNNNNNNNNNNNNNNNNNNNNNNNNNNNNNNNNNNNNNNNNNNNNNNNNNNNNNNNNNNNNNNNNNNNNNNNNNNNNNNNNNNNNNNNNNNNNNNNNNNNNNNNNNNNNNNNNNNNNNNNNNNNNNNNNNNNNNNNNNNNNNNNNNNNNNNNNNNNNNNNNNNNNNNNNNNNNNNNNNNNNNNNNNNNNNNNNNNNNNNNNNNNNNNNNNNNNNNNNNNNNNNNNNNNNNNNNNNNNNNNNNNNNNNNNNNNNNNNNNNNNNNNNNNNNNNNNNNNNNNNNNNNNNNNNNNNNNNNNNNNNNNNNNNNNNNNNNNNNNNNNNNNNNNNNNNNNNNNNNNNNNNNNNNNNNNNNNNNNNNNNNNNNNNNNNNNNNNNNNNNNNNNNNNNNNNNNNNNNNNNNNNNNNNNNNNNNNNNNNNNNNNNNNNNNNNNNNNNNNNNNNNNNNNNNNNNAUUAAAACGUCUUUUUCUUUGGAGUAAUAAGUUUUCAGGUUCUGUUUCCAAUGAUAUAGGUUUGCUUUCUGAGCUUGAAUUUCUCAAUCUUUACGAUAAUUUUUUUGAGGGGCCGCUUCCAUGCAUCAAAUAUAUUCAAGCUCUCCAAAUUAAGGGUUCUUUACCUUAACGGUAAUAAACUUCUAGGUUCUCUUUCCAAUGAUAUAGGUUUGCUUUCUGAGCUUGAAAGCCUCGAUCUUAACUCCAAUUUUUUUGAGGGGCCGCUUCCGCCAAAUGUAUUCAAGCUCUCCAAACUAAAGAUUCUUUCCCUUUAUGAGAAUAACUUUUCAGGUUUUAUUUCUAAGGAUAUAGGUUUGCUUUCUGGACUUGAAACCCUCUAUCUUGACUCUAAUUUUUUUGAGGGUCCGCUUCCCCCACAUAUAUUUAGGCUGUCCAAAUUAAGAGAUCUGGACCUCUCAUACAGUAGAAAUUUAUUUGAAGGAAGUAUUCCUAUUGGACUGGGACUCUUGACUAACCUCAGGUACUUAGAUCUAUAUUCCAAUAAUCUCAGUGGCUAUAUUCCAUCUGACAUUGGAAACCUGAAGCUACUAGAAGGUCUUAUUCUCGGUUCUAAUAAAUUGACUGGACCAGUUUCAAAGAUCAUUUCUAAUCUCACAAAUCUUAUAUAUCUUGAUGUAAGUGAUAAUAGUCUUAGUGGAAAUAUUCAGAGUGACUUGUGGAAAUAUAACGAUCAUCCAACUUUGGAAUACAUCAAUUUAAGUGGGAACCAUUUUACGGGUAUAGUUUUUCUCUAUAGAUCUUUUCCUUUUCUCAUAUGUAACUAAGCUGGUAAUCUGAUUAUUGCAGUUUUACCAAAGUUUCAACAAUCUUGACAGGUGAGCUUCCAACAACAAUUUGCAAUGUCACUUCCCUUUCGGUUCUUGAUUUGUCAAAUAAUGCGUUAAGUGGUGCACUUCCAAACUGUUUCGGGAAUCUUGCUGAUGGAUUGCUUUACAUUAAUCUUGCUCAUAAUCAGUUUCGAGGAACAAUACCAACUACUUUCUCCAGGAGUUGUCAGCUGACAUAUCUGAACAUGGAUGAUAAUGAGUUUGAAGGAUUGAUGCCCCCAUCUUUGGCGAACUGUAAGCACUUGAAAAUUUUUGAUAUUGGCAAUAAUAAAAUAGGUGGUACAUUUCCGUCAUGGCUUUAUGUACUUGGAGAGCUAGAAGUCCUUGUCUUGAAAUCAAAUAAACUCUAUGGUACAAUAAGUGGAAGGAGCAGUGAAGAUCCCUUCCCCAAGUUGCGGAUUGUGGAUCUGUCCAACAAUCAAUUCACAGGCCAUUUGCCAAUUCAAUACUUUAAGAAUAUGAAAUCAACUGAUAAUUUGUAUCGUUAUCAGAAUGACACAAGAGUUUUUUCUUUCCAUUAUGAAGCAGCAGUCUCAUUAACUGUGAAGGGAACAGAGUAUGAAGUGAAAAAAAUCCUUCAUAUUUACACAACCAUUGAUCUGUCCUGCAACAAAUUUCAAGGAGAAAUUCCAGACGUUAUUGGAGAGCUUAGAUGGCUUGCAUUGCUCAACUUAUCUCAUAAUAGUCUAACAGGACCUAUCCCAUCAUUGCUGAGGAAUAUGAAAGAACUCCAAUCUUUAGAUUUGUCUUCAAAUCAACUGACAGGGGCUAUUCCACCUCAGUUAACUGCAUUGACAUAUCUAGAGGUCUUGAACCUCUCGGGAAACCAUCUUAGUGGAGAGAUUCCUCAGAAAGGACAGUUCAGCACAUUCAACAAUGAUUCUUAUCUUGGAAACUCCGCGUUAUGUGGAUCACCUUUGACGAAGAAAUGUGCAAACACAGCAUCACCUCCACAAGAAGUCGGAAAUGGUGAUGAAGAUGAUGCUGGUGAUGAAUUGACAUGGGAAGCAAUCGUGAUGGGAUAUGGAUGUGGACUGAUAUGUGGAUUGUCAUCUGCAUACAUUGUUCUCAAACUAGGAAAGCCUUGGUGGUUUGUGAGAUAUGUCGAAGUACUGCAACUGAAGUUGAUGAAAAGAUAUGCUUGAAGAAUGGUACUGGCCGAUCAAGACGAACUUGAAAGUUGUUGUCCUUGUGCAUUUCUGAACCAGUUGUGUACUAUUCUCUUUGUGGCUGCAUAAGUAUUUGGUAUUGUGUAAUAUUCUGUUUGGUCUUGAAUCAUAAUGAUUCUUCUUGCUCCAGGGUUAUUAAUAUAAACCUUGGUAUUGUGUGCUAGCUGUAAUAUUCUGUUUGAUCAAUGUUUAUACCAGUAAUUUUAUGCUCCACAGUGCAUCAUGCAGCUCUCAUAUUAUCUCUAUGAUUAACCUGAAUUCAGUUUCAUUUUGUUUCCGAAUCUCAACUACUUCAACUUGAGCUACAAUAGCUUCACUGGUCUAAUACCCCCAGAUAUUGAAAAUUUAACAGAGCUGCAAUACCUUGAUUUUAGCUCUAAUAAACUCACUGGUGCAAUUCCGGACCAGGUAAGCCAUCUUCAAACAUUGCGAACCUUAAACCUGUUGGAUAAUCACUUGGAAGCUCCAAACUGGUCCGCUUUUUCCCCUAUGCCUUCUCUGACAAACCUCUGUCUCAAUAAUAAUAAUCUUUCGUCGAAAUUCCCAGACUUCAUAUCAAAUUGUCGAAACCUGACUUACCUUGAUCUUUCAUUAAACUUGUUAACAGGUGAUUUGGUUCUUGGUAAUACGGAAUCGCUCUAUCACAGAAGUAAUUCUUUUGAGGGGUCAUUUCCACCAAAUAUAUUAAAACUUUCAAAAUUAAGAGUUCUUUCCCUAUCNCUUUCCCUAUCAUAUAAUAGAUUUUCAGGUUCUAUUCCGCAUGAUAUAGGAAUGCUUCGUGUUUUGGAAUCCCUUUUUUUUAGUAGCAGUUCUUUUGAUGGCCUGCUUUCACCAAAUUUAUUUAAGCUUCCAAAAUUAAAAGUUCUUUCCAUGUCAUUUAAUAACUUUUCGGGUUAUAUUCCAAAUGAAAUAGGAUUGCUUCAUGAUUUAGAGUCCCUUUAUUUUAAUGGAAAUUCUUUUGAGGCCGUUUCCACCAAAUAUAUUCAACCUUUCCAAAUUAAAAGUUCUUUACCUCUCAAAUAAUAACUUUUCAGGUUCUAUUCCUAAUGAUAUAAGUGUGCUUCGUGAUCUUGAGAUACUUGAUUUGUCCUCUAAUUCUUUUGAAGGGAUUAUUCCAUUGGAGCUGGGGUUCUUGAAUAAGCUGAGCUAUUUAUAUCUUGAUUCCAAUCAAUUGACUGGACCGCUUUUGAAGAACAUGUAUAAUCUCAGUAAUCUUAUUGAGAUCAACUUUAGUGGAAACCGCUUAACAGGUUUGCUAUUCAUUCUUGUUUUCUUCUUUAUGUAACUUCUUUAUGUAACUUCUUCAAUGCUGAUGAAAUGAUCACGAACCACAAUUUCACCAAAGCUCCUUUAAUUUCAACAGGUGAGUUUUCGACAGCAAUUUACAGAGAGAGAAUUACGAUGUUAUUAGGGAAAUCUAAAGAGAAGGUGCAGAGACCUCGGCAUAAUGAUCCUCCAACCUCUCAUUAACAAUGUCCAGGUUUCUUUAAAAGUAUUAAAUGUUAUUAACAUAGUACUUAAUGGUGUUAUAAAGAGAGUCGUGAUGUAACACUAUAUUUUGUUUACGAGAUAUUUUAAGUGUAAGAAGGUCCAUGCUGAGUUGUGAACAAUUAUUCUCACGUAUAUUAUCAAUGGUGAACAUCUUUAUUAGUAAGAUUGUGCUUUUUAGUUGGAUUGUGGUCCUUCUGUUGCUCCUUGGUAAGAUUUUUCGUCCUAGGUGGGAUUGUUAGGCACAAUGCCAGUCUAAUCAAGUUUGCGAAGGAAGUGUUAAAUACUAGAAUUAUUAAACCUGUAUAUAAAUUUAGAUGUCUGCACAGCGUUGUUACAUUGUCGAGUAGACAACUAAUUUUAAUCUGGUGGCAGGAAAUAGGGAAUCAAGAAGAAGAUGCAGCCAACAAUGAGAAGCUAGAGAAGCAAUUGAACUACUCGAACAAGAGCAAAAGCGGAUAGAAGCAGAACCAGAUGUUAAACUAGAGGCAAAAAAGAGAGCCUCCAACAGGCUUAUUUUAAGGUAAAUUACAAGAAAAGAAAGUCUGCCAUCAAUGUUAGACAAAAAGAUAUGCCGAUGCUCACAGAUAAUAAUAGUAGCAGGCGUACUUACUCUCUCUACAUAUAAUACUGUAACAAAGGUUUUCAAUGAGCCAAUUUAUUCCAACUAAGCAGGCACUAAGCAGCCACGUCAGAUCCACCUUAGCAAUCACUUUGCAUUUGUGAUGAUGAUCACAAUUAAAUCUUUAUCCCAAUGAUUUUUCUAUUAAUCUUUUGUGGAAUUCUAUGUCUGCAGAGAGAGCAAUACGUGUUGGUCAUGGUUUCUAUAAGUGAAGGUGAGACAACAAUGGUGUUCUCUUUGCCUCAAUUACACCCCUAAUUGCUGGCUAUUUGAGCUGCUGAAAGUUUAAUAAUGGCAAUCGUUUGUAGCUCGAAGAGAAUGAUGUAAGAAUUUAAUCUCAAUAGGAAGCUGUAGAACACAACAAUAUUGCAUAUAGAAGCCAUCCAGCUGCACACCCUGAUCACGGAGUUUUUGAGUCUUUAGAAUGCAAAAAUACAAUGCACAUGGGUAUGCCUACAAGUGGAGAUAUUUAGAAAACUGCUUCUUGUGCACAGUUAGUUAAAUAUUUACUAAUAAUAUAUCUUCAAUAACAACAUUACAGCUACAGUUCAGCAAUGAAUGAUCAUCAAAUGGCUUCUGCAGCACCGACACAGAAUGCCAGUGGACUAGUGGAGUAAUUCCAGGGGAUGCUCUGAUCAUAAAUUCUCGCUGGUGAAUUGAAGAAUUGAGCUUGAGCUAAGAAGGUGAUCUGCAUAUAAUCUUUAACCAUUUUCUGAUGGUACAAAUGUUGCUAUUUAAAAAAAUAAAGAUCAAAUAAACAAAUAUUACUUUACUAAUAUUUUACAUAGCUGCUGCUGUCGAAAACUGGAAACUUGUUGUGUAUUAUAAAAAUAGCAAGGAACUGAACUAAAUAAGCGAGGCAGGUAACUAUUGGAACAAACUGGCAUAUACCUUCUCUUUUCUUAUACUUCUUGCUUGGGGGCAAUAAGUCGUCUCUACCAUAAUAAAGUAAAAAGUAGUCAAAUUACAACUCCCUUGGGUUUCCGUUUGAAUUAGGACAUGUGUGGUGCACCAUACUCUCUUGUCAAAUAUUUUGAAGUUUUGCAUAUUGCAGUUUCACUUUUCAAAGAAACCUCUCUGUCAUUGCUAUAUUAGUAUGCGACUGUUAUUUGGAUUAGUUAUGAUCUGUAUCUAAAAUUAAUGGCACAGAUCUUGAUUUCUAGAACACCAGGUAAUAUUCUCAGAAACAGUGAUAUUCUGUUACAAAGUGAUUGUUGUCGACCAUCUUUACACAUUUUUCUUAUUAUUAAAAAAUAAAUUUUAUAAAAUAGAUUUUUAAAAUAUAGAUACUAUUGAUAUGGUCUUUAUAAUAGAUAUUAGAUAUUAAAAUUUUUAUUUAUAAAAAUUUAUGGAUGAGUUAUUGUAAUAACUGAUUGUCGAGAUCCUAGGUUCCUGGCUAAAUAGGAGUCCAUAUAUUUUGUUAUAAUAUAAUCAAAUAUCAAAACAUUCCUAGGAGGUCUAUAAGUUUAUAACGGUCCGAUAAAGGAAACAUGAAUAAAAUUGAUCAAAAUAUUUUGACCAUUUCAGGUGAUAAUGAUCAUAUAAUUUUCAUAUGACAGAACAAUAAGCCGUAGAGUUUGCUUAGGGGAUUAUGUAGGUUGCAGCAAGAUUUUCAAAAUAAAGCUGAUUUAUCAUUCAUAUAUUUUUUUGGUCCUCUUGGUUUAUGAGUGCUCUUUGUAUCUCUUGCUCUUAGCAUGCAUCCCCUCCCUUUAGUAAAUCAGCUUUGUGCUCAAUUACCUAAUUAUAGAUGAUGUUUCCUAAAUGGAAUAUUUCAAUUAAAUAUAUUAAUUGCUAAGCAACAGCCAAUAUGUUGUGUUGGUUAUUAAAUUAUUGUAGGCAUUUAUUCUUACAGAUGGUUUGGAGAUAAUUUCGAGCAAUCUAUGAGUUUGAAUAAUAUGUCUUAACAGUAUAUAGGGCCAUGAGGAGCUUGGCGCUGCCAGCUUGCGCUUGCGGGAAGAUGAAGAUUUUACGAGAUUUAAAAAUAUUGCAACUAUAGAGCUAGGAAGAUAAGAGAUUGGAAGUUGGUAAUUCUCCCCUUUCCCAUCAGAAUUCAAUGACUCUUUGAAACUGUACUUUCGUGAAUUUUGUCUUAAUUUCAUCAGGCGACCAGAACAACUUCAGAGACAUAUGGUGAGUUGUUGUCGAGUAUUUUGAAGAGUAUCGUUCGCAGGGAAGGAUUGAUAUCAAUACCAAUUUCAAGUCUUUUAUCUCUUAUGAUUCAGAAGUGUGGAGAAGAAUUUGGUGGGAUUUUCUAUCAACUAAUUAAUGUAAUAAGUAAAUAAAUAUAAUAAAUAUGAGAGAAAACAACCCAAGAAUUAGAGUUCUUCAAUCGCUAUCAUGAAUGUCUAAUUUGUGUCUCUUGUUUGCUAAAAACAAUCCUUCUAAUAUUAAUAAACUCCUCUCCCAAGGUAGAUUAUAAUGCUUACAAUUAUCCAUUAAAAGCCACUCCCAUGGUCAAUCAAAGAACACUUGUAAACUAUUAAGAACCAAGGAUUUUAAGUCUCACAAUUCUCAUAUCAAUCUCCCGAUCUAAUACUCAAAUUGUGUCCAUCAUAUCAUGUACUAGAAUUAUAACUCCUCUCCCGAUUCGUUAUAACUCCUAGAGAUUCAAUCACAAGUUAGCUACUCCUGUAAUUGUAUAAAGAGCUCAAUGACAGAUUAACAAAUCAAGAGAAAACACAAUCCAACUAAACAAACAUAUUAAGCCAAAGAAUACUACCUAACUCUUGGAUCAAAGGAUUAGCUACUCAUGAUAAGAUGAAACAAAUAUAUAUUUAUACCACAAACCAUGAGCGUAAGAAUUUAAAUACGAAGAAUACAACUUGACGAAAGAGCUUGAAGUCCGGAUGAAUCCCUUCACUCCUUCUUCCAAUAUCUCUCACAAGUGCUUCUCUCCCUUUUCUCUCUAAAAAAGCUAUCUCUAUAUUAUUCUAUAUGAUACAAAGUUAGUUGUCUCUAAUCUCUAUCAAAACCCUAAUAUAUAUAAGAGUUUUCUUAAUUUACAAGAAAAUAAAAUAAUAUCCUAAAACUAGUUGGAUUCUGAUGCUGAAAUUCGUAGGCUUCUGUUCAGGCCUGAUUCUGGGCUGAUCCAGUUGGAUUUUGACAUCUGGACCACCUUAAACUUGUAGAAAAUUCCUAUAUCUUCGCGUGGGCUGUUGAAUCGCCCAAUUCUGACAUCCAGAACUCAAGUUACGGCCCAAACAAGAUUUGCUUCGCUGGCUAUAUAUAAAGUCCGAAUUUCCAUCUAAUUAAGCCCAAAUAAGCUUGAUUUAAUCCAACUUUAGGAAUAUUUAUUUUCCUGCCACUAAACACUUAAAAUCAAUUAGUAAUAACCCGAUUAUUUACAAAAUACUAAAAUUAUGGGAAUAAAAUCAUAUAAAAACAUAUAUAAAUAUAUGCUCUAUCAUGAGUUUUGUGUCCUGCUUCUCAUUUCACAUACAUUGCCUUUUAAGAAGGGUGUUCUUAUAUAAUUUUGGAAGUGCUAUUGCUAAUUUGUUUCAGGUAAUAGCUGCACCGCAUAUAUAAAAUAUACAAAAAAUGUUUUUCCCGGCCUUCUUAAAAGUUUGAAUAAUAUUCCCCCUGUCUUGUGAUUGCAAACAAUAAUUGUUUUUGUAUCCAAGUACUUAAGCUUUUCCAUUAACUUUUUGGAUUUUGAACCAUGAUUGCCAAUGAGCAUUGAUAAUAUAGCCUAGGCCUCGGUCAUUUGAAUUUUUUGGAUAUUGUCUAAAGGCUUUCAAUGUAGUGAUUCUGUGACAACGUUGGACAAUAAUGUGUACAAGCUGGAUUCAGCAGAUUUCUAACAUGUGUUGAUUAUUACUAAUUAUGGAUUUACUGGUAUAGCAAGAAAUUACAGGCCCGAGGUCUUAAAGUUUGGGUGUCAUCACUUUUCUGGUCUACUUGCAAUCUUUUCUUCUUACUACCUCUUCUAGCAGUGUGUAGUUCCACUUUGCUAUUAAAUGAGCAAGUUAAUGACUGUUUAGGGGAUUGAGAUCUGACAAGUCUUGCUACUUUUGAUGGGUUUGAUAGGUUUGAUGAGUGCUUAAGUGAUAUUAAUCACCAAACUUAUGUAUAUGCAUUUUGAUGUGUUGAUUAUUUAGCAUAGUUGCUGCAUAACAAAUAUUAGUUAAAGGAUGAGAUCUUCUAAAAGAAGUCAGAAAUGUAAAAGCCAAUGUCAAAGUGGAUUUGAUCAAAAAGAGAUUCGCAUGCUGAUUAUUACUUUUUUGUGCAGAAAAAAUGUGAUCUCAAACAUCCCCUGGCAAUGAGAUAUAUCGCAGGGCACAUUGUCAAUGUUUUAGAUAUGUUUACAUGUUUAGCUGAUCUGCAAAUUCCUUUACGUCUUGGUUUCUGUCUCAUGUGAUUAUAUUCUCAGCGUUUGGAACUUGGAAUUGCAUAGCUUACCGCCAACACAAUUAUACAACUUCUUUUACUCAGUGAAUGAUGCUACACUUGAGACUUUCAUUAUGAUAUUUAUCUUGAGACACAUGUUCCCCAGUUUUAUAACUGGUAUAUUUGGCCUUGCUUUGUAUUUUUAAAUAUUACUGUUCAAUGGACUUAUACUAAACCCUUGCUUAUAAACAAGUACUCUUCAUCUGUUUGUUUGUUUAACUAUAUGACAUUUUACAUGUUUUUAUAGGUAGAUGGGAAAAAGAAUAAGGUUUAUGGGCAGAAUCUUUGUUAUCUGGAAAAAUUGUUUCUUGAUUACAAAACACUAUAUUAUAACGUCGAUUCACAAUAACUUAAUUGAUCAGCGCUCGGAGUCUCCUUUCUAAUCAAGGCUGUGGAGUGUGGAGGCCUAGGGCCUGAGCAUAUAAGGAUAUUCACAAUAAUUUUUUUUUUUUAUGAAUUUAUUUUCAUAGAUAUUUGUGUGUAGUUCCUUAAAUUGGGAAUACGGCUCGAGAGGAUAAGGGAUUGUUUGGUUGUUUAGUGUGAUUGGUAUUUUACUAGAUCAGAGAGUUUAUUACCACAAGCAUCCUAUGCAUUAACACUUGUCAGCAGCUGAAUUCCUGACAUAACACAUGAAUUCAGAAGACAUGACACAUGAAUUCAGUAUUUGGAAUUUGAUUGAAAUUCUGAAUGAUUUAUUGUUUACCAGAGGUUAUAACCACUACUUGUAUAUGGUAUCGGGUGUGUCCAUCUCCGGAAGAUCUAAUUGGCGUUAUAUGUUAAAUUUUCAAUAAAUAUCUCCGGAAGAUCUAAUUGGCGUUAUAUGUUAAAUUUUCAAUAAAUAUCUCCGGAAGAUCUAAUUGGCGUUAUAUGUUAAAUUUUCAAUAAAUAUCUGGAUGUGUAUUUUUGAUUAUCGAAAGAGUUCCCAUAUUAUUAUGUCGUUUUAUUUUCCUUCACUUUUGGCAGCCCCAAGUGAAAGUGAUGACUAUUGGUACUUGAGUUUUUUUGGCUGAAAUCACUAAUAUAAUUGUUACACUACAACAAAACUGGCAUCAGACAACACUAGUCACACAACGGACGCUGGAAAAAGUGUUGGCCGAAACAAAGACACAACACUUUAUUUUCGUCCUCGAAAAACUAUUGUCUAACACCUACGACCUACAACGGUUAAAAAACUGUUGUCUAAUAAAUUUAAUCAGACAACGGUCUCUUAACUGUGGUAUUGUGUAAUGAUGCACGUUAGACAACUGUUUUUAGAGCCGAUGUGUGAAGAAACUUCAGACAAUAUUCCGAGAAACCGUUGUUGUAAUGAGACAAGUGUUUUAUUUGUUGUGUUGUUUACGAAAAGAUCAGACAAGGGUUCCAUAGAGUGUUGUGUGACUGGGAAGCUAACAUACAAGUGUUUUUGUUAGCAUCGUAUCAUGGCCUUAUAGACAAGCCUUUAGCUAGUAAAACGUUGUCUGACUGAAUGACUUAUAAGAAAAUAAAUGUACAUAAAAGAGUGCAAACAUUCAAAAGUCCUAACCAAAGUUACAAAUAUAUAUUCAUUUUCUUAGUAGUCAUAGGCUUUUCUAGCAUUAGAUCAAGUAUUGAUCAAGGAAAUGCGAAUUUUUAACUCAUAAAAAUGAAAGUUUAUUAUACAACGGUUUUCUUCCCAUAAAUCGUUGUGUCAUUUUCAAUGAUACAACUUAGAUGCUUAUAAAAACCGUUGUGUGUUAGACACUACGGGACAAAAAAUACCUUUUUAUAAUAAGACAAAAUUUACAAUUAACAAGUAAUGUUAAAAAAACAUACAAAAUGAAUAUAAAAAAUUUAGAUUUUUUUUAUACAUGACUAAUAUUGUUAGUUCUCGACAUCCGUACGGUUAGAUCAUCGAAAAAAAUAUUUAAAAAUUAAUAUUAUGCUCAUCUUAUACAUAACAAAGAUUNNNNNNNNNNNNNNNNNNNNNNNNNNNNNNNNNNNNNNNNNNNNNNNNNNNNNNNNNNNNNNNNNNNNNNNNNNNNNNNNNNNNNNNNNNNNNNNNNNNNNNNNNNNNNNNNNNNNNNNNNNNNNNNNNNNNNNNNNNNNNNNNNNNNNNNNNNNNNNNNNNNNNNNNNNNNNNNNNNNNNNNNNNNNNNNNNNNNNNNNNNNNNNNNNNNNNNNNNNNNNNNNNNNNNNNNNNNNNNNNNNNNNNNNNNNNNNNNNNNNNNNNNNNNNNNNNNNNNNNNNNNNNNNNNNNNNNNNNNNNNNNNNNNNNNNNNNNNNNNNNNNNNNNNNNNNNNNNNNNNNNNNNNNNNNNNNNNNNNNNNNNNNNNNNNNNNNNNNNNNNNNNNNNNNNNNNNNNNNNNNNNNNNNNNNNNNNNNNNNNNNNNNNNNNNNNNNNNNNNNNNNNNNNNNNNNNNNNNNNNNNNNNNNNNNNNNNNNNNNNNNNNNNNNNNNNNNNNNNNNNNNNNNNNNNNNNNNNNNNNNNNNNNNNNNNNNNNNNNNNNNNNNNNNNNNNNNNNNNNNNNNNNNNNNNNNNNNNNNNNNNNNNNNNNNNNNNNNNNNNNNNNNNNNNNNNNNNNNNNNNNNNNNNNNNNNNNNNNNNNNNNNNNNNNNNNNNNNNNNNNNNNNNNNNNNNNNNNNNNNNNNNNNNNNNNNNNNNNNNNNNNNNNNNNNNNNNNNNNNNNNNNNNNNNNNNNNNNNNNNNNNNNNNNNNNNNNNNNNNNNNNNNNNNNNNNNNNNNNNNNNNNNNNNNNNNNNNNNNNNNNNNNNNNNNNNNNNNNNNNNNNNNNNNNNNNNNNNNNNNNNNNNNNNNNNNNNNNNNNNNNNNNNNNNNNNNNNNNNNNNNNNNNNNUUUUUUUAUACGUGACUAAUAUUGUUAGUUCUUGACAUCCGUACGGUUAGAUCAUUGAAAUAAAUAUUUAUGAAUUAAUACACAACUAAUUGAAUACAUAACAAAGAUUAUAUCUACUACUUUUUAAAUUGUAAACAUAAAACACAUACUAAUACAUGCGUCCGAAGUACAAAAUUGUCUCGGUUUUACACAUGAACAAUACAUAUUUGCAUAUAUACAUAACAUAAAUAUAUUUUUUUAAUACAAAGAGUGCAAAAACAAGAAUUAAUCAAGGAAAUGCGAAUUUUUAACUCAUAAAAAUUACCUUUUUAUAAUAAGAAAAAUUUUANACGAUUGACUAGUGUUGUUAAAAACCGUUGUCUGAUGCUGUUUUUGUUGUAGUGUUAUAUUAAAUUCUUGUGCUAAAACUUGUAUGGUUUGCCCCGCCCGCGGCUUCAAACAGCCAACAAGGUAAGCUAUUAUACUCAGGGGACCGAAAAAGGUAACAAAUGCAUAAACGAUUAGCUUUUCUUCUUUGCUGCAUAGUUUUUUUUUUUUUGUCAGGUUCUUUGCUGCAUAGUUAAUAACAAAUAACAUGAUCUCAAAAAAAAAAAAGAGGCGCGUACUAUGAAUGUAAAAAUAACAAUUUCAAUACUCUUUUUCACUAUAGAAAAACAAAAUUAUUGUGCUAGAUCUUUGCCCGUGCCUUGCACGGGCUUUAAAGCUAGUUUUUUAUUAAUAUGUGAAACUCCAAUAUAUAUUAUUAUACGAUAUAUUAUGAAAACACUAUGUUUUGUAAUGUUCAUCUUAUCCUACCAGAAAAAUUACAUCGCUAACAAAAUUAUAUCAAUUUUAUUUUAUAAACUCAAAUAAUUUAAUUUAUGAAACAACUCUAUGAGAUUCUUAUCAUGAGUUAGAAUUCAAAUAAAUAAAGAGUUCAUAUUGAUAAGUGGAAUUGAUGUGCAAGUAAGGGGUAUAAAAAAAUCUCAAAAUAACUCCAAAAAGCACAUGACAUGUUUGAUUUGAUAGAACUGGUACAUAAACAGGGGGACCAUUAUAUUUAUAAGCAAGUGACCAACAAUAGUUUACUACUGAUAUUUUGUGAUAUUUUUUGUGAUAUUUUUUGAGACCUUUAACAUUAUUCUGUGAAGUGGUAUACUACUGUUACUAGUUCUGAAACUUCAAACAAAGUAGGCGCAACAUUGUAAGAGUGAUUAAUAAAGUUGAGAAACAGUGUGUACAUUGAGCAGUAUGACAAUCAGGUUCAGCAUAUAAUACAAUCAGAUUCACAAUCAGGUUCACGAGAAACAUGCUGCAUUCCAAAAAGCCUUAUUAUCUUCUUCACUAAAUAACAAGGCAAAUACAGCAUAUAAAUACAAGUUAUAAGUACAAGUGUGGUAUUAGAUUCAUAACCCAGUUGAGGAGAAACAUGGCACACUUUGUAAGGCCUUCUCACCUUCUUCUCUUUGUUUUCUUUCUCUCAUCACUCGAAUCCAUUCUUGCAACAAGACAAGAGGGGGAAGCUCUUGUGAAGUGGAAGAAUAGCCUAGCCCCUUCUUCUUUUCUCCACUCUUGGUCACUCACCAAUCUCGAAAAUCUUUGUAAAUGGACUGGCAUUACUUGUAACUCUGCAGGUUCAGUCUCUGAGAUUAACCUUUGUGAGAAACAACUUGAUGGAAUGCUGUCCGAGUUCGGUUUCACUUCAUUUCCAAAUCUCAAGAAUCUCACCCUGGCAGACAACUUCUUCUCAGGUCCAAUACCACCAGCCAUUGAGAAUUUAACACAGCUUCAAUAUCUUGAUUUAAGCAUGAAUAGUCUUAAUGGUCCCAUUCCGUUCCAGGUUAGCCAUCUUCAGAGCUUGCUCAUCUUGAACCUGUCACAGAAUGCAUUGCAAGCUCCAAAUUGGUCCCAUUUCUCUCCCAUGCCUUUCUUGCGCAUCCUCGACCUUAGUUUUAAUAAUCUUGUGUCGAAAUUCCCAGAAUUUAUAUCCAAUUCUCAUAGCCUGACUCACCUUAACCUUUCAAAUAACAAGUUUACUGGUCAUCUUGUGCAUAAAUUUACCAAUCUACAAAAUCUUGAAACCCUCUACCUUCAGAUCAAUUCUUUUGAGGGGCCGUUUCCACCAGAUAUAGUCCAGCUUUCCAAAUUAAAACGACUCUCCCUGUCAUGUAACAAAUUUUCAGGUUCAAUUCCCAAUGACGUAAGGUUGCUUUUUGGUCUUGAAUCCCUAAAUUUAGGCAACAAUUCCUUUGAAGGACCGCUUCCACCAGAUAUAUUCAAGCUUUCAAAGUUAAAACGACUUGUUCUUUGGAGUAAUAAGUUUUCAGGUUCUGUUUCCAAUGAUAUAGGUUUGCUUUCUGAGCUUGAAACCCUCCAUCUUUACUCUAAUUUUUUUGAGGGGCCACUUCCGCCAAAUUUAUUCAAGCUCUCCAAACUAAAAGAUCUCACCCUGUCAAGUAACAAAUUUUCAGGUUCAAUUCACAAUGAUAUAAGGUUACUUUGUGAUCUUGAAGACCUAUAUUUAGCUAACAAUUCCUUUGAAGGACCGCUUCCACCAGAUAUAUUCAAGCUUUCAAGAUUAAAACGUCUUUUUCUUUAGAGUAAUAAGUUUUCAGGUUCUGUUUCCAAUGAUAUAGGUUUGCUUUCUGAGCUUGAAAGCCUCGAUCUUAACUCCAAUUUUUUUGAGGGGCCGCUUCCGCCAAAUGUAUUCAAGCUCUCCAAACUAAAGAUUCUUUCCCUUUAUGAGAAUAACUUUUCAGGUUUUAUUUCUAAGGAUAUAGGUUUGCUUUCUGGACUUGAAACCCUCUAUCUUGACUCUAAUUUUUUUGAGGGUCCGCUUCCCCCACAUAUAUUUAGGCUGUCCAAAUUAAGAGAUCUGGACCUCUCAUACAGUAGAAAUUUAUUUGAAGGAAGUAUUCCUAUUGGACUGGGACUCUUGACUAACCUCAGGUACUUAGAUCUAUAUUCCAAUAAUCUCAGUGGCUAUAUUCCAUCUGACAUUGGAAACCUGAAGCUACUAGAAGGUCUUAUUCUCGGUUCUAAUAAAUUGACUGGACCAGUUUCAAAGAUCAUUUCUAAUCUCACAAAUCUUAUAUAUCUUGAUGUAAGUGAUAAUAGUCUUAGUGGAAAUAUUCAGAGUGACUUGUGGAAAUAUAACGAUCAUCCAACUUUGGAAUACAUCAAUUUAAGUGGGAACCAUUUUACGGGUAUAGUUUUUCUCUAUAGAUCUUUUCCUUUUCUCAUAUGUAACUAAGCUGGUAAUCUGAUUAUUGCAGUUUUACCAAAGUUUCAACAAUCUUGACAGGUGAGCUUCCAACAACAAUUUGCAAUGUCACUUCCCUUUCGGUUCUUGAUUUGUCAAAUAAUGCGUUAAGUGGUGCACUUCCAAACUGUUUCGGGAAUCUUGCUGAUGGAUUGCUUUACAUUAAUCUUGCUAAUAAUCAGUUUCGAGGAACAAUACCAACUACUUUCUCCAGGAGUUGUCAGCUGACAUAUCUAAACAUGGAUAAUAAUGAGUUUGAAGGAUUGGUGCCCCCAUCUUUGGCGAACUGCAAGCACUUGAAAAUUCUUGAUAUUGGCAAUAAUAAAAUAGGUGGUACAUUCCCGUCAUGGCUUUAUGUACUUGGAGAGCUAGAAGUCCUUGUCUUGCGAUCAAAUAAACUCUAUGGUACAAUAAGUGGAAGGAGCAUAGAAGAUCCCUUCCCCAAGUUGCGGAUUGUGGAUCUGUCCGAUAAUCAAUUCACAGGCCAUUUGCCAAUUCAAUACUUUAAGAAUAUGAAAUCAACUGAUAAUAUGUAUAAUUAUCUGAAUUCCACAGGAGGAAUAUAUUUCACUUAUGAAGCAGCAGUCUCAUUAACUGUGAAGGGAACAGAGUAUGAAGUGACAAAUAACCUUCAUAUUUACACAGCUAUUGAUCUGUCGUGCAACAAAUUUCAGGGUGAAAUUCCAAAAAUUAUUGGAGAGCUUAGAUGGCUUGCAUUGCUCAAUUUAUCGCAUAAUAGUCUGACAGGACAUAUCCCAUCAUUUCUGAGAAAUAUGAAAGAACUCCAAUCUUUAGAUUUGUCCUCAAAUCAACUGACAGGGGCCAUUCCACCUCAGUUAACUGCAUUGACAUUUCUAAAGGUCUUAAAUCUCUCGAAAAACCAUCUCAGUGGAGAGAUUCCUCAGGAAGGACAGUUCAGCACAUUCAACAAUGAUUCUUAUCUAGGAAACUCCGCGUUAUGUGGAUUACGUCUGACAAAGAAAUGUGCAAACACAGCAGGGAUUCCUCAGAAAGGACAGUUCAGCACAUUCAACAAUGAUUCUUAUAUAGGAAACUCCGCGUUAUGUGGAUCACCUUUGACGAAGAGAUGUGCAAACACAGCAUCACCUCCACAACAAGUCGGAAAUGGUGAUGAAGAUGAUGCGGGAGAUGAAUUGAGAUGGGAAGCAAUCGUGAUGGGAUAUGGAUGUGGACUGAUAUGUGGAUUGUCAUCUGCGUACAUUGUUCUCAAACUAGGAAGGCCUUGGUGGGUUGUGAGAUAUGUCGAAGUACUGCAACUGAAGUUGAUGAAAAGAUAUGCUUGAAGAAUGGAACUGGCCGAUCAAAACGAACUCGAAAGCAGUUGUCCUUGUGGACAUUUCUGAACCAGUAGUGUACUAGCUGCAUAAGUAUUUGGUAUUAUGUAAUAAUCCACAUAUUCAAUAUCACACUCUUCCUGUGAGGAAACAAAUAUGGAGAAACAUUUCUAUUUACAAAACUUUUACCAUUAUACACUCUUAUAGUACUGGUUAAUAGUUUGUUGUUCAGCCUAGUCCUAAACUGAAAUUAUCAGUUCUAUGUGAGUAUGCUUUCAAAUAAGAAUUAGGUGAUCUGCCUAGUCCAAAACUACUCUAAUACUAUAUCGCUGGUAGUCUUUCAGUUCAUCCUAUUGUAUACAAUAGUUUCUUCCUUUGACACAAAAAUGUCUGCAGUCAGUGUCACCACCACAGGAAGUCGAAAAUGGUGAUGAAGAUUGAUUUGCGGAUUGUCUUAUGGGUACAUUUUUUUCAAAAAAGGAAGGCCUUGGUGGUUUGUGAGAUACAUCGAAGUGCUGCAACUUAAGUUGAUGUUACCAAGAAUGAAAAAUAUUGUUCGACCAAGAUCAACAACUUGAAAAUGUGUUCUGAAUCUGUAAUAAUAUUAAAAUAUUAAAAUAUUAUUCAUUUAACAAUAUCGUCCAAUCAAUUUAAUUGAUUAUCAUUUAAUCAAUAUAUAUAGAUGGAUAUUAAUUGUCUUCCCUAGCUCCAACCAAUGAUGAAAUAACCUCCCUAUAAAUCUAUUGAGUCAAAAUUGCAAACAACACUUUCAAAACAUAGGUGCCGAAUAGUCCUUAUUUUAAAUUAAUCAGAAUUGAAUAUUUGAUGGCGCUAAAAAAAUCUGUUGAAAUUAGCAGUUUAUAAGGCAUAUAAAUAGAAGUGUGCGUUACUUUAAGGAUUCAUGAUCAAGUUGAGGAGAAAUAUGCACAGUAUAUAAAGCCUCAUCAUCUUUUUCUCUUUGUUUUCUUUCUCUCAUUACUCCCAUCCAUUCUUACAACACUAGCUGAAACAAGACGAGAGGGAGAAGCUCUUGUGAAAUGGAAGAAUAGCCUAGCCCCUUCUUCUUUUCUCGACUCUUGGUCCCUCACCAAUCUCGAUAAUCUUUGUAACUGGACUGGCAUUACUUGUAACUCUGCAGGUUCAGUCUCUAAGAUUAACCUUUUUGAGAAACAACUUGAUGGAAUGUUGUCCGAGUUUGGUUUCACCUCAUUUCCACAUCUCAACAAUCUCACCCUUGCAGACAACUACUUCUCGGGUCCGAUACCACCAGCCAUUGAGAAUUUAACACAGCUUCAAUUUCUUGAUUUGAGCAAUAAUUAUCUAGAUGGUCCCAUUCCUUUCCAGGUUAGCAAUCUUCAGAGGUUGCUCAUCUUAAACCUGUCACAGAAUGCAUUGCAAGCUCCAAAUUGGUCCCAUUUCUCUCCCAUGCCUUUUUUGCGCAUCCUCAACCUCAGUAGCAAUCCUCUAGCGUCGAAAUUCCCAAAUUUCAUAUCCAAUUCUCAUGGCCUGACUCACCUUAGCCUUAAUUAUAACGAGUUUACUGGUGAUUUAGUACGUGAAUCAAUAUUUGCCAAUCUGCAUAAUCUUGAAGUCCUCGGUCUUGUUGACAAUUCUUUUGAGGGGCCAUUUCCCCCGGAUAUAUUCAGGCUCUCCAAAUUAAAACGUCUCUCCCUGUCAGGUAACAAAUUUUCAGGUUCAGUUCCCAAUGACAUAAGGUUGCUUUGUGAUCUUCAAUCUCUAUAUUUAGCUAACAAUUCCUUUGAAGGACCGCUUCCACCAAAUAUAUUCAAGCUUGCAAAAUUAAAAGAUCUUGCUCUUUGGGGUAAUAAGUUUUCAGGUUCUGUUUCCAAUGAUAUAGGUUUGCUUUCUGUGCUUGAAAUUCUCAAUAUUCACUCUAAUUUUUUUGAGGGGCCCCUUCCGCCAAAUAUAUUCAAGCUCUCCAAAAUAAGGUUUCUUUACCUCGGGGGUAAUAACUUUUCUGGUUCCGUUUCCAAUGAGAUAGGUUUGCUUUCUGAGCUUGAAUCCCUAUAUCUUGGUUCUAAUGUUUUUGAGGGGCCGCUUCCACCAAAUAUAUUCAAGCUUUCCAAAUUAAAAUGGCUUGACCUCGCAGACAAUAGAAAUUUAUUUGAAGGAAGUAUUCCUAUUGGACUGGGACUCUUGACUAACCUCAGCUACUUAGAUCUAAGUUCCAGUAAUCUCAGUGGCUAUAUUCCAUCUGUCAUUGCAAACCUGAAGCUACUAGUAUUUCUUGAUCUCAGUUCUAAUCAAUUGACUGGACCACUUUCGAAGAUCGUUUCUAAUCUCACAAAUCUUAUACUUCUUGGUGUGGAUUAUAAUAGUCUUAGUGGAAAUAUUCAGAGUGAUUUGUGGAAGAACUCUAUAUCCUUACGUUACAUUGAUUUUGAAAAUAAUUAUUUUUCUGGAAACAUUCCUGAGGAAUAUAACGAUCAUCCAACUUUGGAAUACAUCAAUUUAAGUGGGAACUAUUUUACAGGUAUAUUUUCUUAAUAUAUCUUUUCCUUUUGUCAUAUAUAUGUAACUAAGCUAGUAAUCUGAUUAUUGCAGUUUUACCAAAGUUUCAACAAUCUUGACAGGUGAGCUUCCAACAACAAUUUGCAAUGUCACCUCCCUUUCGGUUCUUGUUUUGUCAAAUAAUAAAUUAAGUGGUGCACUUCCAAACUGUUUCGGGAAUCUUGCUGAUGGAUUGCUUUACAUUAAUCUUGCUAAUAAUCAGUUUCAAGGAACAAUACCAACUACUUUCUCCAGGAGUUGUCAGUUGACAUAUCUAAACAUGGUUAAUAAUGAGUUUGAAGGAUUGAUGCCCCCAUCUUUAGCGAACUGUAAGCACUUGAAAAUUCUUGAUAUAGGCAAUAAUAAAAUAGGUGGUACAUUUCCGUCAUGGCUUUAUGCACUUGGAGAGCUAGAAGUUCUUGUCUUGCGAUCAAAUAAACUCUAUGGUACAAUAAGUGGAAGGAGCAUAGAAGAUCCCUUCCCCAAGUUGCGGAUUGUGGAUCUGUCCAACAAUCAAUUCACAGGCCAUUUGCCAAUUCAAUACUUUAAGAAUAUGAAAUCAAAUGAUAAUUUGUAUCGUUAUCUGAAUUCCACAGGAGAAAUAUAUAUCUCUUAUGAAGCAGCAGUCUCAUUAACUGUGAAGGGAACAGAGUAUGAAGUAGCAAAGAACCUUCAUAUUUACACAGCCAUUGAUCUGUCGUGCAACAAAUUUCAGGGAGAAAUUCCAAAGGUUACCGGAGAGCUUAGAUGGCUUGCAUUGCUCAAUUUAUCUCAUAAUAGUCUAACAGGACCUAUCCCAUCAUUGCUGGGAAAUAUGAAAGAACUCCAAUCUUUAGAUUUGUCCUCAAAUCAACUGACAGGGGCUAUUCCACCUCAGCUAACUGCAUUGACAUUUCUAGAGGUCUUGAACCUCUCGGGAAACCAUCUUAGUGGAGAGAUUCCUCAGAAAGGACAGUUCAGCACAUUCAACAAUGAUUCUUAUCUAGGAAACUCCGCGUUAUGUGGAUCACCUUUGACGAAGAAAUGUGGAAACACUGUAUCACCUCCACAGGAAGUCGGAAAUGGUGAUGAAGAUGAUGCGGGUGAUGAAUGGACAUGGGAAGCAAUCGUGAUGGGAUAUGGAUGUGGACUGAUAUGUGGAUUGUCAUCUGCGUACAUUGUUCUCAAACUAGGAAAGCCUUGGUGGUUUGUGAGAUAUAUCGAAGUACUGCAACAGAAGUUGAUGAAAAGAUAUGCAUGAAGAAAGGUACUGGUAGAUCAAGAUGAAAAGAUAUGAAGAAGUAUUUGGUAUUAUGUAAUAAUCCGUUUGGUCGGGACUCAAAAUGAUUUCUCUUGCUUCAGGGGUAUUAAUAUUAACCUUGCUAUCUUGUUCAAUGUUAAUGCAAAUUAAAAAGAAUAUAAAAGCAAAAAAUUUGCAUCAAACACCUGUUGUACCAACAUGCAUCCAUUAAUUUGCUUUCAUCUAUUAAGUAACAAUUUAAGAGCGCUUCCACUCUGUUUAAGCAUGGAGAUUACACAAAGAAGGCAAGUCCAUGGAUUAACACGUAGUCCACAUCUAUGCUACGAACAAUUCACAUUGAUCUUAUAUCUGUUCAACAGUCUCCCGAAGAUAGGCCAUAAAUGUCAUCUGUGGCUCUUAUGUUUGUCAGUAAAGGAGAAUCUCUGAUGCCUAUAACCUGGUUUUCUUACAAGAUGCCCAGGUUAUCAUGGCCAUGCAGAAAAAUGCCCAAAAAUGAAUAGCUCAGGUCUCCCCAAGCCUUCCAGGACUCAUUCCAAGUCUUCGGAGGACCACUGCCUCCCCCUUUCAAAGAUGUGAUUGUAGCUCGAAAGUGAUAUAAAUUAUUUUCCCCACAUUAAAAAUAAAAAAUCAGAUUAAAUUAAUCAAUAAUAAAUUAAGGAUGAAAUCCAAAUUAAUCCUAAAUUUUGAUAAUAUAUAAAAAUUAUAAUUAUAAAUUAUAUAACCAAAUCAGAAUUGAAUUAACUUACUUGGCACUAGAAUUGCUAAAGACAGUAUAAUAAUUUAAUUGAUGAAAAGUCAAAGUCUUCUAAUAAAUCCAUAAAGAAUAUGAUAAUAUGAAAAUUAUAAUUGAAAAAUCAAAAUCAAUAGUGUAUUGGAAUAGUGUUCACACACUUAUAUAUCAAAAUUUGUGGUCCAAAAACUAUAGCACAAUAUCCUAAAUACAUCACAUUAAAUAAUAGCACAAAAAUAUUCAAUAAAUAAUUGAUUUCAUUCAUAAAUUUGUUAUUUUAAAAACUAAUAAUUUGGUUGAUGUUAACCUAUAUUUUAUAUAUAAUUUCGUCUUAUUUUAUUUUACUAGAAACAAUAUUUUUAUAAUAUUUAUUACAUUAAAUAUAUUAAAAGAUAUAAUUUUAUUAAAAAAAUUGAAUAAAAUUAAAAGGAUAAGUCUCGGCCUCUCCAAGUCUACAAGACUCAUUUCAAGUCCACCGAGGGCCUCAACCAUUGAGAGAUGUGAAAGUAGCUUGAGAGUGAUAUAAAUUAAUUAAAUUAGUUAAUAAUGAAUCAAGACUAAUCAUGAAUUAUGAUAAUAAUUAAAUAAAUUAUAAAAUUAAAUUAUACAAAUAACACUAAACCUUAGUUACUUUAUUGGUAAAAUAAAUAUAAUAUAAUAAUUAAAUUGAUGAAAAAUCAAAAUCAUCUAAUAAAUUCACAAAAAAUAUAUGAUCAUUAGUAUAUUAUAUUAGUAUCCACACACUUAUAUUUCAAAUCUAUCCUCCAAAAUUAUCAUCUCGAUAAACUAGCCGCAUAAAAUAAAAAUUUAACGAUAUUAGAUAUUUAGCUAUUUUCAUUAUAUAAUUUUUCCACACUAAAUAACAAAAUAUCUUUAUCAAAUUAUUAUUUAUGAAUUAAAUAUUCAAGUUAUAAUUCCAGCAUGCAGCGUAUAAAUAGAAGUGUGCAGUAUGAUAUCAGAUUCAUAACCCAGUUGAGGAGAAACAUGGCACACUCUGUAAAGCCUUCUCACCUUCUUCUCUUUGUUUUCUAUCUCUCUUAACUUGAAUACAUUCUUGCAACAACACAAGAGGGAGAAGCUCUUGUGAAAUGGAAGAAUAGCCUAGCCCCUUCUUCUUUUCUCGACUCUUGGUCACUCACCAAUCUCGAUGAUCUUUGUAACUGGACUGGCAUCACUUGUAACUCUGCAGGUUCAGUCUCUCAGAUCAACCUUUUCGAAAAACAACUUGAUGGAAUGCUGUCCGAGUUUGGUUUCACUUCAUUUCCGAAUCUCAACAAUCUCACCCUCGCAUACAACUUCUUCUCGGGUCCGAUACCACCGGCCAUUGAGAAUUUAACACAGCUUCGGUAUCUUGAUUUAAGCUUUAAUUCUCUCCAUGGUCCCAUUCCGUUCCAGGUUAGCCAUCUUCAGAGCUUGCUCAUCUUAAACCUGUCACAGAAUGCAUUGCAAGCUCCAAAUUGGUCCCAUUUCUCUCCCAUGCCUUUUUUGCGCAUCCUCAACCUCAUUAGCAAUCCUCUUGCGUCGAAAUUCCCAAAUUUUAUAUCCAACUCUCAUAGCCUGACUCACCUUAGCCUUAAUUUUAAUGAGUUUACUGGUGAUUUAGUACGUGAAUCAGUAUUUGCCAAUCUGCAUAAUCUUGAAUUGCUCAGUCUCGUUGAAAAUUCUUUUGAGGGGCCAUUUCCGCCGGAUAUAUUCAGGCUUUCCAAAUUAAAACAUCUUCACCUGUCAAGUAACAAAUUUUCAGGUUCAAUUUCCAAUGACAUAAGGUUGCUUUGUGAUCUUGAAUCCCUAUAUUUAGGCAACAAUUCCUUCGAAGGACCCCUUCCAUCAAAUAUAUUCAAGCUUUCAAAAUUAAAAAAUCUUGUUAUUGGGAGUAAUAAGUUUUCGGGUUCUGUUUCCAACGAUAUAGGUUUGCUUUCUGAGCUUGAAAGCCUCUAUCUUGACUCCAAUUUUUUUGAGGGGCCGCUUCCGUCAAAUAUAUUCAAGCUCUCCAAAUUAAGGAUUCUUUCCCUUUGGCAUAAUAACUUUUCAGGUUCUAUUUCUAAGGAUAUAGGUUUGCUUUCUGGACUUGAAACCCUCUUUCUUGACUCUAAUUUUUUUGAGGGUCCGCUUCCCCCGCAUAUAUUUAGGCUCUCCAAAUUAAGAGAUCUGGGUCUCUCAGACAAUAGAAAUUUAUUUGAAGGGAGUAUUCCUAUUGGACUGGGACUCUUGACUAACCUCAGGUACUUAGAUCUAUAUUCCAAUAAUCUCGGUGGUUAUAUUCCAUCUGACAUUGGAAACCUGAAGCUACUAGAAGUUCUUGAUCUCAGUUCUAAUCAAUUGACUGGACCGCUUUUAAAGAUUGUUUCUAAUCUCACAAAUCUUAUGUUUCUUGAUGUAAGACAAAAUAGUCUUAGUGGAAAUAUUCAGAGUGACUUGUGGAAAUAUAACGAUCAUCCAACUUUGGAAUUCAUCAAUUUAAGUGGGAACCAUUUUACGGGUAUAGUUUUUCUCUAUAAAUCUUUUCUUUUGUCAUAUGUAACUAAGCUAGUAAUCUGAUUAAUUGCAGUUUUACCAAAGUUUCAACAAUCUUGACAGGUGAGCUUCCAACAACAAUUUGCAAUGUCACUUCCCUUUCAAUUCUUGAUUUGUCAAAUAAUGGAUUAAGUGGUGCACUUCCAAACUGUUUCGGGAAUCUUGCAGAUAGAUUGCUUUUCAUUAAUCUUGCUAAUAAUCAGUUUCGAGGAACAAUACCAACUACUUUAUCCAAAAGUUGUCAGCUGACAUGUCUAAACAUGGAUAAUAAUGAGUUUGAAGGAUUGUUACCCCCAUCUUUGGCGAACUGUAAGCACUUGAGAAUUCUUGAUAUUGGCAACAAUAAAAUAGGUGGCACAUUUCCGUCAUUGCUUUAUGUACUUGGAGAGCUAGAAGUCCUUGUCUUGCGAUCAAAUAAACUCUGCGGUACAAUAAGUGCAAGGAGCAUAGAAGAUCCCUUCCCCAAGUUGCGGAUUGUGGAUCUGUCCAACAAUCAGUUCACAGGCCAUUUGCCAAUUCAAUACUUCAAGAAUAUGAAAUCAACUGAUAAUUUGUAUUGGUAUCGUAUUUCCACAGGAGAAUUAUUUUUCCAAUAUGAAGCAGCAGUCUCAUUAACUGUGAAGGGAAGAGAGUAUGAAGUAGCAAAUAACCUUCAUAUUUACACAGCCAUUGAUCUGUCGUGCAACAAAUUUCAGGGAGAAAUUCCAACGGUUACUGGAGAGCUUAGAUGGCUUGCAUUGCUCAAUUUAUCUCAUAAUAGUCUAACAGGACCUAUCCCAUCAUUGCUGAGAAAUAUGAAAGAACUCCAAUCUUUAGAUUUGUCCUCGAAUCAACUGACAGGGGCUAUUCCACCUCAGUUAUCUGCAUUGACAUUUCUAGAGGUCUUGAACCUCUCGAAAAACCAUCUUAGUGGAGAGAUUCCUCAGAAAGGACAGUUCAGCACAUUCAACAAUGAUUCUUAUCUAGGAAACUCCGCGUUAUGUGGAUCACCUUUGACGAAGAAAUGUGCAAACACAGCAUCACCUCCACAAGAAGUCGGAAAUGGUGAUGAAGAUGAUGCUGGAGAUGAAUUGACAUGGGAAGCAAUCGUGAUGGGAUAUGGAUGUGGACUGAUAUGUGGUUUGUGAGAUAUAUCGAAGUACUGCAACAGAAGUUGAUGAAAAGAUAUGCAUGAAGAAUGAUACUGGCCGAUCAAGACGAACUUGAAAGUUUGUUGUCCUUGUGGACAUUUCAGCUGAACCAGUAGUGUACUAUUCUCUUUGUGACUGCAUAAGUAUUUUGUAUUGUGUAAUGUUCUGUUUGGGCUUAAAUCAUAAUGAUUUUUCUUGCUUCAGGGGUAUUAAUAUAAAACCGUUUGGUCGGGACUCAUAAUGAUUUCUCUUGCUUCAGGGGUAUUAAUAUCAUCCUUGCUAUCUUGAACAAUGAUAAUGCAAAUUAAAAAGAAUGAAAAAACAAAAAUAUUGCAUCAAACACCUGUUGUACCAAGAUCCAUUAAUUUGCUUUCAUCUCUUACGCAACAAUUUAACAGCACUUCCACACUGUUUGAAAGAUUAUCAUAAAUUCGAGUUUUCCUCUCCAGCACCAAAUCCAAAUUAAUAUACAAUGCCACACAUUCCAGUCUCAGCUUCAGCUCCCAGGGUAGCAUUCAUUUAGCCAAGCACGACAGUGGCCGCUUACGUGCCUAACAAUAACAGUUGGGGAUUUGAGUGAACUUGCCUUGGUCCUGCCUUCAAAUGUCUGACAAUAACAGUUGGAUAUGUCGACAAAAAAAUUGUUCCUCACAGAGGAGCUAAUAGCAAUUGACUUCGAAUAAAUCCGACAGUUCUUUUCAUCCAGUUAUUAUUUCAGCAAUAUGUCUAGCAAAUAUGUAGUGCACUGGACACCAUACUACCAACACAAGUAGUAAAAGGAGAGACCAUUGUUUCGAAUGCUCGGAAAUUUGAACAGGGUUUUUUCCACCUGCCCCCUGACUUUUUACACAAACAGGUCAAGAAAAACAGAAGCCGGCUUCUGGAAAAAUGAAGCACUACUUUAUGAGUGACCAUUGUUUUGAAUGCUCGGAGAUGUGAAGUGGAUUUUUUCAGCCUGCCCCCAGACUUCUUUUUGUAAAACUAGAUUUCUUUAGCUCCGGUGUCUUAGUAUUGGAGAUUAUGAGUGACUGUAGAAAAGACUUUAAUAUGAGUGUGAGAUAUACCCCGGUGGAAACAGGACCUUGAUCCAAAGGGUCACGGGUUCAAACCUCACCUGAUCGGGUUCCACUCCACGCUCGGUCCACAUCUAUGCUGGAUUCAUAUUAAAAUGAUAAUGGAACACGGGCGUCCAUGGUUGGGGAUAUCAUAUUAAAAAGAUUAGCUGGGCACAGAUGAAUAUUUAUAUGGAUUUUAAAAACAAACUAUGACUUAAUAUAAGAAAAAUCAUUAUUUUUUAUUUUUCCGACUAAACAUUUGUUAGCCUUCUCUGGUGCCCAUCCAAAUCAUUCAGCGGGUUCUACUUUCAGCUCAUCACAAGAACAUCAUUCUGCAGGUACUUUCUUAUAUUGUUUGCCAGCGGUGACCGAGCCAGAAACUUUUUCGAGGAGGGGCCGGAAUAGAAAUAUUAUUUAAAUUUGAAAAUAUUAUAUAUCAUAUUGAAAAUAGUAUUAGUAACAAAAAUCCAUUUAUUUUAGGUUUCUAUGAGAAAACUCAGUCGUUUCAUUAAGAAAAUUUAAUUACUUAAUUACCAAACGGUUGAGGAUGAAGAUUUGAAAGAACGAGUUGCAACGGGGAGACUCAUAGACGCGACAGAAAAAAAUAGAAAAAGAUAUUGUUCAACAACCGAGUCUAUAUUAUUAAAAUUUAUGAUAAAUGAGAUAAUUUUAUUUUAUAAACUAACUAAAUACAUAUAAUAUAGUAUUAUAUGUAAUGCUACGUAAAAUUGGAUACAAGAUUUUGCACAAAAUGAUAUGAUAACUAAAGUGAAAUAUUUUAAUUGGUGCUAUUAAUGUAUAUAUACAUUUAUUACAAUUAAAACUUAACACAUAUUAUUAAUUUUGUGAAUAAAAUAUUUUUCUUAAUAAUAUAUAAGUAAAAAAAAUAAAAAUCUAGGAGGGGCUCAGGCCCCCUCUGGACCCCUCUAGCUCCGUCUGUAUACACCUAUCAUAUUAUUGACAGGUGGCUCUCUCAUAUUGCUCACAGGCGAACUCCUGCAUAUACUUUGUGAACCAAUCAUGACAAAAAUAUCAUCAUCCAAUCAAUUCGAUUAAUUAUUCUUUAAAUCAGUACAAAUAUUGUUAAAUAUAUGGAUGAUUAUCGUGUUUCCGCGAACCAAUCAUGAAAUGAAAUUACCUCUGUAUAAAUCCAUCGGAAAUAAGACAAUUAAUGGGGCCGUUUGGGCAAGCUUAAAAGAAGUGACUUCUUGCUUAAACUAGAGAAGUGGAGCAGAAGUGAGAAGUAAAUAAGUUAUUAAAGUGUUUGGAAAAGAAGCAGAAGCUGUGAGACAAAAGCUAGCAUUCUCAGCUUUUUAAAAGUGACUUCUUUACACAAACGGGUAAAAAAAGCAGAAGCCAGAAGCAGCUUCUGCUUCCGUUAAACAAACAGGCCCAAUAUCUCAAUCGAAUACACCCCGUGAGUUGUCAAACUCCUCGAAACGUAUUAAUCACUUUAGAAAUUUGUUCCACUGGCGCCAUUCAGUUCCAGAGUUGGUGGUAGGGGCCGUGCUUCUUGUGUUUCUUCUUUUCAUUAUUGACAUUGUCAUCUAGGUCCUUGCUUCUGGGCUUUGGAGAAGUAAACAAUGGAUCUAUUAGUCUUCCAUAUCGCUGAUACGCGCUAACGCGCAUUAUAGUGGAUUGAUCUUUAUUAGUGAUUUCUGUGGAGAUGCAUAAUCAUUAUAAGCUCCAAUAUAAAAUAAACCUAAUUUAAAGUUAGUAUGGGCAUUUGUGUUGAUAAUUUACGCAAUGUUAACAGGGAUUGCUCCCAAGUCUUGGACGGAUUCUUUCCAAGUCUUCUGAGGACCUAUUUGCACACUAAUUUGUCGCCAACUAAAAAUUCAACGAUAUUGCUAGCUCCCUCUACUAAUUUUUUGCGGGACGUUUUUUACUUUUAACACAUAUCUUUAGAUAGAAUUAGUAUUGUAAAAAGCGGGAAUCAGACUUAAUCGGUGAAGUCACAGAACAACGAUUAAUCGAUGAUUAAUUGGAUUGAUUGGGUAUCAAUCGGAUGAUUAAUGAAAUAAUCGGAUAUUUAAUCCGUUCGACGAGUUACGGAACAGGGAUUAAUCGUGAUUAAUCACCGACUUUUAGAACAGAGGAUAGGAUAAUAAAAUUAUUAUUUUUGAUUAUUUUUUUUGUGAAUAAAAAUUUUGAUUAUAUAUUUUUAUUAAAAAAGAAUUUAAAAUAAUAUUUUUAACUAACCGGUCCAAACAGCUAAAAGUGUGUGCCCAAGCGUCAUAUAAAAACGGAGGGAGCGAGCAUGUGCUGACUAACGGUUCAACUAACAGUUUACAAGUACUCCAUCUGUCCCAUUUAGUCCUAUUUAAUUAUAUACGUUUUUUUUUAACUGUUUGACACGCACUUCAAUGCUCUUCUAAAAUAUGGUUCUAUAACUUAUUUUUAAAAUUUUCUUUUUCUGAAUAAAAAUAUAACAUUCAAACUUUUAUUCAGAAAAAAAUAUCGUAAAAAUAAGUUAUAGAAUUAUAUUUUAUAAGAGCAUUAAAGUCCAUGUCGCGUCCCCGUCUUCUGAUGUAUAAAUUUGCGCAAUGUUAACGGGGAUUGCUCAUUUGCUCUCAAGUCUUGGACGGACCAAGUCUUCUAGGACCCAUCUGCACACUAAUUUGUCUGCCAACUAAAAAAUCAACGAUAUUGCUGCCUCUGCUAUUUUUUACCAGGACGUUUUUUACUUUUAACACAUGUUUAGAUAGGAUAAUAAAUAUUAUUAUUAUUGAUUAAUUUUUUUGUGAAUAAAAAUUUUGAAUAUAUAUUUUUAUCAAAAAAAGAAAAUUUUAAAAAUAAUAUUUUUAAGGGAAAUUAUUAAUGGUACUAUUGUGCUACUGGCUUUUCUAAAUGGUACUAUUUUGGUGUUUUCGACUUACAUGCAUUAUCACUUCCAUUAACGAUACUACCAUUCCGUCCCUCAAAACGUUAAAACCAUUAGUUGACCGUAUUUAUUUUGUAUUUUCCUUGUAAAAAAAACAAAAGAAUACAACUAAUAUUUGUAUUUUUUGUUUGUGUUCAAAUCGUCGAGAUAUGGAAGAGGUUAUCAGAAUUUUAGAAUUGAUUCGAUGUCCUUCAGAAAGUCAGGGGGAAACGGAAUGAGAUACGAGUUUUGAACAAGAAUCCAGUUUAGUUGUUGUUUAUCUUGAAAAACAGAUUUGGAAGUCAUAUAUUUUCAGCCUUUGGCUUCAUGUAUUUCUGUCUCAUCAUUCCCAGAUACUUGCUGAGGUUUAUAGUCACUGUUUAUUAAAUGUUGUCGUACAUUUUCCUGUAUUAUGCACCCAUGUGGCGCCUGUGUUUUGCAUGUCAUGCACAAUUUGCUCAACUACAUACAGGUCACAGGAUGAGUGCAUGUGCCAAAGGGAUUAGUGCAUUGAUCUGUGUAGUGUGAGGACACUGUGAUACAAGGCACAAUUUCUCAGAUUUCUUCUGUCAACACCACUCCCAUCCAUAGCUCCCACCUUUUCUCUCUCAAUCUCAUGUUUCUCUCUUUCUCUCGCAGCUCCGCCGCCACCACUACAUCAGUCUUCAAGAACUCAAGAAAAAAUAUGGAUAUCAGUUAUAUUUUUUGUGUUUUUUAAAGAAGUAUAUGAAAUAAAUAUAGUCAACUAAUGUUUUUAACGUUUUGAUGGACCGAAUGGUAGUAUCAUUAACGGAUCAUAAACUGAGUGGUACCACUUGUAAGUAAAAACCAGUGUUGUAAAAAGCGGGAAUCGGAUUUAAUCGGUGAAGUCACGGAACAAAGAUUAAUCGGAGAUUAAUCGGACUAAUCGGUGAUUAAUCGGAUAUUUAAUCAGUUCGGCGAGCUACGGAACAGGGAUUAAUCGGUCGUGAUUAAUCACCGACUUUUAGAACAGAGGUAAAAACACGAAAUGGUAUUAUUCAUAAAAGCCAAUACCACGAUGGUACCAUUAAUAAUUUCCCUAUUUUUAAUUACCGAGUCCAAAUAUUUAAACGUGUGUGCCCAAAAUUAAAGCCGCAUAUAAAAAAACGGAGGGAGCAUGUACUAACCGUUUCCAUAACAGUUUACAAGUAUAAGUUAUACUCCCUCUCAAUUUUUUUAUUUUUUUAUAUGACGUUUUGAUCUUGGGCACACAUUAUUAAGUGUUUUGACCGGAUAGUUAAAAAUAUUAUUAUUUAAAUUUUCUUUUCUGAAUAAAAAUAUAUAACCAAAAAUUUUAUUCACAAAAAUUUUUAGUGAUUUUUUCGUGAAUACCUAAGGCCAAUUUUUCAAAUAUUUUGUAAAAAUACCAAUUUUUUGAAAAUAUUUGCAAAGAUAAUGUAUUCAACCACAUGCAACCAUACUUAUAACCAGAUGUAACCAUAAUUGCAACCUCUGCGGGACCAAUUAACUGAAUUUGUAUUUGGUUGCACUAGUUAGUAUUUUCUUAAAGUUAGUAUUUUUGUAAAUAUUUUUAAAAAAAAGUAAAAUCGCAAAAAAAAAAAUCGAAAAAAUGGUUUGAUAAAUUUCUAAAUAUUUAAUCACAGAACAAUAACUUUUACAAUCCGAUCAACUCAUUUAAAAAUGUGUGUCAAAAGUAAAAAUGUCAUAUAUAUAUAUAUCAUAUAAAUGUCAUAUAAAUUUAAAACAAAGGGAUNCAUAUAAAUGUCAUAUAAAUUUAAAACAAAGGGAUAUAUAUUUUUUAAUAAAAUAUACUCCCUCUAUCCCAAAUAAGUGUCAGUGACAUUUUGCAAAAAUAGCUUGGGACAAUAGAUUUUUUUGCCACUCAACUUAAUGUGUUUUUAGAAAUUCGCCACCCAACUAAUUUUUUUUUCCUUUUACUCACUAAUGUUAGGUUUGGAUUUUUUUUAGCCACCAACUUAGGUUCGGAUUUGAUUACUAGUAUUAUGAUAAUUUUAUUUAUCACUAAACUUACUGCGUCUUUAGGAAUUAACCACUGAACUAUAAUUUUUUUAUUUUACUCACUAAUGUUAGGUUCAUUUUUUUUGUCACUGAAGUUAGGUUCGGAUUUGAUUAUUAGCAUUAUAUUAAUUAUGUGUAACAUUAUUAAAAUAUAGUGGUCUAUAAUAUUUUGAUGAUUUGGUAUAUGUCUGUAUCUUUAUAUAUAGUACUUUUUAUGUCUCCAAUGUCGUUUAACUUGAGUGGUAAGAAUUUUACACGCAUUUUAUGGCUUUUAAAAGAUGUAGUUUCAUAAAUAAUUUUAUUUUUUUCUUCCGAAUAAAAAUUCAGCGUUUUACACACAAAAAAAUAACAAAAAAAAGUUAUGAAGCUAUGUUUUAUAAGAGUCUUAAAAUACGUGCUAAGCAGUAGAAAAAACUGUAAACUAAUGAGAGGGACAUGUAGUAAUAAUAAUAAAAUGAUGCAUUAUAGAGGACAAUCAUCGAAAAUUAAGUUAACCUCUCUAUUUAUUUAUCUUGAAAAUUGUAGUAAAAUAAAGUUAUUAAAAUUUAUGAAGAUAAAUUUGAGAGAGAUCUUGGACUGAGCUAGUCAAUUGAAACUUUAAUAGCGAAAGAUGAUGCAUCAUAUCAAUCAAUUACACUUUAUCUUCUUAUCAUCAGGGAGGGUGAAUUGUUUGAAGUCAUUGAUUUCAUAUUCAUGAUUUAUUGAAUUUUAGAAUUCUAAUUACGAUUUUUCCUGGUUUUAAUUUUUCAUCGGCUCAUUUUAUAUUAUUUUUGUUAUAUAUAAGGAUAUAAACAUACGACACAUCAUCAAAAUAUUACAUACUAUCACUAUGUAUAAAUGAUGCGACAAAAAUUAUCAUAAUGCUAGUAAUUAAAUCCGAACCUGAGUAGUGGCUAAAAAAAAAUCCAAACCUAAUAUUAAUGGUAAAAGGAAAAAAAAAAUAGUUAGGUGGCAAGUUUCUAAAAACACUAUAAAUUGAGUGGCAAAAAAAAUCUAUUUUCCAAACAUAGCUUGGGGUAAUAACAAAACCUUAAUCAACGCAAGCACAGCAGACCGCAGGCAUAAGGCUUAUAAAUAGAAGUGCAGUAUUGUGUUGAUGGUCAAGUUGAGUGGAAAUAUGGUACACUUUGUAAAGCCUUGUUAUCCUCUUCUCUUUGUUUUCUUUCUCUCAUUACUUCAAUCCAUUCUAACAACACUACCUGAAUCCAGACGAGAGGGAGAAGCUCUUGUGAAAUGGAAGAAUAGCCUAGCCCCGUCUUCUUUUCUCGACUCUUGGUCACUCACUGAUCUCGAUAAUCUUUGUAACUGGACUGGCAUUACUUGUAACUCUGCAGGUUCAGUCUCGGAGAUUAACCUUUGUGAGAAACAACUUGAUGGAAUGCUGUCCGAGUUUGGUUUCACUUCAUUUCCAGAUCUCAACUAUCUCACCCUCGCAGACAACUUCUUCUCGGGUCCGAUACCAUCAGCCAUUGAGAAUCUAACACAGCUUCAAUAUCUUGAUUUAAGCAUGAAUAGUCUCAAUGGUCCCAUUCCUUUCCAGGUUAGCCAUAUUCAGAGCUUGCUCAUCUUAAACCUGUCACACAAUGCAUUGCAAUCUCCAAAUUGGUCCCAUUGCUCUCCCAUGCCUGUCUUGCGCAUCCUCGACCUUAGUUUUAAUAAUCUUGUGUCGAAAUUCCCAGAAUUUAUAUCCAAUUCUCAUAGCCUGACUCACCUUAACCUUUCAGAUAACAAGUUUACUGGUGAUCUUGUGCGUGAAUUUACCAAUCUACAAAAUCUUGAAACCCUCUACCUUCAAGAUAAUUCUUUUGAGGGGCCGUUUCCGCCUGAUAUAGUCCAGCUUUCCAAAUUAAAACGUCUCGCCCUGUUAGGUAACAAAUUUUCAGGUUCAAUUCCCAAUGACAUAAGGUUGCUUUGUGUUCUUGAAUACCUAUAUUUAGGCAACAAUUCCUUUGAAGGACCACUUCCACCAAAUAUAUUCACGCUUUCAAAAUUAAAAUUACUUGUUCUUUGGGGUAAUAAGUUUUCAGGUUCUAUUUCCAAUGAUAUAGGUUUGCUUUCUGAGCUUGAAACCCUCGUUCUUGACUCUAAUUAUUUUGAGGGGCCACUUCCGCCAAAUAUAUUCAAGCUCUCUAAAUUAAAGGUUUUUUCCCUUGUGUACAAUAACUUUUCAGGUUCUGUUUCCAAUGAUAUAGGUUUGCUUUCUGAGCUUGAAUAUCUCCGUAUUGGCUGCAAUUCUUUCGAGGGACCGUUGCCAACAAAUAUAUUCAAGCUUUCCAAAUUAAGUAAACUUGACCUAUCAAAUAAUAGUAAUUUUUUUGAAGGAAGUAUUCUUAUUGGAUUGGGACUCUUGACUAACCUCAGCUACUUAGAUCUAGAUUCCAAUAAUCUCAGUGGCUAUAUUCCAUCUGAGAUUGGAAACCUGAAGCUACUAGUAUUUCUCGAUCUUAGUUCUAAUCAAUUGACUGGAUCGCUUUCAAAGAUCUUUUCUAAUCUCACAAAUCUUAUAUAUCUUCAUGUAUAUGAUAAUAGUCUUAGUGGAAAUAUUCAGAGUGACUUGUGGAAAAACUCUGUAUCCUUGCGUUUCGUUGAUCUUGCAAAUAAUUAUUUGUCUGGAAACAUCCCUAAGGAAUAUAACGAUCAUCCAACUUUGGAAUACAUUAAUUUAAGUUGGAACCAUUUUACAGGUAUAUUUUCUCUAUAUAUCUUUUCCUUUUCUNCUCAUAUGUAACUAAGCUUGAUUAUUGCAAUUUUACCUAAGUUUCAACAAUCUUGACAGGUGAGCUUCCAACAACAAUUUGCAAUGUCACUUCCCUCUCGGUUCUUGUUUUGUCAAAGAAUGGAUUAAGUGGUCCACUUCCAAAUUGUUUCGGAAAUCUUGCUGAUAGAUUGCUUUCCAUUAAUCUUGCUAAUAAUCAGUUCCGAGGAACAAUACCAACUACUUUCUCCAGCAGUUGUCAGCUGACAUAUCUAAACAUGGAUGAUAAUGAGUUUGAAGGAAUGUUGCCUCAAUCUUUGGCGAAAUGUAAGCACUUGAAAAUUCUUGAUAUUGGCAAUAACAAAAUAGGUGGUAUAUUUCCGUCAUGGCUUUAUGUACUUGGAGAGCUAGAAGUCCUUGUCUUGCGAUCAAAUAAACUCUAUGGUACAAUAAGUGGAAGGAGCAUAGAAGAUCCGUUCCCCAAGUUGCGGAUUGUGGAUCUGUCCAACAAUCAAUUCACCGGCCAGUUGCCAAUUCAAUACUUUAAGAAUAUGAAAUCAACUGAUAAUUUGUAUCGUUAUCGGAAUUCCACAGGACCAUUAUCUUUCUCUUAUGAAGCAGCAGUCUCAUUAACUGUGAAGGGAACAGAGUACGAGGUAGCAAAGAACCUUCAUAUUUACACAGCCAUUGACCUGUCAUGCAACAAAUUUCAGGGAGAAAUUCCAAAGGUUACUGGAGAGCUUAGAUGGCUUGCAUUGCUGAAUUUAUCUCAUAAUAGUCUGACAGGACCUAUCCCAUCCUUGCUGAAAAAUAUGAAAGAACUCCAAUCUUUAGAUUUGUCCUCAAAUCAACUGACAGGGGCUAUUCCACCUCAGUUAACUGCAUUGACAUUUCUGGAGGUCUUCAACCUCUCGGGAAACCAUCUUAGUGGAGAGAUUCCUCAGAAAGGACAGUUCAGCACAUUUAACAAUGAUUCUUAUCUAGGAAACUCCGCGUUAUGUGGAUCACCUUUGACAAAGAAAUGUGCAAACACAGCAUCACCUCCACAAGAAGUCGGAAAUGGUGAUGAAGAUGAUGCUGGUGAUGAAUGGACAUGGGAAGCAAUCGUGAUGGGAUAUGGAUGUGGACUGAUAUGUGGAUUGUCAUCUGCGUACAUUGUUCUCAAACUAGGAAAGCCUUGGUGGUUUGUGAGAUAUAUCGAAGUGCUGCAACUGAAGUUGAUGAAAAGAUAUGCUUGAAAAAUGGUACUGGCCGAUCAAGACGAACUUGAAAGUUGUUGUCCUUGUGGACAUUUCUGAACCAGUAGUGUACUAGCUGCAUAAGUAUUUGGUAUUAUGUAAUAAUCCGUUUGGUCAGGACUCAUAAUGAUUUCUCUUGCUUCAGGGGUAUUAAUAUUAACCUUGCUAGUUAAUUCAAAUUAAAACAAAUAUAAAAUCAAAAAAUUUGCAUCAAACACCUGUUAUACCAACAUCCAUUAAUUUGCUUUCAUCUCUUACGUAACAAUUUAACAGCGAUUCCACACUGUUUUAGGCAUGGAGAUUACACAAAGAAGGCAAGUCCAUGGACUAAUAUACGAACAAUUCAUAUUGGUCUUCCAUCUGUUCAACCGUCUCCCGAAGAUAGGCCAAAAAUGUCAUCUGUGGUUCUUAUCUUUGUCAGUAAAGGAGAAUCUCUGAUGCCUAUACAACCUGGUUUUCUUACCGAAAGGAAUGUAGGUGAAACCAGGGGCAUAAAAUGAAUCGGGACUAAAAUCUGCUAAAAUGAUAAUUAUUUACUCAUCAUUCGAGAUUAGUCGGGCUCGAAUGAAGAUUUAUAUGGAUUUUAAGAACAAACUAUGACUAAAUAUGAAAAAAUCAUUAAUUUUUCCGACUCAAUAUUUUUAGCCUCCCCCGGCCCUGGGUGAAACCAUAAGCUUCUCUGGUGCACAUCCAAAUCAUUCAGCUGGUUCUACAUUCAGCUCACCCACAGGAACAUCAUUCUGCAGGUACUCUCUUAUCUGUACUUUCUUAUAUUGUAUGCCAGAAAAUUUAAUAUCGACAAACUGCACAAUACACCUCGAUCUCAUAUUAUUGACAGGUGAGCUCCUCUCAUAAUGCUCACAGGCGAACUCCUGCAUAUAUACUUUGUGAUGUCAUUGAUGAUCGAUAGGCUUGAAAAAAAAUUAUGACAAAGAUUCAUAAAAUAUCUACUUCCAUCCUAAUUCAGUAUUCAAUAUUAUUCAUUCCGUAUCAUCAUCCAAUCAAUUCUAAUAGUUCUUCUUUAAAUCAGUAUAAAUAUUGUUAAAUAUAUUGAUGAUGGUUGUCUUUCCGCGAACCAAUCAUAAAAUUACCUCUGUAUAAAUCCAUCGGAAAUAAGACAGUUAAUAUCCCAAUCGAAUACACCCCUGUCAGUUGUCAAACUCCUCGAAACGUAUUAAUCACUUUAGAAAAUUUGUUCCACUGGCGCUAGUCAGUCCCAGAGUUGGUGGUGGGUGCUUCUGGGCUUUCGAAAAGCACCCAUUUACUCCAUUGUUUAGAGAAGUAAAACCCCACCUUCCGCUCAUUUGAUUGAUCAGCUGAAUUAGGCAGAGUUUACAUGGUCAUGAUCAUAGUCUCCCAUUUCCCAGAUACGCGCAUUAUAGUGGAUUUAUCUUUAUCAGUAAUUUCUGUGGAGAUGCAUAAUCAUUAUAAACUCCAAUAUAAAAAUUUAAAGUUGGUAUGGGCAUUUGUGUUGAUAAUUUGCGCAAUGUUAACAGGAAUUGCUCCCAAGUCUUGGACGGACUCUUUCAAAGUCUUCUGAGGACCCAUCUGCACACUAAUUUGUCUCCCAACUAAAAAAUCAACAAUAUGUUACUCCCUCCGUUUUUCUUAAACGAGGUUAAAAUUUUUGACACAAGAUGGGUUGACAGUAUAAUAAAAAUUUUUGUGAAUAAAAUUUUUUUUAUUUAGAAAGAUAAUCUUGAAAAUAAUAUUAUUAACUAAGUUAAAUCACUUAAAAGUGUAUGUCCAAAAAUUAAAGCGGCAUAUAAAAAAAAGGGAGGGAGCAUGUACUAACUGUUUCCAUAACAGUUUACAAGUAUAAGUUAUACUCCCUCUCUAUUUUUUUAUAUGACGGUUUGAUUUUGGGCACACAUUUUUAAGUGUUUUGACCAGAUAAUUAAAAGGGGUUUUCUCAUAAAUACCUAAGUCUAAAAUUAUUUUUACGAAAAUAUUAUAUCUUUUUUUAAAUAUUUUGCAAAAAUACCAAACUUUGUAAAUAUUUACAAAAAUACGGUAUGCAACCCGUUGCAACCACAUGCAACCUUACUUGCAACCAUAUUUGCAACCCCUGCGGGGUCAAUUAACUGAAAUUGCAUCUGGUUGCGUUUAGUUGCAGACCGUAUUUUUGCAAAUAUUUUCUAAAAAGUUAGUAUAUUUGCAAUUUUUUUAAAAAUAUAAGAAAAUCGCAAAAAUUAUAACAAAGCUUCAAGAUUUUUAACAGGUGAGCUUCCACUAAAAAUUUGCAAAGUCACUUCCCUUUCGCGUCUCAUUAUGUCAGAUAUUGGUCAAGUGGUGCACUUCCACAGUGUUUGGGGAACCUUUCUUUGCUUGGUUUCAAUAAUCUUGCUAAUAAUCAAUUUCAAGGACCAAUACCAACGACUGUCCAAGACUUGUCUGUGCAUAUCUAAACAUCCAUAACAAUCACUUUGAAGGUUUGUUGCUCCAAUCUUUGGCAAACUGUAAACACUUACAAAUUCUUGAUAUUGGAAACAACAAAAUAGGUGGUACAUUUCCGUCAUGGCUAUUUACUGUUGGAGAGCUAGAUGUCCUAGUUAGGACGGUAUUUCGACUAGAGCAAGCCGAGUUUUGAGCGGAGCCCAAUUCGAGCCAAGUUUAAUCGAGUCGAGCCGAGUCAGUUCGUUUGGCUAAUCGAGCCUAAAACUCUGUCCGAACUCGACUCGUUUAAUUUCACGAGUUGAGUCAAGCCAGCUCAUUUAGCUAAACGAGUUGGUUUUAACGAGUUAAACGAGUGAGCUCGUAUAAUUUUAACUUAAUCGAGCCUGGAUCUCUAUCCGAACUAUUGGCUCGUGUAAUUUCGCGAGUCGAAUCGAGCCGGCUCGUUUUAUUAAACAAACCGAAAUUUUUGCCCAAAUUUUGCUCGUUUAACAAGCCGAUCUGAACCUAGUUAAAUGAGUUCGAGCUAGUCGAGCUCGCAGCUUGCGAGCUCGCCGGACAGCUCUAGUACUAGUCUUGCGAUCAAAUAGGUUUCACGGUAUAGAAAGUGGAAGGAACACAAGGCAUCUGUACUUUCUUGUACUGUAUGCCACUUUGACAGUAAAAUUUAUACUCCCUCCGUCCGAAUGAAUUGUAUACAGUUUACUUUUUGGGACGUCCCAUCAAUUGUAUACAUUCCUAAAGUAGUAAACUUUUAUAAUAUAAAACAUCAUUAAACCAACUACUUUCUUCCCCUAUCUCCAUUCUAUAAUAAUAUAAACACUAUUACACCCACUACUUUCCUCCACUAUCUCAAAUUUAUUAUUAAAUAUAAAUGGGUCCCACCACUAUACUCACUUUUCAUCCAACUUUACUCAUUUCUAAUAAAAUUUCUUGGUCUCCGUGUCCCAGCCAUUUGUAUACAAAUGACUGGGACGGAGGGAGUAUCAACAAACUGCACGAUUAAAUCCUCGUACAAUUGACAGGUGAACUCCUGCAUAUGUUCUGAACUAUUACGUACUAUAUUAUGCAAGCUGUUUGCAACUUUCAUCAAAAUUUUCAAACAUUUCUUAAUAUGUUUUUUCAAAAAAUUCUCGGGCCCUCUUAAGGCCUAUUAUUAUUGCAACUCUCACGUUAUGGACCACUAUGUAUUUUACAAGCACGACGAAUCAUGUGGUCAUUAUGGACUCCCCAAGCCUUCGAGGACUCACUCCAGGUCUUAGGAGGACCACUGCCUAGCUCACCCUUUCGGAGUGAUGUAAAUUAUUUUCUAGACACUAAAAAUAAGUAUUCAGAUUAAUCAUUACAAAAUUAAGGAUAUAAAAUCAGAAUAAAUCCUAAACUUUGAUGAUACAAAAAAAUUAUAAUUGUAAAUUAUACAAUCAAAUUAAAAUCGAAUUAACUUCCCUCACACUUAAAAUUUAUAGCGAUCAAAUCAAAAUCGAAUUAACUUUCCUAUUACUAAAAUAUAAUUACAAUAUUAUUAGAUAAAGAGAAUAUAUAAUAAUCAAGAGAAAAUAGAUUUUUUUUUGCCACUCAACUUAUCGUGUUUUAAGAAACUUACCACCCAACUAAAUUUUUUUUCCUUUUGCUCACUAAUGUUAGGUUUGGAUUUGUUUUUAGCCACCAACUAAGGUUCGGAUUUGAUUACCAGCAUUAUGAUAAUUUUUUUUGUCACUAAACUUAUUGCGUCUUUAGAAACUAACCACUCAACUAAAUUUUUUUUUAUUUUACUCACUAAUGUUAGGUUCAGUUUUUUUUUGUCACUGAAGUUAGGUUCGGAUUUGAUUAUUAGCAUUACAUUAAUUCUGUGUAGCAUUUUUAAAAUAUGGUAGUACUCUGUGAUAUUUAGAUGAUUUGAUAUAUGUCUGUAUUUUUAUAUAUAGUAUAUUUUAUGUCUCCAAGAUCAUUUACCUUGGGUCAUAAGAAUUUUACACGCAUUAUAUGACUUUUAAAAGAUGUAGUGUCAUAAAUAAUUUUAUUUUUUUUUCCGAAUUAAAAUUCAGCAUUUGAAUUUUACACACACAAAAAUCGCAAGAAUAAGUUAUGAAAUUAUGCUUUAUAAGAGUCUUAAAAUACGUGCUAAACGGUAGAAAAAACGGUGAAAUAAUGAGAGGUACAUAGGAGUAAUAAUAACAUAAAAUGAUGCACAAGUUAGUAUAUUGGACUAAUAUUCACGCAUUUAUAUACGAGAAUAUAUGGUCCACAAGUUAGUGCACAAUGUCCAAGAAUCUUUAUCAAAGUAACACGGCAAGCAUGCAGCAUAUAAAUAAGAGUGGGCAGUAUGGUAUUGCAUUCAUAACCCACUUGAGGAGAAAUAUGGCACACUUCCUAAAGCCUUCUCACCUUCUUCUCUUUGUUUUCUCUCUCUCGUUACUUCAAUCCAUUCUACCAACAAGACCAGAGGGAGAAGCUCUUGUGAAAUGGAAGAAUAGCCUAGCCCCUUCUUCUUUUCUCGAUUCUUGGUCACUCACCAAUCUCGAUGAUCUUUGUAACUGGACUGGCAUUACUUGUAACUCUGCAGGUUCAGUCUCUGAGAUUAACCUUUAUGAGAAACAACUUGAUGGAAUGCUGUCCGAGUUUGGCUUCACUUCAUUUCCGAAUCUCAACAAUCUCACCCUCGCAUACAACUUCUUCUCGGGUCCAAUUCCACCAGCCAUUGAGAAUUUAACACAGCUUCAAUAUCUUGAUUUAAGCAUCAAUAGUCUCGAUGGUCCCAUUCCGUUCCAGGUUAGCCAUCUUCAGAGGUUGCUCGUCUUAAACCUGUCACAGAAUGCAUUGCAAGCUCCAAAUUGGUCCAAAUUCUCCCCCAUGCCCUUUUUGUGCAUCCUCAACCUCAGUAGCAAUCCUCUUGCGUCGACAUUCCCAAAUUUCAUAUCCAAUUCUCAUGGCCUGACUCACCUCAGCCUUGAUCAAAACGAGUUUACAGGUGAUUUAGCGCGUGAAUCAAUAUUUGCCAAUCUGCAUAAUCUUGAAGUCCUCAGUCUUGUUGGCAAUUCUUUUGAGGGGGCCAUUUCCGCCAAAUAUAUUCAAGCUUUCCAAAUUAAAACAUCUUAGCCUGUCAGAUAACAAACUUUCAGGUUCAAUUCCCAAUGACAUAAGGUUGCUUUGUGAUCUUGAAUACCUAUAUUUAGGCAACAAUUCCUUUGAAGGACCGCUUCCACCAAAUAUAUUCAAGCUUUCAAAAUUAAAACAUCUUAUUCUUUGGGGUAAUAAGUUUUCAGGUUCUGUUUCCAACGAUAUAGGUUUGCUUUCUGAGCUUGAAAGCCUCUAUCUUGACUCCAAUUUUUUUGAGGGGCCGCUUCCGCCAAAUUUAUUCAAGCUCUCCAAACUAAAGAUUCUUUUCCUUUAUGAGAAUAACUUUUCAGGUUUUAUUUCUAAGGAUAUAGGUUUGCUUUUUGAACUUGAAACCCUCUAUCUUGACUCUAAUUUUUUUGAGGGGCCGCUUCCCCCACAUGUAUUUAGGCUCUCCAAAUUAAGAGAUCUGGGUCUCUCAGACAAUAGAAAUUUAUUUGAAGGAAGUAUUCCUAUUGGACUGGGACUCUUGACUAACCUCAGAUACUUGCGUCUAUCUUCCAAUAAUCUCGGUGGCUAUAUUCCAUCUGACAUUGGAAACCUGAAGCAACUAGAACUUCUUGAUCUCGGUUCUAAUCAAUUGACUGGACCGCUUUCAAAGAUCGUUUCUAAUCUCACAAAUCUUAUAUAUCUUGAUGUGAGUUAUAAUAGUCUUAGUGGAAAUAUUCAGAGUGACUGGUGGAAAAACUCUGUAUCCUUACGUUACAUUGAUUUUGAAAAUAAUUAUUUGUCUGGGAACAUUCCUAAGGAAUAUAACGAUCAUCCAACUUUGGAAUACAUCAAUUUAGGUGGGAACCAUUUUACAGGUAUAUUUUCUCUAUAUAUCUUUUCCUUUUGUCAUAUGUAAAUAAGCUAGUAAUCUGGUUAUUGUAGUUUUACCAAAGUUUCAACAAUCUUGACAGGUGAGCUUCCAACAACAAUUUGCAAUGCCACUUCCCUUUCGGUUCUUGUUUUGUCAAAUAAUGGAUUAAGUGGUGCACUUCCAAAAUGUUUCGGGAAUCUUGCUGAUGGAUUGCUUUACAUUAAUCUUGCUAAUAAUCAGUUUCGAGGAACAAUACCAACUACUUUCUCCAGGAGUUGUCGGUUGACAUAUCUAAACAUGGAUAAUAAUGAGUUUGAAGGAUUGUUGCCCCCAUCUUUGGCGAACUGUAAGCACUUGAAAAUUCUUGAUAUAGGCAAUAAUAAAAUAGGUGGUACAUUUCCGUCAUGGCUUUAUGCACUUGGAGAGCUAGAAGUUCUUGUCUUGCGAUCAAAUAAACUCUAUGGUACGAUAAGUGGAAGGAGCAUAGAAGAUCCCUUCCCAAAGUUGCGGAUUGUGGAUCUGUCCCACAAUCAAUUGACAGGCUAUUUGCCAAUUCAAUACUUUAAGAAUAUGAAAUCAACUGAUGAUUUGUAUAGUUUCCGGAAUUCCACAGGAACCGCAUCUAUCUCUUAUGAAGCAUCGGUCUCAUUAACCGUGAAGGGAACAGAGUAUGAAGUAGCAAAUAACCUUCAUAUUUACACAGCCAUUGAUCUAUCGUGCAACAAAUUUCAGGGACAAAUUCCAAAGGUUACUGGAGAGCUUAAAUGGCUGGCAUUGCUCAACUUAUCUCAUAAUAGUCUAACAGGACCUAUCCCGUCAUUGCUGAGAAAUAUGAAAGAACUCCAGUCUUUAGAUUUGUCUUCAAAUCAACUAACAGGGGCUAUUCCACCUCAGUUAACUGCACUGACAUUUCUAGAGGUCUUGAACUUCUCGGGAAACCAUCUUAGUGGAGAGAUUCCUCAGAAAGGACAGUUCAGCACAUUCAACAAUGAUUCCUAUCUAGGAAACUCUGCGUUAUGUGGAUCACCUUUGACGAAGAAAUGUGUAAACACUGUAUCACCUCCUCAGGAAGUCGAAAAUGGUGAUGAAGAUGAUGCUGGUGAUGAAUUGACAUGGGAAGCAAUCGUGAUGGGAUAUGGAUGUGGACUGAUAUGUGGAUUGUCAUCUGCGUACAUUGUUCUCAAACUAGGAAAGCCUUGGUGGUUUGUGAGAUAUAUCGAAGUACUGCAACUGAAGUUGAUGAAAAGAUAUGCAUGAAGAAAGGUACUGGUAGAUCAAGAUGAACUUGAAAGUUGUUGUCCUGGUAGACAUUUCUGAACCAGUAGUAUACUAGCUGUGUAAGUAUUUGGUAUUAUGUAAUAAUCCGUUUGGUCGGGACUCAAAAUGAUUUCUCUUGCUUCAGGGGUAUUAAUAUUAACCUUGCUAUCUUGAUCAAUGUUAAUGCAAAUUAAAAAGAAUAUAAAAGCAAAAAAUUUGCAUCAAACACCUGUUGUACCACAGGCUUCCGACUCAAUAUUUGUUAGCCUCCCGUGCCCUGUGUGAAACCAUAAGCUUCUCUGGUGAAUAUCCAAAUCAUUCAGCUGGUUCUACUUUCAGCUCACCGCAGGAACAUCAUUCUGCAGGUACUCUCUUAUCUGUACUUUCUUAUAUUGUAUGCCAGAAAAUUUAAUAUCGACAAACUGCACAAUACACCUCGAUCUCAUAUUAUUGACAGGUGAGCUCCUCUCAUAAUGCUCACAGGCGAACUCCUGCAUAUACUUUGUGAUGUCAUUGAUGAUCGAUAGACUUGAAAAAAAAUUAUGACAAAGAUUCAUAAAAUAUCUACUUCCAUCCUAAUUCAGUAUUCAAUAUUAUGCAUUCCGUAUCAUCAUCCAAUCAAUUCUAAUAGUUCUUCUUUAAAUCAGGACAAAUAUUGUUAAAUACAUGGAUGAUGGUUGUCUUUCCGCGAACCAAUCAUGAAAUUACCUCUGUUUAAAUCCGUCGAAAAUAAGAAAAUUAAUAUCCCAAUCGAAUACACCCCGUGAGUUGUCAAACUCCUCGAAACAUAUUAAUCACUUUAGAAAAUUUCAACAAUCUUGACAGGUGAGCUUCCAACAACAAUUUGCAAUGUCACCUCCCUUUCGGUUCUUGUUUUGUCAAAUAAUAAAUUAAGUGGUGCACUUCCAAACUGUUUCGGGAAUCUUGCUGAUGGAUUGCUUUACAUUAAUCUUGCUAAUAAUCAGUUUCAAGGAACAAUACCAACUACUUUCUCCAGGAGUUGUCCGUUGACAUAUCUAAACAUGGAUAAUAAUGAGUUUGAAGGAUUGAUGCCCCCAUCUUUGGCGAACUGUAAGCACUUGAAAAUUCUUGAUAUAGGCAAUAAUAAAAUAGGUGGUACAUUUCCGUCAUGGAUUUAUGCACUUGGAGAGCUAGAAGUUCUUGUCUUGCGAUCAAAUAAACUCUAUGGUACAAUAAGUGGAAGGAGCAUAGAAGAUCCCUUCCCCAAGUUGCGGAUUGUGGAUCUGUCCAACAAUCAAUUCACAGGCCAUUUGCCAAUUCAAUACUUUAAGAAUAUGAAAUCAAAUGAUAAUUUGUAUCGUUAUCUGAAUUCCACAGGAGAAAUAUAUAUCUCUUAUGAAGCAGCAGUCUCAUUAACUGCGAAGGGAACAGAGUAUGAAGUAGCAAAUAACCUUCAUAUUUACACAGCCAUUGAUCUGUCGUGCAACAAAUUUCAGGGAGAAAUUCCAAAGGUUACCGGAGAGCUUAGAUAGCUUGCAUUGCUCAAUUUAUCGCAUAAUAGUCUAACGGGACCUAUCCCAUCAUUGCUGAGAAAUAUGAAAGAACUCCAAUCUUUAGAUUUGUCCUCAAAUCAACUGACAGGGGCCAUUCCACCUCAGUUAACUGCAUUGACAUUUCUAAAGGUCUUAAAUCUCUCGAAAAACCAUCUCAGUGGAGAGAUUCCUCAGGAAGGACAGUUCAGCACAUUCAACAAUGAUUCUUAUCUAGGAAACUCCGCGUUAUGUGGAUUACGUCUGACAAAGAAAUGUGCAAACACAGCAUCACCACCACAAGAAGUCGGAAAUGGUGAUGAAGAUGAUGCUGGUGAUGAAUUGACAUGGGAAGCAAUUGUGAUGGGAUAUGGAUGUGGACUGAUAUGUGGAUUAUCAUCUGCGUACCUUGUUUUCAAACUAGGAAAGCCUUGGUGGUUUGUGAGAUAUAUCGAAGUACUGCAACUGAAGUUGAUGAAAAGAUAUGCAUGAAGAAUGGUACUGGCCGAUCAAGACGAACUUGAAAGUUGGUCCUUGUGGACAUUUCAGCUGAACCAGUAGGUACUAUUCUCUUUGUGACUGCAUAAGUAUUUUGUAUUGUGUAAUGUUCUGUUUGGUCUUAAAUCAUAAUGAUUUUUCUUGCUUCAGGGGUAUUAAUAUAAAACUUGGUAUUGUGUACUAGCUGUAAUAUUCCGUUUAAUCAAUGUUAAUACCUGUAAUUUUAUGCUCCUGACUGCAUCAUGCAGCUCUCAUAUUAUCUUCAUAUGUGUAUUUAUUUGGAUAUUGAAGUUGCAUGGACAUAUGGAUAUGUGUUAACGGGGAUUGCUCCCAAGUCUUGGACGGACUCUUUCCAAGUCUUCCGAGAUCCUAUUGGUUCAAAUUAGUCCAAUUUGAACUGCCAUCAAAUGCAACUCUGUAGAUUCUGUCUCUGAGAUUAACCUUUCAGGACAUCAGCUCAAUGGUACACUUGCUGAAUUCAGUUUCGUUUAAUUUCCGAAUCUACAAAUUAAGCUACAAUAACUUCACUUGUCCAAUACCCCCAGACAUUGGAAAUUUAACAGAGCUGCAACACCUUGAUUUUAGCUCUAAUAAACUCACUGCUGCAAUUCCGGACCAGGUAAGCCAUCUUCAAACAUUGCGGACCUUAAACCUGUAGGAUAAUCAACUUGGAAGCUCCAAACUGGUCCGCUUUUUCCCCUAUGCCUUCUCUGACAAACCUCUGUCUCAAUAAUAAUAAUCUUUCGUCGAAAUUCCAAGACUUCAUAUUAAAUUGUGGUAACCUGACUUACUUUGAUCUUUCAUUAAAUAUGUUAACAGGUAAUUUGGUUCCUUCAUCAAUUUUUAGAAAUUUGUAUAAUCUUGAAUUCCUUUAUCUUUCUAGCAAUUAUUUUGAGGGGCCUUUCCCGCCANNNNNNNNNNNNNNNNNNNNNNNNNNNNNNNNNNNNNNNNNNNNNNNNNNNNNNNNNNNNNNNNNNNNNNNNNNNNNNNNNNNNNNNNNNNNNNNNNNNNNNNNNNNNNNNNNNNNNNNNNNNNNNNNNNNNNNNNNNNNNNNNNNNNNNNNNNNNNNNNNNNNNNNNNUUUCCCUAUCAUAUAAUAGAUUUUCAGGUUCUAUUUCCAUAUGAUAUAGGAAUGCUUCGUGUUUUGGAAUCCCUUUUUUUAGUAGUAGUUCUUUUAAUGGCCCACCUCCACCAAAUUUAUUUAAAUUUUCUAAAUUAAAAGUUUUUUCCCUAUCAUUAAUAACUUUUCGGGUUCUAUUCGAAAUGAAACAGGGAUGCUUCAUGAUUUAGAGUCCCUCUAUCUUAAUGAACAUUCUUUUAAGGGGCCGUUUCCACCAAAUAUAUUCAACCUUUCCAAAUUAAAAGUUCUUAAUUACCUCUCAAAUAAUUCCUUUUCAGGUUCAGUUCCUAGUGAUAUAAGUGUGCUUCGUGAUCUUGAGAUACUUAAUUUGUCCUCUAAUUCUUUUGAAGGAAUUAUCCCAUUGGAGCUUGGGUUCUUGAAUAACGUGAGCUAUUAUUAUAUCUUGAUUCCACUCAAUUGACUGGACCGCUUUUGAAGAACAUUUAUAAUCUCAGUAAUUUUUUGUGUUGGCUUGAAUGGAUCAUUCCAUUCCCUCCAAAACUCAUUCCGUUCAUGUCAACCAAACAGAGCAUCAAUUACUAGUUACUGGGAAAUGCAUUAGCCUAAAUGUUCCUGGUUCAUUGUUACCGGUAUUUCUUAACUGCUGUGAUUGCAAAUUCAGUUGCAGAUUGUUCAUAUAUAUCUAGAGAGACCUGACAUAACUUUAGCCUCUGAUAUACAGCUUCCUUUCACAGUUGUGCCUAUUCACCUAGACGCGUUUUUAACUGCAUAAUGUUGGGUCAACUUCCGACCAUUUAUUUUCUCAUUUGAAAUUAGUGUAUUAAAGUUCGACUUUAAGAAAAUAUAUAGUUUUGUUAAACAAAAAUUCCAAAAGGUUUGGUACGUUUUGAGCUGGGACUUUGAAAUUGUUUGUCGUUAAAGAUGAAGAUUCACUUUUUAAGUUAUAUUAAUCUGUAGUGGUAGACUGGUAGUUUUUCUUUAUUGCUACUUUCCUUGUGCGUUCUUUAUAUUGAUUUAUUAUUUAAUUCGUAAAGUGUUGCGAACUACAUUCCUGCAAAAGUAAAAUCAGUGGAAUUUGUUUGAUAGCAUGAUGAAUAUUUAAAGGGGUUAAUUAUCAAAUUGGUCACUGAAGUGACUUUAAUGUAUCAAGUUGGUCACUGAACUCAAAACGGUAUUAAGAUAGUCACUGAAGUGGACAUAAAUAUCAAACAGGUACCUUGAAAUAUAAGUUCAAGCAGUAAAGAUAUUAUUUAUAAAAUUUUACACAUUAUUUUUAAAUGUUACCACAACCAACUAAAAGGUUAUGACUUCUAGUAUUUAAAUUAAUAUAUUUAUUUUAUCAAGUUUAUUUAUUAUUUAUAUUUUAUUAUAUAGUUAUUUUCUUUGUUUUAAUUAAAAAUAAAUAAUAAAUAAACUUGAUAAUAUCUAAAUAUAUUAUCAUAAAUAUUAGAAUUCAUAACCUUUUACUUGGUCUAGGUAACAUUCAAAAAUAAUGUGUAAAACUUUAUAAAUAAUAUUAUCUUUAUAUUCUUUCCUUUUCUAUGUACCUAUGCUAAUUAUCUGAUUAUUAAAAUUAUAACAAAGCUUCAAGAUUUUUAACAGGUGAGCUUCCACUAAAAAUUUGCAAAGUCACUUCCCUUUCGCGUCUCAUUAUGUCAGAUAUUGGAAACAACAAAUAGGUGGUACAUUUCCGUCAUGGCUAUUUACUGUUGGAGAGCUAGAUGUCCUAGUUAGGGCGGUAAUUCGACUAAAGCAAACCGAGUUUUGAGCGGAGUCAAAUUCGAGCCAAGUUUAAUCGAGUCGAGCCGAGUCGGCUCAUUUAGCUAAUCGAGCCUAAAACUCUGGUCGAACUCGACUCGUUUAAUUUCGCGAGUCAAGUCGACCCAGCUCGUUUAGUUAAAUGAGCUGGUUUUAACGAGUCAAGCGAGUGAGCUCGUAUAAUUUUAACUUAAUCGAGUCUAAAUCUCUACCCGAACUAUUGGCUCGUGUAAUUUCACGAGUAGAAUCGAGCUGGCUCGUUUUAUUAAAGAAGCCGAAAUUUUUGCCCGAAUUUGGCUUGUUUAACAAGCCGAUCUUUCAUCAAAAUUUUCAAACAUUUCUGAAUAUGUAUUUUCAGAGAAUUUCUCCGGCACUCUUAAGGCCUAUAAUUAUUGCAACUCUCACGUUAUGGACCACUAUGUAUUUUACGAGCACGACGAAUCAUGUGGUCAUUAUGGACUCCCCAAGCCUUCGAGGACUCAUUCCAGGUCUUAGGAGGACCACUGCCUAGCUCACCCUCUCGGAGUGAUGUAAAUUAUUUUCCAGACACUAAAAAUAAGUAUUCAGAUUAAUCAUUACAAAAUUAAGGAUAUAAAAUCAGAAUAAAUCCUAAACUUUGAUGAUACAAAAAAAUUAUAAUUGUAAAUUAUACAAUCAAAUUAAAAUCGAAUUAACUUCUCUCACACUUAAAAUUUAUAGCGAUCAAAUCAAAAUCGAAUUAACUUUCCUAUUACUAAAAUUUAAUUACAAUAUUAUUAGAUAAAGAGAAUAUAUAAUAAUCAAGGGAAAAUAGAUUUUUUUUUGCCACUCAACUUAUUGUGUUUUAAGAAAUUUACCACCCAACUAAAUUUUUUUUCCUUUUGCUCACUAAUAUUAGGUUUGGAUUUGUUUUUAGCCACCAACUAAGGUUCGGAUUUGAUUACUAGCAUUAUGAUAAUUUUUUGUCACUAAACUUAUUGCGUCUUUAGAAACUAACCACUCAACUAAUUUUUUUUUUAUUUUACUCACUAAUGUUAGGUUCAGUUUUUUUUUUGUCACUGAAGUUAGGUUCGGAUUUGAUUAUUAGCAUUACAUUAAUUCUGUGUAGCAUUUUUAAAAUAUGGUAGUAGUCUGUGAUAUUUAGAUGAUUUGAUAUAUGUCUGUAUUUAUAUAUAUAGUAUUUUUUAUGUCCCCAAGGUCGUUUACCUUGGGUCAUAAGAAUUUUACACACAUUUUAUGACUUUUAAAAGAUGUAGUUUCAUAAAUAAUUUUAUUUUUUUCUUCCGAAUUAAAAUUCAGCGUUUGAAUUUUACACACAAAAAAAUCGCAAAAAUAAGUUAUGAAACUAUGUUUUAUAAGAGUCUUAAAAUACGUGUUAAACGGUAGAAAAAACUGUAAACUAAUGAAAGGUACAUAGGGAGUAAUAAUAACAUAAAAUGAUGCACAAUCAUCGAAUUAAGUUUUCCUCUCUCUCUAUAUAUUUAUUUUGAAAAUUAUAAUAAGAUAAAGUUAUUAAAAUUUAUGAUAUAAAUUUAAAAGAGAUCUUAGACUGAGUGGCAAAAAUUUAGUUGGAUGGUAAGUUUCUAAAAAUACAAUAAAUUGAGCGGGAACAAAAUCUAUUUUCCCAAUAAUCAAAGUGAUGAAAAAUUAAAGUCAUCUAAUAAGUCCAGAAAAAAUAUGACCAUUAGUAUUUUGGAAUAAUAUUCACGCAUUUAUAUACGAGAAUAUAUGGUCCACAAGUUAGUGCACAAUGUCCAAGAAUCUUUAUCAAAGUAACACGGCAAGCAUGCAGCAUAUAAAUAAGAGUGGGCAGUAUGGUAUUGCAUUCAUAACCCACUUGAGGAGAAAUAUGGCACACUUCCUAAAGCCUUCUCACCUUCUUCUCUUUGUUUUCUCUCUCUCGUUACUUCAAUCCAUUCUACCAACAAGACCAGAGGGAGAAGCUCUUGUGAAAUGGAAGAAUAGCCUAGCCCCUUCUUCUUUUCUCGAUUCUUGGUCACUCACCAAUCUCGAUGAUCUUUGUAACUGGACUGGCAUUACUUGUAACUCUGCAGGUUCAGUCUCUGAGAUUAACCUUUAUGAGAAACAACUUGAUGGAAUGCUGUCCGAGUUUGGCUUCACUUCAUUUCCGAAUCUCAACAAUCUCACCCUCGCAUACAACUUCUUCUCGGGUCCAAUUCCACCAGCCAUUGAGAAUUUAACACAGCUUCAAUAUCUUGAUUUAAGCAUCAAUAGUCUCGAUGGUCCCAUUCCGUUCCAGGUUAGCCAUCUUCAGAGGUUGCUCGUCUUAAACCUGUCACAGAAUGCAUUGCAAGCUCCAAAUUGGUCCAAAUUCUCCCCCAUGCCCUUUUUGUGCAUCCUCAACCUCAGUAGCAAUCCUCUUGCGUCGACAUUCCCAAAUUUCAUAUCCAAUUCUCAUGGCCUGACUCACCUCAGCCUUGAUCAAAACGAGUUUACAGGUGAUUUAGCGCGUGAAUCAAUAUUUGCCAAUCUGCAUAAUCUUGAAGUCCUCAGUCUUGUUGGCAAUUCUUUUGAGGGGGCCAUUUCCGCCAAAUAUAUUCAAGCUUUCCAAAUUAAAACGUCUUACCCUGUCAAGUAACAAAUUUUUAGGAUCAAUUCCCAAUGACAUAAGGUUGCUUUGUGAUCUUGAAUUCCUAUAUUUAGGAAACAAUUCUUUUGAAGGACCGCCUCCACCAAAUAUAUUCAAGCUUUCAAAAUUAAAACAUCUUGUUCUCUGGAGUAAUAAGUUUUCAGGUUCUGUUUCCAAUGAUAUAGGUUUGCUUUCUGCGCUUGAACUUCUGAAUCUUCACUCUAAUUUUUUUGAGGGGCCGCUUCCGCCAAAUGUAUUCAAGCUCUCUAAACUAAGGUUUCUUAACCUCUGGGGUAACAACUUUUCAGGUUCUGUUUCCAAUGAUAUAGGUUUGCUUCCUGAGCUAGAAAUCCUCAAUCUUCACUCUAAUUUUUUUGAGGGGCCGCUUCCGCCAAAUAUAUUCAAGCUCUCUAAACUAAGGUUUCUUAACCUCUGGGGUAACAACUUUUCAGGUUCUGUUUCCAAUGAUAUAGGUUUGCUUCCUGAGCUAGAAAUCCUCAAUCUUCACUCUAAUUUUUUUGAGGGGCCGCUUCCGCCAAAUGUAUUCAAGCUCUCUAAACUAAGGUUUCUUAACCUUUGGGGUAAUAACUUUUCAGGUUCUGUUUCCAAUGAUAUAGGUUUGCUUCCUGAGCUAGAAUUCCUCAAUCUUCACUCUAAUUUUUUUGAGGGGCCGCUUCCGCCAAAUGUAUUCAAGCUCUCUAAACUAAAGUUUCUUCAUCUUCGAGGUAAUAAGUUUUCAGGUUCUGUUUCCAAUGAUAUAGGUUUGCUUCCUGAGCUUGAAAUCCUCAAUCUUCGCUCUAAUUUUUUUGAGGGGCCGCUUCCGCCAAAUGUAUUCAAGCUCUCCAAACUAAGGUUUCUUUCCCUUAAGGAAAAUAAAUUUUCAGGUUCUGUUUCCAAUGAUAUAGGUUUCCUUUCUGAGCUUGAAUACCUAUAUCUUGACUAUAAUUUAUUUGAAGGAAGUAUUCCUAUUGGACUGGGACUCUUGACUAACCUCAGCUACUUAGAUCUAAGUUCCAAUAAUCUCAGUGGCUAUAUUCCAUCUGACAUUGGAAACCUGAAGCUACUAGUAUUUCUUGAUCUCAGUUCUAACCAAUUGACUGGACCGCUUUUAAAGAUCGUUUCUAAUCUCACAAAUCUUAUGAAUCUUGAUGUAAGUGAUAAUAGUCUUAGUGGAAAUAUUCAGAGUGACUUGUGGAAGAACUCUAUAUCCUUACGUUACAUUAAUUUUGCAAAUAAUUAUUUGUCUGGGAACAUUCCUAAGGAAUACAACGAUCAUCCAACUUUGGAAUACAUCAAUUUAAGUGGGAACCAUUUUACAGGUAUAUUUUUCUCUAUAUAUCUUUUCCUUUUCUCAUAUGUAACUAAGCUGGUAAUCUGAUUAUUGCAGUUUUACCAAAGUUUCAACAAUCUUGACAGGUGAGCUUCCAACAACAAUUUGCAAUGUCACUUCCCUUGCGGUUCUUGUUUUGUCAAAUAAUGGAUUAAGUGGAGCACUUCCAAAUUGUUUCGGGAAACUUGCUGAUAGAUUGCUUUCCAUUAAUCUUGCUAAUAAUCAGUUUCGAGGAACAAUACCAACUACUUUCUCCAGGAGUUGUCAGGUGAAAUAUCUAAACAUGGAUAAUAAUGAGUUUGAAAGAUUCUUGCCCCCGUCUUUGGCGAACUGUAAGCACUUGAAAAUUCUUGAUAUUGGCAAUAAUAAAAUAGGUGGUACAUUUCCGUCAUGGCUUUAUGUACUUGGAGAGAUAGAAGUCCUUGUCUUGCGAUCAAAUAAACUCUAUGGUACAAUAAGUGGAAGGAGCGUAAAAGAUCCCUUCCCCAAGUUGCGGAUUGUGGAUCUGUCCAACAAUCAAUUCACUGGUCAUUUGCCAAUUCAAUACUUUAAGAAUAUGAAAUCAACUGAUAAUUUGUAUCGUUAUCAGAAUUCCAAAGGAUAUCUAUCUUUCCAUCAUGAUGCAGCAGUCUCCUUAACUGUGAAGGGAACGGAGUAUGAGGUAGCAAAGAACCUUCAUAUUUACACAGCCAUUGAUCUGUCGUGCAACAAAUUUCAGGGACAAAUUCCAAACGUCACUGGAGAGCUUAGAUGGCUUGCAUUGCUCAAUUUAUCGCAUAAUAGUCUAACAGGACCUAUCCCAUCAUUGCUGAGAAAUAUGAAAGAACUCCAAUCUUUAGAUUUGUCUUCAAAUCAACUGACAGGGGCUAUUCCACCUCAGCUAACUGCAUUGACAUUUCUAGAGGUCUUGAACCUCUCGAAAAACCAUCUUAGUGGAGAGAUUCCUCAGAAAGGACAGUUCAGCACAUUUAACAAUGAUUCUUAUCUAGGAAACUCCGCGUUAUGUGGAUCACCUUUGACGAAGAAAUGUGCAAACACAGCAUCACCUCCACAAGAAGUUGUAAAUGGUGAUGAAGAUGAUGCUGGUGAUGAAAUGACAUGGGAAGCAAUCGUGAUGGGAUAUGGAUGUGGACUGAUAUGUGGAUUGUCAUCUGCGUACAUUGUUCUCAAACUAGGAAAGCCUUGGUGGUUUGUGAGAUAUAUCGAAGUACUGCAACUGAAGUUGAUGAAAAGAUAUGCAUGAAGAAUGGUACUGGCCGAUCAAGACGAACUUGAAAGUUGUUGUCCUUGUGGACAUUUCUGAACCAGUAGUGUACUAGCUACAUAAGUAUUUAGUAUUAUGUAAUAAUCCGUUUGGUCGGGACUCAUAAUGAUUUCUCUUGCUUCAGGGGUAUUAAUAUUAAACUUGCUAUCUUGAUGAAUGUUAAUGUAAAUUAAAAAGAAUAUAAAAUCAAAAAAUUUAAAUCAAACACCUGUUGUACCAAGAUCCAUUAAUUUGCUUUAGUCUCUUACAUAACAAUUUAAUAGCACACUUCCACACUGUUCACACGUGUAAUGUAUAAAAAUUCCAGUCUUCUUCGGAGGCCUACAGCUUCAACAACCUCUCAAAGAUGUAGCAGUUGCUUGACAGUGAUAGAUAUAUAUUAGAUAAACACUAUGCAAUAACCAAAGUGACAGAAAAAUCAAAGUCCGCUAAUAAAUUCAUAAAAAAUAUAAUAAUCAACAACAAGAAUCAUAGUCUUACAAGUUCAUAUAAAAUAUAGGAUCAUUAGUAUUCCACAUGUAUAUUUUCUUCUCUUUCUUUUCGAGUUUUCCUCUCCAGCACCAAAUCCAAAUUAAUAUACAAUGCCACACAUUCCAGUCUCAGCUUCAGCUCCCAGGCUAGCAUUGAUUUAGCCAAGCACGACAGUGGCCGCUCUUGGUCCUGCCUUCAAAUGUCUAACAAUAACAGUUGGAUACGUCGACAAAAAUAUUGUUCCUCAUCAUACUGAGGAGUUAUUGAAUUCGACAGUUUUACACAAAGAAGACAAUUCCAUGGACUAAUCUAUUAGUAACACGUAAGCUAUAAACACGUAGUCCACAUCUAUGCUACGAACAAUUCAUAUUGGUCUUCUAUCUGUGCAACAGUCUCCCGAAGAUAGGCCAAAAAUGUCAUCUGUGGUUCUUAUCUUUGUUAGCAAAGGAGAAUCUCCGAUGCCUAUACAACCUGAUUUUCUUACAGAAAGAAAUGCAAGUGAAACUAGGGUCGGAUACCAUGUUAAAUGAUCAAUUCUCCUAAAACUAGGUUCAGGAUGAUCAUGAUAUAUUCUAACAUCAAGAUUAGCAGGACUAAAAUGAAGAUUUAAAUGGAUUUUAAAAACAAGCUCCUACUGAAUAAAAAGAAUCAUUAAUUUUUCUGACUCAACAUAUGUUAGCCUCCCCUGGCCCUGGGUGAAACCAUAAGCUUCUCUGGUGCACAUCCAAAUCAUUCAGCUGGUUCUACUUUCAGCUCAGCACAGGAACAUCAUUCUGCAGGUACUCUUGUAUCUGUAGUUUCUUAUUAAUUUAUUAACAAAAUUUAGCUAUUAAAUAUUUUGAUAAAAUAUCUAUUUAUUAAAAUAUUUUUUUAUUUAAUUGGUCUGAUAAAAAUAUUAUUGAUAUAUAAAUUUUACCUUUUUUCUGAAACAAAUUAUAAUUUUUGCUUCAAGCUUUUGUAUGAUAAGUUGAGAAAUAUUAGUUUUCUUUAUCACCGUGAGAGUAGAUCCUCGUUCCACAAAAAUUUGUAACUGAAAAAUAAAAUAGAGCCCUAAAACUUUUCGAUAAAUAUGGACUAAACAAUUUUGAUGCUCAAGUCUCAAUAGGAUUUAUAAACGGUCAUGAUGAGUUUGAUUAUCAAUGACACCAAAAAAAUAUUAGAAUUAUAUUUAAGUUAUAAAUUUGUCAAUAAAUUGUGUGAUAAUCAUACUUUCCAAGUCUUCUUCAGAGGCCUCCUGCCUCAACAACCUUUCAAAGAUGUAGUAGUUGUUGCUCGAGAGGGACAAAUAUAUUAGGUAAAGACUAUGCAAUAAUCAACGUGACAGAAAAACCAAAGUCCUCUAAUAAAUUAAUAAAAAAUAUUAUAAUCAAUAUCAAGAAUCAUAUUAUCAUAGUCUUCUAAGUUCAUAUAAAAUAUAGAAUCAUUAGUAUAUAAAUAGAAGAGUGCAGAGUAAAGCCUUUCAUAAUCCAGUUGAGGAGAAAUAUGGCAUACUUUGUAAAGCCUUAUCACCUUCUUCUCUUUGUUUUCUUUCUCUCAUCACUUGAAUCCAUUCUUGCAACAACACGAGAAGGAGAAGCUCUUGUGAAAUGGAAGAAUAGCCUAGCCCCUUCUUCUUUUCUUGAUUCUUGGUCACUCACUCAUCUCGAUAAUCUUUGUAACUGGACUGGCAUUACUUGUAACUCUGCAGGUUCAGUCUCUGACAUUAACCUUUUCAACAAACAACUCACUGGAAAGCUUUUUGAGUUUGGUUUCACUUCAUUUCCAAAUCUCAACAAUCUCACCCUUGCAGAUAACUUCUUCUCUGGUCCAAUACCAUCAGCCAUUGGGAAUUUAACACAACUUCGGUAUCUUGAUUUGAGCAAUAAUUAUCUCAAUGGUUCCAUUCCGUACCAGGUUAGCCAUCUUUCAAGAUUACACAUCUUAAACCUGUCAGAGAAUGAACUGCAAGCUCCAAAUUGGUCCGAUUUCUCCCCCAUGCCUUGUUUGACCAUCCUCGACCUUUAUCAAAAUAAUCUUAUGUCGGAAUUUCCAGAAUUUAUAUCUAACUCGCGUAACCUGACAUACCUUGACCUUUCAUAUAACAAGUUCACAGGCGAUCUUGUGCGCGAAUCAGUAUUAACCAAUCUAGGUGAUCUUGAAACCCUCUAUCUUAAUGAAAAUUCUUUUAGGGGGCCAUUUCCACCAGACAUAUUCAAACUUUCCAAGUUGAGAGUUCUUGCCCUGUUCAAUAAUUUUUUUGAGGGGCCGCUUCCGUCAAAUAUAUUCAAGCUCUCUAAACUAAGAUUCCUUUUACUUUGGAGUAAUAAUUUUUCAGGUACUCUUUCGAAUGAAAUAGGUUUGCUUUCUGAGCUUGAAGACCUAGAUCUUCACUCCAAUUUUUUUGUGGGGCCGCUUCCGCCAAAUAUAUUCAAGCUGUCUAAACUAAGAACCCUUUUCCUCUGGGGUAAUAACUUCUCAGGUUCUAUUUCCAACGACAUAGGUUUGCUUUCUGAGCUUGAACACCUAUAUCUCGACUCCAAUUCUUUUGAGGGACCUUUUCCAACAAAUAUUUUCAAGCUUUCCAAAUUAAUACAACUUGGUCUCGCAAACAAUACAAAUUUAUUUGAAGGAAGUAUUCCUCCAGGACUGGGGCUCUUGACUAACCUAGAGGACUUGUCUCUUGCUUACAAUAAUCUUGGUGGCUAUAUUCCGUCUUCCUUUGGAAACCUAACACUACUAGUAUAUCUUAAUCUCGCUCGUAAUCAAUUGGUUGGAACACUAUCAAAGACCAUUUCUAAUCUCACAAAUCUGUGGUUUCUUGAUGUACAUCAUAAUAGUCUCUCUGGGAAUAUUCAGAGUGACUUCUGGAAAAACUCUACAUCACUGCUUUACAUUAAUUUGGCAGACAAUAAUUUUUCUGGGAACAUUCCUAAGGAAUAUAAUGUUCUUCCAAUCCUGGAUCACAUCAAUUUUAGGGGGAACAACUUUACAGGUAUUUUUAAUUCCAUAUUUUUUCCUUCUGUUGUAUUUAAUUAUGCUAACAACUACUGCCUCUGUUUUCAAAUACAUAUCGUUUGACUUUUUGGCACAAAACUCUAUAAUAAUUCUAACUAUAAGGUCAAUGAACUUAGAAAUAUAUGUCAAAAAGUCAAACGUCAUAUAUUUGAAAUUAGAGGGAGUAUGGCUUAAUGACCUUUUAGCCCUUAAAGUUUGGGUAGAAGUUCCGAUGCGGCGUCGAAGUUUAAAAACGUACCUUUCGACCCUCAAAGUAUCUUUGUCGUACCUUUUAACCCUUAUGGCGUAUACCGGUAUAUAACGGGUGGGCAAAGUUGACAUUUCACACGUGAGGGUUAAAUGGGGCAUUAAACAUUAAGGGUUAAAAGGAACAUUUAAUAUAUUUUAAUGUAUUAUUUAGGGAUUAAAAGGAACGAGAUGUAUACUUUAAGGGUUAAAAGGUACGCCCAAACUUCACCCCGAAUAUGAAUUGUCAAGUUUAUCCCCCGAUUUGUAUCGGUAUUUUUAAAAAGGGCUAAAAAGUACGACAAAGAUACUUUGAGGGUCGAAAUGUACGUUUUUAAACUUUGAGGCCGCAUCGGAACUUCCACCCAUUCUUCGAGGGCUAAAAGGUCAUUAAGCCGAGUAUAUAUUACAGUUUUACCAAAGUUUCAACAAUCAUGACAGGUGAGCUUCCACCAACAAUUUGCGAUGCAACUUCCCUUUCGAUUCUUGAUCUGUCAAAUAAUGGAUUAAGUGGUGCACUUCCACAUUGUUUGGGGAAUCUUGCUGAUAAAUUGAUUUCGAUUAAUCUUGCUAAUAAUCAGUUUCGAGGACCAAUACCAACAAAUUUCUCCAAGAGUUGUCGUCUGACGUAUCUUAACAUCUAUAACAAUCACUUUAAAGGAUUGGUUCCCCAGUCUUUGGCAAACUGUAAGCACUUGCAAAUUCUUGAUUUUGGAAAAAAUGAAAUAGGUGGAACAUUUCCGUCAUGGCUUUUUACUCUUGGAGAGCUAGAAGUCCUGGUCCUGCGAUCAAACAGAUUUUUCGGGAGAAUAACUAGAAGGAGCAUACCACACCCCUUUCCCAAGUUGCGGAUUUUGGAUCUAUCCAACAAUCAGUUCACCGGCUAUCUGCCAAUUUCAUACUUCAAGAAUAUGAAACCAAAUGAUAAUAAUUAUGAUUAUUUCAACAACACAAACGAAGCCUAUUACGUUUAUCAAGUUUCUAUCACAUUAAAUGUGAAAGGAAGCGAGCAUGAAGUGACAAAUAUUCUUUAUAUUUACACGGCCAUUGAUCUGUCGUGCAACAAAUUUGAAGGAAAAGUUCCAGACAUUACCGGAGAGCUUAGAUGGCUUGCAUUGCUAAAUUUAUCUCAUAAUAGUCUUUCGGGGCCUAUUCCAUCACAACUGGGAAAUAUGAAAGAGCUCCAGUCUCUAGAUUUGUCGUCAAAUCAAUUGACAGGUGUUAUUCCGGAUCAACUUACUAGUAUGACAUUUCUUGCUAGUUUGAACCUGUCAGAAAACCAUCUUUCUGGGAAAAUCCCUCGGAAAGGACAGUUCAGCACUUUUGGCGAAGAAUCUUACUUAGGUAACUCGGCCUUGUGUGGAGUUCCUUUGACAAAGAAAUGUAUAGACGAAGUGCCCCCUUCACAAGUUGGAAAUGGCGAUGAUGAAAAUGUUGAUGAAGAUGAUACCGUUGAUGAAUUCAAUUGGAAAGUGAUCCUGAUGGGAUAUGCAUGUGGAUCAAUAGGCGGAUUGUCUGCAGGAUACAUUGUCUUCACAGUUGGAAAGCCUUGGUGGUUUUUGAGGUACAUUGAGACACUGCAGCAGAAGUUGAUGUGAUGCGCAACUAGAAACAACCUUAUCUUAGAAUGAAUCUGAUCAAUGUUAGCAUAUACUGAACUUUUUUUUUUGUAAAUAUGAUUUCAAGUUCUCAUACUAAUACAAGAACCACUUGUUAAAUCUUGACCAUGCUAAGAGGAUGCUGAAUGCUGAUUUAACACUUUGCGAUGCAAAGCAGGGGCGCAUUAGUAUUUUAUAUGUGUUGAUAAUUUGCGCAAUGUUAACAGGGAUAGGUCUUCUUCUCUGCCAGAUCUUCGACAGACUCUUUCAAGGUCUUCUGAGGACCCAUCGGCUCGAAUUAGUCCAUCGUGAAUUAUGAUCUGAGAGCUAUCUGCACACUAUUUCCAGGUCUUCUGUCUCGUUAACUAUGAAAGGAAGAAAUCAUGAAGUGAAUAAAAUUCUUCAUAUUUACACAAUUGAUCUAUCAUGCAACAAAUUUUGAGGAGAAAUUUCAGAGGUUUCCGAAGAGCUUAAAUGGCUUGCAUUGCUCAAUCUAUCUCAUAAUGAUCUUACUAGACAUCUCCCCGUUGCUCGCCAUUAGAAAACAGGGAUUAUUCACUCGUCCGCCGCACCGCGAACUCAUUCUUAGGUGCUCGGAGGUUUUUGAGGAUUCUUGUUGAUUAUUAAUUUUGUGAUUUUGUUGAAUACUCUAUCACUUAAUAAUGUAAUAAUUGUGUUAUUAAAUAAUUAUAUUUUAAAUUGUUAAGGAUAUUGAACUAUUUGUUUGAUUAUUUGGUUUAAAUAUAAAUGUAACUCUUGAAAUACAUUUAUUAUAUAUAUAUUUAACAUGUUAAUAUUUACUGAAUCCCUCGCAUCCGAAUCCCGAUAUUUUUAAAUUUACGGAUUCUCGUAUUCAUGUACCGUGCACUACCAUACCUUCAACCACACUCAUACUUUCUAGCUGCUCGGAAAUAUGAAUCAAUCUUUAGAUUUGUCUUCAAAUCGAUUGACGGAGGCUAUUCCACACCAGUUAGGCAGUUAACUAGAUUGACAUUUCUAGAGGUCUUGAACUUCUCAGAGAAUAAUCUUACCGGGAAAAUACCGCAAAAAGGAAAAAUCAGCACUUUCGAGAAUAUAUGAGUCAGUGUGGUUCACCUGUCUAGACCAAAAAUGUCAUCUGAGAUUCUUAUGUUUUUUAGCUAUAUAUGAGUGGAAGAAAAUUGUCGAGUCGAGGUUAAUCGAAUAAGGCGAGCCGGCUCAUUUUAAUUUAAUUGAGACAAAACUUCUACGGAGUUCGACUCCUUUAAUUAAACGGCUAUGAAAUCUCAUUAAAGUCAGCCUUGUAUAUAAACUCAAGCCAGGUCGAGUUUUAUUGAACAAAUUUCAGCUCAAACCAGUCGCGAGCAGCCCAGCUCAAGUUCGAGGCCUGCUCAUCUGUCUUCGAGUCUUGGACGAGAUUUGAAUCAUCAACUCCUUCCAAAAAGAGUAUUACACUGACAAAAAUGCAGUAACAUGUUUAAUUUAAAAGUAUAUCAUCUGUUCCCGCAGUUUAAUUUUACCCAUAUUUUUGAGAUUCAUAUAAAUUAUAAUUCCAUAAUAUUUUUUCAAUCAUAUUGGUUUUGAAUAAAAAUAUAAAUAUCAAACUUUUAUUUUUAAAAAAAUUAUAAAAUUAUAUUUUAUAAGAGUCUCAAAUACGUGGGAAAGUGGGAGUAUUAAUUUCGCCCACUAAGUCACUGACAGGUUUGUUAAUUUGUUUCCAUUUGAAGGUGUACACUGCAUAUUUUCACCAGGGAUGGCAACAAGUCGAAUCAGUUCAGAUAUAUCAGAUAUCUCAAUCCAAAUCCAAAUUAUUUUUAAAAUCCAAAUCCAAUCGAGUUUCACAUAUCAAAUUCAAAUCCAAAUUCACGGGUUUCAGAUCGGGUUCAGGUUUGUUUGGGUUUAUCCAAAACCCGAAUCCAGAAAUGUAAGUAGUAUUGUAAAAAUAUUAUUUUUUAUUUUUUCACCCUUGAAUUUCAUUAUAUUUAAAACUAAACUACACACAUUCACACUUUAUCUAUCCAUAUUAUAAACACAAUUUAGUAUAUUUAAAAUUGAAAAAAAGUAUAUUAGUAUACUACAUACAUAUAUUUGGAUAUUUGGAAAUUUUUUCGGGUUUUGUGUUUGGAUCGAAUUUAGAUUUCGGGUCCGGUUUUGAUACGGAAUACUUAAUAUCUAAAUCCAAAUUCAAACUGGUUCGGGUCUAAAAAUUAAAUUCAAAUCCAAAUCCAAAAUAUCAUGUUCGUUAAAAUUCAUUCGGGUCGAGGUUGAGUAUCCAUUCGGAUCAGAUUUUUCUCUAACCAAUAAAUUUUGUAAAUGGUCUGCACAAACGCAGUUACCGGCCCAUUUCCGUAUGAAGCCCAUGAACAAUUAUUUGUUCUGUAUAUUUUUCAAUCAAACCAAACCCAAACGCUAACAGCAGAAUUAAUUAAAUUCCUUUCACAUGUGAUUUUGUAAUGGGCCUACAUUACAAAAAUACUGUAGGACUAUCCCACUAUCCCUGACCCUACAUGUUUUCUCAAUAAUUUUGAUAAAUAUAUUAAACAGAUAUUGAACUGUUACAAAAAUAUAACGUCUGUUUUUCAAAUAAGUAACGUACGGUUUCCGAGAGAUAAAGUUUGACUUAUAUUGACAAGAUAACGCUUGAAUUUAAUAUCUUUUUAAAAAAAACUAAUAUAAAAUCUAAAUUAAAUCUUCUUCUUAAAUGAGAAUCCAGAAAAAUCUCAAAAAUUCACAACUACAUCAAUAAAAUAUAAUAUCCAACAUUAAAUAAAAAUCUUUCAAUAUCCAUUUUUUGUGUAAUUUUCAACCAAUCUGCUCUAAUUAUUUCGUCACCUUUUAAAAUUUAAAAUUUUUAAAUACUCAAAACAAUUACCCUAACCGCCAACCACCUUAGAAUUAUAAAAUCUUAAAAUUAAAUGCUAAUAAGAUUAUCAGUGUUACUCACCUAAACCAAAACGGUUACAAAAUCUAACGGCAAUAUUAUAAACUUUUAAAAAUUAAAUUUUUAAUUAAUUUGGCAAGUGGUAUUCAUAUAGAACAAAACAGUUACAAAAUCAAACUGCAAAUUAUAAAAUCUUGAAAUUAUAUUUAAUACUGUAAGAUUUAGCAUGUGGGUCCCACACAAUCAGAAAAUAAUAUGAACACGAAAUCUUGCUCUAUUAAAUACACACACCUGUACAUACAUAUAUAAACACCCACCGCCUCUUCAACUUUCCAACAUCAAAACCCUCGUAAUUCAAUUGGGUUUCUGCUGUUAUUCUCCCCUCUCUCCUCUCUCUCGCCGAGAUUUUUAUAUGCAUACAUGCGUGGGUAUAUGUAUAUGUACACCCCCUUGGCAAAAACACAGACUAAACACUAAAAGAACCCACAGAAUCAUACCCAUGUUAUGGAUAUUAUCUGGGGUUUGUUGAAAUUGUUGUAGAAGGCCUAAAGAUUUGAUUUUGGAGUAGCCCAUUUGGUUCUUGAUUGAAUUUGGUUGUGUUUUGAGUGUGAAAAGGCAAGAUUUUAUGAUUCUUGAUGGAUGAAAGUGCUAUGUUUGGCUUGAAUGGAGAUAAUGANACAAAAUCUUGAAACGCUGUUUCUUGAUGGUAAUUCUUUUGAGGGGACGUUUCCACCGAAUAUAUUCAGGCUUUCUAAAUUAAAACACCUUUCCCUAUCUGCUAAUAAGUUUUCAGGUUCUGUGCCGGAUGACAAGUUGGUGUCGAAAGUGAGAAUGUUGCGGUAGGGGGUGAUUCGGAUGAGCUUGUUGUUGUUGGGGAGACAGGGCAGGUAUAAUGCUGCAUUUGUUGUUUUUGUCGAUAUUAUGUGUUGCUUUUGUGUUUUUUGUUAUGUUUUCAUAUGUUUAGUCCGUUAUUUUUUGGAGAAUUAAGUAGUCUGAUGAAUGUUGAUUAAUCCAAUAUAUAAGCUGGGCGUUUUUGUUUAAUGUGCUUAUUAUGAUUAUAUUAUUUUGUUUGAUAAUUGAAUUGUGUUUAGAUUGUUAAUCCAAAGCCAAGGUCAAAAGACGUAAGGUAACAUUGAUGUUAAUUGAUAAAACUAACCUCAGAAAGUAGAUUGUUUGAGGCAAUAGAGAGUGUGAGCCUCUAUCAUGACAAUUUAAGAAGUUUAUAGUUGAGUCGUUGACUGCAUUACUAUCAAAUGCAUAGGGGUAUGGAAAUGAAAACGGUUAAUAACAUAUGGGCAUUUAACCUAAUAAUUUGACAACUCGACACUCGGACUUGUAUAUGUAAGUUGUAGUAGAUGCAUACGGUGUUUUAGUAGUUUAUUUGUGUACAAAUUAUUUCAUUGGGUAUUAUUUGAAGUGAAUAGUAUAUUGGAUUCAUGCAUGUUCAGACUUUAAUAUCAACAUCUUUCAGAUUUUUCUGGAUAAUGGUUAAUAAAUUCUUUGUUUAAUAAUGACCGCUUCACUUAAUGUCAUUUCUCUUCUUUCUUUUUUUAAUUAUCGGAGUGGAUAUUUAUUUAAUUUUUUCUGAUUUAUGUUGCAACUUCCAAUAUAAUUUGUUUGGGUGCUAUACUUUGAUGGAUUAUAGGUCGCAUGUCGAGACUAUCCUCACCCACGAGAUCUUUGUGCUAAACUUCCCUUUACAUCUACUCCUCAUGAANUGCUAAACCAGGUAAUAAUAUUUUUUCUCAGAAUUAAUUAUUACACCUCUUUUCAGUGCCGAACGUUCUGCGUAUCUUAUUUGACCAUUGUCUGUUGCAGUGUCACUGUUAUGUUUGUGAUGCACCGGCUCCAUGUCUCAAAUGGGGAACUGGCAUAUCUGUCAGUGACCAUUGUCAUGCCACUGGGAAGGUGGAAUUCUGGAAUCAACAAAGCCUAAAUUUUUUGAAAAGGCUUUAAAAAAUUUGGAAUUUUUUAAAAAAAUGAAAAAUGUAAAAAUUAAAAAAAUCUAAAAAUAUCUGGAAAUUCAAAAAAUAUACCUAAAUUUUUGAAAUUAAAAAAUUUUAGAAUUUUUCCAAAUUUUCAGAUUUUUUCAAAGUUUUAAAUUUAUUUUCAAAAUUUUUAGAUUUUUUCGAUGUUUUUUCAUAUUUUUUAAAGUAUUUUAAAAAAAUUCAACUUUAUUAAAAAAUCGAUAUUUAUAUUUUUCUCAAAGUUUUUUUUAUUUUUUUUAAAGGAUUCUGUUAAAGGCAGCUGAUAUUUAACGUCGCAGUGACCUAUUUGCAAACUUUUAUUAGUUCAGUGAGUUGACUGCAACUUAAAUCGAGUUCUGUGAUCCGUUUGCAAACUUUUUAAGUUCAGUGACUUAACUGCAAGUUGGCCAUGAGUUCAAUGAUCUUUUCGCCUAUUAACCCGGACUAAAUCUACUAAAAUGAUAAUUAUGGACUCACAAUGUAUAUUUUUAAUUUAUAUGUUUAGUUAAAAAUUGGUUAAUUUGACUUUCGAAAAUCAAAAUGAACAUGUAAAAGGAGAUCGUGGUAAUAAGCCCCUCAACGUGUGUAAAUGUUAAGUAAAAGGGAUAUGUUUAUUUUUAUUUUAAAAAAGAAUUAAAAAUAUUAUUUUACAAAUUAAAUUAUAAAAUACUCUCUAUAUUCCAAAUUAGUGAGUUCGUUAAUUUUAGGCACACUAAUUUAGAUGAUUUAACUGCAUAGCUAUAUAAUUUAUUUUUAAUAUUUUUAAAAAACAAUUAAAAAUAAUUUCACGAAUAACAGAUGAUCAUUAUCUUUUAAAUCACAUGCUGAAAAUCGGAUGUUGCCCUUAUCAUUAUCACAUUUUUAAGUAGUAAUGUCUCGAAAAUUAAAUAUUAGAUCCAAUAUGAUUUCAAAUAUCACUUUAUAAUAUUCUUUUUUGUCAUAAUAUCACUUAAUAAUGUUAAAUGAGUGACGUUUAUAUUUUUUUUAAAGUGUUACACAAUGAGAAACUCUAAAAAAUAUAACGGUAGAUAAUGUAGUAUCAUAUCAAAACAUUACUUUAUCUAACCAGAACAUAAUAUUCCAAGGACAAUUUAACUUUUUUUAUAAUAUUCAGAACCUUCUUUUUUUUUUUUGAAUAAAAGACAAAUUUCAUUAAUACGAAAUGUCAUACAGAAAAAUCUCCAACAAUACAUCUCGAGGAGACAUAAACACUUUUUGACAAUUUAAAGAACAGGAUAAUUUAGCUACUAGAUGAGCUACUCCAUUCGCUUGUCGUUUAACAAAUGAAACUGAAUAACAUGGCUUCGAAUUUAAAAUAAGCUUGCAGGCAUUCAAGAUGUGACCAACUUCUAAAAGAUUUUCCUGAGAGUCAUGCAAGGCUUUAAUGGCCAGGAGAGAGUCUGAUUCAAUUUCCACCACCUCAUGAUUUAAUGAGCACAACCACGGGAGACCUUCAAAAGAGAAAAGGCCCCCAGUAACCUUUUUUUAGUGUCAAAUGCCCUAGUUGUCAUUAUAAUAAAAAAUGGCCCUCAUUAUCACUCUAUAACACUACUUAAACUCACGUUCUGUUUUUCCAUCAUAAACGGCACACGCAACAGUGUUUCCAGGUUUAAUACUUUUUAAAAAAAGUCUAACGUAACAUGAAGUUACGUUCACUGAUCUGAGUUUUUUUUUCAUAUUACUCACAUCUUGCUUAUUUCCAUAUAGAAAGAAAUUCACUCACUAGUCAACGUUAUAACAAAUUAUAAUAAUAUUUAACCAGUGCACCCCAAAGGGUAGCGGCUGCGGUUUCCUACGUUAAAAAGAAUAUUUAAGCGUUCAUACAUGGGGUUUAGAAAAAUUUGUUUAUAAUUGUAAAUUAAUUUUCUGAACGUUAGGGUUUAGGAUUGAGGGUGUAGGGCCGGUAGGCCCUACUCCCUCGAGCCUAAAACCUAAUUAAUGCGAGGCUGAAGGGCCGAAGGCCCUGAAGCCGAGAAAUCGGCAGAAUAAAUAAAUUUACAAUCGUUAACAUUUAGGGUUUAGAUUUGGGUUGCAGAAUGAUUAAUUCAUACUGUAAAUUAAUUGGCCGAACGUUAGGGUUUAGGAUUGAGGGUGUAGGGCCGGUAGGCCCUACUCCCUCGAGCCUAAACCCUAAUUAAUGCGAGGCUGAAGGGCCGAAGGCGAGAAACCGGCGGAAUAAAAAAAUUUACAAUCGUUAACAUUUAGGGUUUAGGUUUGGGUUGCCAUAAUGAUUAAUUCGUACUGUAAAUUAAUUGGCUAAACGCUAGGUUUUAGGAUUGAGGGUGUAGGGCCGGUAGACCCUCCUCCCUCGAGCCUAAACCCUAAUUAAUGCGAGGCUGAAGGGCCGAAGGCGAGAAACCGGCGGAAUAAAUAAAUUUACAAUCGUUAACAUUUAGGUUUAGGUUUGGGUUGCCAUAAUGAUUAAUUCGUACUGUAAAUUAAUUGGCCAAACGCUAGGUUUUAGGAUUGAGGGUGUAGGGCCGGUAGACCCUACUCCCUCGAGCCUAAACCAUAAUUAAUGCGAGGCUGAAGGACCUUCAAGCCCUAAACGCUCGAGCCUAAACCCUAAUUAACUCGAGGCUCUAGGGCCGUGAGACCCUAAAGCCGAGGAACCGGAAUUAAAAUAUAAAACAAAAUUUUAAAUGGCGUUUAAAGUGGCGACAGAAUUGUAAGUUGGGUGUUAAGCUAGCAAACGACAUUAAGUUACGUUUUAGAUUUUUAGGUUAUUAAAAAAUAAAAAAAAAAAUCAAGAACGUCACAUGAAGGCACGUUUUACUUCUGAUAUCAAGAACGUCACAUGAAGGCACGUUUUACUUCUGAUAAACACACCAGCACGUGACUAAAGUCUCGUUUUCAUAUAUAACAGCAAUUGAAGUGACGUUUUGCUUUUUUUAGUUUAAAAUAAUAACCCCAUAACGUGACCAGGAGUCACGUUUUAGUAUAAAUCCUAAACGCUGCUUCAGAACAUGUUUUGGAGUGACACCCGGGGCCAUUUUACGGGAUUGUGACUUUAAGGUCCAUAUUGUUACUGAUGGUGACUCACAGGGCCAACACCCCCUUCAAAAAUAGCGCUUGCUUCGGCUUCAAGGACAGUAGCCACCAUGGCUUUACAUAUUGUUUUACCCAUCACAAAAACUCCCUCGCUGUCACGCAGAACCAAACCCAACGAGACCGAGGCCUCACCGAAACGCACACCUGCAUCAACAUUUAGUUUGAGAACUCCAUCCGUCAGCUUUUUCCACUUCACUCGAGAAGAAGAUGCGGAACUAGAAGUACUACCAACCUGAACAACACGCUUAGCUUUAGCCUCCUUCCAGUCAGAAAUAAUCUUAGCGCUCCAAUCCAUAGCUAUAGCAGCUGUAACAACCUUGUGAUCCCAAACCUUCUUGUUUCGAAAAAACCAAAUUCCCCAAAGAACUCGAGCAAUAUUAAAAGUUUCAUGAUCAGGACCUGAUUCAAACCUAGCAAGUAACCAAGAGGGGGCAAACUCCACCAGAGACAAAUCAAAGACCAUACCUGAGUAUUGCCAACAUAACAUUGCAAACUGGCAGGUGAAAAAUAUGUGAAUAAGGUCUUCGUCACCAGAGUUACACAUGGGACAGUCAAGAGAAAGAUUUACUCCCUUAGAUUGUAAUCGACUUUUCACAGGCACAUUAUUCCUGCAAAAACGCCAUAAAAACACUUUGAUCUUAAGAGGAACCUCCAACUGCCAGAGUUUCUUCCACCCACUAGAUUGUGUAACAGUGCCAGUGCCAAUAUUUUGGGCAUGUCAAAACUGGUAACCUGUUUUCACAGAAUUUUGGCUGUUAGUAGUCUUUGACCAAGCUAGACGAUCCACGGUCGACCUACAGGGAACAUAAGUUUUUAAAAAUUAUGUAAUUCAUUCAAUUCCGUAUCAGACAAUACAUCUUAUCAUCGGUGAUAAUGAAAAUAGUGUAGAUGUUUGACCUAGUCCCUGUUUGACAACCAAUAUAAUAAGAAAUAAAUUCUUAUUUUUCUAAAAAAUAUAUUUUUGUAUAUAAAUGUUAAAGAGAUAUUUCUUAUUUGUUGUUUGAAAAAAGUAAAGACUUAUUUCAGAAUAAAAAAAAAUUAUUGUACAUUCUCUUUAUUUCUGAAAAUAAGUUUGGUCAAAUCAUCCAUAAUUCACGUAAUUCAAAAGCCCAUUAAUUUUUUUUUUCUUGCUAAUUGAUCAGCACACGCACACGUUUCCAACUUCCCGCAAAGGGUACAGGAGUACCACCGGAGUACCAUCACACCGACGCUUUGUUGGGCCCAAUAAUUGGCUGAAGUUGAACGGGGCUUUCUGCCUCCGCUGGACCCCAGUUGGGAGGACUCUUUCCAAGUCUUUCGGAGCCUCUUUCCCAUUGACUCCAACUUUCCAGGGUGUAUACAAAUUUUUUGAAAGAGGGUGUAUACAAAUUAUUCACGGCCAUCAAAUCAACCAGCGUAGCUGGUGAACAAAUAUUAUUGUUUAUUAUAAUUUUAUUUAAUUUAAAUGUGAUUAUAAGAACAUAAGAGGACGUUUGAAAGUGUGGGUCUUAUUUCAAACAGUAGAUUUAAAAAAAUAUGAUUUCAAUUGUUAUUUAAAAUUCUUAAAUUUAUAUUAUAUUAAAAUGUUCUUAUUCUAAUUAAUGAGUCACUAUUCGUAUUCUCAAGCAUGUUAGUUUGUUAAAAUUUAAAAUUUCAAAUGAAAUUAGGCUAAAAGACCAUAAUAUCAAAGCAAAAUCUCAUUAUCCAAUAUAUUGGUGGGCAAAAAUAUUAAACCUGGCUAUUCAUUAAUAUUGGUUCUUUAUUCAAAUUAUGUCAAAUUUAUAUAAAAUUUCGAAAAUUAUUUAUGAAUAAGAGUCGGCAUUCAUAUAUUUAUUAAGGAUACAAGUGAGAAAAUGUUAUUAAAUUAAUAUUUUUUUAAUAUACGUAAGUUUUUUAAAAUAAAUUUGUAGCGUGGGACGGGAGUAUUAGACUGAUUCUGGCUUGGAGUGAAUCAGCCCAUAAAGUUUACAGGGUAGAUGACCAUUCUUAAAUCUUAAAGAAUCUUACGGUGACAGCUAACUGAACGACUCGGUUUCAGAAGUGCUGAAAAGUUUCGACGUAAACUACAAUUUGCCUAGCAUGUAAUUUCCAUGCAUUUUCUCGUUACUAGUGACAGAUAACUUUUUUGAUAUUUAUAUAUUUUUAAUUAUAAUAAAGAUACUAGUGAUUAUGGUUAGCUUUUGGAGUACUUUCGGAGUACUUGGAAAUUUUCUUUUCGAGAAAGACGAGAGUACCUAUUUCAAUUUUUUACCAAAAAUUAUAAUUGAAAACAACGGACUUUUAUACUUAUCAUAACAAUUUUUAACAUCUUGUUUAGAAAUAACCUGUUGUUGUAUUAUGCAAAAGUAAUAUCACUAGUUUCUAUAUUCGUAUUCUAAUGAUAAUAAAAACAUCUCUAAUUCAUUAAAACUCUUACAUAGAAAAUGAUAAAAAAAAAAAAGAAGAUAUAAAAUAAUUUAUUAAAAAUAUAUCAAAGNGAAGAUAUAAAAUAAUUUAUUAAAAAUAUAUCAAAGUUUUUGCACUCGGUUAUAAUUAUUGUGUAAUUUCUUUUUUCAAUUCCAAGAUAUUGUUAUAAGAAAAUUUUACAUCAUAUAUAUAUUACAAAAAAAAUUAAUGUAUUCUAUAUAUAUAUAUAUAUAUAUAUAUAUAUAUAUAUAUAUAUAUAUAUAUAUAUAUAUAUACAAUAAANNNNNNNNNNNNNNNNNNNNNNNNNNNNNNNNNNNNNNNNNNNNNNNNNNNNNNNNNNNNNNNNNNNNNNNNNNNNNNNNNNNNNNNNNNNNNNNNNNNNNNNNNNNNNNNNNNNNNNNNNNNNNNNNNNNNNNNNNNNNNNNNNNNNNNNNNNNNNNNNNNNNNNNNNNNNNNNNNNNNNNNNNNNNNNNNNNNNNNNNNNNNNNNNNNNNNNNNNNNNNNNNNNNNNNNNNNNNNNNNNNNNNNNNNNNNNNNNNNNNNNNNNNNNNNNNNNNNNNNNNNNNNNNNNNNNNNNNNNNNNNNNNNNNNNNNNNNNNNNNNNNNNNNNNNNNNNNNNNNNNNNNNNNNNNNNNNNNNNNNNNNNNNNNNNNNNNNNNNNNNNNNNNNNNNNNNNNNNNNNNNNNNNNNNNNNNNNNNNNNNNNNNNNNNNNNNNNNNNNNNNNNNNNNNNNNNNNNNNNNNNNNNNNNNNNNNNNNNNNNNNNNNNNNNNNNNNNNNNNNNNNNNNNNNNNNNNNNNNNNNNNNNNNNNNNNNNNNNNNNNNNNNNNNNNNNNNNNNNNNNNNNNNNNNNNNNNNNNNNNNNNNNNNNNNNNNNNNNNNNNNNNNNNNNNNNNNNNNNNNNNNNNNNNNNNNNNNNNNNNNNNNNNNNNNNNNNNNNNNNNNNNNNNNNNNNNNNNNNNNNNNNNNNNNNNNNNNNNNNNNNNNNNNNNNNNNNNNNNNNNNNNNNNNNNNNNNNNNNNNNNNNNNNNNNNNNNNNNNNNNNNNNNNNNNNNNNNNNNNNNNNNNNNNNNNNNNNNNNNNNNNNNNNNNNNNNNNNNNNNNNNNNNNNNNNNNNNNNNNNNNNNNNNNNNNNNNNNNNNNNNNNNNNNNNNNNNNNNNNNNNNNNNNNNNNNNNNNNNNNNNNNNNNNNNNNNNNNNNNNNNNNNNNNNNNNNNNNNNNNNNNNNNNNNNNNNNNNNNNNNNNNNNNNNNNNNNNNNNNNNNNNNNNNNNNNNNNNNNNNNNNNNNNNNNNNNNNNNNNNNNNNNNNNNNNNNNNNNNNNNNNNNNNNNNNNNNNNNNNNNNNNNNNNNNNNNNNNNNNNNNNNNNNNNNNNNNNNNNNNNNNNNNNNNNNNNNNNNNNNNNNNNNNNNNNNNNNNNNNNNNNNNNNNNNNNNNNNNNNNNNNNNNNNNNNNNNNNNNNNNNNNNNNNNNNNNNNNNNNNNNNNNNNNNNNNNNNNNNNNNNNNNNNNNNNNNNNNNNNNNNNNNNNNNNNNNNNNNNNNNNNNNNNNNNNNNNNNNNNNNNNNNNNNNNNNNNNNNNNNNNNNNNNNNNNNNNNNNNNNNNNNNNNNNNNNNNNNNNNNNNNNNNNNNNNNNNNNNNNNNNNNNNNNNNNNNNNNNNNNNNNNNNNNNNNNNNNNNNNNNNNNNNNNNNNNNNNNNNNNNNNNNNNNNNNNNNNNNNNNNNNNNNNNNNNNNNNNNNNNNNNNNNNNNNNNNNNNNNNNNNNNNNNNNNNNNNNNNNNNNNNNNNNNNNNNNNNNNNNNNNNNNNNNNNNNNNNNNNNNNNNNNNNNNNNNNNNNNNNNNNNNNNNNNNNNNNNNNNNNNNNNNNNNNNNNNNNNNNNNNNNNNNNNNNNNNNNNNNNNNNNNNNNNNNNNNNNNNNNNNNNNNNNNNNNNNNNNNNNNNNNNNNNNNNNNNNNNNNNNNNNNNNNNNNNNNNNNNNNNNNNNNNNNNNNNNNNNNNNNNNNNNNNNNNNNNNNNNNNNNNNNNNNNNNNNNNNNNNNNNNNNNNNNNNNNNNNNNNNNNNNNNNNNNNNNNNNNNNNNNNNNNNNNNNNNNNNNNNNNNNNNNNNNNNNNNNNNNNNNNNNNNNNNNNNNNNNNNNNNNNNNNNNNNNNNNNNNNNNNNNNNNNNNNNNNNNNNNNNNNNNNNNNNNNNNNNNNNNNNNNNNNNNNNNNNNNNNNNNNNNNNNNNNNNNNNNNNNNNNNNNNNNNNNNNNNNNNNNNNNNNNNNNNNNNNNNNNNNNNNNNNNNNNNNNNNNNNNNNNNNNNNNNNNNNNNNNNNNNNNNNNNNNNNNNNNNNNNNNNNNNNNNNNNNNNNNNNNNNNNNNNNNNNNNNNNNNNNNNNNNNNNNNNNNNNNNNNNNNNNNNNNNNNNNNNNNNNNNNNNNNNNNNNNNNNNNNNNNNNNNNNNNNNNNNNNNNNNNNNNNNNNNNNNNNNNNNNNNNNNNNNNNNNNNNNNNNNNNNNNNNNNNNNNNNNNNNNNNNNNNNNNNNNNNNNNNNNNNNNNNNNNNNNNNNNNNNNNNNNNNNNNNNNNNNNNNNNNNNNNNNNNNNNNNNNNNNNNNNNNNNNNNNNNNNNNNNNNNNNNNNNNNNNNNNNNNNNNNNNNNNNNNNNNNNNNNNNNNNNNNNNNNNNNNNNNNNNNNNNNNNNNNNNNNNNNNNNNNNNNNNNNNNNNNNNNNNNNNNNNNNNNNNNNNNNNNNNNNNNNNNNNNNNNNNNNNNNNNNNNNNNNNNNNNNNNNNNNNNNNNNNNNNNNNNNNNNNNNNNNNNNNNNNNNNNNNNNNNNNNNNNNNNNNNNNNNNNNNNNNNNNNNNNNNNNNNNNNNNNNNNNNNNNNNNNNNNNNNNNNNNNNNNNNNNNNNNNNNNNNNNNNNNNNNNNNNNNNNNNNNNNNNNNNNNNNNNNNNNNNNNNNNNNNNNNNNNNNNNNNNNNNNNNNNNNNNNNNNNNNNNNNNNNNNNNNNNNNNNNNNNNNNNNNNNNNNNNNNNNNNNNNNNNNNNNNNNNNNNNNNNNNNNNNNAAUCAUCUGACAGGGCCUAUCCCCCAAAAAGGACAGUUCAGCACAUUCAACAAGGAUUCUUACCUAGGUAACUUUGCCUUGUGUGGAUUACCUUUAACUAAUAACUGUACACACACUGUGUCACCACCACAAGAAGGCGGAACUGGUGACAAUGAUGCCUAUGAUGAACCCGAUUGGGAAGUGAUCCUCAUGGGAUAUGGAUGUGGACUAAUAUGCGGAUUGUCCACUGGGUACGUUGUCUUCACAUUCAGAAAGCCUCAGUGGUUUAUGAGAUACACUGAAAGCGUGCAACAGAAGUUGAUGAGAUGAUGCAUGUUGAGUACCGUUCAAUCAUGAAGCACAACUGGAAACAAUGUUAUCUUAGGAAAACAUGUGUUCUGAACCAGUAGUGUUUGCACAAAAUUUGUGGUGCUAUGUAAUACUUAUAUAAUUGUACGUAUGAUUAUUGAUUAGUCGUUGAGAAAAUGCAUUUUAUUUCAGUGUCAAUGAUAAUCUACAUGUUUUGGAUACUUCCAGCUUCUCAUACUAAUAUAGGAACCACUUGAAAAAUUUUGCGAUGCAAAGCAGGGACUCAUGAGUAUUUUCAUAUGUGUAUUAGUUUUGAAGAUAAAAGUUGUAUGGACAAUUGUGUUGAUAAUUUGCGCAAUGAUAACUGGGAUAGGUCAUCUUCUCUCCCAAGUCUUGGAUGGACUCUUUCCAAGUCUUCUGAGAACCCAUCAGCUCAGAUUAGUCCAUACAAUGUCAAGGGUCCUAUGAUAUGGUCUACUAACAGCCCAGUGUCGGUAAUAAAUCCAAUUGCAUAUAACCUAUUCAAAAUCAAUCCCCUAUAAACAAUCAUCUCUAAAAACUAUUCACAUAAAAUAAAAUUUUAAAAAUAUAAAAUAUCUAGUUGUUUUCAAUAUAUAAUUUUCCACAGUAGAUAACAAAAUAUCUUUAUCAAAUUAUAUUAUUUAUGGGUUCAAUAUUUAAGCUAUAAUUCCAAUAACACGGCAAGCAUGCAUGCAGCAUAUAAAUAGAAGUGUGCAGUAUGUAUGGUAUUCAUAACCCAGUUGAGGAGAAACAUGGCACACUUUGUAAAGCCUUCUCACCUUCUUCUCUUUGUUUUCUUUCUCUCAUCACUUGAGUCCAUUCUUGCAACAAGACGAGAGGGAGAGGGAGAAGCUCUUGUGAAAUGGAAGAAUAGCCUAGCCCCUUCUUCUUUUCUCGACUCUUGGUCACUCACCAAUCUCGAUAAUCUUUGUAACUGGACUGGCAUUACUUGUAACUCUGCAGGUUCAGUCACUGAGAUUAACCUUUUCGGAAAAAAACUUGAUGGAAGGCUGUCCGAGUUUGGUUUCACUUCAUUUCCAAAUCUCAACAAUCUCACCCUUGCAGAUAACUUCUUCUUGGGUCCAAUACCACCAGCCAUUGAGAAUUUAACACAGCUUCAGUAUCUUGAUUUAAGCUUUAAUUAUCUCGAUGGUCCCAUUCCGUUCCAGGUUAGCCAUCUUCAAAGGUUGCUUGUCUUAAACGUGUCACAGAAUGCAUUGCAUUCUCCAAAUUGGUCCAAUUUCUCAAACAGAUGAAAUUAUGCAACUGAAAUUGAUGUAGUCUUAAAGAAUUCUCAGGCACUUAAACAUGUUUCAAAGAAUUCUCAGGCACUUAAACAUUUGGACGGGUUCUUUGGAAGCCAAGAUGCCCAGGUUAUCAUGGCCAUGCACAAAAUGCAGUAUAAAAAAAAAAUGAAUACCUUAAGAGAGAUUGCUCUGGGUCUCCCCAAGCCUUCUAGACUCAUUCCAAGUCUUCUGAGGACCACUGCCUCGCGCUUUCAAAGAUGUGAUGGUAGCUCGGGAGUGAUAUAAAUUAUUUUCGGGACACUAAUAAUAAAUAAUCAGAUCAAAUUAAUCAUCAAUAAUAAAUUGAGGAUACGAAAUCAAAAUUAAUCCUAAAUUUUGAUAAUAUAUAAAAAUUACUUUACGUACACUGUUUGCACGCAUUUUGAGCUCGUAUAAAGUAUAGUUUCAUAACUUUUUUUAAAAAAUUUCUUUUUUGAUAAAAGUUUAAACGUCAAACUUUUAUUCAGAGAAAAAAAAUUAAAAAAUAUAUCACGGAACUAUACUUUAAAUUAGUAUGGAAAAACGUGCCAAAAUUAACGUAAAGAAAUGAGGGGAACAAAGAUAGUAUAAUUAUAUUAUAAAUUAAAAUUGAAAUAACUUACGUGGCACUGAAAUUGAUAAAGGCAAUAUGGUUAAAUUGAUGAAAAGUCAAAGUCCUCUAAUAAAUCCAUAAAGAAUAUAAUAAUCAAAACGACGAAAAUUAUAAAUGAAAAAUCAAAAUCAUCCUAAUAAGUACACAAAAAGAAUAUGAUCGUUAGUGUAUUGGAAUAGUGUGCACACACUUAUAUAUCAAAAUUUGUGGUCCAAAAGCUAUGGCACAAUAUUCUAAAUACACCACAUUAAGUAAUAGUUCAAAAAUAUUCAAUAUAUAAUUGUUUUCAUUCAUAAUUUUGUUAUUAUUUUAAAAAAUAAUUUGGUUGCUGUUAACCUAUAUUUCAAUUAUAUAAUUAUAUUAUUUUUUAUUUUAUGUAUCUAGAAACAAUAUUUUUGUAAUAUUUAUUACAUUAAUUAUAUUAAAAGAUAUAAUUUGUUAAAAACUUGAAUAAAAUUAAGAGGAUAACUUUAUGUCUCUCCAAGUUCACAGCACGGGUGAGCAUUGGGUUCGGAUAUCCAUAUACCGAAUGGAUAUAUCAAAUCAAAACUAAUCAUGAAUUAUGAUAAUAAUUAAAUAAAUUAUAAUUAAGCUAUAUGAAUCAACUCCAAAUGACAACAACAGCACCAAACCUUAGUUACUUUAAUAUUGGUAAAUAAAUAUAAUAUAAUAAUCAAAUUGAUGAAAAAUCACAUCAUCUAAUAAAUUCACAAAAAAUAUAUGAUCAUUAGUAUAUUAUAUUAGUAUCCACACACUUAUAUUUCAAAAUCUAUCCUCCAAAAUUAUCAUCUCUGUAAGCUAGCCACAUAAAAUAAAAAAUUUAAAGAUAUUAGAUAUUUAGUUAUUUUCAUUAUAUAAUUUUUCCACACGAAAUAACAAAAUAUCUUUAUCAAAUUAUUAUUUAUGAGUUAAAUAUUCAAGUUAUAAAUCCAGUAUUCAGCGUAUAAAUAGAAGUGUGCAGUAUGAUAUCAGAUUCACAUAACCCAGUUGAUGAGGAGAAACAUGGCAUACUCUGCAAAGCCUUCUCACCUUCUUCUCUUUGUUUUCUUUCUCUCAUCACUUGAAUCCAUUCUUGCAACAACACGAGAGGGAGAAGCUCUUGUGAAAUGGAAGAAUAGCCUAGCCCCUUCUUCUUUUCUCGAUUCUUGGUCCCUCACCAAUCUCGAAAAUCUUUGUAACUGGACUGGCAUUACUUGUAACUCUGCAGGUUCAGUCUCUGAGAUUAACCUCUGUGAGAAACAACUUGAUGGAAUGCUGUCCGACUUCGGUUUCACUUCAUUUCCAAAUCUCAAGAAUCUCACCCUCGCAUACAACUUCUUCUCGGGUCCAAUACCACCAGCCAUUCAGAACUUAACAAGGCUUCAAUGCCUUGAUUUAAGCUUUAAUUAUCUCAAUGGUCCUAUUCCGUUCCAGGUGAGCCAUCUUCAGAGCUUGCUCAUCUUGAACCUGUCACAGAAUGCAUUGCAAACUCCAAAUUGGUCCCAUUUCUCUCCCAUGCCUUUCUUGCGCAUCCUCAACCUCAGUUACAAUCCUCUUGCGUCGAAAUUCCCAGAUUUUAUAUCCAGUUCUCAUAGCCUGACUCACCUUAGCCUUAAUUAUAACGAGUUUACUGGUGAUUUAGUACGUGAAUCAGUAUUUGCCGAUCUGCAUAAUCUUGAAAAGCUCAGUCUUGUUGGCAAUUCUUUCGAGGGGCCAUUUCCGCCGGAUAUAUUCAGGCUUUCCAAAUUAAAACAUCUUAGCAUGUCAGAUAACAAACUUUCAGGUUCAAUUCCCAAUGACAUAAGGUUGCUUUGUGAUCUUGAAUACCUAUAUUUAGCCAACAAUUCCUUUGAAGGACCGCUUCCACCAAAUAUAUUCAAGUUUUCAAAAUUAAAACAUCUUGUUCUUUGGGGUAAUAAGUUUUCUGGUUCUGUUUCCAAUGAUAUAGGUUUGCUUUCUGAGCUUGAAACUCUCGAUCUUAGCUCUAAUUUUUUUGAGGGGCCGCUUCCGCCAAAUGUAUUCAAGCUCUCCAAACUAAAAGUUCUCACCCUGUCAAUUAACAAAUUUUUAGGUUCAAUUCCCAAUGACAUAAGGUUACUUUGUGAUCUUGAAUACCUAUAUUUAGGCAACAAUUCCUUUGAAGGACCGCUUCCACCAGGUAUAUUCAAGCUUUCAAAAUUAAAACAUCUUUUUCUUUGGGGUAAUAAGUUUUCAGGUUCUGUUUUCAAUGAUAUAUGUUUGCUUUCUGAGCUUGAAACCCUCGAUCUUAACUCUAAUUUUUUUGAGGGGCCGCUUCCGCCAAAUGUAUUCAAGCUCUCCAAACUAAAGAUUCUUUCCCUUUAUGUGAACAACUUUUCAGGUUUUAUUUCUAAGGAUAUAGGUUGGCUUUUUGAACUUGAAACCCUCUAUCUUGGCUCUAAUUUUUUUGAGGGGCCGCUUCCCCCACAUGUAUUUAGGCUCUCCAAAUUAAGAGAUUUGGACCUCUCAGACAAUAGAAAUUUAUUUGAAGGAAGUAUUCCUAUUGGACUGGGACUCUUGACUAACCUCAGGUACUUAGAUCUACAUUUCAGUAAUCUCAGUGGCUAUAUUCCAUCUGACAUUGGAAACCUGAAGCUACUAGUACUUCUUGAUCUCAGUUCUAAUAAAUUGACUGGACCGCUUUCAAAGAUCAUUUCUAAUCUCACAAAUCUUAUAUUUCUUGAUGUAAGUGAUAAUAGUCUUAGUGGAAAUAUUCAGAGUGACUUGUGGAAAUAUAACGAUCAUCCAACUUUGGAAUACAUCGAUUUAAGUGGGAACCAUUUUACGGGUAUAGUUUUUCUCUAUAGAUCUUUUCUUUUUCUCAUAUGUAACUAAGCUAGUAAUCUGAUUAUUGCAGUUUCACCAAAGUUUCAACAAUCUUGACAGGUGAGCUUCCAACAACAAUUUGCAAUGUCACUUCCCUUUUGGUUCUUGAUUUGUCAAAUAAUGAAUUAAGUGGUGCACUUCCAAACUGUUUCGGGAAUCUUGCUGAUAGAUUGCUUUUCAUUAAUCUUGCUAAUAAUCAGUUUCGAGGAACAAUACCAACUACUUUCUCCAGGAGUUGUCAGCUGACAUAUCUAAACAUGGAUAAUAAUGAGUUUGAAGGAUUGUUGCGCCCAUCUUUGGCGAACUGUAAGCACUUGAAAAUUCUUGAUAUUGGCAAUAAUAAAAUAGGUGGUACAUUUCCGUCAUGGCUUUAUGCACUUGGAGAGCUAGAAGUCCUUGUCUUGCGAUCAAAUAAACUCUAUGGUACAAUAAGUGGGAGGAGCAUAGAAAAUCCCUUCCCCAAGUUGCGGAUUGUGGAUCUGUCCAACAAUCAAUUCACUGGCCAUUUGCCAAUUCAAUACUUUAAGAAUAUGAAAUCAACUGAUAAUUUGUAUAGUUAUCAGAAUGACACAGGAGUUUUUUCUUUCCAUUAUGAAGCAUCUGUAUCAUUAACUGUGAAGGGAACAGAGUAUGAAGUGAAAAAUAUCCUUCAUAUUUACACAACCAUUGAUCUGUCCUGCAACAAGUUUCAAGGAGAAAUUCCUGACGUUAUUGGAGAGCUUAGAUGGCUUGCAUUGCUGAACUUAUCUCAUAAUAGUCUAACAGGACAUAUCCCAUCAUUGCUGAGAAAUAUGAAAGGACUCCAAUCUUUAGAUUUGUCUUCAAAUCAACUGACAGGGGCUAUUCCACCUCAGUUAACUGCAUUGACAUUUCUAGAGGUCUUGAACCUCUCGGGAAACCAUCUUAGUGGAGAGAUUCCUCAGAAAGGACAGUUCAGCACAUUCAACAAUGAUUCUUAUCUAGGAAACUCCGCGUUAUGUGGAUCACCUUUGACAAAGAAAUGUGUAAACACAGCAUCACCUCCACAGGAAGUCGGAAAUGGUGAUGAAGAUGAUGCUGGCGAUGAAUGGACAUGGGAAGCAAUCGUGAUGGGAUAUGGAUGUGGACUGAUAUGUGGAUUGUCGUCUGCGUACAUUGUUCUCAGACUAGGAAGGCCUUGGUGGUUUGUGAGAUAUAUCGAAGUACUGCAACUGAAGUUGAUGAAAAGAUAUGCAUGAAGAAAGGUACUGGUAGAUCAAGAUGAACUUGAAAGUUAUUUUCGUGGAUGACAUUUGUGAACCAGUACUGUACUAGCUGCUUAAGUAUUUGGUAUUAUGUAAUAAUCCGUUUGGUCGGGACUCAUAAUGAUAUUUCUUGCUUCAGGGGUAUUAAUAUAAACCUUGGUAUUGUGUACUAGCUGUCUGUUUGGUCGUGACUCAUAAUCUUUCAUGUAUUAACAUAAGGUUUUAAUACAUCCCGUACCAGGUUAGCCAUCUUCAGAUAUUACACAUCUUACUGCUGUCGCAUAAUGAAUUGCAAUCUCCAAAUUGGUCCAACUUCUCUUCCAUGCCCUUUUUGCGCAUCCUCGGCCUUGGCAGCAAUAAUCUGGUGUCAAAAUUCCCAGAAUUUAUAUCUGACUCUCAUAGCCUCACUUUCCUUGACCUUUCUUUUAACAAGUUUACAGGUGAUCUUGUGCUUGAAUCAAUUUUUACCGAUCUACAUAAUCUUGAAAACCUCCAUCUUGCUGGAAAUUCCUUUGAGGGGCCGAUUCCACCUAGAGUAUUUAAGCUUUCCAAUUUAAAAGUUCUUGAACUCACGGGUAAUAACUUUUCUCGUUCUAUUUCCAACGAUAUAGGUUUGCUUUCUGAACUUGAGACCCUCUAUCUUGACUUCAAUUUUUUUGAUGGACCAAUUCCCCCAAAUAUAUUCAACCUUUCCCAAUUAAAAAUUCUUGAACUAACAGAAAAUAACUUUUCUGGUCCUGUUUCCAAUGAUAUAAGUUUGCUUUCUGAGCUUGAAAACCUCAAUCUUGCCUUAAAUUCUUCUGAUGGGCCUUUUCCAUCAAAGAUAUUCAACCUAACCAAAUUGAGACAUCUAAAUCUCUAUGGCAAUAAGAAUUUAUUUAAAGGAAGUAUCCCACUGGAUAUCAGAAACCUGAAGCUCCUGGAAUCUAUUAAUCUCGGUUCUAAUCAAUUGGUUGGACCACUUUCAAUGCUCAUUUCUAAUCUCACUAAUCUUAAGAUGGUUGGGCUAAGCGAUAAUAGGUUUUUUGGCAAAAUUCCUAGUGACUUCUUGAAAAACUUGCCAUCCUUACACGUCAUUGAUCUUUCAAAUAAUAAUUUGUCCGGAAAUAUUCCCAGGGAGUAUAACGUGCAUCCAAUUUUAGAAUACAUCAAUUUAAGUGGAAACCAUCUUACAGGUUUACUUCUCCCUCAAUAUAUUUUAUUUUCCUUUUGUAUGUUACAUUGAUUACACUUUUACCGAAGCUCAAACAAUUUUAACAGGUGAGAUCCCAGCAACAAUUUGCAAUGCUACAAACCUUUAUAUUCUGGUUCUGUCAGAUAAUGGAUUAAGUGGUGCCCUUCCGCAUUGUUUGGGAAAUCUUGCAGAUAAAAUGCAUUGCAUUGAUCUCGCUAAUAAUCAGUUCCGAGGACCAAUACCAACAACCUUCUCAGAGAGUUGCCAGUUAAGAUAUCUAAACAUGUAUGACAAUCAGUUAGAAGGACUUUUGCCCCGAUCUUUGUCAAACUGUAAGCACUUGAAAAUUCUUGACAUCGGGAACAACAAAAUGGGCGGUACAUUUCCUUCAUGGCUAUUCACUCUCAGAGAGCUAGAAGUCCUAGUCUUGCAAUCAAAUAAACUGUAUGGUCCAGUAAGUGGAAGGAGCACACAUCACAUCCAUUCCCCAAGUUGCGGAUUCUAGAUCUCUCCAACAACCAAUUCACGGGCUAUUUGCCAAUUCAAUACUCUUUAAGAAUAUGAAACCAGCUGCUGAUAACAUUUGUCUUAGGAUGACACAUGUUCUAAACUAUGACAAUAGUAUGCAAUCUCGUUUAAUACUUUCAUAUUAUGAACUAGUUCUGUUGAAUAAAUAAAUAUUAUUAAUUAAUCAAUCAUGUGCGCUCGAGUUUCCCUGGCCAGAUGCCCAGAUUAUUAGAGCAUCUCCAGCAGAGUCUUAACCGGUUCUCUAAAUAUAUAAUAAAAUAUGUAUCUUUUAAGGGAUUACUACAUUUUAGUGAAUGAGAACUCCAACAACAUUCCCUAUUUACAUUCUCUAUUAUUAUUAUAAUAUUAUAUUCAACUUGUAAUAAGAGAGAGAAAGUUUGGAAAGAGUAAAAGUGAGAAAAAAUAAGUGAAUAUUUUAUUCUUCAGAAUAAUAUAAGGAAAGAAAAUGCCAAAACAAUUAACUAUAAUCUACGCAAUAAUUUUUUAUAUUGAUUAGACGUUAUCUUUAUCAAUAUUUAGUCAGAUAUUCGGAUAUAUAUCAUUCCCUUUGUUUUUAUACCAUCUUUUUUUUGACUUUCGGGCCAAAUCACUACGUGGGUUGACUGGAUAGUAGAAAUUAAUAUUUUUGUCUGUUUUUUAAAAUAAAAAUCUGUAUUUUUAUUUUGAUUUCGAAGAAUAUAAUCCAUAAGGUAAAUAAUUUUUAANNNNNNNNNNNNNNNNNNNNNNNNNNNNNNNNNNNNNNNNNNNNNNNNNNNNNNNNNNNNNNNNNNNNNNNNNNNNNNNNNNNNNNNNNNNNNNNNNNNNNNNNNNNNNNNNNNNNNNNNNNNNNNNNNNNNNNNNNNNNNNNNNNNNNNNNNNNNNNNNNNNNNNNNNNNNNNNNNNNNNNNNNNNNNNNNNNNNNNNNNNNNNNNNNNNNNNNNNNNNNNNNNNNNNNNNNNNNNNNNNNNNNNNNNNNNNNNNNNNNNNNNNNNNNNNNNNNNNNNNNNNNNNNNNNNNNNNNNNNNNNNNNNNNNNNNNNNNNNNNNNNNNNNNNNNNNNNNNNNNNNNNNNNNNNNNNNNNNNNNNNNNNNNNNNNNNNNNNNNNNNNNNNNNNNNNNNNNNNNNNNNNNNNNNNNNNNNNNNNNNNNNNNNNNNNNNNNNNNNNNNNNNNNNNNNNNNNNNNNNNNNNNNNNNNNNNNNNNNNNNNNNNNNNNNNNNNNNNNNNNNNNNNNNNNNNNNNNNNNNNNNNNNNNNNNNNNNNNNNNNNNNNNNNNNNNNNNNNNNNNNNNNNNNNNNNNNNNNNNNNNNNNNNNNNNNNNNNNNNNNNNNNNNNNNNNNNNNNNNNNNNNNNNNNNNNNNNNNNNNNNNNNNNNNNNNNNNNNNNNNNNNNNNNNNNNNNNNNNNNNNNNNNNNNNNNNNNNNNNNNNNNNNNNNNNNNNNNNNNNNNNNNNNNNNNNNNNNNNNNNNNNNNNNNNNNNNNNNNNNNNNNNNNNNNNNNNNNNNNNNNNNNNNNNNNNNNNNNNNNNNNNNNNNNNNNNNNNNNNNNNNNNNNNNNNNNNNNNNNNNNNNNNNNNNNNNNNNNNNNNNNNNNNNNNNNNNNNNNNNNNNNNNNNNNNNNNNNNNNNNNNNNNNNNNNNNNNNNNNNNNNNNNNNNNNNNNNNNNNNNNNNNNNNNNNNNNNNNNNNNNNNNNNNNNNNNNNNNNNNNNNNNNNNNNNNNNNNNNNNNNNNNNNNNNNNNNNNNNNNNNNNNNNNNNNNNNNNNNNNNNNNNNNNNNNNNNNNNNNNNNNNNNNNNNNNNNNNNNNNNNNNNNNNNNNNNNNNNNNNNNNNNNNNNNNNNNNNNNNNNNNNNNNNNNNNNNNNNNNNNNNNNNNNNNNNNNNNNNNNNNNNNNNNNNNNNNNNNNNNNNNNNNNNNNNNNNNNNNNNNNNNNNNNNNNNNNNNNNNNNNNNNNNNNNNNNNNNNNNNNNNNNNNNNNNNNNNNNNNNNNNNNNNNNNNNNNNNNNNNNNNNNNNNNNNNNNNNNNNNNNNNNNNNNNNNNNNNNNNNNNNNNNNNNNNNNNNNNNNNNNNNNNNNNNNNNNNNNNNNNNNNNNNNNNNNNNNNNNNNNNNNNNNNNNNNNNNNNNNNNNNNNNNNNNNNNNNNNNNNNNNNNNNNNNNNNNNNNNNNNNNNNNNNNNNNNNNNNNNNNNNNNNNNNNNNNNNNNNNNNNNNNNNNNNNNNNNNNNNNNNNNNNNNNNNNNNNNNNNNNNNNNNNNNNNNNNNNNNNNNNNNNNNNNNNNNNNNNNNNNNNNNNNNNNNNNNNNNNNNNNNNNNNNNNNNNNNNNNNNNNNNNNNNNNNNNNNNNNNNNNNNNNNNNNNNNNNNNNNNNNNNNNNNNNNNNNNNNNNNNNNNNNNNNNNNNNNNNNNNNNNNNNNNNNNNNNNNNNNNNNNNNNNNNNNNNNNNNNNNNNNNNNNNNNNNNNNNNNNNNNNNNNNNNNNNNNNNNNNNNNNNNNNNNNNNNNNNNNNNNNNNNNNNNNNNNNNNNNNNNNNNNNNNNNNNNNNNNNNNNNNNNNNNNNNNNNNNNNNNNNNNNNNNNNNNNNNNNNNNNNNNNNNNNNNNNNNNNNNNNNNNNNNNNNNNNNNNNNNNNNNNNNNNNNNNNNNNNNNNNNNNNNNNNNNNNNNNNNNNNNNNNNNNNNNNNNNNNNNNNNNNNNNNNNNNNNNNNNNNNNNNNNNNNNNNNNNNNNNNNNNNNNNNNNNNNNNNNNNNNNNNNNNNNNNNNNNNNNNNNNNNNNNNNNNNNNNNNNNNNNNNNNNNNNNNNNNNNNNNNNNNNNNNNNNNNNNNNNNNNNNNNNNNNNNNNNNNNNNNNNNNNNNNNNNNNNNNNNNNNNNNNNNNNNNNNNNNNNNNNNNNNNNNNNNNNNNNNAUAUACACUUCCAUUUCCACUUUCCAGUAUUAAGUUUAGAAUUAAGAUCUUAACAACAUAGCAAUCAUUUAAACCUCGAAGAAAAUUGUGCACAUUAACAAGACCAAAGAGAAAACAGAUAGCAUAAAAUUGUGUAACACGUAUAAUUUAAAUCCACUUCUCAGUAUACUCCACAUUCAAGGUGAUCUAACUGCUACAAUAUUCUAAUUUUCACAGCUACGACACUGAACAAUAUAAGAACCAGUUUACUGUAAGUUUACUGAACAUAUAUAUACGACAUUGAACAAUAUAAAAUAGCUAUCCUUUGUAAGACCAAAAACAAAGGACACUAGCUAGCUAAUUCAAUAUACAAAACCACUCCAAUCAGUUUAUGAUAAGCAACUACAAACAUACAAAUACAUAUAAACAUACAAAUACAUAUAAACAUACUAUCUCAUUUUCCAAAAACCACAACUACAAACUAUCUCAUUUUCCAAAAACACACACUGAAAUACAUAUAUACAUACACAUACAACCACAAGGAUACCCAAACUCAAGUAAUAAAUAAGAAAUUACCUCCUCCAACUCGAAGAGAGCUUGAAUAGACUUGAACAGAGCUUGAACAGACUCCGAGCUCGAACUCCCUACAAACUCGAACUGAAGUACGAGCACCCACUAAACCCACAAACUCCACACUCGAACUGAACUCUGAGAUCUGUUGAAAAAACGAAUUAAAGAAGCAAAUGAGUAUUGUAAUCGAACAAACAUCAGUUUAUUAGGUACAAAUCAACCUUUAUCGCACAAAUUUAAGGAUGAAAUCGGCCGAAUUGGAACCUAGGGUUCGCUCGCUGAGAAAGGGGGAAGAACGGGGAGAGAGAAUGUAUUUUGUACAAAUGAUUUAAUUUAGGUAGUUUUAUUAGUUUUAUGUCUUUUUCCUUUUAAUUUUAUGUUUAAAGACAGGUGUUGAUGUCUUGUUCAGACAACACAUCAACUAAGCAGCGGGGUUUUAAAGGCGGGGUUUUUUUGUUUGUGAAAAAUUUGGCUAAGUGGGGAAUAGAAGCGGGGAAGCGCGGCCAAUUUUUUAAAAACAUGUUUUAGACAUCGGUUCUACACUAAGAUGAUGUCUAGUUUUUUAAUAGACAUCGGUUUUUAAAAUUUCGAUGUAAAAAAGGGUUUUAACAUCGGUGGUUUUUUUAACCGAUGUCUAAUCUGUGAUGUCUGAUCCUGUUUUUCUAGUAGUGAUCACUGCAACAAAAUAUUAGUUACGACGGAACAAUGUCGCUGGACUUUAUUUGUUUACAUUUUUUUAAUAGUAGUUAAUUUUUAAACUUGCGACGGAAAACAUACGACAGUCUACUUCGCGAGAGAAAAUCAUUUUAUUUUAUUUUUUAGCGCCAGAAUUUUAAUACUAAACUACUAUAGGGCCGUUUGGGCUAGCUUAAAAAAAGUGAUUUUUUACUUACAGUAAAGAAGUGGAUUAAAAGUGAGAAGCAAAUAAGUCAAUAAAAUGUUUGGAAAAGAAGUAGAAGCUGUGAGAGAGAAGUUAGCAUUCUCAGCUUCUUAAAAGUGCUUCUGCUUAUUUACAUAAACGGGUAAAAAAAAAAAAGCAAAAGCCAGAAGCAGCUUCUACUUCUCGAAACAAACAGGGCCAAUAUAUAUGAAGGAAACUGAUCUCUAUUGUUUUCAGCUUGCUCAUCCAUGGUAAGUAAUCCGUCGAAAAAGUUAGUUUGUUGUCGUGGUGUCUUAUCAUGAGAGAAAAUGGUAAUAUCGCAAAAUAUUUGCAACUGAAAGAUAAAUUAUAGUUCUAGAAACCAUUUAGGUAACGAUGCGCGGAGUUAUUUUCACUCACUUAGAAUUAAUGAUAAAUAUUUGCAACUGAAAGAUACAUUAUAGUUCUAGAAAAGGAUCCACGGAAUUAUUUUCACUCACUUAGAAUUAAUCCUAAGUUAUUGUGAGUUUUUGAAUAUGGAUUAUCUCAAAUUUUAUUAAAACACAUAUCGAUUCAUAUAGACAAAUUUGCCUACCUAAUAUUAUAAUAUUUAUGGCGAAGUUGUAUGAACAAUUGUGUAGAUAAUUAUACUUUACAAAGCAUACUUCUGCUAGCUGAAUUUUGAUUAAAAAAUCGAAAGGGAUAGGUCUGGGUCUCUCCAAGUCUUUGAGGACUCAUUCCAAGUCUUCUGAUGAGGACAAAAUAUAUCGCUGGUAGUCUUUCAGUCCUUCCUAGAGUAUUUUAUGCUCUGCACUGCAUUUGUGUUGAUAAUUUGCGCAAUGUUGAUGAGGAUUGCUCCAAGUCUUGGCGGACUCUUUCCAAAUCUUCCGAGGACCUAUCGGUUCAAUUUAGCCCAUUAAAAAUUUUAUUAUCUCAAAGCUAUCUGCAAAAUAAUAUAUAAGGUAAAAAUGAAUAUAUACCAUUGUUUUGUGAUUAAGUUGUAUAGGCAAUAUGCAUUGCAAAAUCAGCAACAGGAUAUAUGAAUACUAAUUAAUUACCUGAUAUCAGUAUGAACAAAUACUUUCUAUGUAGUUGUAAUAUUAGUCUUCUUUAAAAGUUAUCAUGAGGGAAGGUAUAUAUUGUGAUGCGGGAGAAAUAUUGUCACUGAAAAUAAUUAUAAUUCUAAAAUUUCCAUUAUACACUUUUUUUAGUGUUUGUACGUGGUAAGUACUUCAGACGACAUUUCUCGCGUAUGCCUCCGAUUAAGAAUUUGAUGUUCAGCCUAGUCCUAAACUAAAAUUAUUAUAAAUGUGUACUUCAAAAUUAUAUAUAUUGCUGGUAGUCUUUCAGUUCUUCCUGGUGUAUGCAAUUGUUUCAUUCAAUACCAAUUAUUUUAUACUAUGCACUCUGAUAUCAUGUUGAGAACAAUCCAUCAAAAACUUUAAACCUUAAUUAAGGUGUUAGAGGAAAAUACCAAUUAGAUCUUAUGCUAUAUUUCAAUACUUCCAACACUCUGCGAUGCAAAGCAGGGACUCUUGAGUAUUUUCAUAUGUGUAUUAGUUUUGAAGAUAAAAGUUGUAUAGAGAAUUGUGUUGAUAAUUUGCGCAAUUGCGCAAUGAUAACUGGGAUAGGUCAUCUUCUCUCCCAAGUCUUGGAUGGAAUCUUUCCAAGUCUUCUGAGAACCCAUCAGCUCAGAUUAGUCCAUACAAUGUCAAGGGUCCUAUGAUAUGGUCUACUAACAGCCCAGUGUCGGUAAUAAAUCCAAUUGCAUAUAACCUAUUCAAAAUCAAUCCCCUAUAAACAAUCAUCUCUAAAAACUAUUCACAUAAAAUAAAAUUUUAAAAAUAUAAAAUAUCUAGUUGUUUUCAAUAUAUAAUUUUCCACAGUAGAUAACANNNNNNNNNNNNNNNNNNNNNNNNNNNNNNNNNNNNNNNNNNNNNNNNNNNNNNNNNNNNNNNNNNNNNNNNNNNNNNNNNNNNNNNNNNNNNNNNNNNNNNNNNNNNNNNNNNNNNNNNNNNNNNNNNNNNNNNNNNNNNNNNNNNNNNNNNNNNNNNNNNNNNNNNNNNNNNNNNNNNNNNNNNNNNNNNNNNNNNNNNNNNNNNNNNNNNNNNNNNNNNNNNNNNNNNNNNNNNNNNNNNNNNNNNNNNNNNNNNNNNNNNNNNNNNNNNNNNNNNNNNNNNNNNNNNNNNNNNNNNNNNNNNNNNNNNNNNNNNNNNNNNNNNNNNNNNNNNNNNNNNNNNNNNNNNNNNNNNNNNNNNNNNNNNNNNNNNNNNNNNNNNNNNNNNNNNNNNNNNNNNNNNNNNNNNNNNNNNNNNNNNNNNNNNNNNNNNNNNNNNNNNNNNNNNNNNNNNNNNNNNNNNNNNNNNNNNNNNNNNNNNNNNNNNNNNNNNNNNNNNNNNNNNNNNNNNNNNNNNNNNNNNNNNNNNNNNNNNNNNNNNNNNNNNNNNNNNNNNNNNNNNNNNNNNNNNNNNNNNNNNNNNNNNNNNNNNNNNNNNNNNNNNNNNNNNNNNNNNNNNNNNNNNNNNNNNNNNNNNNNNNNNNNNNNNNNNNNNNNNNNNNNNNNNNNNNNNNNNNNNNNNNNNNNNNNNNNNNNNNNNNNNNNNNNNNNNNNNNNNNNNNNNNNNNNNNNNNNNNNNNNNNNNNNNNNNNNNNNNNNNNNNNNNNNNNNNNNNNNNNNNNNNNNNNNNNNNNNNNNNNNNNNNNNNNNNNNNNNNNNNNNNNNNNNNNNNNNNNNNNNNNNNNNNNNNNNNNNNNNNNNNNNNNNNNNNNNNNNNNNNNNNNNNNNNNNNNNNNNNNNNNNNNNNNNNNNNNNNNNNNNNNNNNNNNNNNNNNNNNNNNNNNNNNNNNNNNNNNNNNNNNNUGUAUUAGUUUUGUAAGAUAAAAGUUGUAUGGACAAUUGUGUUGUAUAAUUUGCGCAAUGAUAACUGGGAUAGGUCAUCUUCUCUCCCAAGUCUUGGAUGGAAUCUUUCCAAGUCUUCUGAGAACCCAUCAGCUCAGAUUAGUCCAUACAAUGUCAAGGGUCCUAUGAUAUGGUCUACUAACAGCCCAGUGUCGGUAAUAAAUCCAAUUGCAUAUAACCUAUUCAAAAUCAAUCCCCUAUAAACAAUCAUCUCUAAAAACUAUUCACAUAAAAUAAAAUUUUAAAAAUAUAAAAUAUCUAGUUGUUUUCAAUAUAUAAUUUUCCACAGUAGAUAACAAAAUAUCUUUAUCAAAUUGUUAUUUAUGGGUUCAAUAUUUAAGCUAUAAUUCCAAUAACACGGCAAGCAUGCAGCGUAUAAAUAGAAGUGUGCAGUAUGUUAUCAGAUUCAUAACCCAGUUGAUCAGGAGAAACAUGGCAUACUCUGCAAAGCCUUCUCACCUUCUUCUCUUUGUUUUCUUUCUCUCAUCACUUGAAUCCAUUCUUGCAACAACACGAGAAGGAGAAGCUCUUGUGAAAUGGAAGAAUAGCCUAGCCCCUUCUUCUUUUCUCGAUUCUUGGUCCCUCACCAAUCUCGAAAAUCUUUGUAACUGGACUGGCAUUACUUGUAACUCUGCAGGUUCAGUCUCUGAGAUUAAUCUCUGUGAGAAACAACUUAAUGGAAUGCUGUCCGAGUUUGGUUUCACUUCAUUUCCAAAUCUCAACUAUCUCACACUCGCAGACAACUUCUUCUCCGGUCCAAUACCACCAGCCAUUGAGAAUUUAACACAGCUUCAAUAUCUUGAUUUGAGAAAUAAUUAUCUAGAUGGUCCCAUUCCGUUCCAGGUUAGCCAUCUUCAGAGCUUGCUCAUAUUAAACCUGUCACAGAAUGCAUUGCAAGCUACAAAUUGGUCCAAUUUCUCUCCCAUGCCUUUUUUGCGCAUCCUCAACCUCAGUAGCAAUCAUCUUGUAUCGAAAUUCCCAGAAUUUAUAUCCAAUUCUCAUAGCUUGGCUAUCCUUGACCUUUCACAUAACAACUUUACAGGUGAUCUUGUGCGUGAAUUUACCAAUCUACAAAAUCUUGAAACCCUCUGGCUUUAUUGUAAUUCUUUUGAGGGGCCAUUUCCGCCGGAUAUAUUCAGGCUCUCCAAAUUAAAACGUCUCUCCCUGUCAAGUAACAAAUUUUCAGGUUCAGUUCCCAAUGACAUAAGGUUGCUUUGUGAUCUUGAAUCCUUAAACUUAAGCAACAAUUCUUUUGAAGGACCGCUUCCACCAAAUUUAUUCAAGCUUUCGAAAUUAAAGAGUCUUUUUCUUUGGAGUAAUAAGUUUUCAGGUUCUAUUUCCAAUGAUAUAGGUUUGCUUUCUGAGCUUGAAUUUCUCAAUCUUUACGAUAAUUUUUUUGAGGGGCCGCUUCCAUGCAUCAAAUAUAUUCAAGCUCUCCAAAUUAAGGGUUCUUUACCUUAACGGUAAUAAACUUCUAGGUUCUCUUUCCAAUGAUAUAGGUUUGCUUUCUGAGCUUGAAACCCUCAAUCUUCGCUCUAAUUUUUUUGAGGCUCCGUUUCCGUCAAAUAUAUUCAAGCUUUCCAAAUUAACAAUUCUUGACCUCGCAUACAAUAGAAAUUUAUUUGAAGGAAGUUUUCCUAUUGGACUGGGACUCUUGACUAACCUCAGCUACUUAGAUCUAACUUCCACUAAUCUCAGUGGCUCAUCUGCCAUUGGAAACCUCAAGCUACUACUAUAUCUUGGUCUCAGUUAUAAUCAAUUGACUGGACCGCUUUCAAACAUUGUUUCUAAUCUAACAAAUCUUAUAUUUCUUGGUGUGGAUCAUAAUAGUCUUAGUGGAAAUAUUCCGAGUGACUGGUGGAAAGCCUCUGUAUCCUUACUUUACAUUGAUCUUGGAUAUAAUUAUUUGUCUGGGAACAUUCCUAAGGAAUAUAAAGAUCAUCCAACUUUGGAAUACAUCGAUUUAAGUGGGAACCAUUUUACAGGUAUUUUUUUCUCUAUAUAUCUUUUCCUUUUGUCACAUGUAACUAAGCUAGUAAUCUGAUUAUUGCAGUUUUACCUAAGUUUUAACAAUCUUGACAGGUGAGCUUCCAACAACAAUUUGCAAUGCUACCUCCCUUUCGGUUCUUGCUUUGUCAAAUAAUGGAUUAAGUGGUGCACUUCCAAACUGUAUUGCGAAUCUUGCUGAUGGAUUGCUUUACAUUAAUCUUGCUAAUAAUCAGUUUCGAGGAGCAAUACCAACUACUUCAUCCAAAAGUUGUCAGCUGACCUAUCUCAACAUGGAUAAUAAUGAGUUUGAAGGAUUGCUGCCCCCAUCUUUGGCGAACUGUAAGCACUUGAAGAUUCUUGAUAUUGGCAAUAAUAAAAUAGGUGGUACAUUUCCUUCAUGGCUUUAUGCACUUGGAGAGCUAGAAGUCCUUGUCUUGCGAUCAAAUAAACUCUAUGGUCCAAUAAGUGGGAGGAGCAUAGAAAAUCCCUUCCCCAAGUUGCGGAUUUUGGAUCUGUCCAACAAUCAAUUCUCAGGCCAUUUGCCAAUUCAAUACUUCAAGAAUAUGAAAUCAACUGAUAAAUUGUAUCGCUAUCAGAAUGCCACAACAUUAACGGGUUUCCAAUAUGAUGCAUCAGUCCCAUUAACUGUGAAGGGAACAGAGUAUGAAGUGAAAAAUAUCCUUCAUAUUUACACAGCCAUUGAUCUGUCCUGCAACAAGUUUCAAGGAGAAAUUCCUGACGUUAUUGGAGAGCUUAGAUGGCUUGCAUUGCUGAACUUAUCUCAUAAUAGUCUAACAGGACCUAUCCCAUCAUUGCUGAGAAAUAUGAAAGAACUCCAAUCUUUAGAUUUGUCGUCAAAUCAACUGACAGGGGCUAUUCCACCUCAGUUAACUGCACUGACAUUUCUAGAGGUCUUCAACCUCUCGGGAAACCAUCUUAGUGGAGAGAUUCCUCAGAAAGGACAGUUCAGCACAUUUAACAAUGAUUCUUAUCUAGGAAACUCCGCGUUAUGUGGAUCACCAUUGACGAAGAAAUGUGCAAACACAGCAUCACCUCCACAAGAAGUCGGAAAUGUUGAUGAAGAUGAUGCGGGUGAUGAAUUGACAUGGGAAGCAAUCUUGAUGGGAUAUGGAUGUGGACUGAUAUGUGGAUUGUCAUCUGCUUACAUUGUUCUCAAACUAGGAAAGCCUUGGUGGUUUGUGAGAUAUAUCGAAGUGCUGCAACUGAAGUUGAUGAAAAGAUAUGCAUGAAGAAUGGUACUGGCCGAUCAAGACGAACUUGAAAGUUGUUGGACAUUUCUGAACCAGUAGUGUACUAUUCUCUUUGUGGCUGCAUAAGUUUUUGGUAUUGUGUAAUAUUCUGUUUGGUCUUGAAUUUCAGGGGUAUUAAUAUAAACCUUGGUAUUGUGUAAUAUUCUGUUUGAUCAAUGUUUAUAUCAAUAAUUUUAUGCUCCUCACUGCAUCAUGCAGCUCUCAUAUUAUCUUCAUAUGUGUAUUAUUUGGAUAUCAAAGUUGCAGGGACAUAUGGAUAUGUGUUAACAGGGACUGCUCGGUCUUGGACGGACUCUUUCCAAGUCCUCUGGGGUCCUAUCGGUUCAAAUUAGUCUAUUAUCUGCAUACUAAUUUGUCCAACUCGGGCUUGAAUAGUAAAGAUAAAGAGUGCGAGUUGAGUUUCUCAAAGUAUGAGUACAAUAUCGUUUUUGAAUGAUAGUUAGGGGUGCGAUAUGCAAUUACCUCAAAAAUAUAUGAUCAUUAGUAUAUUAUAUUAGUAUCCACACACUUAUAUCUCAAAAUCUAUCCUCCAAAAUUAUCAUCUCUAUAGGCUAGCCACAUAAAAUAAAAAUUUAAAGAUAUUAGAUUUUUAGUUAUUUUCAUUAUAUAAUUUUUCCACGCAAAAUAACAAAAUAUCUUUAUCAACUUAUUAUUUAUGAGUUAAAUAUUCAAGUUAUAUAAUUCGGACAUGCUGGGUAUAAAUUGAAGUGUAACGCCUAAUUUCCGGGGUCUGGGAGUAGUUGGCGGGGUAUGAGAGAGCAGGCUAUUUAGAAGUCUUGGUCAUGAAAACUUCCAAGCUAAACUUCGACAACGGAAUCUUCUGAGGCUACUAUUCUAAAGCACGCAUAAUCAUUGUAUCCAUUUUCCGACAAAAAGUCUAUUUAAGCAAAUGAAAUACAAACAACUGAGUGGAAUGCUGACCGAAAGUCUUUUUGACUAAGCUUAUGAUUUAUUAGUACAUGAUUAAUAUGAUAAGCUAAGCUGAGAGCAUAAGAUAUCGUGUGUAUAAUUUUGUGUUUAUUAAUGACUUAUAAAUUAUUAAAAAUAUAAUAAGAAAAAUAAAAAUGAUUUAUAACUAAUUUAUGUUUUAUGAGUAAUUUUUAUUAGAAAAAAGUUUUAAAAAAUUAUUUCACUGGAAAAAAAACCUCCAACUAACUUUUGGCUCUAAGUCAGUUUUUGAUUUAUUUAUGACUUUAUGUCGGAUUCUGAUUUUUACACAAAAAUCUGGUUUUAAACCUCUGAGUUUGGUUUCACUUCAUAUACAAACCUCAACAAUUUCACCAUCAAACACAAUGACUUCUCCAAUCUCCGGUCCAGUACCACCAGCCAUUGAGAAUUUGGCACAACUUCAAUUCCAUACCAGGUUAGUCGUCUUCGGAGAUUACACGUCUUAGACCUGUCAAAUACAAAUUUCAAUCUCCAAACUGGUCCGAUUUAUCUUCUAUGCUUUUUGUUGAGUCCGGCUCAUCUAAAGCCUUAAGAUGUUAGAGGAAGCACCCAAUGAAUCUUAUAUAUGCUAUAUUUUAACAAUUCUGAGCACACUCAACCUUGGUAUUAAUAAUAUUGUGUCGAAAAUUCCAGAAUUUAUAUCUAAUUCUCAUAGCCUAACUUUCCUUGACCUUUCCAUAUAACAAAUUUACAGUUAAUCCUGUGCUUGAAUCAGUAUUUGCAACCAAAAUUAUGCAAUUAUAGUGCAGGUAGUCUUCCAGUUUACGCUCUACACUCCAGGAUAAGCUCGCAUAUAAUUGACAGCUAUAAUCCUUCCAACACUUUGUGAUGCAAAGCAGAGGGAUAGGUUGGCUUAAAAAUAUAUAAGGUCACUUAUGCAUCGCUCUUCACACACUUAGACCCUGUUUGUGUGGGCUUUAAGUCCCGGCUCAAGCUAUUUCGACUUAAUCACUUCCGAGACCAAUACCAACAAGUUAAGAUAUCUAAAUAUGUAUGACAAUCAGUUAGAAGGACUAUUGCCGGGCAACAACCUUCUCAAAGAGUUGCCAGUUAAGAUAUCUAAACAUGUAUGACAAUCAGUUAGAACUUUAGAAGGACUAUUGCCCCCAUCUUUGUCAAACUGUAAGCACUUAAAAAUUCUUGACAUCGGGAACAAUAAAAUGGGUGGUACAUUCCCUUCAUGGCUAUUUAAUCUCGGAGAGCUAGAAGUCCUAGUCUUGCGAUCAAAUAGACUGUACGGUCCUGUAAGUGGAAGGAGCACAUCACAUCCAUUCCCCAAGUUGCGGAUUCUAGAUCUCUCCAACAAACAAUUCGCGGGCUAUUUGCCAAUUCUAAACUUUAAGAAUAUGAAACCAGCUGCUGAUGAUAACGCGUAUAGUUAUAAAAAUAAGUCACAAGGACUAAUUAAUUACAUCUAUGAAGCAUCUAUCUCCUUAAAUGUGAAAGGAACAGAGUAUGAAGUGAAGAACAUUCUUCAUAUUUACACAGCCAUUGAUCUAUCGUGCAACAAAUUUCACGGAGAAGUUCCAAAGAGAGCUUAAAUGGCUUGCAUUGCUCAAUCUAUCUCAUAAUAGUCUUGCCGGACAUAUGUUCUGAAUUAUUAUUAUGCUUUCAUCAAUAUUUUCAAACAUUUCUCAAUAUGUAUUUUCAAAGAAUUCUCAAGCCCUGGAACAUUUGGACCGGUUCUUUGGAAGCCAAGAUACCCAGGUUAUCAUGGCCAUGCACAAAAAUGAAUAAAUUAUUCCAAGUCUUCCAUGACUCAUUCCAAGUCUUCGGAGGAGACCCUGAGCACAAAGAUGCUCAGGGUCUCCCCAAGCCUUCCAGGACUCAUUCCAAGUCUUCGGAGCACGGUCUCGCCUCGCCCUUUCAAAGAUGUGAUAGUAGCUCGAGAGUGAUAUAAAUUAUUUUCCCGACACUAAAAAUAAAUAAUCAGAUCAAAUUAAUCAAUAAUGUAUUAAGGAUGAAAUCCAAAUUAAUCCUAAAUUUUGAUAAUAUAUAAAAAUUAUAAUUAUAAAUUAUAUACCAAAUCAGAAUUGAAUUAAUUCCUUGGCACUAAAAUUGAUAAAGAAAGUAUAAUAAUUUAAAUUUAAUUGAUGAAAAGUCAAAGUCUUCUAAUAAAUCCAUAAAGAAUAUGAUAAUCAAAAUAAUGAAAAUUAUAAUUGAAAAAUCAAAAUCAUUAGUGUAUUGGAAUAGUGUUCACACACUUGUAUAUCAAAAUUUGUGGUCCAAAAACUAUAGCACAAUAUCCUAAAUACACCACAUUAAAUAUUAGUUCAAAAAUAUUUAGUAAAUAAUUGUUUUCAUUCAUCAUUUUGUUAUUUAAAAAACUAAUAAUUUGGGUUGAUGUUAACCUAUAUUUUAAUAUAUAAUUAUAUUAUUUUCGUCUUAUUUAUUUAACUAGAAACAAUAUUUUUAUCAUACAUCAAUUAUAUUAAAAGAUAUAAUUUUAUUAAAAAAAUUGAAUUAUUAUUUAUGAAUUCCAGCAUGAAGCGUAUAAAUAGAAGUGUGCAGUUGAUCAGAUUUAUAACCCAGUUGAUCAGGAGAAACAUGGCAUACUCUGCAAAGACUUCUCACCUUCUUCUCUUUGUUUUCUUUCUCUCAUCACUUGAAUCCAUUCUUUCAACAAGACGAGAGGGAGAAGCUCUUGUGAAGUGGAAGAAUAGCCUAGCCCCUUCUUCUUUUCUCGACUCUUGGUCACUCACCAAUCUCGAAAAUCUUUGUAACUGGACUGGCAUUACUUGUAACUCUGCAGGUUCAGUCUCUGAGAUUAACCUUUGUGAGAAACAACUUGAUGGAAUGCUGUCCGAGUUUGGUUUCACUUCAUUUCCAAAUCUAAACAGUCUCACCCUCGCAGACAACUUCUUCUCGGGUCCAAUACCACCAGCCAUUCAGAACUUAACAAGGCUUCAAUACCUUGAUUUAAGCUUGAAUUAUCUCAAUGGUACCAUGCCUUUCUUGCGCAUCCUCAACCUCAGUAGCAAUCCUCUUGCGUCGAAAUUCCCAGAUUUUAUAUCCAGUUCUCAAAGCCUGACUCACCUUGACCUUUCAUAUAACAUGUUUACCGGUGAUCUAGCAUGUGAACCAUUAUUUGCCAACCUGCAUAAUCUUGAAGUCCUCAGUCUCGUUGAAAAUUCUUUUGAGGGGCCAUUUCCACCGGAUAUAUUCAGGCUUUCCAAAUUAAAACAUCUUAGCCUGUCAGUUAACAAACUUUCAGGUUCAAUUCCCAAUGACAUAAGGUUGCUUUGUGAUCUUGAAUACCUAUAUUUAGCCAACAAUUCCUUUGAAGGACCACUUCCACCAAAUAUAUUCAAGCUUUCAAAAUUAAAACAUCUUGUUCUUUGGGGUAAUAAGUUUUCAGGUUCUGUUUCCAAUGAUAUAGGUUUGCUUUCGGCGCUUGAAGCCCUCGAUCUUUAUUCUAAUUUUUUUGAGGGGCCGCUUCCACCAAAUAUAUUCAAGCUCUCAAAACUAAGGAUUCUUUCCCUUGGGAACAAUAACUUUUCAGGUUCUGUCUCUAAUAAUAUAGGUUUGCUUCCUGAGCUUGAAACCCUAUGUCUUGACUCUAAUUUGUUUGAGGGGCCGCUUCCCCCACAUAUAUUCACGCUCUCUAAAUUAAGAUAUCUAGACCUCUCAAACAAUAGAAAUUUAUUUGAAAGAAGUAUUCCUAUUGGAUUGGGACUCUUGACUAACCUCAGGUACUUAGAUCUAUAUUCCAGUAAUCUCAGCGGCUAUAUUCCAUCUGACAUUGGAAACCUGAAGCUACUAGUAGGUCUUAAUCUCGGUUCUAAUAAAUUGACUGGACCAGUUUCAAAGAUCGUUUCUAAUCUCACAAAUCUUAUAUUUCUUAGUGUAAGAAAUAAUAGUCUUAGUGGAAAUAUUCAGAGUGACUUGUGGAACUUCCCUAAGGAAUAUAACAAUCAUCCAACUUUGGAAUACAUCGAUUUAAGUGGGAACCAUUUUACAGGUAUCUUUUCUCUAUAUAUCUUUUCCUUUUCUCAUAUGUAACUAAGCUAGUAAUCUGAUUAUUGCAGUUUUACCAAAGUUUCAACAAUCUUGACAGGUGAGCUUCCAACAACAAUUUGCAAUGUCACUUCCCUUUCGGUUCUUGAUUUGUCAAAUAAUGGAUUAAGUGGUGCACUUCCAAACUGUUUCGGGAAUCUUGCUGAUGGAUUGCUUUACCUUAAUCUUGCUAAUAAUCAGUUUCGAGGAACAAUACCAACUACUUUCUCCAGGAGUUGUCGGCUGAAAUAUCUAAACAUGGAUAAUAAUGAGUUUGAAGGAUUGAUGCCCCCAUCUUUGGCGAACUGUAAGAACUUGAGAAUUCUUGAUAUUGGCAACAAUAAAAUAGGUGGUACAUUUCCGUCAUGGCUUUAUGCACUUGGAGAGCUAGAAGUCCUUGUCUUGCGAUCAAAUAAACUCUAUGGUACAAUAAGUGGAAGGAGCAUAGAAGAUCCCUUCCCCAAGUUGCGGAUUGUGGAUCUGUCCAACAAUCAAUUCACAGGCCAUUUGCCAAUUCAAUACUUUAAGAAUAUGAAAUCAACUGAUAAUUUGUAUCGUUAUCAGAAUGACACAGGAGAUUUUAUUUUCCAUUAUGAAGCAUCUGUCUCAUUAACUGUGAAGGGAACAGAGUAUGAAGUGAAAAAUAUCCUUCAUAUUUACACAGCCAUUGAUCUGUCGUGCAACAAAUUUCAGGGAGAAAUUCCAAAGGUUACUGGAGAGCUUAGAUGGCUUGCAUUGCUCAACUUAUCUCAUAAUAGUCUUACUGGACCUCUCCCAUCACUGCUUGGAAAUAUGGAAGCACUCCAAUCUUUAGAUUUGUCUUCAAAUCAACUGACAGGGGCUAUUCCACCUCAGUUAACCGCAUUGACAUUUCUAGAAGUCUUAAACCUCUCGAGAAACCAUCUUAGUGGAGAGAUUCCUGAGAAAGGACAGUUCAGCACAUUCAACAAUGACUCUUAUCUAGAAAACUCUGCGUUAUGUGGAUCACCCUUGACGAAGAAAUGUGUAAACACUGCAUCACCCCCACAGGAAGUCGGAAAUGGUGAUGAAGAUGAUGCUGGUGAUGAGUUGACAUGGGAAGCAAUCGUGAUGGGAUAUGGAUGUGGACUGAUAUGUGGAUUGUCAUCUGCAUACAUUGUUCUCAAACUAGGAAGGCCUUGGUGGUUUGUGAGAUAUGUCGAAGUACUGCAACUGAAGUUGAUGAAAAGAUAUGCAUGAAGAAAGGUACUGGUCGAUCAAGACAAACUUGAAAGUUGUUGUCCUGGUAGACAUUUCUGAACCAGUAGUGUACUAGCUGCAUAAGUAUUUGGUAUUAUGUAAUAAUCCAUUUGGUCGGGACUCAUAAUGAUUUCUCUUGCUUCAGGGGUAUUAAUAUUAACCUUGCUAUCUUGAUCUGUGUUAAUGCAAAUGAAAAAGAAUGGAAAAACAAAAAAAUUGCAUCAAACCUGUUGUACCAAGAUCCAUUAAUCUGCUUUCAUCUCUUACGCAACAAUUUAACAGCACUUUCACACUGUUUGAAUGAUUAUCAUAAAUUCGAGUUUUCCUCGCCAGCACCAAAUCCAAAUAUACAAUCCCACACAUUCCAGUCUCAGCUUCAGCUCCCAGGCUAGCAUUGAUUUAGCCAAGCACGACAGUGGCCGCUUGUGUGCCUAACAAUGACAGUUGGGGAUUUGAUGGAACGUGCCUUGGUCCUGCCUUCAAAUGUCUAACAAUAACAGUUGGAUAUGUCGACAAAAAAAUUGUUCCUCACACUGAGGAAUAACUCUGACAGUUCUUUUCAUUGUGCCUUGGUCCAGUAAGUGGAAGGAGCACAUCACAUCCAUUCCCCAAGUUGCGGAUUCUAGAUCUCUCCAACAACCAAUUCACGGGCUAUUUGCCAAUUCAAUACUUUAAGAAUAUAUGAAACCAGCUGCUGAUAAAGCGUAUAGUUAUCAAAAUAAGUCACAAGGACUAAUUAAUUACAUAUAUGAAGCCUCUAUCUCCUUAAAUGUGAAAGGAACAGAGUAUGAAGUGAAAAACAUCUCUUUAUAUUAUAGCUCCUGAUGCGUGAUUUGUACAGUUACCACACUGCUUAAUUCUUCACCUCAAAGUUCCACCUUAUUACAAAAAUGCCACCGCUCUAUUAAGCGGCACCCACGUAAGCUCAUUGCCACCACGUGCUAUCUUCCUGCUGUCUUUUGUUUAUUUUAUUCACUAAACCGUACUUACCCGAAGCUUAUGUAACAAGCUUACAUUCUUUACAUUUUACUCAUUUCAAAAUUUAAAACCCAGCCUCCACGGCUCCCUUACAAAAGUAACCGGUUUGAACGUAAAGUUUUCAAAACUAACCAGCCUACGUUCAACUUUUCAAAACUAACCAGCCUAAAUCAAAAAAAGUCGGGCGACCCUUACCUGUUUUUUUCCCGAGCACCGGUCGCCCUCCUCAGGGGCGUCCCCCAUUGGAGUUCAUCAAGCACAGGUCGCCCUCCUCAGGGGCGUCCCCCCUUGAAGUUCUGUGACGUGGUCCGCCCAAUCACGGGCGACCACGUGUGACACUACCCCCUUAAAACCCCCUCCCAGCCACACAAACACACAAUUACACACACAUUUGCACACACUCAGUUUGAAAACAACACUGCAGCAGCCACAGCAAGGAGCCGAAAGGGGAGAUUUUGGUAAAGGAAGGAAGAAAAGUGGGAGAGGAUCGCCCGAGCUAGCAUCAAGGUCGCCCACCCUAGCAAAAAAUUUGAAGGUACUACCUUAUUCCUCCCCUAAAUAUUAGUAUAUAAAGCCUUGAUUUGUAAUUUAUUACUUGAUUAGUUUGUCUUGCAUGUUACAAAUAUCGAUUAUGUUCAUGAUUAUGGCUAAUUUAUAGACUAGUGUUAUAAUUACCGGCUUGAGAUUAGUGUUAUAAUUACCGGAUUGAGAUUUGGUACAUUAUGAUUUUUAAAUUUGUUAAAAAAUUUAAAGAUUUAUAAUAGAAAUUAAGGAUAAUUUAUAGAUUUGAUAUGUUGGAAUUUAAGAUUUUAUGCUUUUUAGAUUUUGUAGGUAGUAAUUAAAUUUAGUUGGAGAGAAAAAAUAUAAUAUAAUAUUCGAAUUAAAAAGAUAUUGAGAAUAUAAUAUUCGAAUUAAAAAAUAUUCGAAUUAAAAUAUAUUAAAAUAUAAUAUUCGAAUUAAAAAUAUAAUAUAAUAUUCGAAUUAAAAUAUAAUAUAAUAUAUAUUCGAAUUAAAAAAUAUUCGAAUUAAAAUAUAUUAAAAUAUAAUAUUCAAAUUAAAAAUAUAAUAUAAUAUUCGAAUUAAAAUAUAAUAUAAUAUAUAUUCGAAUUAAAAAAUAUUCGAAUUAAAAUAUAUUAAAAUAUAAUAUUCGAAUUAAAAAAUAAUAUAAAAUAUAUUGAGAAUUAAAAAAAUUAGAAAGCAAAUAAAAUAUUCGGAUAAAAAAGAUAUUAAUAGCUAAUAUUAAAAAAAAUCGAUUUAUAAUAAUAAAAAUUCGAAAAAAAGCAAAAUAAUCGAAUUAAAAUAAAAUUUUCGAACAUAUAUUAAUAAAAAUCUUAAUUAUAUUAAUAUAUAAUUCGAAUAUAUGAAAUUUCGAGAAUUAGAAUAUUUAUGAAAUUAAGAGAAUUAAAAUAAAUAGGAAAUUCGAACAAAAAUUAAUUUAAGGUACGCUCUCGAUUCUCUCUAAAUUAAUGUGUAUAUAUAUAUAAUGACUUGAUUUGGAUUAUUGUUGUUUUAUUAGCUUGAGUUGCAUGUUAUAAGAUCGGUUAGUUUAUUGAUUGUGGCUUGAGAUUUGUUAUAAUUGAAAUUAAGGCUAAUUUAUAGAUUUGAUAUGUUGGAAUUAAGGCUAAUUGAAAUUAAGGCUAAUUUAUAGAUUUGAUAUGUUGGAAUUAAGGCUAAUUGAAAUUAAGGCUAAUUUAUAGAUUUGAUAUGUUGGAAUUUAAGAUUUUGUGCAUGUUAGAUUUUGUAGGUAGUAAUUUAAUUUAGUUAGAAACAAAAGCUUUGAAUUCGAAUUACAAAUAUUAUGUUGGAAUGAGAUUUUGUAUAUAUACAAAAGCUUUGAAUUCGAAUUAUAAAUAUAUUUGAAAAUUGUUGGCGCAGAUGGAUCCUGCAGCUUAUCAUCCCGGGCCGGUUAACGGCACUUUGUUGACAUUGCAGGACACGCAUAGGUCCACUUUUGUGUGGAACAGUAGUACGGUAAUGACUUGAUGGACUGUUGUUUAUUAAAGUUAAUGUUUGCUUCACUAUAAACUGCUGACAAGUUCCUGUAUUUUAAAUUGCAGGACAUUCCUGAUCUUAGAGUCAGGACGAACUUCGGUGAGUACUGGAAUGUAGUUGACCAAACCAGGCCGCCUCAGACGAUAAUAGAUGCUAUUAAUGAUGCGGGCUUUGAGUGGGUGUUCAGGUUGGGUCAGGUCAAGCAUGACAGGGGCUUGAUCACUGCUUUUAUCGAGAGGUGGCGUCCAGAGACGCACACUUUUCAUCUACCUUUCGGGGAGGCCACCAUUACACUGGAGGAUGUCCAUCACAUUCUCGGGUUACGAACCACUGGCCGGCCAUUUAUUCUACAUGGCUUCACCACCACAGCUCGCGAGAGAUUGGCCAUGAUACGCGAUGUUCUUGGAGUGACUCCUAAGCCGGCUGAUGUGAGGAAGAACGGCUUGAGGAUCGGUUGGUUGAUUGAAAAAUUUGGCGACUGUGCCCGGUUGGACGAGGCAGCGGAGGAUUUUGAUGCACAGACUAUCUUUCACAUCAGGGCACACCUACUGUGUGUUAUUGGAUCGUUGUUUCCUGAUAGCAGCGGGAACUAUGUGAAUCUCAACCUCCUUUGGAUGCUACGUGACUUGCAGAGCGUGGAUGGUUAUAGCUGGGGGAGUGCUGUUCUUGCAUACCUUUAUAGGAAGAUGUGCGAUUCCACCCAUAAAGUCACAACCGGCUUCAUUGGCUACGCCACCACUACGCCAUAUAUGAUCUAUCGCAAUGGUAUGAACGCGAGUGUUGCAAAAUUAUGUUGCAAUAGAGACACUGAUCCAUAUCUACCGCAACGAUAACCAUUCAUGUCAAUUAUAUGUUGCAAUAGCAAACAUUAUGUGUUGCAGCUUGUAAUAUACUUGUAAAAGUGUUAGCUUAAAGUAUUAUAAUAUUAUUUUAACAUUAAAUAAUAAUUUAAAUUAUUUUAACAAUAUUUUAAAGUGAUAUGCAAAUUAAAUAAAUAAGAUACGCGAUGAUAUGCAAAUUUUAUUCAUAAUAAUUAAAAAAAUUAAAAUAGGAAUUUUAAAAGUAAUUAAUUUUUUUAAAAGCAAUGAAAAGUAAAAAUAAUUAAAUUCCCCUUGUUUUGAUAUCAGAACUGAUAUAUAAGUUUCAAAAAUAAAAAUAUAGAUAUACGAAUUAUAAGUAGUAAUAAAUACAUAUAAUGAAUUUUGUUCCUAAAAUAAUUACAUGAAUUUUAUUUGUUAAAAUAAUAAAGUAUAGGUGCAGACGUGCAGUACAUUAUUUGACUUUAUUGAACUGGGCAAAUAUCGAGCUCAAAGCGGGUAAAAAUUAGGCUUACAGCCGCCCAAAUUUUCAGCCAAGUUUGAAAUUUUCACACAUACACUAUACACGCUCGAGUCUCCUUGAAUACCCUCAACACUCACUACACUCUCUCCCUCGCUCAACUCUCUCUCCCUUCUCUACUCUCUCUCUCUUGUUAAUCUCUCUGAAGCUAAUCUCUCUCUGGCCACCAUUUUCACUCAAUCUCGCCAUCACUUUUAAUUAACUUGGAUUUGCAUUUAUAGUUGGAGCACAGUUGAUUUGUGGGUCGAGGUUCCAAUUCUUCAAUUAGGGUUUUGGCUUUUCAAUCAGGGUUUUGGUUCUUCAUUAAACUUCAAUUAGGGUUCAAUUACUUACAUAUAAUCUCUUAAACUUCAUCUGAUAUCUCUUUCUCUUUGAUUUCAGGUGUUCUUAGUUUGGGUUUGCACUCCAAGACUUUAUUAUAAGGUAUUUUUGAAUUUAGGGCUUCAUGUUAUGAGUUUAUUUGCAUUUAGUGUUCUUUGUUUUUAUGUUUAUUUGGUUUAUUAUCUUUAUCUAGUUUAUUUCCUUUGAUUUUUUGUUUUUUUUUUCAUUUGUUUUGUGAAAUUGCAAUACUCUGUUUUUGUGUUAAUUUUUUUGUUGCUUAAAAGUGUUCAACAACAAUAUUCUUCUUAAUUAUAAAAGAUCUAUCACGAGGAAGAGGUCCCUGUUUUGUAUAAUAUCUUGUAUGUCUUUUCUUUUCUGUAUAUUAUUAAGCUACCUUGGGGCAUCCUUUUUCUAGACCAGAUUUCGUGCGCAAUCUUUAGUAAAGAGCAAAUAUUCCGAUUCUUUUGCAUUUGUCUCAAUGUCAGUGCUUUGCAUAUAUGGAUAUAUUUUACAUGAAAAUGGUGCUUUUGUUGUUGGCCUGCUUAAUGUUCAAGACAUGUAGUCAACUCAGUUUAGUGUGACAAUAAGACUUUCUCAUUUCAUUAUGAUUCUCACAUAUUUUAUGCUCGUCACAGUACAACACAGUUUUGUAUUUGGUGUGAGUGAGCAGUAAAGAAUUCUAUGGAAGAUGCUAGUGACUACCGGUGGUAUAUAACCAGGUAAAAAUAAUGCUCAGUUGAUAAUCCUUAUAAGGGAGGCUCUUACUAUUUCUUCCUCUUUAACAUUGAGUUGUUUUAAUGUACAUACUAGCUGGUUGCUCAAGUGUUCUAUCAUUAUAAUGUAUACAUUGGAUACAAUAUUUGUUCAAUGAGGUAUCUAACUAGCUUGCUGAUGGCCGGGGACUAUAGAUUUAUUCAUUGCUAAUUGGUUAUAUUCGUUGUACCUGUUAUGCCUCAAUCAUAAUGGCAUAGUGACAAUAAAAGGAAAACGAAUUAUAAAUAUUUCACAUAGCAUGCUCUAGUUAUCUACAACUAUUGUUUUGGACUUCUGGUUUGGCAUUUAUAAUAAGUUGGCAUAUGUCUUUGAAUUCAUAUAGUUUGUAGCAUGACCUAAUUGGCACAAGUCAUCCUCUGCCAUGUCUUAUAUCUUUAGUUAGUAAGAAUUAAUAUUUCCCAUGUUUCAGCCACUAUACAAAUAUUGAUCAUGGACGAAGUUCUUACCCUGUUUAGUAUUAAUUUCAUUAUCUGCUGCAACUUUAUUGUGUUAUCUGUGCACUGCCCAACUAAGUACACAUAAUUUGAGUUUAAAAUAAAGCAUGCUUCUUUACUGGAGCUCAGCUUAGUAGUUGCAUUGUAUUGUUGCAGGAGAAGCUUAAGCCGUUAAUGGAUCAACUUAACAAAGUCAAAGACUUGACUGUUCCAGAAUUUGGAAAUUUCCGAACUUGAGAAGUGCGAGCAAAUGCAAGAAUAUGUUUAUAUAUAAUAGUGUAGUGUAGUGGGAUGUUUGGUUGGAUUCGUUUAAUACUUUGAUUUGGUUGGAUUUGUUAGGUAGUUUUGUUUGGUUGGAUUUGUUAUAAACUUUGAUUUGUAUGAAAGAAUAGUUUAAUGUUUCAGUGGAUAUAGUGAAAUAUUGCAAAGUUGUUAAUUUAGUCUUGCAUUAGCACAUAUAUGUUGUAGUAGCUAAUAUAUAUAUGUUUCAAUUUAUAACAAAAAAUGUUGCAAACAUGCAACUGAAAAACAGGUGUCCAAACAUAGGACCCACAUGUGUGACCCACGUGUGGGUCCCACUUUUUUUGAAAUCAGGAGGUCUAACGUAACAUAAUAUAUUUGUUGCUAUAGGGUAGUCAGAUGUUGCAAUAUCACGUCUAUUGUAACAUAAAAAGCCGUGUUGCAGUAGGUUACCCAAAUGUUGCAAUAGAAGCCUAGGGCAACAUGAAAAAAUGCAACUUAAAUUUUAUGUUGCAAUAGCCCUUUUUCGGGCUAUGGCAACAUAUUUUGGGGUUAUGGCAUCAUUUUUUUGAUGUUGUCNNNNNNNNNNNNNNNNNNNNNNNNNNNNNNNNNNNNNNNNNNNNNNNNNNNNNNNNNNNNNNNNNNNNNNNNNNNNNNNNNNNNNNNNNNNNNNNNNNNNNNNNNNNNNNNNNNNNNNNNNNNNNNNNNNNNNNNNNNNNNNNNNNNNNNNNNNNNNNNNNNNNNNNNNNNNNNNNNNNNNNNNNNNNNNNNNNNNNNNNNNNNNNNNNNNNNNNNNNNNNNNNNNNNNNNNNNNNNNNNNNNNNNNNNNNNNNNNNNNNNNNNNNNNNNNNNNNNNNNNNNNNNNNNNNNNNNNNNNNNNNNNNNNNNNNNNNNNNNNNNNNNNNNNNNNNNNNNNNNNNNNNNNNNNNNNNNNNNNNNNNNNNNNNNNNNNNNNNNNNNNNNNNNNNNNNNNNNNNNNNNNNNNNNNNNNNNNNNNNNNNNNNNNNNNNNNNNNNNNNNNNNNNNNNNNNNNNNNNNNNNNNNNNNNNNNNNNNNNNNNNNNNNNNNNNNNNNNNNNNNNNNNNNNNNNNNNNNNNNNNNNNNNNNNNNNNNNNNNNNNNNNNNNNNNNNNNNNNNNNNNNNNNNNNNNNNNNNNNNNNNNNNNNNNNNNNNNNNNNNNNNNNNNNNNNNNNNNNNNNNNNNNNNNNNNNNNNNNNNNNNNNNNNNNNNNNNNNNNNNNNNNNNNNNNNNNNNNNNNNNNNNNNNNNNNNNNNNNNNNNNNNNNNNNNNNNNNNNNNNNNNNNNGCUUAUCCUCGUAUGUAGUUUGUUUAUGGUUAUGUACCUGACCAUGUACUCGUACAUUUUUAUUUCUUGAUCUGAUUAUGUACUCUUAGUCUAGUAGAUCGGUUGUUACGUUAUUAUGCAGUUCUUGUGCAUUCUUAUGUCAUAAUGUUUUAUAAUGAUUCAAGCAUUGAAAUUCAUAUGGACAAUAAAGGAAACCUAACAUAACAUAAUAAACGACAGAACACUAAAACACAUACACAUGUUGAUCUUUCUCGAAACCAGUAAAACUGACUUUAUUUUGACUAAACUUUACAUAUAUCAAAUAACUGAAAAAAAUAAUAUAAAAUUUGAAUUACUUGAACAACAAAAGUUGAGACAUUACAUAUAAGAUACAAUACAUAUAGUAAUGGGGGUGAUCUUUUGGAGAAAAUACCUAACUCAAAGGGAUUUCUUCAAAUAAUUUGAGAUGGGUCAGAGCUUCAAGAAUCUGUGUACUCUGCUUUUACAAGUACAAAGUGGGAAAAAGUGAGACAUAAAUAAAAUGUAGUGAAGUAUUUGAGAUGGGAGAAAGUAAAACUAACUUAAUUUCAUAUUAAUAUUGUGAAGAUAUUAGCAUAGAAUGAUAAAUAUACAUUUCUACUACCCAUUUAUAAAAGAAAUAUUAUAAAAUAUAAAACUCUACGCUUUAAAUUUAAAUUGUUUUAAGUUGUUUUCUAUUAAAUUAUUUUCCCCACAGGGGAAAAUAAUAUUAAAUUGUUUUAAUAUUAUUGUUUUAUUAUUAUUUGAUUAUUAAAUUAACGAGUACAUAAUUUGUAAAGUUUAGUGCUAAGAUAUAUAUAUUAUUUAAUUUUAUUAAUUAUAUUAAUUUCACAAAACAAUUAAAAUUUGAUUUUAAAUAAAAUAUUAAAUAUAUAAUACAAUAAUAUUAAAUGGCGUAUAAUCAGUGUUACAGAAAUCGGGAAUCGGACCUAAUCGGUUGAGCUACCGAUUCAGGGAUUAAUCGGAAAUCGGAGAUUAAUCGGACUGAAAAUCGGAUUUAUUUUAAUAUUAAAAUAUUAUUUAUUAUUUAGUUAUUAUUAUAUUAGGUAUCUAGUAACUAAUAUAUUUACUAUAUUCAUAAACUCUAUAAUUAUUCAUAUUUAAAGUAAUAUAGUAUUUUAAUUCUAAUAAUUUAUCACAUAUACUUCUAUUAGAAAAUAUGUUAUAAGGAUUAAUCGGAUUUUAAAAAUCGAAUCGGUGGCCGACCUUGCAGGAGAUUAAUCGAGGAUUAAUCAGUUAAAUCGGGGAUUUUUAGAACAUUCGGCGUAUUAUAAUACAAUUAUAUCAAAAUUUAAAAAAAAAUCAGUACCUCAGUUUGGGUAUCGGUCAGCCACCUAGGACAAGUGAAUGAGUGAAACCGCUACAAAAAAUGUAGUAGUAUGGGUCGCCCCUGUCAAGGGCGAUCCUAACUGUAUUUUGUAACAGUAUGGGUCGCCCCUGACGAGGGCGACCUGAACGGGGAAAAACUUCAGCUUGGGUCGCCCGACUUUUUUUGAUUUAGGCUGGUUAGUUUUGAAAAGUUGAACGUAGGCUGGUUAGUUUUGAAAACUUUACGUUCGAACUGGUUACUUUUGUAAGGGAGCCCAGCCUCCACCAUUGCAGCUCUGAGCAGCCAUGAACCAGGUUAUACUCCAGUCUCCUUUUCUCCCCCGCGUGUGUAAGUCUGUACUGCAGCCCACAUUUUCAACACGCUUCUGUCCUAAGCUUCGCAAGAAAUAUCUUUUUUUUGAAAUUCAAAAAAUUUGCGCACCAUAUCAUCGUCCAGCCAAACCACCAUCGGCGAAUCAGCAAAUAUACAUAUCAGAUCUAAUAUACACCAAUCUGAGCUUUGAUGACUGAGGUUUGAUUUGUGUUUUAUUUAAUAAAAUGAUAAAAUGAUGUCUUCUUUCAUGAUCAUGCGAUUAAUCGAUUGUAACUUUAAGGGAGAUGGAACAAGCAAUUCACGACGUCUAUUUACCUCCGAAGACAUGAUUAGUGGUAUGGUUACAUAAAUUUAACUUCUCUAUUUUUCUACCAUGUGUGGCCUAAUUGUUUCAUCUCUUGCUUUGUAGGUUAUCAGUCCAAAAAGCGGAGGAAAAGGGGCUACACAAUUAAGAGAUGAAACAGUAUUGAGCAUGUGAGCUUUAAAACUUGAUGAUUAAAUUUUUCAUAUUAUAUUUGUUCUGUAUUUAGAAAUUUGUGGAGGAUGUGUUUGAUAAUAUGUCUGAGAGAAGAAGUUAAUAAAUUUAUCGUGUUGAGGAUGUGUUUGAUGAUAUGUCCGAGUGAAAAAAUUAAUAAAUUUAUUUUCAAAAUGUUGCGAACAAAUUGUAAUUUAUAUCUAGCAGCUUCAAAUAAUUUUUUUUAGAGCAAAAAGAAUCGCAAUUGCAUGUGAAGAGAUGCACCUCCCUGAUAUUAGACUUUUAGUGUAAUUGCAUGUGUAACUAAACCGCUUGACUAUAAUGUUGGUGUAGAGUACGGAGCUUUAAUUUAUGAUGUUCUCCUCAAUCUGUCCAAAUUAUAGCUGAUCGUGGGAAUCAACUUUAGGGUAAGCUCUGCUCUGAAACUCAUUUUCUUAUAUUGGAACUUGGUUAUUUCUUAAAUGAAACGACUUUGACGUUUUCACCGAGUAGUCAUAGAUGCGUGAGUUGUACAAUAGUAAAAGAAAAAUAAAUUACAUAAAGACUGUCUGAGGUAAAAUAGUAUACAAGCUGCAAUUUUAUAUUUGGUACAUUGACGUAAAAAGUUAUUGUUAUGUUCAGGGGGAGGUGCUGAGAAAUGACAUGAUUAUAUCAUACGAGCGGCGACAAACUACUGAAGUUGCAAAAGAAAUGAUCUUAAAGAAAGCAGAGAAAGUGGGGGAGUUUUUUCAAGAAAAGAAUUUAAAGAGGAGAUGAGAUGCCAGAGUAUUACGCGCUAUUGCCGAAACAGGAUUAAAAACUAUAUUGGGUAUCUCUUCUUGAUCUCUUGAUUAAUUCCACUAGGAAGCUUCAAUAUUAUAUAGGAAGUUUUCUUUUUAAGCUUAAUUUUGAAUUUGAAUCCUCAAACUAUAACUACUGUAUAUCUCUUUAUAUUAUAGCUCCUGACGCCGGGAACUUCCCCUUCUACAACCAGCCCAACUGUACAUAACAGUUGCUUGCUUAUGAAUUUCAAAUUUAUAUUAUAAUGUUUAUAUGUAAUAUUGAAUCAAAGUUGCUUGCUUGCUUAUGUAAUAUUGAAUAUCUACUGUUGGAUGAUUGUUAACUGCUGUGUUACCAAGUGUUUGAUUAAAUUCCUACAAGUUUUGUUUGAAUUUUGUUCUUUAUUUAUCAUUAGUAUGUUUCAUUUUUAUGUUUGACUCUAUGCUAAUCGCUGAUAAGAUUUCUAUGAUUAUAGGAGAUGAGUGUUCUUAUGGCAUGAAUGAUAUUGGAAAAGUGAAAUGUGUUGAUGCUUUGUGUAAAUAAAUCAUGAUCUGCCGUUAUAGUUUUCUGUUUGUUUUCAAUUUGUGUGUACCUAGGUGGUUGUUACUGAGCAUUGAUCAACUGUGUUAAUUAAUUUAUUAAAAUGGAGUUGAGUCUGAGAACUAAAGGGCAAUUAUAUACUUCUUUAGGCUUUCCUUAACAUGUUUUUAUUCAUUAAAAAAAAUCGAUGAGUUUUUAUAAAUAUAUAUACUCUGUUAUUUUCUCUGUACCUAAUUAAAAGGAUUUUAAUUCGAAUUAUAGGUGUUUGUCAUGUGAAUAUUAUCUAAAAGAUAAUGGGGCCGUUUGGGUUAGCUUAAAAGAAGUGACUUUUUGCUUAUAGUAAAGAAGUGGAGUAGAAGUGAGAAGUAAAUAAGUUAAUAAAGUGUUUGGAAAAGAAGCAGAAGCUGUGAGAGAGAAGCUAGCAUUCUCAGCUUCUUAAAAGUGCUUCAACUUCUUUACACAAACAGGUCAAGAGAAGCAGAAGCCAGAAGCAGCUUCUGCUUCUCUUGGCCAAACAGGCCCAAUAUCUUUAAGGUCUCUUGCAUUGGUCAUUUAAUGUGUUAAUUAAAAGUUUACAUUUAAAUUUUUUGAUCUAAUAAUUUUGGAUAGAUGGUUUGUGAGGUUAAUGAAUGAACUAAUAUGGAAUGAUAAAAUGUAGGAGGUCUGGAAAGAUGGGUUUCAAUGCAGGUUUAUUGCUACUUUCCUUCAGGUCUGCAUUGCUUUGGUCUGUCUUCAGGACUGAGACUGUGAUUGGUUUCGGAACAGACACAAGUAUAUAUAUGGACCAAUGCAAAGCACCUGAUUAUCAUACUUUAGGCUUUUGCUCUGCUUUCUAUGGUAAAAAAAAGUGACAUUACUUCGAAUCUGAUACAGUUUAUCCAAGAGCUUGCUUCAAUAUUAAGAAUGCAAUACGUGUUGCAGAUAAAAUUUUGACCAGCAACAUUGGGGCACCCAACCCAAAUCUAGCAACAUUGGCCGUGGAGCUUUAAAUAUCUCCGUAAGAUUCUUUUCCCUCGCAGGCAGGCAUCUUUUUCUGCGAAAAAUAUACAAGAAAAAAGGACUAAUUUGUUUAAUUGAAAAUAAAUUUCGGAUGAGUUGGAUUAAGAAUCAAAUGGAGAGUCCUGUUUUGGUUUCAUUUUGAUGGAGAGGUUGCUUAGGUCCUGUUUUGAUCGAAAGGUUGAAAAAAUAUUUGGUAUUUUUUGGUCUCAUUUUGGUUUGUUUCGUUCCUUCACAGGUGUGCAACAAGUGAUGAUAGUAUUUAAACAUGAUUAGCAAACUGCCCAGCAAUCCAUGCAUGGCAAGGGGAAUGCACAGCUUAAUGAUUUCAGUCUCCGUACCAUCCAAGUGCAACAAAAAUCAAUUAUCUUGUGAUGUCUAGGAUUCUACAAAAGUAAGAAGCCUUCAUUCAUCUUCAUUCAUCCCCUGUUACUAGAAAAGCAUUGGUAGCCUAUAAGCAGGUACACUAAGUAGCUCACCUAAUUUUUGCAUUUCAGUAUCAACGGAAAGUGGUGCAGGACUCCACUUUAUAAUUAAAUUAUGUGUCUAAAUUAUGCGUGUUGUAAUGUUUAGUGACCAUGUUCCAGACCCGACAUGUCCUUACUUGGCAGAUCAAGUUAUCCAAGAUUUGGGAAGGAGUUUCGCCUUUGAGAUCUCCAACAAGUAAGAAGAAAUAAUGUCAAGGAAUGAACUAAUGUAAAAUGAUAAGAAGAUGAAGGUAUAAAACAAUGAUUAUAAUGUAGGCUUCUUCGUAAUGUAAUGAACAAAAUAAUGGAGUAACUAUAACUAUUCUUGCUGCAAGCCUGUGUUUGUUUAAUGCUAUCUGGCAGUAGUUUAGCAUUGGUAUAUUCCUUAAGGUGGAUUUGGAUAGAGUGAGAGGAGACAUUACUUAUCUUUACCUAGCUACUGCUUUUCAUGAGAUUUGGGCAGAGCGUAACAUUAGAAUUCAUCAUCCUAAGAGUUUUAAAGUUGCAAACCGGCUUAUCAAGGACAUAAUAGCCUCUGUUACUAUUUUUACAUGCUCCUCUAUUGUUGUGUGAACUUGCUGAACUCCUUUUUUCUGUUGUUCUACUUACUAAAAUCUUUUUAAUUUUCUUUUGUUAGGUACACUAAGUGGUUCACUCAAUUUUGGCAUUUUAGUAUCAUUGGCAAGUGGUGUAGGACUCCAUGAUUCUGUGUUGUCCACAAGCAACGAAAAAAANNNNNNNNNNNNNNNNNNNNNNNNNNNNNNNNNNNNNNNNNNNNNNNNNNNNNNNNNNNNNNNNNNNNNNNNNNNNNNNNNNNNNNNNNNNNNNNNNNNNNNNNNNNNNNNNNNNNNNNNNNNNNNNNNNNNNNNNNNNNNNNNNNNNNNNNNNNNNNNNNNNNNNNNNNNNNNNNNNNNNNNNNNNNNNNNNNNNNNNNNNNNNNNNNNNNNNNNNNNNNNNNNNNNNNNNNNNNNNNNNNNNNNNNNNNNNNNNNNNNNNNNNNNNNNNNNNNNNNNNNNNNNNNNNNNNNNNNNNNNNNNNNNNNNNNNNNNNNNNNNNNNNNNNNNNNNNNNNNNNNNNNNNNNNNNNNNNNNNNNNNNNNNNNNNNNNNNNNNNNNNNNNNNNNNNNNNNNNNNNNNNNNNNNNNNNNNNNNNNNNNNNNNNNNNNNNNNNNNNNNNNNNNNNNNNNNNNNNNNNNNNNNNNNNNNNNNNNNNNNNNNNNNNNNNNNNNNNNNNNNNNNNNNNNNNNNNNNNNNNNNNNNNNNNNNNNNNNNNNNNNNNNNNNNNNNNNNNNNNNNNNNNNNNNNNNNNNNNNNNNNNNNNNNNNNNNNNNNNNNNNNNNNNNNNNNNNNNNNNNNNNNNNNNNNNNNNNNNNNNNNNNNNNNNNNNNNNNNNNNNNNNNNNNNNNNNNNNNNNNNNNNNNNNNNNNNNNNNNNNNNNNNNNNNNNNNNNNNNNNNNNNNNNNNNNNNNNNNNNNNNNNNNNNNNNNNNNNNNNNNNNNNNNNNNNNNNNNNNNNNNNNNNNNNNNNNNNNNNNNNNNNNNNNNNNNNNNNNNNNNNNNNNNNNNNNNNNNNNNNNNNNNNNNNNNNNNNNNNNNNNNNNNNNNUUUUACAUGCUCCUCUAUUGUUGUGUGAACUUGCUGAACUCCUUUUUUCUGUUGUUCUACUUACUAAAAUCUUUUUAAUUUUCUUUUGUUAGGUACACUAAGUGGUUCACUCAAUUUUGGCAUUUUAGUAUCAUUGGCAAGUGGUGUAGGACUCCAUGAUUCUGUGUUGUCCACAAGCAACGGAAAAAAAGCCUGCAGAAAUGUUUCGAAUACUUUGAACGAAAUAAAGGUACAUUAUUAGGCAAGUGAUUGUGGCGGCAGAGAUAGCAGUUUGAUUGCUACACAAUUAUGUGUUUCACAAGAUUUUGCUAUUUUAAAUUAUAGUAAAUUUGAUUAAAUCCCACUCGGAAAGUUUGAAAUUUCUUGAUGUUGCUUAGUUAAAAUUUGGAUAUGGACAAUUAUGAUAUUUGUGAAUUUGGGUUCUUUUUAUAGGUGAUUUUUGAACAUUGCUAGAAUGAUAUAUGAUCUCAGGCCUCACACUCUUAACAUCUUUACGAGGCUUACGAGGUUCGAGAUGAGUUGGUUACUUAACAUGAUUCGUUUAAUUUAAUUAUGUGUUUGUGUAGUUGGGUUGAUUUGUUGUUUGUUUCGUUUAAUUGUACAAUUAAGGAGAUGGUGUUUACAAUAAUAAUAUUGAAGAUAGUUUGUAACUAGAGUAUGUUGUUAAUAAUUUGGUUAUGAGAAAUUGAGGCCGACACAAGUUUAAUCUGGCUUUCUCGAGAUGAUCUGACCUCGAGAAGAAAGAUUAUCUCAAAGUAGUUUUGUAAGUUGCUUCUCUCUGUUUUUGGACAAUGUAAAUUCUUACAUUACAUCUGCCUCUUGCAGGUAACAUCUUUGCUUUUAGGCUCUUUAUAUCGCCGAUGUAAGUUUUGCUCCAUAAAUUUCAGUGUUUGGCUAGAUCUCCUACAACUGUACUUUUAAAGAAAAAUAGAAGAAAUCAAGAACUGAGUUUACUGUACUUUUGCAGUGAUAAUCAGAUAUGUACCGGUUUUGCUUCGCAUAGUCACACCUUUUCUUUGUACAAUUGCAGACCCACUUUUAGGGGUAUUAUGAUGAGGAACGAGUGUACAGAAGACUUCUCAGGUCUUCCAUAUCUAUAUGCCCUCCUGCACUGCUUGAUUUGUGCCUGGUAUGGCAUGUCGUUUAUGUCAGAUGAUAAUGUGCUUGAUAACUGUAACCUUAUACAGCUACAUUUACUUUAAAUGUCUUGAACACAGUGGUUGCAAAUAAUGGUUAAAUGAUUAAUAUUUACACUGAUCUACUGCUUUUACACUGAUCACUGCUUAUGAUGUUGAAAAACCAAAAUUUGGUGGAGAAAUUGGGAUCAAUGGAGGGAGCUUGCACUGACACACGAAAUCUGUCAAAGCCUAGAUUACAAAGUAAUACUUUACUUGACUGAUCGACGGUUCAACUCAGCAGGAUAUGGAGUAUGCUCGCAGUGUACAUAACAUCCAAUCUCCCAAGGUCUCAUCAUCUACUUUGGAGACAACCUCAAAAUGGGUGUAGUUGCACUUGCACCCAAAAAUGAAGCCAGUGCAAAAAUCAAAGAGAUGACCCAUUUGUUAAAAAUGUUGAGGCUGAAGAGUACAAGGGAACCAAGGUCAGAGAUGUCUCCUCCGCUAAGAGAUGAGGAAAUAUGGCAGUCGUUGGUAUUUGGGAAAUGCAUGUUAGCAAAUACAUGGAUUAUAAAUUGUAUGAGUGACAGGAUGAUAAUAUAGCGUCUCAUAGUCUAAUAUUGCCAAUGACAGGGCUAAUAGCAAUAGCACUUUCAAAAGUAGGUUUGCAGCUGUGAAAUUCACUCAAAGUUGUGAAAUUUGUGAAAUUUGCUUUUGCUCUAACAUGUAAUACCCCGGGUUCCAUUCUUUUGUUUACUUGAAUUUGAAUUGUAUUGUUAUCUUUGUUUUUUUAUUAUAAUUAUCCAAAAAUAGAUGUCCAUCUUGACUUUUGGUUGGUUAUUAGACAGAGGAAUUGAGCCCGGAAAUAAAAGUGUUACUAAUUAUCAUCCAUUAUUAAAGCAAUUAUUAUAUUAGACCAAUUUUAUUUUUGCACUAUUUGAAAUAUUCACUUUAUCUGAAUGAUGAAUGGUUCUUCUUUCAGUUAAUACAGUGUCAUUCACUGGUUAACAAAUGACCUCUUAAAUUAUUCAUGAAAUCAUUUAAAAAUAUAUAAAGUUUAAUUGACAAAUUUAUCUUUUUUAAUAAAAUUAUACUCAAAUUUUUGGUUGAAAUGUAUGUAGCUUUAAGAUUAUAAUCACUUUUAGCCGAAAGUACUUUAAUAUUAGUGUUCAUAAAAAUAAUUUUUGAAUAACUUAUUAAUGAUUAAUUAUUUUAUGUAACGGUUUAAUAAAAUUAUACAAAUAUAAUGAUUUCUAAUUUGAGAAUAGUUUUUUAUAGUUCAAAACAAAAUUUAUAAUAAAAAAAUUUAACGAGUUAUCAGUAAUUAAUAAUAUACAUUUACAAUUAAAUUAUCCAAAUUAAUUAUAAAAUAUUAAAAUUUAAAAUAUUUGACUAAAGUGCGAGGCGUCACCGCUCGGCGACGUCGAGGGGCACUUGAUAGAAUAUGACUUUUCAUAUAUUACAAAGUUUAGCUAUAUAAUUAUUUUGAUUAUAAGAUAUUAAAAUAUAAAAUAUUCGACUAAAGUGUGAGGCGUCGCCGCUCGACGACACCGAGGAGGACUUGAUAAAAUAUGACUUUUCAUAUAUUACAAAUGUUUAGCUAUAUAAUUAUUUUGAUUAUAAAAUAUUAAAAUAUAAAAUAUUCUACUAAAGUGUGAGGCGUCACCGGUCGGCGACGACGAGGAGCACUUGAUAGAAUAUGAUCUUUCAUAUAUUACAAAGUUUAGCUAUAUAAUUAUUUUGAUUAUAAGAUAUUAAAAUAUAAAAUAUUCGACUAAAGUGCGAGGCGUUGCCGCUCGGCGAGCCGAGGAGUACUUGAUAAAAUAUGACUUUUCAUAUAUUACAAAUGUUUGGCUAUAUAAUUAUUUUGAUUAUAAAAUAUUAGAAUAUAAAAUAUUCGACUAAAGUGCGAGACAUCGCCGGGGAGCACUUGAUAAAAUAUGACUUUUCAUAUAUUACAAAUGUAUUAUAUAAUUAUUUUGAUUAUAAAAUAUUAAAAUAUAAAAUAUUCGACUAAAGUGCGAGGUGUCGCCGAGGAGUACUUGAUAAAAUAUGACUUUUCAUAUAUUGAAAAUGUUUAGCUAUAUAAUUAUUUAAAUUAUAAAAUAUAAAAUAUUCGACUAAAGUGCGAGGCGUCGCCGAGCGGCGACGCCGAGAAGUACUUGAUAAAAUAUGACUUUCAUAUCUUUAAAAAUAUUAUGUAAUUUUCGAACGUAAAUGAAUUUUAAUUACGAAUUAACUUUUAUAAAUACUCAAGUUAUACAACGGUUUUUGUUGAAUUUGAUUUUUAUUUUACACUGAACUUUUAUUUUUAUAACUACAAAAUCACAAGUUAUAUUUAAUAUUUUUUUUAUAACUCAAUUGUUGUUUUCUUGCAUAUAAAAGUUUGUAAGUAUAAGUAAUGGAUAUAAUAACGUCAUAUUAAUUUUCAAAAUAUAAUCAAUAUUUUAAAUCUUAUUGACAAAAAAAGGACUAAAUUCUAUCUAUUAUUUUAAAAUAUUAUUUUAAAAUAUUAUUGUAUAUACAAAUACUCACAAAUACUCCAUGACGCUGACGAACAUCCAAUAAUCAUUAUCAGGUAGUGAAAGAUCUGAGGAACACAUUAAAAUUUGUACUUCAAUAAAACACAAUUGAAAGAUGAAUUUUAGCCAAAAUAAAUAUGCAUGAAUACAGGUUGGCAAAUUGGCGUAACAACCACUGAGCUACUCAAGUACAAGGACUCGAUGAAAGGCCUCUACUACUCCCAGAACCUGAAAAUGCUAUUUCUAUAAUUCCAUCACGUUAUUUAUCUUAUUUAAUGUACUGUUCUGUGAUAACGUAUGGGAACUCGCUAAUAUGGAAUGCUAGCUUUGCAUUUGGUCUCCUCGCCAUAUUCACAAAUCAUUAGGAUUCAUAUAGAAUUGGUGCGUGUUCAAAACAGAAUUUUUUCAAGCACAAGAUCAGCAAAAAUAAAUUUAUUAAUCUUCUGCAAUUUAAAAUGCCCAGCAAGGCGGGCAUAAAUACUAGUUCUUCAUAUUUACACAACCAUUGAUCUGUCUUGCAACAAAUUUCAAGGAGAAGUUCCAAAGGUUACAUGAGAGCUUAAAUGGCUUGCAUUGCUCAAUCUAUCUCAUAAUAGUCUCACCGGACAUAUCCCAUCACUCCUCGGAAAUAUGGAAGCACUCCUAUCUCUAGAUUUGUCUUCAAAUCAAUUGACAGGGGCUAUUCCACACCAAUUAACUAAAUUGACAUUUCUAAAGGUGUUGAACCUCUCGGGAAAUAAUCUUACUGGGGAAAUCCCGCAAAAAGGGCAAUUCAGCACUUUUGGAAAUGAGUCAUACUUGGGGAACCCGGCCUUGUGUGGACUUCCUUUGACGGAAAAAUGCAUGCAUGCAGUGUCACCAACUCAAGAAGUCGGAAAUGGUGAUACUGAUGAAGAUGACGAUGCUGAUGAUGAACUUAAUUGGGAAGCCAUCCUGAUGGGAUAUGGAUGUGGAUUGAUAUGCGGAUUGUCUUUGGGGUACAUUGUUUUCAAGAUAGGAAAGCCUUGGUGGUUUGUGAAAUACAUUAAAAUACUACAACUGAAAUUGAUGAAAACAUGCACAAAGCAUAGCAGACGAAAGACUUGAGGAGAUGUUGUCUUAGGAUGCAAUCUCGUUUAAUACUUUCAUCAUUAUUCUCCAAGAUGUCUGAACAUGUAUUUUCAAAGAAUUCUCAGUUCACCUUUAGCCUUAUAAAGUAAAAGACAUUUUAAAGGCACUCUCAACUUACACCUAUAUAUACACGUACGGUUCACUUCAGUACAAAGAUUAUUAGCCAUGCAAAACAUGCAGAACCACUAGUAAUGCAGAAAAACAAAAUAUCAGUUUUCUCCAAAUAUCACUACAACAAAACUGCCAUUUUACGACGGAAAUCUAAUAUUCUAAAGGUUUACGACCAAACUAUGUUGGUGGACUUUAUUUUAAUUUACAGUUUUAACAGUAGUUAAUUUUGGAUAUCUAAACUUGCGACAGAAAACAUACGACAGUCUACCUCGCGAGAGAAAAUCAUUUUAUUUUAUUUUUUAGCGCCAGAAUUUUAAUACUAAAAUAUUAUAUAUAUGAAGGAAACUGAUCUCUAAUGUUUUCAGCUUGCUCAUCCAUAUGUAAGUAAUCCGUCGAAAAAGUUAGUUUGUUGUGGUGGUGUCUUAUCAUGAGAGAAAAUGAUAAUAUCGCAAAAUAUUUGCAACUGAAAGAUAAAUUAUAAUUCUAGAAACCAUUUAGGUAACGAUGCACGAAGUUAUUUUCACUCACUUAGAAUUAAUGAUCAUAAAUAUUUGCAACGGAAAGAUACAUUAUAGUUCUAGAAAAGGAUCCACGAAGUUAUUUUCACUCACUUAGAAUUAAUUGUAAGUUAUUGUGAGUUUUUGAAUAUGGAUUAUCUCAAAUUUUAUGAAAACACAUAUUGAUUCAUAUAUACAAAUUUGCCUACCUAAUAUUAUAAUAUUUAUGGAGAAGUUGUAUGAACAAUUGUGUAGAUAAUUAUACUUUACAAAGCAUACUUCUGCUAGAUGAAUUUUGAUUAAACAAAAUCGAAAGGGAUAGGUCUGGGUCUCUCCAAGUCUUUGAGGACUCAUUCCAAGUCUUCUGACGAGGACAAAAUAUAUUGCUGGUAGUCUUUCAGUCCUUCCUAGAGUAUUUUAUGCUCUGGACUGCAUUAUGCAGCUCUCAUAUAACUUUGCGAUGCAAAACAGUGGCAAGUAAGUAUUUCCGUAUGUGUAUUUAUUUGUAUAUUAAAGUUGCGUAACAUUUGUGUUGAUAAUUUGCGUAAUGUUGAUGAGGAUUGCUCCCAAGUCUUGGACGGACUCUUUCCAAAUCUUCUGAGGACAUAUCGGUUCAAAUUAGUCCAUUAAAAAUUUUAUGAUAUGAAGCUAUCUGCAAAAUAAUAUAUAAGGUAAAAUGAACCAUUGUUUUGUGGUUAAGUUGUACAGGCAAUAUGCAGUGCAAAAUCAGGAACAGAAUAUAUGAAUACUAGUAAUAUGAUAUCGGUAUGAACGAAUAUUUUCUAUGUAGUUGUUAUUGUGAUGCGGAAAAAAUAUUGUAACCAAAAAUAAUUAUAAUUCUAAAAAUUUCCAUUAUACACUUUUUUAGUGUUCGUGGUACUUCAAAUGACAUUUCUCGCGUAUGCCUCCAAUUAAGAACUUGAUGUUCAGCAUAGUCCGAAACUAAAAUUAUUAUAAGUGUGUAAUUCAAAAUUAUAUUGCUGGUAGUCUUUCAGUUCUUCCUAGUGUAUGCAGUAGUUUCAUUCGAUACCGAUUAUUUUAUGCAUUGCCCGAGAACCAGUCUAUCUAAAACCCUAAGAUGUUAUAUUUUUAUACGUGUAUUAGUUUUGAAGAUUAAAGUUGUAUGGACAAUUGUGUUAAUAAUUUGCGCAAUUGCGCAAUGAUAACUGGGAUAGGUCAUCUUCUCUCCCAAGUCUUGGAUGGAAUCUUUCCAAGUCUUCUGAGAACCCAUCAGCUCAGAUUAGUCCAUACAAUGUCAAGGGUCCUAUGAUAUGGUCUACUAACAGCCCAGUGUCGGUAAUAAAUCCAAUUGCAUAUAACCUAUUCAAAAUCAAUCCCCUAUAAACAAUCAUCUCUAAAAACUAUUCACAUAAAAUAAAAUUUUAAAAAUAUAAAAUAUCUAGUUGUUUUCAAUAUAUAAUUUUCCACAGUAGAUAACACAAUAUCUUUAUCAAAUUAUUAUUUAUGGGUUCAAUAUUUAAGCUAUAAUUCCAACAACACGGCAAGCAUGCAGCAUAUAAAUAGAAGUGUGCAGUAUGGUAUUGCAUUCAUAACCCAGUUGAGGAAAAAUAUGGCACCCUUCCUAAAGCCUUCUCACCUUCUUCUCUUUGUUUUCUUUCUCUCAUCACCUGAGUCCAUUCUUGCGACAACACGAGAAGGAGAAGCUCUUGUGAAGUGGAAGAAUAGCCUAGCCCCUUCUUCUUUUCUUGAUUCUUGGUCACUCACUCAUCUCGAUAAUCUUUGUAACUGGACUGGCAUUACUUGUAACUCUGCAGGUUCAGUCUCUAAGAUUAACCUUUUUGAGAAACAACUUAAUGGAAUGCUGUCCGAGUUUGGUUUCACUUCAUUUCCAAAUCUCAGCAAUCUCACCCUCACAUACAACUUCUUCUCGGGUCCCAUACCACCAGCCAUUGAGAAUUUAACCCAGCUUCGGUAUCUUGAUUUGAGCUAUAAUUAUCUGGAUGGUCCCAUUCCGUUCCAGGUUAGCCAUCUUCAGAGCUUGCUCAUCUUGAACCUGUCACAGAAUGCAUUGCAAGCUCCAAAUUGGUCCCAUUUCUCUCCCAUGCCUUUCUUGCGCAUCCUCAACCUCAGUUACAAUCCUCUUGCGUCGAAAUUCCCAAAUUUUAUAUCCAAUUCUCAUAGCCUGACUCACCUUAGCCUUAAUUUUAAUGAGUUUACUGGUGAUCUAGUACGUGAAUCAAUAUUUGCCAAUCUGCAUAAUCUUGAAGUCCUCAGUCUUCUUGGCAAUUUUUUUGAGGGGCCAUUUCCGCCAGAUAUAUUCAAGCUUUCCAAAUUAAAACAUCUUCACCUGUCAGGUAACAAAUUCUCAGGUUCAAUUCCAAAUGACAUAAGGUUGCUUUGUGGUCUUGAAAACCUAUUUUUAAGCAACAAUUCCUUUGAAGGACCGCUUCCACCAAAUAUAUUUAAGCUUUCAAAAUUAAAACAACUUGUUCUUUGGAGUAAUAAUUUUUCAGGUUCUAUUUCCAAUGAUAUAGGUUUGCUUUCUGAACUUGAAACCCUCAAUCUUCAAUUUAAUUUUUUUGAGGGGCCGCUUCCCCCACAUAUAUUUAGGCUCUCUAAGUUAACAGGUCUAGAACUCGGAGACAAUAGAAAUUUAUUUGAAGGAAGUAAUAUUCCUAUCGGACUGGGACUCUUGACUAACCUCAGGUACUUAGAUUUACAUUCCAGUAAUCUCAGUGGCUAUAUUCCAUCUGACAUUGGAAACCUGAAGCUACUAGUACUUCUUAGUCUCGGUUCUAAUCAAUUGACUGGACCGCUUUCAAAGAUCGUUUAUAAUCUCACAAAUCUUAUAUUUCUUGAUGUAAGUAAUAAUAGUCUUAGUGGAAAUAUUCAGAGUGACUUGUGGAAAUAUAACCAUCAUCCUACUUUGGAAUACAUCGAUUUUAGUGGGAACCAUUUUACAGGUAUAUUUUUUCUCUAUAGAUCUUUUCCUUUUGUCAUAUGUAACUAAGCUAGUAAUCUGAUUAUUGCAGUUUUACUGAAGUUUCAACAAUCUUGACAGGUGAGCUUCCAACAACAAUUUGCAAUGUCAUGUCCCUUUCGGUUCUUGAUUUGUCAAAUAAUGAAUUAAGUGGUGCACUUCCAAACUGUUUCGGGAAUCUUGCUGAUGGAUUGCUUUACAUUAAUCUUGCUAAUAAUCAGUUUCGAGGAACAAUACCAACUACUUUCUCCAGGAGUUGUCAGCUGACAUAUCUAAACAUGGAUAAUAAUGAGUUUGAAGGAUUGUUGCCCCCAUCUUUGGCGAACUGUAAGCACUUGAGAAUUCUUGAUAUUGGCAAUAAUAAAAUAGGUGGUACAUUUCCGUCAUGGCUUUAUGUACUUGGAGAGCUAGAAGUCCUUGUCUUGCGAUCAAAUAAACUCUAUGGUACAAUAAGUGGAAGGAGCAUAGAAGAUCCCUUCCCCAAGUUGCGGAUUGUGGAUCUGUCCAACAAUCAAUUCACAGGCCAUUUGCCAAUUCAAUACUUUAAGAAUAUGAAAUCAACUGAUAAUUUGUAUCGUUAUCAGAAUUCCACAGGAGUUUUUUCUUUCCAUUAUGAAGCAUCUGUCUCAUUAACUGUGAAGGGAACAGAGUAUGAAGUGAAAAAUAUCCUUCAUAUUUACACAGCCAUUGAUCUGUCCUGCAACAAGUUUCAAGGAGAAAUUCCUGACGUUAUUGGAGAGCUUAGAUGGCUUGCAUUGCUCAACUUAUCUCAUAAUAGUCUGACAGGACCUAUCCCAUCAUUACUGCGAAAUAUGAAAGGACUCCAAUCUUUAGAUUUGUCCUCAAAUCAACUGACAGGGGCUAUUCCACCUCAGAUAACUGCACUGACAUUUCUAGAAGUCUUAAACCUCUCGGGAAACCAUCUUAGUGGAGAGAUUCCUCAGAAAGGACAAUUCAGCACAUUCAACAAUGAUUCUUAUAUAGGAAACUCCGCAUUAUGUGGAUCACCAUUGACGAAGACAUGUGCAAACACAGCAUCACCUCCACAAGAAGUCGGAAAUGUUGAUGAAGAUGAUGCGGGUGAUGAAUUGACAUGGGAAGCAAUCUUGAUGGGAUAUGGAUGUGGACUGAUAUGUGGAUUGUCAUCUGCAUACAUUGUUCUCAAACUAGGAAAGCCUUGGUGGUUUGUGAGAUAUCUCGAAGUACUGCAACAGAAGUUGAUGAAAAGAUAUGCAUGAAGAAUGGUACUGGCCGAUCAAGACCAACUUGAAAGUUUGUUGUCCUUGUGCACAUUUCUGAACCAGUAGUGUACUUGCUGCAUAAGUAUUUGGUAUUAUGUAAUAAUCCGUUUGGUCGGGACUCAUAAUGAUUUCUCUUGCUUCAGGGGUAUUAAUAUUAACCUUGCUAUCUUGAUCAAUGUUAAAGCAAAUUAAAUGAAUGAAAAAACAAAAAGUAUGCAUCAAAUCCGCUCCUGCUGUACCAAAAUCCAUUAAAUUGCUUUGGUCUCUUACCUAACAAUUUAACAGCACACUUCCACACUGUUCAUACCUAAUUUGCGUGUAAUAUGAAAACUAAGAGGCAUGGCUUUUGUCUCUAUAAGUCUUUGAGAACUUAUUCUUCCAAGUCUUCUUCGGAGGCCUGCUGCCUCAACAACCUUUCAAAGAUGUAGCAGUUGCUCGAGAGUAACAUAUAUAUUAGAUAAAGACUAUGCAAUAAUCCACGUGACAGAAAAACCAAAGUCCAAUUAGUUUUCCAAGUUCAUAAAAAAUACUAUAGGAUCAUUAGCAUUACAUUAGUAUUCCACUAGCAUACAGCAUAUUAUAAGACAAAAGUAAGCGGAAAUAAACAUAAUUUCAAUAGAUUUAACUUACUCUUCAGAAUCGAUAAGUUUGGAACACGUUGAUUGAGCACAAGACGAAGGCCACACAUGCGCAUCAUCUGAUGCAGCUAUAUAUGGUGCCUUUACAGUUGCUCAUACAUAUAGUGAAACAAUAAGGAUCAACUCCUCCAUUGUACGUACACAUUUUCAUACAAGCUAUAAAGCAUGGUGAUAGAGUCUUUGCAAUCUCGUCAUGACCGGCACAUCCGAUUAUGAUAAACUCUAGCAGGAUCAUCCAAGUAAUAAUUUUCAUAAUGAUAUUAAUUAUCAUUGUGAAUAGUUGCAUUGAGUUAUAUAUGUGUGUGUAUAUAUAUGCAAUGGAUUUUGUGGUUGAGAAUAUCUAUUAGAUUUUGUAUAUCCAUAACAAUUAUUAAAAUUUAAACAAGAAUAUCUAUUAUUGGUUGUGGUUGACUAUUGUAGUAGUCCAAGAAAUCAAUGCAAGUGAAAUCUAUAUUAUAUUUUAAAAGAUUAUACAUGAAAUACAAAAGGUUUUUUUAGGACUGCUGUUAAAAAUUGUUAUGUUGUACGAAAAAAUGCUGAUAAAAAGAGUGUUAUACGAAAAAAUGCUGAUAAAAAAAAUGUCGUAUAAAUCAGAUAUGACAGCUUCCCACAAAAACUAAAAAAAACAGUUUUCCGUAAUAAUAUGGGAGAGGAAAAACUGUUUGUAGAUUUAUAGAACAAUUUUUCGGUAAAAAACUGUUGUUGUUUUCGAGAGUAAUGACAAACAGUGCCGAAAUCAUUUUGCAGGUAGUUAAUCUCACUUCCAUAUAAUAUACUCCUAUAUAUUACCGAAAAAACAUGAAAUGAUGCAAACCUCAUACUAUUGACAACAGCUAAACUCCUUGCAAUACUUUCAGCUGCAAAAUCCAUCAAAUUUUUUGAUUUAUCAUGUAACUGUUUGACAGAGUACUUCCAAGCCUAAGUAUCAAAAAUCACUACCUUACGAAAUAUAUCUCACCCUACCUUCUCUGCUUAACUGUUUCGAGUGCUUUUACCAAGCAUAUUUUCCAUUAAGCGUGAAAGGCACAGAAUAAUUAGGAUCACCGAAUAUCCCAUCAGUGCUGGGGAAUAUGGAACCAUCUUAUCAAUUAACUAGUUUAACAUUUCUUGCGGUCUUGAACCUCUCAGAAAACCAUCUUAUCCUAAUGUGCCGACUUCCUUUGACGGAGAAAUGGUGAUGCUGAUGCUAAUGAUAAUGAACUCAACUGGGGAGUGAUCCUUAUGGGAUACGGAUGUGGAUUGAUAUGCGGAUUUUCUUUGGGGUUUAUAUUUUGUGGUUUGUGAGAUACAUUGAAGUACUGCAGCUGGAGUUGAUCAUUAUAAAGAACAUAGGCAAGUUAAUCGCUUAUUGAAAUUAGUAAUUGUCAAAAGUAAAAUGUUGAAAUUACUUUUUUCGAUUGAAAUCAUUGAAAAAAAGUCUCUGUCGAAAUUGAUCUGCCAAAAUUAUGUUUAAUAUCUACGGCCAAGAUUAUCUGUCGAAUAUAUUUCCCGACAAUUUUAAAAGACAAAUUUUUCGCCUCUCAGCUGUGAGCGGGAACAGAUAUUUUCGACAGAAUUCCAUUGAAAUUAGCUAAUUUCAACAUAAAUUUUCUAUCGAAAUUACUUGAGUUCUUUGUAGCUUGUUUUCACAAAUACGCUGAUAGCCUUUGGGGACGGGUAUAUUGUUUUCACAAAGCCCUGGUGGUAUGUGAGAUGCUUCGAAGGACUGCAACUGAAGUCGAUAAGAACAUGCAGAAAGAAAACCGAUCCAUCUUGAUAAACUUGAAAAAUGUUGUCAUAUGGUGAUAUAUACUCCCUGGCCCCAGUCUCUUGGAAAGAACUUGGUUGAUUUUUUUUUUUCAGUAUUGUUGGAGCUGUCAUACUAGUGCUAGUGUGCCGACUAGCACUAGUAUGACAGCUCCAACAAGUAUCCAUCCCUAAUAAUUGCAGCAAAUUAAAAAAUAUAGCUAUAUCUUUUUAGCAAUGGUGCAAUUUGGAAAGCUUUCUCAUCAUCUUCUUCUUUUCUUUAUCUCAUUACUCUCAUCUAGUUCCACUGUCCUAUCUGCAACAAUUCGCGAAGGAGAAGCUCUUGUGGAAUGGAAGAACAGCCUAUCCCCGAAUUCAUUUCUUGGUUCUUGGUCACUAAUUAAUCUCACUUAUCUUUGUAAUUAAGUGGACUGGCAUUGUAUGCAACUCUGCAGGUUCAGUCAGUCAGAUUAAUCUUCAAGAACUCACACUUGCUAACCUCCGUUUCUUUUCGUUUCCAAAUCUCACCAAUCUCAACAUUACACAUAACAACUUCACUGGUCCAAUACCACCCGAGACUUUAGCUAUAGUAAUCUCAAUGGUACCCUUCCAUACCAGGUCAGCCAUCUUCAGAGGUCGGUCGUCUUAGGCCUCUAAUUUAAUCACUUGAAAGCUCUAAGCUUGUCCAAUUUUUCCCCCAUGCCUAUACUGGUUGGUCGCGGUCUUGGUGGUAAUAAGCUGGCGUCAAUUUUUCCAGAAUUCAUAUCUAAUUGCUAUAACAUGAUUAACCUUGAUCUUUCAUUUAACAUGUUAACUGGUGAUCCCUUCAACAACUUGCGAAUCUUGGAUCUCUUCGACAAUGAAUUCACUGGUUACUUGCCAAUCCAAUAUUUUAAUAAUAUGAAACCAGUUAAUACCGUGAUUGAUUAUUACAACAUAACAGUGAAUCAUGAUUAUCAAGCAUGUCUUGUUAACAUUUUGCACUCGUAUUAAUUGUCUUAUAUAUGACUAACUCAUCUUGCACUCGUAUUAAUUGUCUUAUAUAAUACUAAUAACAAAAAUAUGAGGCGGUGCUUAGUCAGAUGAUUUUAGUUGUUAAAAUAUUUUUGUGUUAUUUAUAGAUAGUGAAACAUGUCUAAUAUUUUAUCAAUUUUGUUUCGUUUCUUGAGAUUUCCAAAUAUUUAUUGGGACAUUGUACCAUGGUGUAUUUCACAUAUUCGCAAUUUUAAUUAUUUUGUAUUUUUAUUUUAAAGAUAUGAUAAAGUUUAUUUAUUUAUUUGUUUUUAUCUUAAAAGCGAUUUUCGAGUGUUGCUUAAACCUCGAAGAUUCCAAUCGAGUUUUAUUCUCGGAUCUGUUUCGGAAUUGAGCUUGGCCUUGAUUGUUUUCUGAAUAAAUCAGAUCUUUUGAAAUCAAAGGUUCGAUUGUGUUUUCCCGUCUCGCCUUUUGGCGUGUGUUGAUUUAGUACCCAAUUUUUGGGUGAUUCUGCGUUGUUAUAUUUGUGGUUGUUAUGUCUUUCUGUGUUAUCAAUGAGAAUGAUUGGGAUGGAGUUUUGGGAGAUUUGGCUUAUCGCAUCAUUACAUCUUUCGGCAUGUCUAUAGCUGGCUCCCGGCAUGUAGAUAGCUGGGGUAUGCUUGGAACGGUGGCGAUCGCAUGUGCUCACCUGUCACAAAUUAUAGUUGUUCAUUAUUCGAGGGCUCUUGUUCCUCGUUGCUUAGUUUUUACAACUGAGUCGUCUGAACACCGCAACAGCCAUGGAACUAUUGUGAAGGUCAAUUGUGAAGCUAUCAUUUUCGAGAUUGAUGUAGGCUGGAUUACUCGAGAAGCUUUUGUAUUCAUUUUCAGUUUCAAGAAUUCUUGAAUUCAGUGUGUUAAGCAGUCUGGAAACAAUGCGGCUAUUUGAUUAGCUCGUUUUAUUGUUUAUCAACCUGAUUGCAUUGUCAGUUGGGGAUUUGUCCCGAUUAAACUUGUUUUAAUAUAAUGGAAUGAAUUUGCAUUUUGUCAAAAAAAAAAAAAAAAAGCGAUUUUGAGUUGUUUGAGUUAGAUAUAUACUCCUACUGUGGUUCAACUAGUUUUGCCAUAAGUGAAUAACUUCCGGUCAAUAUUUUGAAAUUUGUCGUUAUCUUCUAAUUAAAAUAAAGGGUUAAAUAGCUACUUCAUCAUUAAUAUCGUUGAAAAUUUGCAGCUGAGUCAUGUUGUUGAAAAGACUUUCAAACUGCAUCAUUAAGUAAUUAAAAAAUUUCAAAAACACCACUCUCCGUCAGUUAUGUUAAACAAUUAACGGAAAGUUCGAAAAAAAAUAAAGAAAAGACAAAAAAACAUUAAAAAAAUUUGAAAAAAAAACCCGAAAAAAUGUGAAUAAACUAUGAUAUUUUUUUUCUUUUUUUGAAAAAUGUGAAUAAAAUCAAAAAAUCAAAAAAAAUGGGAAACCAAAAGUGGCAAGCUUUUUUUUUUUUUGUUCCUUUCAAAUUUUCUAAAAUCUGGGGAAAAAAGAACUUGCCAACUAAUUUUUUCCAAAUUUUUUCAAAUUCUUUUCAGAUUUUUGAAUUUUUUUCCAAUUUUUUCCUCACUUUUUUUCUGUUUUUUUUUGAAUUUAUUAAGAUUUUUUUUGUUUUUUCUGCUUAUUCUGAAUUUUUUAAGAUUUAUUCGCAUUUUUAAAAAAUAUUUUUGAAUUAUCCGUUAAGUAAUUAAUGGAACUGACGGAGAGUGAUGCUUUUGAAAGUUUUUAAUUACUUGAUAAUGCGUUUGAAAAUUUUUUCAACAACAUGACUCAGUUGCAAGUUUCCGGCGAGGUUAGUAAUGAAUUAGUUAUUUAACUCUUAAUAAAAAUCUAUCUAAACAAUAUUAUAAAUAUAAUGUUAUGGGUUCGAUGAGUCGUGUAAAACAUGGAAGAAGUUUAGGUGGGGUAAAAAGAGCCUAGCUGUGUGAUUUCCAUUCUGUUAUACGUGAUAUACUGUAGUUGAUCAUCUCCUUUGUCCGCUUCAUCCUGUGCAACCUUAACCUUUAAGGAAAAACUUAUGAGAUUCUCUAGUGCAUCUAAAUUCUUGUGUGAAGAAUGUGAAGAAAAAUGUUAGUCUCAGAUUAUUUUUCCUAAAAUGCUUGCAUGUUACAUUUUAUAUGUAUGUCCUGACUUUAAGUAUAAUUUAGCAUUUUUAUUUAGUAUUGUGUAAAAAUAAUAUAUUUUAUUCAGUCUUAUUAAAAAUAUAAUCAUGUUAUACUGUAAAAGUAUUUGUGAAUUUCUUUGUUACAUAUGUGUUUAAAUUAUUUUAUUUAUAUAUGUUUUACAAUUUUUUACAAAUAUAUAGGUUGAGUAUUGCAUAGGAAUAUAAUUACACGUUAGCAAAUAUGAUUAUGUGUAAACUGUUCUGCGUGCAUGUAUAUUGCUGCUAAGUUUUAAACUUCUUACUAACCGGAAUAAUUUUGACAGAUGUGUGGAACUUGAUUAAUUUAGUUGCACUAUAAGAGAAAGCGUUUUUGUCAAUAAAAAUUGUUAAGGAAAUUAGUCCGUUGGUAGUUCUCAACGGAUUUGUAACAAUUUGACUGGUCAAUGUUCUGUCAACCAAUUCGUAAUGAAAUACCCACACUUAUUUACAACGAGAUGUUCUAUUAGGAAAUAUAGCCACACAAUGGAAUAAUAACAAAAGACCAAGGAAUGAGCAACAGACUAGCAACGAAAGUAUCUGUUAUUACAUUCGUUGAUAUUCCCUUGAUAAAUACUAGACUUUUUAGCACUUUGGUGGCUUGUACUAUUUCAAAUUUGCACGUUAGUGGCCGACCUUUAAAAGUCAUCAAUUGUGUUGCUGAACUUAUUUUUUUUUAACACAUUAGGGGCUCCGCAUCAUAUCCGUUAAAUCGAAGUAACGGCGUCAAAUGAUCAAUACAUAUCUCCUCCUCCUCUUAUUUCCCUCCAAAUUAAAAAACGAAACGGCUACCCUCUUUUCCGAAGCAAGAACGACGACGAAUUCCUGCUUACAGAGAUGAGUUGGUUCCGGCGUCUUAAAGAGGAUGCUGAUGUGUAUUAGCCUCGACAGUGCCCCGAUUACUGUAGUAAGCUCUUCAACUUUUCUUCUUUGUAGCAUAUGAAAUGAGUUUAAUUGACCAUUAUUUCAGUGUUUGUUGUUGUUAGUGGCUAGUUGUUUAGUAUUAUGGACCUGCAAUUGCUUUAUACUAUUAAAAUGAAAGAUUCUGCUUGUGGGUUUUUAAAAAUUAAGGCUUUUACAUAGUCCAAGAUUCGGUCAUUAUAAAAUCAAUUUAUGCCUGUUUUAGUAUAGUGCUUGUUGUUAGUGGCUAUUUGUUAAGUAUAGUGUUGUUUAUUGUAAAUAAAACUGUUGCUUUGCACUCUACAUUUGCAGAACCUGGUGAUUUUACCCUAAAAAUAUAUCAUGGGGCCGAUUGGGUAGAUAACCCUAGGGCAUAUGUGGGAGGUACAGUAGAUUUCUUUGACUUCUGUAAUGCUGAUCAGAUCAGCAUAAUUGAGAUAUAUAGUAUGUUGAAAGAGGUUGAUGAGUUUGGGUUUCACCAACUGUGGUAUAAGCUACCUGGCACUACAUUCGAUAGAGCUUUUGUACUAAAUAAUGAUGAGGAGCUAAUGACCAUGUGUGAGCUUAUAUCUGAUGUGGAUAAGUAUAUGGAGAUUUAUGUCACCACUAUGGCACAUCUAAGUAUAGUGCCCUAUAGAGAUUUAGAGGUUGAAUUUGUUGAACCAACUCCUAAAGAAGCACCUGAAAAGAACAAUCCAUCACCUGAAAAGAUCAAUCCAGCACCUGAAAAGAUCAAUCCAGCACCUGCAAAGAUGUAUCCAGCACCUGCAAAGAGCAUUCCAACUGUGGGAAAUGAUGAUGAUCAGGAAGAGUUUGAGUUUGAUUUUGACAAUACACGGUUUUGGGAUACCACCCAAAAUGAAAUUGAAAUUGUGCAACAAGUUAGGGAAAUGGAGGGGUUGGAAGAGGAAUUUUCAGACACAGAUUCUGAUGAUGAGGAUUUUGUGCCAGAAGAAAAGGAAAGUAGUGAUGAGACCUUCCACUGUGAUAGUUCCAAUCAAGAUAAUUCUGAUGAUGAUUUGUUGUUUGAUGAUGAUUACUACCAUCCUUACCAGCAGAUGGAAACCAACAAAGAAAAAUAUACAACAACAACAACACAGCAAGAAUUUUCCAGUUCCUUGCUUGCUUCUGCGCCUCGGAUAGUUCUUCACUGUAGAAAUCCUUGUACUCAUCUUUGGCCUUAAUCAUUUCAGCAAAACAUUCAUCGUCCUUGUUCUUCAAACGCCUUAUCAGUCCAUUGAUUACACUCUUGCUGCGCGCAUCAAACUCGGGUUCAACCCACUUGAAGAAAUUGCACCUUCCAUUCACGCAAGUCAAGAAUCUUCUACCCGGAUUGUACUCCGUCCACGAUGUCUUCUCCACUGCCCAGCUUCCACACAUACAUUGUUGAUUCAUCUUUGCAGAGCUUUUUGGUUUGGAUGAGAGAUUUAGGUUUGAAUAUGCUCAAUUACACACAGCAGAAACGUAUAUAUAUACACAGCAUAUAGCCGUUGCAAAAAUAUUUUCCUGAAAUACCCCUGACGACCGUUACUUCGAUUUAAUGGAUAUGAUGCGGAGCCCCUAAUGUGUUAAAAAAAAAAUAAGUUCAGCAACACAAUUGAUGACUUUUAAAGGUCGGUCACUAACGUGCAAAUUUGAAAUAAUACAAGCCAUCAAAGUGCCAAAAAGUCUAAAUACUAACAGUUUCGUUAGUAAUUGAUUAUUAGUUUUACAUGGACAAUUGAUAUACACCACAUGAGCACAUACACGGAUACAAUGCCAGGCUCUUAGUUGAAAUGUGUGUACUGCUAAAGCUCAAGGAGAUUUAGUUGACUAAAUUGAUUUGAGUUGUAGAAAAAGGUUUAAUAAUAUAAUGGACUUUGAUAUAUGUAUUGUAGAUAUUAAGUAAUUCUCUUGAAUUUAUAUAUGUAACAUAAUUGUUAAUUGGCUCAUCCUUAACUAGAUAUUUUAUAUUACAUUCUUAACUACAGAUUUUGUAUUUAAAAUUUUUUUAAAAAAUUAACCUUUAUUUGGUAUGUGGAUUUUGUAGUCAAAUGUGGUCAAUUUACUUAGCCUUCGAUCGAAUACCUACCCAAAACAUAAAAAUAUUUUUUAAUCAUUUAUUUUCGACGAUCCAACUAUACGGAUAUUAUUGUAAUGUGAUAAUAUUGUUUACAAAUUUUUUUUAAAAAAAUUAGCCUUUUAUUUGGUAUGCGCAUUUUGUAGUCAAAUGCAAUUAAAUUACUUAGUCUUUAGUGGAAUCUUUACCCGAAACAUAAAACUUUUUUUUAAAAAAAAAUUUGGACAAUCCAACCGUACAGAUGUUAUUGUAACGUGUUAAUAUUGGUUAAAAUAAAUUUUGAGAAAAUAUGUCUUUUAUUUGGUGUGUGGAUUUUGUGGUCAAAUGCGGUCAAAUUACUUAGCAUUUAAUCGAAUACUUACCCAAAACAUGAAACUAUUUUUUUUAAAAAAUAAUUUCGGACGAUCCAACCGUACGGGGGUAUUGUAACACAAUAAUAUUGAUUAAUUUUUUUAUAGGAAAAUUAUAGCCUUUUAUUUGUUGUGUGGAUUUUGUUGUCAAAUGCAGUCAAAUUACUUAGCCUUUAAUGAAAUACUUACAUUAAACAUGAAUUUAUUUUUUUUUAAAAAUCAUUUGGAUGAUCCAAUCGUACGGAUGUUAUUAUGACAUGUUAAUUGAUUAAAAAAAUAUUUAAAAAAAAUGCCUUUUAUUUAGUAUGUGGAUUUUGUAGUAAAUGCUACUUAGCCUUUAAUCGAAUACUUACCCGAAACAUGAAACUAUUUUUCUAAAAAUCAUUUUGGACAAUCCAACCGUACGGAUGUUAUUGUAACAUGAUAAUAUUGAUUGUUUUUUUAUAUAAUAACCUUUUAUUUGGUGUGUGGAUUUUGUAGUAAAAUGCGGUCAAAUUACUUAGCUUUUAAUCGAAUACUUACCUGAAACAUGAAACUAUUUUUAAUAAAAUUAUUUUAGAUGAUCCAACCAUACAGAUGCUAUUGUAACGUGAUAAUUGAUUAUUUUUUAAAAAAAUUAGCCUUUAAUAUGGUGUAUGGAUUUUAUAGUAAAAUGAGGUCAAAUUACUUAGUCUUUAAUGGAAUAUUUAUUAGAAAUAUAUUUUAAAAAAUUAUUUUGGACGAUCCAAACUGUAUGAAUGUUAUUUUAACAUGUUAAUAUUGAUUAAAAUUGUUUUUAAAAAAAAAUUAGUUGUAUUUUAUGUGUGAAUUUUUAGUCAAAUACGAUAAAAUAUUUAUUUAGCUUGUAAUGAAAUAUUAAAACCCUACUUCAAAAGAAACUUGUCUAAAACUACCUAUAAGUGUUAGAGAAUCAUCGAUUUAGUUAUCAAAUUAGUUAUCAUAAGGGUUUUACUCCGCUUUUCUCUGGUAUGAUGUUGAUUUUUGGGGUUUGAUUGGUCGAUUUUCAUGUUUUAUAAGUUAUGUGAGUUCGAUUUUGAUGUUUUUACAAUUAGGUUUAUGUAUGUUCUUAUACAGGUUUCAUGUUCAUGUUUUGAUUUGUUGAUUUCCUAUUUUUCAUAUUUUGUUGAUUAGUUAUUUGUGUGGGUUUUGAACUUUGAUGAGUGUGUAUGUAAUCUCCUGUUUUUUUUUUUCAUUUUUCUGGUUCGAACACUUCGAUUAGUAGCUGGAAAAACAGCUGAUGCGGCAGUAGCGGCUAGUGAGAUGGAUAACAAGAAAAGGAUGAUUUCGAGGUCAUCUCGUGCAAGUCUUCAGAUAUAGUUUUGUUCCUUUAUGUUUUUAAUUGACAUAAAUUUUCACAUUUGAUGAUUAUAUUAUGGGGGAUUCUGGGUAUACUUGUAUAUAAUCUAGCAAGUUAUUAUAAUUCUGGACGGGGGGCUUAUUGUGAAAUUAAAUUGAGGGAUAAGUUGUGUUAUUGGUUCUAGUGGAUUAAAUUUAUGUUGACACUUGAUAUAUGCAUUGAUGUCGUAAAAUAAGUUGCACAUCAAACUAUUUGGCUUGUUUAAGUUGUAUGGAGUAAGGCUGUACGCGGAUCGGAUCGGUUCGGUUGGAGGGUAAUAACCAAACCAAACCGCAACUUACGGUUUUCUAAAAUCUCAAACCGCGACCAUACUGUUGGUUAAAAAAACCCAACCAAAUCCAUCCACGUAAUUGCGGUUGGUUGCGGUUCAACUGCUAAAAUAGUUAUAACAAAGAAAAUAUAUAAGUUAUUGCUUAAAAUCUUGCAUAAAGUACAGACUUUAACUCAAAAAUAUAUAAUUUAUCACUUAAAAUCUUGAAUAAAGUUAAUACAAUAAAUCUGAUUACAUAUUACAAAAGCAAACUACUCCGGAAAUAUAUAACUUGAAGCAGAGCUUCAAGUUAAUGGUUAUUAAAAAUUUCAUCCGCGACUGCCCACAUUUUACGGUUAUCCAUAAUACACGGAUCGGUUGCAGGUGGUUGUUGCGGUUAAUGCGGUGGAGCGGAUUGAACGUACAGCCCUAUGAAGUAUGGUUGCCAAGCAUUGGUUGGUUGUACACGUGUAAACAAAAUGAUAUUUUAAUAUUUAAACAAAACAAUACAGUCAUAAACAGAUCGUGUCGGGCUGGACUGAUUGUGAUUUUCCUUUUUGGAACUCGUACUCGGCAUCUUCCAAGCGAAUGAUAUUUAGAAGUUUGUUGCUAGUAUACUCCAUGUCAUAAUAAGAGUUCUUUAGAUUUUUUAUAUGUAAUUCGAAGUAUAAAAAACAUAUUUUAACAUAUUAUUUUUAAAUUUUUUAUACAUAAAAAUAUAACAUCUAUAUUUUUAUUUAGAAAAAAAUUUGAAAUAUAAUAUAUAGAUGCAUGUCUUUUUUAUACGUGAAAUUACAUGUAAAAAAUUAAAAGACUCUUAUUUUGAGUAAGAGAGAAUAUGAUGUACCAUAAAGUCAUCGAUCUUUUGUUAUCAAAUAAAUGUGAUAUUUAAUUAUUUAAGAGCAAGUCCAAAAGUAUCUUAGUUAAAGUCCUAAAUAUAAUAUAAAAUAUUACGUUCUGGUGAUUUAGGAUAUAUUUUACUAACUUGGACUCCAACAAUGUGUCUUAUUCUCAUAAGAAGUUUAAUAUUUUAUUAUUAAAGACUCUCUUUCAUCAUUAAAGCAUAAUAUAAAAGUAGAGAGAGAAAAAGAGUGUUGAUAAGAAUUAAUAAUAAAAUAUGGGAUAGGGUUAGGAGAGAUGUGCCUCAAAAAUAGGGUUUGAGGAGUUUCAUUAGGUGUGGACACGGAGACCAAGAAGUAAAAGAUGAGUACAGUUAAAUGAAGAUGUGGUAAAAUAAUGUGACCCAUUUAUAUUUAAUAAUACAUUUGAAAUAGUGGAGGAAAGUAACGAGUGUAAUAACGUUUAUAUUAUUAUAGCAUAUAGAUAGCAGAAGAAAGCAAUGGGUAUAAAAGUGUAUUAUAUUAUUAAAGUUUUGAAAUGUUUAGAAAUAAUGGGGCAAUCAAAAAGAAAACUGUAUAAAAAUGGACGAGAGAAUACAAUUCAAGAAGUAAUAUAUCUCAAUUCAAACUAGGUAAUAUAUUUAUGAAUUAUAUUAAAAAAAAUUUGACAUUCAAAUAUAAAAAUUUAUUUUAUCAUCUUAACAAUGGAAUAUUCGAUUAUUAACUUUCGUAAAUAACAUUAAUUUUUCAUUAUAAUAUACUCUAAACUUUUAUUUUAUGUGCCUGUUUGUUUACAAGAAGCUGGAGUCCUACUUCUCUUGACUCGUUUGUGUAAAAACGUAAAAAGUGCUUUUAAAAAGUACUGAGAAGGAAAUGGAAGUAGAAAAUGCUAGUUUUUCUUUAUAAUAUCUAUUUCUUUUCUAGACACUUUAAUAAUUUAUAUAUAUUAAUUUAUUUCUCACUUAUACUCCAUUUUUUUAUAGAGAACUUCUUUUAAACUAAUCGGCUCCUAUAAUCAGUAGUUUCUCAAUUUUAAUAGGAAUAAGAGCAUGUUUAUCUGAGCUUAAAGCCCGGGGUUUAUAUCAUCUCUGGCUUUAAGCUGAAAAAUGUAUGUUUGUGUAUUAAGUCGGAAGUCGGCUUAAAGUCGGAAAUAAGUCAAAAAUUGACCUAAAACCAGAAGUUAGUUUGAGAUACUUUUCUCGGUGACUAAUUUUUUUUUUAGCCAUUUUUUGAUAAAAAUUAUUCCUAAAUCACAAAUUACUCAUAAAUUACUUUUAUUAUUAUUAUUAUUAUAUUUUUAAUAACUUAUAAAUUAUUAAUAAAUCAAAAUUAAUCAAACAAAUAUUUUAAGUUCUCAUAUUAUGAGAUAACUAACGUUAAGUCAUGAAUCAACUGAACGGGAUGUAAGUCUUCUUCUCCCCGAGUCAUCAGCAGACUUUUUCCAUGUCUUCUGAGCCCCCAUUGGCUCACAAUUGGCCCAAAAAAUAUUUGGUUAUGCAUUGCUAUUCACACACUUAGACAUCAAAAUUUAUCAUCCGACAGGCGACAGCUAACUGCACACUAUUUUUCCCACAAGCUGAAAAAUCAACGAUCAAUUAAUUUUUCUUAUCAAUUAAUAAAGUUAUGAUUUCACGUACACGGCAGGCAAAAUGCUAAUAAAUAGACGAGUGCAGUAUAGUAUGGGUUCAUGAUCACCUUGAGAUUUAAUUGAAAAAUAUUAUGGUGAUAUAGAUUAAAUUAAAUUAUAAUAUCUUGAAAAGUUAUAAAUAAUUUUAAUUACUAAUAAUAUUUAUUUGUACAUUUAAAUAUUUUUAUAAAAACACAAAAAUAGCAUUAUACUCAUUUAAGUUUCUCGUAUCCGCCUCUCUUCUUGGAGAUUGUGGAUUUGCGAUAUUUAUAUUGAUUAUUAUAGGAAAAUGUUAUUUCCAGAGCAAACAUUUUUAUUUCCGGAGCAAAUUCAAACAAAUUUUUCCAAAUUGUUCUGGAAAUUAAAAUAUUGAUAUGGAUAUAACAAUUCCCUUAUUAUAUCCUAUGUAUAUUACAUUAAUGCAAUUAACAUGGUUGAUUGUUUUAGUAUAUAAUCAUAUUACUGUGACCUUUUAGUAUAUAAUUAUAUUAUUUUUGUUAUAUUUUAUGCAUCUAGAAACAAUUUUUUUAUGAUAUUUAUUAUAUUAAUUAUAGUAAAAGAUAUAAUUUUGUUUAAAAAAUUGAAUAAAACUAAGAGGGAUAGCCUACGUCUCUCCGAGUCUUCGAGGACUCAUUCCAAGUCCGAGAGGACCACAGCCUCAACCUUUAAGAGAUGUGAAAGUAGCUUGAGAGUGAUAUAAAUUUAUUUUUGACAAUAAAAUUUAAUAAUCAAAUAAAUUAAAUUAAAUUAAACUAGUUUAUAAUCGAUUAAAAAUAUAUAAAUCAAAAUUAUUCCCGAAUUAUGAUAACAAUUAAAAUCAUUUUAAAAGUUGCAUAAAUCAAAUCCAAAUCGAACAAAUUCCCCUAACACUAAAAUGUAGUUGCUUUAUUGUAGAUAAAAACAGUAUAAUAAUAGUAUUGAUGAAAAAUCAAAUUCAUCAAAUAAGUUUAUAAAAAAUACAUGAUUUUAAUUUUAAAAAAAAAACAUGAUUUUAGUGUGUUGUAUUAGUAGUGUGUCCACGCAUUUAUAUAUUAAAAUCUAUCCUCUAAAAACUAUCGAUCUAUUUACACAACUAUUGAUCUGUCGUGCAACAAAUUCCAGGGCGAAGUUCCAAAGAGAGCUUAAAUGGCUUGCAUUGCUCAAUCUAUCUCAUAAUAGUCUUAACGACAUAUGUUCUGAAUUAUUAUUAUGAUUUCAACAAUAUUUUCAAACAUUUCUUAAUAUGUAUUUUCAAAGAAUUCUCAAGCACUUGAACAUUUGGACCGGUUCUUUCGAAGCCAGGCAAUGCACAAAAAUGUCCAAAAAUGAAUAAAUUAAGAGAGAGUAGCUCACCCUUUCAAAGCCUUCCAGGACUCAUUCCAAGUCUUCGGAGGACCACUGCCUCCCCCUUUCAAAGAUGUGAUAGUAGCUCGAGAGUGAUAUAAAUUAUUUUCCCGACAUUAAAAAUAAAAAAUCAGAUUAAAUUAAUCAAUAAUAACUUAAGGAUGAAAUCCAAAUUAAUCCUAAAUUUUGAUAAUAUAUAAAAAUUAUAAUUAUAAAUUAUAUAACCAAAUCAGAAUUGAAUUAACUUACUUGGCACUAGAAUUGCUAAAGACAGUAUAAUAAUUUAAUUGAUGAAAAGUCAAAGUCUUCUAAUAAAUCCAUAAAGAAUAUGAUAAUAUGAAAAUUAUAAUUGAAAAAUCAAAAUCAAUAGUGUAUUGGAAUAGUGUUCACACACUUAUAUAUCAAAAUUUGUGGUCCAAAAACUAUAGCACAAUAUCCUAAAUACAUCACAUUAAAUAAUAGCACAAAAAUAUUCAAUAAAUAAUUGAUUUCAUUCAUAAAUUUGUUAUUUUAAAAACUAAUAAUUUGGUUGAUGUUAACCUAUAUUUUAUAUAUAAUUUCGUCUUAUUUUAUUUUACUAGAAACAAUAUUUUUAUAAUAUUUAUUACAUUAAAUAUAUUAAAAGAUAUAAUUUUAUUAAAAAAAUUGAAUAAAAUUAAAAGGAUAAGUCUCGGCCUCUCCAAGUCUACAAGACUCAUUUCAAGUCCACCGAGGGCCUCAACCAUUGAGAGAUGUGAAAGUAGCUUGAGAGUGAUAUAAAUUAAUUAAAUUAGUUAAUAAUGAAUCAAGACUAAUCAUGAAUUAUGAUAAUAAUUAAAUAAAUUAUAAAAUUAAAUUAUACAAAUAACACUAAACCUUAGUUACUUUAUUGGUAAAUAAAUAUAAUAUAAUAAUCAAAUUGAUGAAAAAUCAAAAUCAUUUAAUAAAUUCACAAAAAAUAUAUGAUCAUUAGUAUGUUAUAUUAGUAUCCACACACUUAUAUUUCAAAAUCUAUCCUCCAAACUUAUCAUCUCUGUAAACUAGCCACAUAAAAUAAAAAUUUAAAGAUAUUAGAUAUUUAGUUAUUUUCAUUAUAUAAUUUUUCCACACGAAAUAACAAAAUAUCUUUAUCAAAUUAUUAUUUAUGAGUUAAAUAUUCAAUUUAUAAAUCCAGUAUGCAGCGUAUAAAUAGAAGUGUGCAGUAUGAUAUCAGAUUCACAUAACCCAGUUGAUGAGGAGAAACAUGGCAUACUCUGCAAAGCCUUCUCACCUUCUUCUCUUUGUUUUCUUUCUCUCAUCACUUGAAUCCAUUCUUGCAACAACACGAGAGGGAGAAGCUCUUGUGAAGUGGAAGAAUAGCCUAGCCCCUUCUUCUUUUCUCGACUCUUGGUCACUCACCAAUCUCGAUAAUCUUUGUAACUGGACUGGCAUUACUUGUAACUCUGCAGGUUCAGUCUCUGAGAUUAACCUUAGUGAGAAACAACUUGAUGGAAUGCUGUCCGAGUUUGGUUUCACUUCAUUUCCAAAUCUCAACAAUCUCACCCUCGCAUACAACUUCUUCUCGGGUCCAAUACCGCCAGCCAUUGAGAAUUUAACACAGCUUCAAUACCUUGAUUUAAGCUUUAAUUAUCUCGAUGGUCCCAUUCCGUUCCAGGUUAGCCAUCUUCAGAGGUUGCUCAUCUUAAACCUGUCACAGAAUGCAUUGCAAGCUCCAAAUUGGUCCCAUUUCUCUCCCAUGCCUUUCUUGCGCAUCCUCGACCUUAAUAGCAAUCAUCUUGCGUCGAACUUCCCAGAAUUUAUAUCCAAUUCUCAUAGCUUGGCUAUCCUUGACCUUGGAUAUAACAACUUUACAGGUGACCUUGUGCGUGAAUUUACUAAUCUACAAAAUCUUGAAACCCUCUACCUAGAUGAAAAUUCUUUUGAGGGGCCAUUUCCGCCGGAUGUAUUCAGGCUUUCCAAAUUAAAACAUCUUCGCCUGUCAGGUAACAAAUUCUCAGGUUCAAUUCCCAAUGACAUAAGGUUGCUUUGUGAUCUUGAAUCCCUAUAUUUAAGCAACAAUUCCUUUAAAGGACCCCUUCCAUCAAAUAUAUUCAAGCUUUCAAAAAUAAAACAUCUUGUUCUUUGGAGUAAUAAGUUUUCUGGUUCUGUUUCCAAUGAUAUAGGUUUACUUUCUGAGCUUGAAACCCUCGAUCUUAACUCUAAUUUUUUUGAGGGGCCGCUUCCGUCAAAUAUAUUCAAGCUCUCCAAACUAAGGUAUCUUUCCCUUUGGGGUAAUAACGUUUCAGGUUCUAUUUCCAAUGAUAUAGGUUUGCUUUCUGAGCUUGAAACCCUCGAUCUUAACUCUAAUAUUUUUGUGGGGCCGCUUCCGCCAAAUUUAUUCAAGCUCUCCAAACUAAAGAUUCUUUCCCUUUAUAAAAAUAACUUUUCAGGUUUUAUUUCUAAGGAUAUAGGUUUGCUUUUUGAACUUGAAACCCUCUAUCUUGGCUCUAAUUUUUUUGAGGGGCCGCUUCCCCCACAUGUAUUUAGGCUCUCCAAAUUAAGAGAUUUGGGUCUCAGAGACAAUAGAAAUUUAUUUCAAGGAAGUAUUCCUAUUGGACUGGGACUCUUGACUAAUCUCAGGUACUUGAGUCUAUUUUCCAAUGAUCUCAGUGGCUAUAUUCCAUCUGAGAUUGGAAACCUGAAGCUACUAAAAGUUCUUGAACUCGGUUCUAAUCAAUUGACAGGACCGCUUUUAAAGAUAGUUUCUAAUCUCAAAAAUCUUAUAUAUCUUGGUGUAAGUGGUAAUAGUCUUAGUGGAAAUAUUCAGAGUGACUUGUGGAAAUAUAACGAUCAUCCAACUUUGGAAUACAUCAAUUUAAGUGGGAACCAUUUUACGGGUAUAGUUUCUCUCUAUAGAUCUUUGUCAUAUGUAACUAAGCUAGUAAUCUGAUUAUUGCCUUUUCACCAAAGUUUCAACAAUCUUGACAGGUGAGCUUCCAACAACAAUUUGCAAUGUCACAUCCCUUUUGCUUCUUGAUUUGUCAAAUAAUGAAUUAAGUGGUGCACUUCCAAACUGUUUCGGAAAUCUUGCUGAUAGAUUGCUUUACGUUAAUCUUGCUAAUAAUCAGUUUCGAGGAACAAUACCAACUACUUUCUCCAGGAGUUGUCAGCUGAAAUAUCUAAACAUGGAUAAUAAUGAGUUUGAAGGAUUGUUGCCCCCGUCUUUGGAAAACUGUAAGCACUUGAGAAUUCUUGAUAUUGGCAAUAAUAAAAUAGGUGGUACAUUUCCGUCAUGGCUUUAUGUACUUGGAGAGCUAGAAGUCCUUGUCUUGCAAUCAAAUAAACUCUAUGGUACAAUAAGUGGAAGGAGCAUAGAAGAUCCCUUCCGCAAGUUGCGGAUUGUGGAUCUGUCCAACAACCACUUCACAGGCCAUUUGCCAAUUCAAUACUUUAAGAAUAUGAAAUCAACUGAUAAUUUGUAUAGUUAUCAGCUUUCCACAGCAGUUUUUUCUUUCCAUUAUGAAGCAGCAGUCUCAUUAAUUGUGAAGGGAACAGAGUAUGAAGUAGCAAAUAACCUUCAUAUUUACACAGCCAUUGAUCUGUCGUGCAACAAAUUUCAGGGAGAAAUUCCAAAGGUUACUGGAGAGCUUAAAUGGCUGGCAUUGCUCAACUUAUCUCAUAAUAGUCUAACAGGACCUAUCCCGUCAUUGCUGAGAAAUAUGAAAGAACUCCAAUCUUUAGAUUUGUCCUCAAAUCAACUGACGGGGGCUAUUCCACCUCAGUUAACUGCGCUGACAUUUCUAGAGGUCUUAAACCUCUCGGGAAACCAUCUUAGUGGAGAGAUUCCUCAGAAAGGACAAUUCAGCACAUUCAACAAUGAUUCGUAUCUAGGAAACUCCGCUUUAUGUGGAUCACCAUUGACGAAGAAAUGUGCAAACACAGCAUCACCUCCACAAGAAGUCGGAAAUGUUGAUGAAGAUUAUGCGGGUGAUGAAUUGACAUGGGAAGCAAUCAUGAUCGGAUAUGGAUGUCGACUGAUAUGUGGAUUGUCAUCUGCAUACAUUGUUCUCAAACUAGGAAAGCCUUGGUAGUUUGUGAGAUAUGUCGAAGUACUGCAACAGAAGUUGAUGAAAAGAUGCUUGAAGAAAGGUACUGGUCGACCAAUAAGAACUUGAAAGUUGUUGUCCUGGUAGACAUUUCUGAACCAGUAGUAUUUGGUAUUAUGUGAUAUUCUGUUUGGUCCGGACUCAUAACGAUUUCGCUUGCUUCAGGAGUAUUAAUAUUAACCUUCCUAUCUUGAUCAAUGUUAAUGCAAAUUAAAAUGAAAAGGCAAAAAAUAUGCAUCAAAUCCCCUCCUGUUGUACCAAGAUUCAUUAAUUAAGAGGCAUGGCUUUUGUCUCUCCAAGUCUUCGAGAAAUUAUUCCAAGUCUUCUUUGGAGGCCUACUGCCUCAACAACCUUUCAAAGAUGUAGCAGUUGCUCGACAGUGAUAUAUAUAUUAGAUAAAGACUAUGCAACAACCAACGUGACAGAAAAAUCAAAAUAGGACAAAAUCCGUACGAAUCAAAAUAGUUUAUUUCUAAGGGGAAUAGCUGAAUUAAAUUGUAAGAGAAGUAAAACAGAUUCUUUUAUAUUUUGGAAUAUAACUGAAAAAGAUUUUGAGAUAAUUUUCAGAAAUCAAACCAGUCAAAUAAAUAUUCGCUGAAGGAACAGAGUAAAGAUACAACGAAUAUAACAAGUUGUAAGAUGAAUAUCGCUGAAUCAAACAGGGUAGAACCCGUACAAAAACGCCAAACAGAAAGGAUCAAAACAGAGUAAUCAAAUUUACCUAACACUAAUAGAAGUAGUGCUGAAUAAAAGAGAACGAAAUCUGUACCUUAAAAAUAGCAAACGCAAACACUAACCAACCUCACAAGGGACCAUCUAAACUCCCUAACCCCGACUUUAUCUUAAACUCCAAAUAUCUCCCUGACUCCAAUAUGCCCAGAACAAUAAACGAAUGUUUUGACCUUCUAAACGAUGUUUUCUGGAAUAACGCAAAACACGAAAAUCGUAGAGAACGAAAAGACCUUUCCGAAAAGGUAAGGCUCGUCAAGAACGGAGUCAUAACGAAUCGGGAAUUAAAUAAAACGUCCGCUGAUUCAGAACUCAAAGCGAGAACAGGAUCUGAUUAAGUUUUGUAAUUUUGAGAACAGUUUGAAACAUAAUCUGAGAAAACAUUAUAAACGAAAGUAUAUGAGAUUGAAAGAGCUUUCCGAAACAUCAAGAAUCAUCAAAUUCCGAUAAGAAUUGAAUUUUCUACGAAUUUUACAAGACAGCUGAUUUGUGAGAAUAAAGCCCUACGAAUUUUUGUCAUAAAAAUGAAGAGAAGGUUGAGUAGCUCUCAAAAGUAUAUAAAAAGAAUGAGAGAACAAAUCAAUAUACUCCCUUUGUCCCUCUCGUUUAUUUACAGUGUUUGACACGCAUUUUAAAGCGCAUAUAAAACAUAGUUCUAUGAUUUAUUUUCAAAAUUUUUCUUUUUUGUAUAAAAAUUUAAACAUCAAAUUUUUAUCUAGAAAAAAAGGAAGUUCAAAAUAAUUUAUUGAACUACGUUUUACGAGAGCAUUAGAAUGCGUGCCGAGCCCCCGUCCCCCAAUGUAAACAAAUGAGAGGGACGGAAGGAGUAUAUAUACAGAGUCUUGAGACCCUAAUUCUAAACCUAUCCAUUAUCUGAAUGCAAGGCUGAUCUAUAUUUUAAGUACACUAUCCUAAUUCAAUUUUAAAUCCUAUUCAUAAUCUAAUUUUAAUCCUUUAUUAUUAUUACUAACCAAUUAAUAUUAUUUUAAAAAAAUACUGGAUAUUACAUUCCUGAUCAGACUAGUGAUCGGAUUGCAACCGCAAAGCAGCCUAUAUAUAGUGACAAUUAAAUACACAACAAAACAACUUCUUUCUUCUCUCUUGGGUUAUAAUACUCAGACGGACAAGCUAUAUCUGAGGCGAUUUUCUGGGCGAUUAAACACACAAUAAAAGCAGCUUCUUCUUCUUCAAUUAAGGUUUAUUCUACACCCAAUCACAUACACACACACACUUUAAUAUGACUAGUGAGUUCAAUUUUUGGUGGUAUUAUAUGAUUAUCAUGUUCUCUUUUUAAAUAUUAGUAACGUUAUUUUCGGAGUGGACUCUGUUGAUGUUUAAAUUUGAUAUAGAUAUUGUAAUUGAAAAUUUAUGUUGAUUUGUUGUUCAGAUUUCAAGUAUUAAUUUGUGUGUGAUCAAAAUUUUGCUUCUACAUCGAUUAUCAGGAGGAAAUAUGAGGCCGAUCUUGAUCAAAGGACACGAAAGGCCAUUAACAUAUCUAAAGUAUAACAAGGAGGGUGACCUCCUCUUCUCCUGCGCAUUAGACAGAAACCCCGCUGUUUGGUACGCUGAUAAGGGAGAGCUUUUAGGCACUUACCGUGGGCACAUUGGUUCUGUUUGGGGUUGUGAUGUUUCUAGGGAUUCAAAACUUUUAAUAACUGCAAGUGCGGAUCAAACAGCAAAGGUAUGGGAUGUUCAAACUGGGUCUGAGCUGUUCACGUUUGAAUUUAAGUCCACUGUGAAAUCAGUAGAAUUUGGUGUCGGAGACAAGCUUGCUGUCAUUGCAACAGACUCCUUUCGUGACAUGUCUUCUGCAAUUCAUGUCAAACACAUAGCCAGAGAUCCUAGUGAACAGUGCGGUGAUUCUGUGAUUGAAUUCUCACCUGGAGGAAGAAUCAAUAGAGCUGUUUGGGGACCUUUAAAUAGGACCAUAAUAAGUGGUGGUGAACAAGGCGUUGUUCGUGUGUGGGACGUUGAGACAAAGAAAGUGAUUUAUGAGUCAGACAAGGAUACUGGUCAUCAGAAGGCCAUUACAUCACUUGCAAAAUCAAGAGACGGUUCACAUUUACUUACUGCUUCCAUUGACAAAUCAGCUAAGCUUUGGGACAUCAGAUCAAUGAAACUUCUCAGGACAUACAAGGCUGAAGCCCCAGUUAAUGCAGUUGCACUCUCUCCACUACUUGAUCAUGUCGUGCUCGGAGGUGGUCAAGAUGCAUCGACUGUUACAAACGAUCCUCGUGCUGGCAAGUUUGAGGCCAAAUUUUAUUCCAAGGUCCUUGAAGAAGAAAUUGGAUCUGUGAAAGGACACUUUGGUCCGAUAAAUGCAUUGGCAUUCAACCCUGAUGGAAAAAGUUUCGCAAGUGGAGGUGAAGAUGGUUAUUUGCGAUUACAUCACUUUGAUCAUGACUACUUCAACAUGGCGAUUUAAUUCGAAUUACUUACAUUGCUACGUCUUUUUUUUUUUUUUUCCGGUUUUAUUCAAGUUAUUUUCUGGUUUUUAUGUUGAUCUUAUGUUCUUUGUUAUAAAUAGAAGUGUGGUUCCUUUUAAAACUAUUUACAUAAGUUUUUGGCUUUUCAUGUAAUUUAAUCAAAGUAAAUGCCAUGAGAUCCUGAAUAUAUCUACUUAUCUAUCUAUCUACUUAUUAAAGCAGAAUCAGGGGAAAAAUAUACCAGAAAUUGGAUGAAAAAUUUACAUACACACCCUCAAUUAUUCAUCAAUUCCGAAAUUGGCCUGUAGUUUAGCUGUUAACUUGCAGGAUUUUUGUAAAAGUAGGAAUCAGCGAUUCUUAGGUACCCCAGUGACCCCGAAUCGGUUUCUCAGAUUCUUGGAAAUCCUCGGUCAGUUGAUUUAGAUUGUGGGCAUAUAUACACCUAUAGUCAGCCUCCGGCGGUGCAAUCUUUUGGUGGUGUUUUUCAGCCUUUUCUGCUAUAGCGAUUCUUGUUAAAACAUUCAGGUGCUAGGGUUGUUUUGUUGGUAAAGGGAAUUGGAUUGUUGUAUCUGCGGUUGUGGCAAAGGUAAUUUUCUUGCCCUUGCUAUUCUUUUGGGAUGUCUGAUUAUAAAUAGCCCUUCUAACUUUGUUCACCUGUUCUGUAUGAUGUGUGUCAUUUGUGAUUGAGUCGAGCAGUAUAUCAUUUUGAUGCAUAUUGUUAAUUUCACUCUGGGAAAUUUUUAUGCUGAUGUUUGGGCAAUUAAUUCUGGUUAUUUCGUUGAUUUUGUUUGUGGUUUGUUUCCACCUGCCAUUAGAACUGUAAAGUAAAGUGUAUUUAUUGAUCAUGAUUCAAGUGUUUGUAGAUAAUCGAUGUGGGUGACAAAGAAGCUGCAAAUGAUGAUGGUUCUUCACAAAUUUUAUCUGCUUUGCUUCCUUUUGUUGUGGCUCUCACCAUGGUUGUCAAGUCGACGACUGCUGUUGCUGCUCUUGCUCAGCCCUCAACUUUCACCUGGUAACAACUUUUGUAUGUUUGGUAAAAUAUUUUGAUUUUUUUUUUUUUGUAAGGGUAAAAUAUUUUGAUUGUGAUAAGCUAAUUUAUUGUUUUUUAAUGAUUCCAACACUACAACAGAUUUAGCAUCACACAACGGUUUUUGCCCGUUGUCUGAGACCACGGAAAACCGUGGUCUAUCGAGACGCCGUCUGAUAUGCGUAUCAGACAACGGUGCGCACCGUUGUGUGAUAGUGCUAAACACGAUGGUUUACGUUAAAAAAAUUGUUGUGCAACACCCAGAACCAACAACGUUUACUCUUAAACGUGGUGUUGUUAGAAACACUCCUUAACAAUAGUCGAUUUCAAAAAUGGUGUUGUUAGAGAGACUAUCCACAACAGUUUUAUUAGCUCGCAAGACUUGUUGGAAAGAUGAUCAUACAACAGUAGUUGAAAUAGAGAAGCUCGUUCUUUCCUCUCUUGUACAACGGGUUUCGAACACCAAGCCACUUGUGUAAGGCCCCUUCUAACAAUGUUUUAAUUAGUGAGGUUGUUGUGUUUAGUUACGUCAGACAAUGGUUUUCUUUCAUAGUUGGUUGUCGUUUACAUGUUUUAACAAUUGUUUCUGUUUCAUCAUUAUUGCAAGUCAUUUGUUUGGACAAUGGUUUUGUGACAAUAAAUCAUUGUUUCCAGUUUUAUGAGACAAUGUUUUUAAUGAAUAAUGAUUAUUGUAUCAUGUUCAGUAUGACAAUGGCCCUGUAUUAUCCCAUUACCUAAAUACAUAAUAGACAAUGAUUAACAUAACUCGAUUAAACUAAGCUAGAGAAUGUAAUUAAAAAGCCAAAAAUUUGUAAACAAAAAAUUUCAUUAUGCACUAAUAACCAUUGUUACAACCAAAUCAUAUAUACCAUCCAAUAUCCAGAAAUAUUUCCCCCGAGGAUGGCAAAUCUCAAAAAUAUAAAUACCUACAAUAAAUGGUAGCAUCUAGAGAGGCAUAUGUGACUACAAGAGUCUUUUGUGAGCUUUUCAACUACCCAGCCCAGGAACAAUCCUCUGAUUGCAUUCUUUUGAUUCGGAUGGAGCCCUCCUGCUAUCUCUUUUGGAAGUGACUCUACUGCAACCACCUGUAAUACAUAAAAAAGUUCUUGAUAUGCUUUUCGUACAAAGAAAUUAAUGUGGUUGAGGAGUAUGUUUCGAGUUCAAAAUAUACCAGUGUGCCAUCUUCCAUGGUUUCACGUCAUUCAUACACAAUAAAUUGUAGCAAUUGUGAGCCCUAUCAACAUACCAGUCUUUCUGUAUUUAGAGUUGGAGCAGCUAAGCCAAAAUCAGACAAAUGGGGAUUGAGUUCAUCAAGUAAAAUAUUUGCUGACUUUAAGGUACUAUUAACAACAUAAGGAACAACAUCAGCAUCUUGCUUCUAUCAUCAGUGAAGUAUAAAAACUCUUGCAAGCUACUAUUUGCAAUAUAAUCAUGGACCAGAAGACGUACCAUGUUCAGCGGAAUAUCAUUCAAAUCUCUGGCAUGGUUGUUGUGAUGGAUAAAAAUAAGUUCCUUUAUGACCUGAAUUAAACAUUAAAAGAUACCAAAUUAACCGAAAUGCGUAGAGAUGCACAAAAAGUCCAGGCCCGAAAAUAUGGUCAUAGAGAUUUAAAAAAAGUCGAAAAUAAAGACAAACCAUGUGAGUAAAAAGCAGAGUAAGGAGGAUUGAUGGUAGUGUUUGAUAUAGAUGCCAUGUGGGUAGAUCCAUAUGAGCUGCUGGAAGCAGAGAGAUUUCUUCCAAACUCUCUUACAUUAUUGACAACAUUUGUGUUAACAUAUAUGUGUUGUAUAUGAAAUUUUAAAGAUUAGAUACAUAAAUAUAAUAUUAUUCGGAAAAUAUAACAUACCAUCUCGAGUCAUUUUCUUGCUUGGUCAUUAAAAUAACCUACAGCAAGUAAUGUACCCUCACUCUAUAAGAAGAAGAUGGACAAAAAGAAGUCAGUUGUAUGGAUGCCUCGGAAUAUAUACAAGAAUGUCCCAGGGAUAUUUAUUCAGUUGAUGAAGCAUGUAUAUCUAGAAAUUAACAAACCUCAUCAGCCAAAACAAAUAUAAAAUUAAUAAAAUCAUCUGUCUCCAAACACACAGAUUAAAAUCAAAGCACAAAUGUUAUCACACAAAACCAAGACAACACAAGAUCCAUCACUAAAACACACAACUACUACUAAAAUCAAACACACAAACAAAAAUCUCAUAUAGAUUCAAACUUUAUCCCCAAAAUCAAGUAUAAUUACACAGUAAAAAGCAUUCGUUUACCUCUUCAUAAGGUGAAUUGUUGUUAAACUAAUCAGCACGGUCAACACCGGCAUCAAAAACUUGAAUGGCCUUUGGGGUUAUCGCCGACAGAACAGAUCUGAGUAAGCUUUGUAGAAAAUGAGAUAGAGACGGGGGAGGGAGGGGAGAGUUCAGAGGAGGGUGAGGGAGAGACAGAGGGCGAGAGGGAGGGGAGGGGCGAGAUGCUUUAACAAAUCAAUUGCGGCAAGAGUGGGGAAGACACAGCCGCACCAGAAGAGGAAGAGAUAGAUUCAGAAGAAGAGAGAUUUACUCUCACUUACAAAUUUUAGGUCAAAAUAGAGGGGGGGAAAUGAAAAUUUGGAUAAACAAGUAGAGAGGGAAUUGAAAAUUUUUGUAAGGUGGAAAUCAUUCGUUCAUCCCGUGUAAAUAACAAAAUCAAUGUAUUAUAAUAUCCAUAUAGUUGAAUUAUAAAUAAAUGAAUUUUUUAAAUUAUAUUUUUGUAUUUGAUUACAAAUAUUUCAUAUUAAAUAAAUUUUAAAAACAAUUUUAAUGUAGAUGUCAAUAUCUAAUUAUUUUAGUUAUUUGUGAAAAUCUUCAAAAAAUUAAAAAUUAAUCUGGUAAAUCUUUUUGACAAAAUAUAGUUGAAAUACAACUAUUUAAUAAAAAAUUAAUAAUUCUUUAAAAGUUAAAAUUCUCAUUUUCUCGAUGUAUUCCGUUUUUGUACUCUUUGUCUAAAUAAAAUAUACACAAAUUUUUAUUAUUCAUUUGUAAUAAGAAGAUAUUUGUGUGGUUCAAAUGUCAAUAUUAGUAUAAAUUUCAUAUUUACAAUAUAGGAUGUACUUAAUAGAAGUUUUGUGAUCUAUAUGAUUAACCCCGUAUUAAUUUUGAAAUAUUUUCGAUCAUCCAAACAUAUAAAGAUCUUAAUAUCUAUCAAUAUUAGUCAUGUAUAAUAUUUUUAAAUUUUUCUAUAUUUAUUUAUAUCUUGUUGUAACAAAACUAGUGAUGAUCGUUGUUUUUAUGUCAUUUCUUAUUUUUGUACUUUUUAUCAAAAAAUUAUAUUUAUAUUAUGCAUAUGUCCAAAUUUGUAUUAUUCAUUUGUAAUUGGAAGAUAAUUUUGUUGUUCGGACCUGAGUAUUACUAUGUGUUUUAUGUUCACAAUUUAGGAAGCACUAGAUAGAAUUUUUGUUAUCUACAAAAUUUGCUCUGAAUUAAUUUAUAAAUAUUUUUUUCGAUGAUAUAACCGUACGGAUGUUAAUAACUAACAAUAUUAGUCAUGCAUAAAAAAAUUAGAUUUUUUUAUGCUUAUUUUAUAUGCUUUUUUUACAAAACUAGUCAAUUGUAAAUUUUGUCUUAUUGUAAAAAGGUAAUUUUUGUCUUGUAGUGUCCAACAGACAACGGUACUUAUAGGCACGUGUGUUGUAUGAGUUAAAAUGACACAACUGUUAUGGACAUUAUACAGUCAUAACAAAAUCUAUUGUCUAAAAUAGGCUCAAACAAUGUUUCGGGAAAAACUCGUUGUGUGUAAGUAGUGUAGACAAUGGUUUCUGGGAGGCAAACCGUUGUAUAAUAAAUUUUCAUUUUUAAGAGUUAGAAAUUCACAUUUUCUUGAUUAGUUCUUGUUUUUGUACUCUUUGUCUUAACAAAUAUACUUAUAUUAUGUAUAUAUGCAAAUAUCAAUUGUCAUUUGUACUAUGAAGAUAAUUUUGUAGUUCGAACAUGAGUAUUGGUAUGUGUUUUAUAUUUACAAUUUAGAAAGUACUGAAUAGGAUCUUUGCUAUAUAUAAGAUUAGCUCCGUAUUAUUUUAUAAAUAUUGAUUUUGAUGAUCUAACCGUACGGAUGUCGAAAACUAACAAUAUUAGUCAUGUAUAAAAAAAAUCAAUUUUUUAUGUUUAUUUUGUAUGUUUUUUUUAACAAUACUAGUCAAUUGUAAAUUUUGUCUUACUGUAAAAAGGUAUUUUUUGUCAUGUAGUGUCUAACAUACAAUGGUUUUUAUAUGCACCUAUGUUGUAUAAUUGAAAAUGAUACAACUGUUACAGAAGUAUACCGUUCUAAGAAAAUCUAUUGUCUAAAUUAGGCUCAAACAACGGUUCACGGAAAAUCCGUUGUAAAAAAGUAGUGUAGACAACAGUUUAUGGGAAGGAAACCGUUGUAUAAUAAAUUUUCAUUUUUAUGAGUUAAAAAUUCGCAUUUCCUUGAUCAAUUCUUGAUCUAAUGCAAGAAAAACAUAUGACUAUCAAGAAAUUGAUUGUUUUGUUAUAACUUUGGUUAGGACUUUGAAUCUUUGCACUCUCUUAUGUACAUCCAUUUUCUUAAAAUUCAUUCAAUCAUACAACAUUUUAUUAGUUAGUAGAGGCUUGUCUAUAAUGCCAUGCUACAAUGCUAACAAAAACACUUGUAUGUUAGCUUCCCAGUCACACAACACUAUAUAAAACCCUUGUUUGAACUCCUCGUAAACAACACAACAAAUAAAACACUUGUCUAAUUACAACGACGGUUUCUUGAACUAUUGUCUGAAGUUUCUUCACACAUCGGCUCUCAAAACAGUUGUCUAACAUGCAUCAUUACACAAUACCACAGUUAAGAAACCAUUGUCUAAUUGAAUUUACUAGACAACAAUUUUUUAACCGUUGUAGGUCGUAGAUGUUAGACAAUAGUUUUUCGAGGCCGAAAAGAAAGUGUUGUGUCUUUUUUCCAAACAACGCUUUUUUCACCGUGCGUUGUCUGAUCAGUGUUGUCUAAUGGUGUUAUUGUUGUAGUGCAAGUUGGAUUUAUUUAAUGCUAAUAGGUACUUGUUCAAGUGAGGAGAUUUAACUGAGAUUCAGGUUCUGGCAUUUGUCUUGUGUUGUUAUUUGUUUAUGUACCGGUUUUGAGAGUCAUUAGAGAUAUGUAAGGUAUUUAUUCCUAUUUUUUAUUAUUAGUAUUACAUCGUUUUCGGGUAAAAUAAUCGAUGAUUGUUUGUUUUAACUGUGUAAUAGCCUUAUGAUCUGCCAACUUAUGUAGACAUGUGAUAAACAUGUUGACUGUGGUCAAUAUUUUAGAUGAGGUAGUGUGUUUGUUGUUAUUGCAAGACUUUUUGGAAUAAUCAUUGUCAAAAAGAACUAACGAUGAAUGGAAAUGAAGUUCUGAAGAAGUGAUGAUACAAUGUUAAAGAGAUUGCUUUUUGUUGAAUUUUUCUGACUCUGGAAUUAAACUGCGUUAGUAUCUUCUUCUCUGAUUUUCCUUAUUUGGUAGACCUACUACUUUCAGAAGAUACAUGUGGUAUUUGUUUGGUUGAUUAAUUUUGGUAAGAUACAGUUUCCGUUUGGAAUCAGACUAUCCAUUGAACAAUCAGACUAUCCAUUGAAGAUUUUAUGCUCGCUCUUAAAUGGUUGAUCCACUGAUCUUAUUCUUACUUCAUAUGAGCUAAAGCCAGCUCUAGGGGUGUUUCUCGCAUACAAAAAAAUUAAAAAAAAUAUUAUGAAACUAUACUUUGCAGGAGUCUCAAAAUAAAUAAGUGUAAACGAUAAACUUAAACACCUAACUUCUUAAACACCUAGCAUAACACGGGUGAGCAUAUGGUCAAUCAUACCAAAUUGAAUAAAUCGAAAUUAAAAUUUAAAUAUUUUUAGACUGGACCAAACUGAAAUAUUUUGUCCGAUCCAGUUCAGUAUGAUCGAAAAGAAUUGAUUCUUUUGGAAAAAGUAACUUAAUAUUAUAAAUAAAAUUAAGAUUUAUAAUUUAUUUAAAAACUAUCAAUGAAUCAUCAACACUUCUUCAAAAAUAGAUACAUUUGAAUUUAUACAUUAGAUAUUAUAACUUCUAAAAAGUAUAUAAAAAUAUAUAAUAUAAAUAUAAAUUUAUAGUAUAAUUUUUUUGACUAUUUAGAAUAUAUUUUUAACCCAAAUAUUUUUUUUUAAAAUCAAAUUUUAUUUCGAUGAACUUUUCUAGAAAAUUAAGAUAGAAACGAAACUCAUUCCUACAGUAAGGUUUCAGUUUUUCGGCUGCAAUACGGUUUUGCUCAUCAUUAGCAUAAAUGGAGUAUGUAGUAAAUAUGAAUGAAUGGCAUGGGAAUUCUUGGAAUGGUAUCAAGAAUUAAGAUUAAAGCACAUUAGAAGUUUAGAACCAUGAAUGUUAUUUUUGAAAAUAGUAAUCCCUCCGUUUCUUAUCACGUUUCUCGUUUGAUAUGUCGGAACGGUUCAUAAUAUGAGACAAAUUAGUAAUUUAUGUCCAAUUUAUAAAAUUAAAUAUAGUCAUGAGUGAUCUUGUUGGAUUCGUAUCUAUGAGUACUUUAAUAAGAUGAAAUUUUUAUAUUUAAUGUUAAUACAAAAUUAAAAUAUAUUAAUUAAAAAUAUAUAUUGACAAACGUGAUAAAAACAAACAGCAAAAAUAUUAAGAAACGAAGCGAGGGAGUAAUAAAUAUGCUUUAUGCUGAACUGAAUUGAGUGCGUGGAAGCUUGGGGAGGCAGCUUACUACAGUAUCUACGUGUAUCUGUAUAUGCAAUAAAGACACAAAUACUCACAGGAGAUUAUUUUUCAAACACUUAAUUUCCCCCUUUCCUUCUCGUAAUAUUCAACUCAAUUCAUCACAUCAUCUUCUUCAGACAAACAACUAUACUCACUUCAGAUCAUCACAUCAUCUUCUUCUUGACUUCAGAUCCACAUUUCAAACCCUAAUCAUUCGCUUGGUCCCCUCCCUCUCUGUAAUAAUACAAUUCUUUCUACACACAAACAAUAACAUCAUCAUCAUCGAGUGAAGCUUCAUAUCCACAUUCCAAGACCUAAUUACUCGCCAAACCACUCUCGCUCUCAUGGAGGAGGCCUUAGAAAUGGCGAGAUCGAAUGAUACCAAGAAGCGAAGGGCGGGAGUGGAUCGGCUGCAACAGCUUCUUGAAGAUUCAAGAAAGUGCUUGUCAUCGUCGGAAGUGACGGCGCUAGUCGACACGUGUCUUGAGCUUUUGAAGGACACGUGUGUUGCUGUCGUCGGCCGCGGAGUUGUUUAAGUUGCAUUCUGAUAGAAUUAUGACGGCGGUUGUUGAUAGGUUGUGGGAUGGGGAGCAGCGGGUUCGAGACUCGGCGAGGAGGCUGUUGAUUACCCUUAUGGAGGUAAUUUAUUAAUUUUCUUGGGGAAUGCCAGUUGAUUUUAUGGAAUGUGAUAUAGUAUAGUUUCUAUCAAUCGAGUAUCUUAAAUUGAUGACUACAACAAGUAUUAUCGUUUUGCACGCAAGUGGCUAAACUUUUAUGCAUGCCAAAUUGCCAAUCGGGUUUCAAUUUCAGAUCUCUGCCUUCACUUGCAUACGAACACAUUUGAGUUUAAAAAGAUGAAUCACCUCAUAAAUAUCAUUAAUAAUUAGUUGGUGUUAAUAGUGCACUGAAAAAUGGGAGAGAAUGACAAGACUAUAGACAGUAGUAGGGCUGAGCGAGAUGUUAAUUGAGUACUUAUAUGAUGCUUCACUAUGUUCAGGGAGUUAGUUUAUUGCUUCUUUCCUACACUUUCACUUGAAUUAGUACUAAUUAAUAAUUCCUUCUCUAUCUUGUAAAAUUUCUCCUUCAUUGCUAAGCAUAUCUACUCUGAUUAAUUUUCAAACAAACUUUACUACUGAGAUAGGAUUGUUUGCUGGGUAGGAGCACCAUAGAAUGAGUAGCUCUAUUGCUAUAUACUGAAGGGUGCGGUGGCAUCCUCGGUUAUAUUUUAAGUGCUACUUCGAAUUUAGUUGUUGGCUUUUGCAAUUUAUUUUCAUUCACAAUGUUUUAAUAAUGAUACCCCAUAUUAGGUGAGAGAUAUUAGUGCCAGGCUGGAGCAGAUUCAGAUUCAACCAGCAACUUCCGUCUCUUCCAUCUCUGAAGGACUUAAUAGUAAUCUUCUCCACCAUGCACCUGAUUUAGAAGUAUAAUGUAUUAAUGUGAACUUUUUAUUUAUAUUUAUUUCCAUGUGUAGUAAAACGAUCACAUCUUUUAAGAGCUUAGUACAAUGUUAUGUACAAUGUGUAAUUAAUUAAGAGGUUUGUACAUAGUUUAGUAUGAAAUGGAAAAAGUUUGUACAGAAGUUUAUUUGUUCACAUUACAGCUGAGACGAGCAAGCAAAAACCAUCAGAGAAUUCAAAGGAUAAUGAUAAAGGAAUUGAGCCCCUACUGGAACUGCCGGAAGAUAUUAUCUUUCUACAAAUUCUGCCUAAGUUGAACAGCCUAGAUGUUCUUCCCCUGGUUUUGGUGGCUAGGAGUUGGGCCUCCUUUCUUUUGCAUGAGGGACCCAGACUGAUGUUAUUCAACCCACCUAAAAAUCCUACACCUAAACACACUUCAAUUUUAUUUGAUGUAAGCCCGAUUCCGUACUCUGUUUCAGUUUUGUUAUCCCCAGAGAGCCGCCAACUGUGUCAGUCUAGGUGUAUAAUUGUUCCAAUCUUGAAUUCUGGUAUAAAACAUGCUGUUCCAAUUUUCACUGACUACCCAGAUUUUUUAAAGCAGGGGGAAGUCCCAACUGUAGUGGGAUCUUCCAGUGGUAUUAUAUGCCUCUAUAUCACCAGUUCUCCCUCUAGAUACAUCCUGCUAAACCCCUUAACAAAACAUUAUAAAGAGGUUGGGGCCCCUUAUAUUUUUGUACCAGAUUGUGAGCAAGCUUCUGUAACUUCUGGAUUCUUUUAUGAUGAAUGGACUGAUGACUUAAAGAUCGUACAAUUGUUGAGAUGGGAUCAAAGGCUUACGAGCUUGGAUGCUCCGGGACCCAAAAAGAUACAUGCGCUUCGCGUUUGUUCUGUAAAUUCUGCAAAUUGGGAAGUUGUUGACUUGGGGCCAAUGAAAGUCUCCGAUCGUCUUGGUGGUGUGUUAUUUUUGCCGAAAGCUCUCGUCACAUUUGUAGAUGCGUUUGCUACAGAGCCGGAGAUUAACUUUUGGUUGGAUUUUCGUGAUUGCCGUCUAAAGGCAGUUCCGGAAUUAGAAGGGGCUGAACUCAGUAUGAAAUCGGUUUGGUGGAAUAACCAGGUUGGUGUUAUUGUUGGAACUGACAGCAUUUAUGUCCUUGAUGAGGAGUUUGCAGCCUGGUAUUACUGCACAGUGCUUCCGGACGUGGGAAAUUGUGUAUUCUGUUUAGAUGAGAACAAAAUUGUGGGGAUGGGGGCUGGGGAAAGCGGAAGCGUAAAUGAUUACAAUAUUCUUAAUUCCACAAGCGGCGAAAUCCAACAUAUAAUCUCGUUGCCUUCUUGCAGGGUUUUUCCGUAUGUUCCUACAUUCUACUAUAUCGAGGGAAUGGCUAAUUUUUAGACUUUUGCAAGUCACAAUGUAAUAAAAGAAUGUAAACAGUACAUAGCAGCAAUACCUCUCUAUAGCAUAUAGUUUCAGAUACAACAUGUAUUGUGAUGCCAGCUUGUAGAGUACAAGUAUUAUUCUAGGUGAUUGAUUGUUGAGAAUAAUAGAGGCAACCGGUUGCAUGAUGGUAUCCUUGAAACUUUCAUAAUUACUAAUAUCGAACUCAGAUAGCAUGCAAUUUUUCCGGAGAUCAUAUUCUUUAGCUAUCAACUAACUCUACAUUAUAUAUUAUGUCCCAGAUCAAUGAGUUUGUUUGCUAUAAUGUCCUAUUUUAUAUGUGAUUUAGGAAUAUGUUCCAUUAACUUGUUAUCACCCUCAAAUCUAAAAUCUAAGACUACCAUGUCCUUAGUUUAUUUUGUUUAAUAUUUGUGAAUAGACUCUAAUCUGAUCAUAUCAAUUAUAUUUUAGUAACAGAUGUUUAAAUGCAUAUGUUUUUGUUAUCUAGUUAUUUCAAUGAUGAUGGGAUUAAAUUUUUUUAUUCUUGUAAUAUGUACAAUGAUUGGUUUAGCUUUAAUAUUUAUUUUUAUUUUUAUUUACCAAUUUUAAUGUAGGUAAAGUUUUAUCAGCAAAUUUUAUUUUUUGUAUGCAGUAAUCUGUUCUAAUAUCAAAUUUUGAUUUAGAUCGAGUAUUAGUAUGUUGAAUUUGCAUUCAUCUAGUUAGAUGAGUGAAACUGGCUAAUUAAUGGAAAAUCAUAAGUACCUGAGUUGUUUUCAAAUUUUUUUCCCAAAUUUUAAUUGUUUGAUUGGUUUCUUCAAAUUAAUAUUAAUGGAAUCAUGAACGCACAUAAAUAAUUUAAUUAAAAAUUAUUUAUUUAUGUGUCAUUUAGAAAAAAUUGGGGACAAAAUUUGGGAUAGUAAUGGGGACGAAAUAUGUGUUAGCGUUAAUGGUUUAGCGGCAGUGGAGAACGCAAUUUAAGAGCAAAUCCAAUAGUGUCCUAAACUAGUAUCCUAAAUUAAAAAUUAAGGUAUUUAUAUAAAUGAGUGCUCCACCUAAUGAGUGCUCCACCAAUGUCCAGUGAUACCUUAAAAUACUAGGAAAUCCAUCAAGCGUCUCGUUUUUAAGACAUCACUAGGCAUGCCCUAUUUCACUUCUAUCAAUAAAAUAUAUCUUUCCCUCGUUUUUUACAGAUCUCUUCUCUCUCAUUUUUUCCAUUUAUGCCCAAUUAUAAUUCAAAUAUAAUACACCUUCAGUCCCUUUUUAGUUGUGAAAUUUACAAAAAUAAUUUGUCCUUAAAUAAUAUUCUCAUCCUUGUUCCAAUACAUAUUUAUACAUAUUUUUUCAUGUUUACCCCUUGAUUGUUGGUUCAAAUGUUUGACUGUACUACUAAUAUAUACAGUUUUGACUUAGUAUUUAAUAUAAUAAAUAAGGGCAUGCGUGGAAACAACUUACAACAUUUAAUUUUCUUUAAUAUAUGUAUUUUUGCAAAUGUGACAACUAAAAAGGAACAGAGAGAGUAUUAUUUUAAUCAUAAAACAUAUUGUUGGAGUUAAUAUAAAAAAAUCAUGUCUUAAAUCAUAAGAUUACUAUAUUUAAUUAUAUUUAUAAGGCAUCUAAUAGUACAAUAUUGGAUUUGCUCUGAUCACAGAUCAAUCAAAUGAUCGGCAACUUAAGCGAUCAAAUGAGAUGACUCGCAUAGUCCACGCUAAUCGAUAUCCUUAAGAGGAUGUUUGCCUGGGCUUAAAGCCCUUGCUUUAAGCCAUCUUUGGCUUUAAGCUGAAAAAUGUCUGUUUGUGUAAUAAGUCAGAAGCCAGCCUAAAGUCAGAAAUAAGCCAGAAGCUGACUUAAAGCCAGAAGUUAAUUUGAGGUACUUUUUUCAGUGGCUAAAUUUUUUUGAACUUUUUUUUUGAUAAAAAUUACUCCUAAAUCAUAAGUUUCUUAUAAAUCACUUUUAUUUUUAUUAUUAUAUUUUUAAUAACUCAUAAGUCAUUCAUAAGCCAAAAUUACCCAAACAGACAUUUUAAGCUAUCAGCUUAUCAGAUAAGACACGUUAAGUCACAAGUCACAUUAAGUCAUAAGCCAUAAGCUCAGCCAAACGGGCAAGUUUUCUAAGAGACAUUCCUGCUUAGUGCAUUUUUAAUAGGGUUGCCUAAAUCGUUGACGAAAUUGGACAUGUGAGACAUUAUAUAAAAUUUGUUAAACAUGUAAGUGAUUGUGUUUCAAUAAUGUUAACUACAUUGAUAGAUUAUAACUUAAAAAUAGUAUGUUAUUAAUAUUUAGAUUGUUAUAAAAAAAUAUAUGAGUUUAAUAUGAUAGGAAAUGAUGUGUAAAUUACCCCGAUUAUAUAUAUAUAUAAAUAAUAAUAUAUUUAUAUAUAUUAUACUAAAUAUAUUAUUAAAAAUAGAUAAAUUUUAUAAUAUAAUCAAAAGUAAAAAAUAAUCUUUAUUUUUAUUGAUUGAUUAUAAAUAUAUUGUAAUAUAAUAUAUUUUAUAAUUUUAAAUUGUUGUUUAUUUAUAUUAUAAAUCAAUUUUAAUAUGAUUUGAGGUUGAAAAUAUAAGAUAAUAUUAUUUUAUUAUUAUAUUAGGAGUUUGUAGUUUGUUUUUUAAUUAAAAAAAUAUAUUAUAUAUUAUAAAAUUAUUAUGUUUUUAUUAAAAAAUAAAAUUCCCCGAAACCCCGCGGGGAUCCCCGUUCCCCGUUCGGGGCGGGGAUCGGGGCGGAAAAUAAUCCCCGUUCGAGGUUCGGGGCGGGGUCGGGUAGGGCCGUAGGGGUAUUGAAUUCGGGGAUCGGGGUCGGGGAUAGCACUCCCCGCCCUCGAAGUCUCCCCGUGCCCAUCCCUAGUCGAACCUCUAGAGGUCCGUAAAAAAUCUCCAAGAAGAUUACACUAUGUAAUCUUCUUGGAGAUUUUUUACGGACCUCUAGAGGUUCGACAAAUAUAGUGGCCGGUAGGAUGUUGGUUAAAAUUAUAGAUAAGUGGUGUCUAUGGUUGAGUGUGAUUUUUUUGAAUAGAAUGGCUAUAUAUUUUAUUUUUGGGAUGCCAACUCAAUUUUUAAACUAAGGACUUCUCAUAUUUGGAGAUGCUAUAUGAUGGCAAAUCCCGCAAAUCUUCAAUUUUGACAUAUAUUAUCCUAAAUUCUCUUUCAACAAUGAUUGAUUCAAAUUUGGAUCAAGAUUGUUGGAUCCCGCUGACGUGGCAGUGACGUCAUGUUGACGUGGCGCCCUGGGGUGGACCCCGGUGCUGACGUGGCAGAUGACGCGGCGGUGACAUGGCGCCUGGUUGGGGUCCCAUUACUAACGUGGCAUUUGGGUAGAAAGUAUAAAUUACGGAAAAUUGAUGACAAACUGAGAGGUGCAUAUUAUAAGUUUUAAAAAGUAUGAGGAGAUAUUUGAUCAGUUUAAAACUAGUUUUUAGGUUUUUAGGCUAACCGUGGUUUGUAUAUUCGAGCAUCCCCGUGUAUAUUGACAUAUAGGUAAACUCCUUGCAAUACUUUGAGCUGCAAAAUCCAUCAAAAUUUUGAUUUAUCAUGUAACUGUUUGACAGAGUACUUCCAACUUUCAAGCGUAAGUAUCAAAAUCACUACCUUCAUAUGUUCCAUUAAGCGUGAAAGGUACAGAAUAAGAAGUGAAAGAAAUCCUUUAUAUUUACACGGCCAUUGAUCUUAUAGGAUCACCUAGCCCAUCAGUGCUAGGGAAUACGGAACCAUCUUAUCAAUUAACGAAGAAAUGUAUGCAUGCAGUGUCACCACCACAAGUCAGAAAUGGUGAUGAUGCUAAUGAUAAUGAACUCAAUUGGGAGUGAUCCUAAUGGGAUAUGGAUGUGGAUUGGUAUGCGGAUUCUUUGGGGUUUAUUGUUCUUACAAUGGGAAAGCCUUGGUGGUUUAUGAGAUACAUUGAAGUAAGUUGAUAAUGACAUGCACGGCUUAAUUAAGAUUAAUUAAGACAAACACCUUGACAAAAUGUUGUCUUAGAAUGAUAUGUAUUCUGAUUUUUCCUAAUUUAAAAUCAAAUUUAUUACAAUUAAAGUUAAAAUCUGCGUAGCACAUACUAUACUUUGAUUAAAUUUUUAUUGAAGUUGUCCAUAUUAACCUAGUGGCCGAAAGUGAAUAAAUUAAAUUAGUGGGGUCUAAUAUAAAAAUUGCAUUAAUUAAAAUUUGUAAUGUAUAGAUUAUGCUAAAGCUAUUCAUUAUAAAGAACAUAGGAAUGUUAAUCUCUUUAUAUGUUUGCAUGCGGAUAGUCUCUCGGGAGUGUGGUAUAUUGUCAUGGCUGGAAAAACGGCUAAUUUCUACGGUUUUUUUUUGACAGAAAUUAAUUUUGACGGAAUACUGUCGAAAUAUCGAAAGUCGAAAAUAAGCCGCAAAAUUACUUUUUUCAAUUUUCAAUUGAAAACUGUCAAAAAAGUCUCUGGCAAAAUUAUAUUUAUUUCUACAGAUAAUGUCGAAAAUAUUUUCCUGCAAAUUUCCCGCACCUUAGUUGUGAGCGGAAAUAGAUAGUUUGGACAGAAUUCCGUCGAAAUUACGCGAGUUCUUUGUAGUGUGUUUUCACACAUACGCUGAUAAUCUUUGGGGACUGGGGUAUAUUGUUUUCGCAAAGCACUGGUAGUUUGUGAGCUUGUCCAAUUUUUCCCCCCAUGCCUAUACUGGUUGGUCUCAGUCUUAGUGGUAAUAAGCUGGCGUCAAAUUUUCCAGAAUUCAUAUAUAAUUGCUAUAACAUGAUCCGAUGCCUGAAUCAGCAGCUAACAAUUUACGUAAUCUUGAAGAACUAUAUCUUGGUGCCAAUUCUUUCGAGGGCUCAUUUCCAACGAAUAUAUUCAAGCUUUCCAAAUUAAGGGUUCUUGACCUAUCUGUGAAUAAUUUUUCAGGUUCCAUUCCCAAUGGUAUAGAGAUGCUUCCCGAUCUUGGAAUAAAUCGUAUUUAUAAUAAUUCAUUUGAAGGAAUUAUUCCUUCUUCAAUUAGUCUACUUAAAGAUCUUCAACACCUAGACUUCGGUGACGACAACCUUGUGGUUUCAAGUAUAAUGUCUUACGGGUCCAAUCUAACCGAUCAUUACAGGCAACCCCAUUGGAGAUGCUCUUAAUAACAUUUUAACUAGAGAGUAUUUUCUAUCAAUUGCAUUUGUAUUAAAUUUGAUUUAGAUGAAGAGAAACAGAAUACAUAUGAUCCCGAGACAACAUUUUGUCAAUGUUUUCGUCUUGAUUGAACAGUCUUCUUCAUGCGUGUCCUUGUCAACUUCAGUUGCAGUAAUUCAAUGUAUCUCAGGAACCACCUUGGCUUUCCCAUUUUGAUAACAAGUAUCCUGAAGAUAAUCCGCAUAUCAAUCCACAUCCGCGCGUAUCCCAGUUGAUUUAUUAAUUUAUUCAUGAAGUGUUGCGAACGACAUUCCUGCAAAAGUAAAAGUCAGUGGAAUUUGUAUGAUAGCAUGAUGAAUAUUUAAAGUUUCAGUUAAAAUUUCACCAAGUAUUUUAUUUCUGGCUUAAGUCCCGGAUUGACGAAUUCUGCUGAUCACAUUUCUAAUCGACCAAUUCUGGUCGAAUAAAUUAAAUGGCACACUUCCUGAGUUGGUGGUAGGGGCGUUCUUCUUGUGUUUCUUUCUUUUCAUUAUUGACAUUGUUAUCCAGGCCCUUGCUUCUGGGCUUUUGUAAAGCACCCAUUUACGCCAUUGUCAUGAUCAUAGCUAGUCUUCCAUAUCCAAGAUACGCGCAUUAUAGUGGAUUUAUCUUUAUUAGUGAUUUCUGUGGAAAUGCAUAAUCUUAAUUAUAAGCUCCAAUAUUAUAAAAUAAACCUAACUUAUUAGAGUUAACAGGGCAUUUGUGUUGAUAAUUUGCGCAAUGUUAAUGGGGAUCGCUCCCAAGUCUUGGACGGACUCUUUCCAAGUCUUCUGAGGACCCAUCUGCACACUAAUUUGUCCGCCAACUAAAAAUUUAUAUAUAUUUUUCCAUAGAAUAUAAAUAGUUGGGGGUACUAACAGAACCUCUAGUAAAAUUAAUUAAUACCGUUAUGAUUUCGCAAACACAGCAGACAGCAGGCAUAAGGCUUAUAAAUAGAAGUGUCGUAUUUGGUUGAUGGUCAAGUUGAGUGGAAAUAUGGCACACUUUGUAAAGCCUUGUUAUCCUCUUCUCUUUGUUUUCUUUCUCUCAUUACUUCAAUCCAUUCUAACAACACAAGAGGGAGAAGCUCUUGUGAAAUGGAAGAAUAGCCUAGCCCCUUCUUCUUUUCUCGACUCUUGGUCACUCACCAAUCUCGAUAAUCUUUGCAACUGGACUGGCAUUACUUGUAACUCUGCAGGUUCAGUCUCUGAGAUUAACCUUAGUGAGAAACAACUUGAUGGAAUGCUGUCCGAGUUUGGUUUCACUUCAUUUCCAAAUCUCAACAAUCUCACCCUCGCAAUUAACUACUUCUCGGGUCCAAUACCACCAGCCAUUGAGAAUUUAACACAGCUUCAAUAUCUUGAGUUGAGCAAUAAUUAUCUAGAUGGUCCCAUUCCUUUCCAGGUUAGCAAUCUUCAGAGGUUGCUCAUCUUAAACCUGUCAGAGAAUGAACUGCAAGCUCCAAAUUGGUCCAAUUUUUCCCCCAUGCCUUUUUUGACCAUCCUCGACCUUUAUAAAAAUAAUCUUUUGUCAGAAUUUCCCGAAUUUAUAUCUAACUCGUGUAACCUUACGUACCUUGACCUCUCAUCCAACAAGUUUAGAGGGGAUCUUGCGCGAGAAUCAGUAUUAACCAAUCUAGGUGAUCUUGAAACCCUCUAUCUUAUUAGAAAUUCUUUCAAGGGGUCAUUUCCGUCAGAUUUAUUCAAGCUUUCUAAAUUAAAACGUCUUCACCUGUCGAGCAACAAAUUUUCAGGUUCAAUUCCUAAUGCCAUAAGGUUGCUUUGUGAUCUUGAAUUCCUAUAUUUAGGCAACAAUUCCUUUGAAGGACUGCUUCCACCAAAUAUAUUUAAGCUUUCAAAAUUAAAACAUCUUGUUCUUCGGAGUAAUAAGUUUUCAGGAUCUGUUUCCAAUGAUAUAAAUUUGCUUCCUGAACUUGAAUAUCUCGAUCUUAAUUCUAAUUUUUUUGACGGGCCGCUUCCUCCAGAUGUAUUCAAGCUCUCCAAACUAAGGUUUCUUUACCUCUCGGGUAAUACCUUUUCACGUUCUGUUUCCAAUGAUAUAGGUUUGCUUUCUGAGCUUGAAACCCUCGAUCUUAACUCUAAUUUUUUGAGGGUCCGCUUCCGUCAAAUAUAUUCAAGCUCAAAUUAAAAAUUCUAGACCUCUCAAACAAUAGAAAUUUAUUUCAAAGAAGUUUUCCUAUUGGACUGGAACUCUUGAGUAACCUCAGCUACUUAGGUCUAAGUUCCAGUAAUCUCAGUGGCAAUAUUCCAUCUUACAUUGGAAACCUGAAGCUACUAAUAUCUCUUGAUCUCAGUUCUAAUCAAUUGACUGGACCGCUUUCAAAGCUCGUUUCUAAUGUCACAAAUCUUAUAUUUCUUGAUUUAAGAGAUAAUAGUCUUAGUGGAAAUAUUCAGACUGACUUGUGGAAAUAUAACGAUCAUCCAACUCUGGAAUACAUCAAUUUGAGUGGGAACUAUUUUACGGGUAUAGUUUUUCUCUAUAGAUCUUUUCUUUUGUCAUAUGUAACUAAGCUAGUAAUCUGAUUAAUUGCAGUUUUACCAAAGUUUCAACAAUCUUGACAGGUGAGCUUCCAACAACAAUUUGCAAUGUCACUUCCCUUUCGGUUCUUGAUUUGUCAAAUAAUAACUUAAGUGGUGCACUUCCAAAAUGUUACGGGAAUCUUGCUGAUGGAUUGCUUUACAUUAAUCUUGCGAAUAAUCACUUUCGAGGAACAAUACCCACUACUUUCUCCAGGAGUUGUCAGCUGAUAUAUCUGAACAUGGAUGAUAAUGAGUUUGAAGGAUUGAUGCCCCCAUCUUUGGCGAACUGUAAGCACUUGAAAAUUUUUGAUAUUGGCAAUAAUAAAAUAGGUGGUACAUUUCCGUCAUGGCUUUAUGCACUUGGAGAGCUAGAAGUCCUUGUCUUGCGAUCAAAUAAACUCUAUGGUACAAUAAGUGGAAGGAGCAUAGAAGAUCCCUUCCCCAAGUUGCGGAUUGUGGAUCUGUCCAACAAUCAAUUCACAGGCCAUUUGCCAAUUCAAUACUUUAAGAAUAUGAAAUCAACUGAUAAUUUGUAUCGUUAUCAGAAUGACACAGGAGUUUUUUCUUUCCAUUAUGAAGCAUCUGUCUCAUUAACUGUGAAGGGAACAGAGUAUGAAGUGAAAAAUAUCCUUCAUAUUUACACAACCAUUGAUCUGUCCUGCAACAAGUUUCAAGGAGAAAUUCCUGACGUUAUUGGAGAGCUUAGAUGGCUUGCAUUGCUGAACUUAUCUCAUAAUAGUCUAACAGGACAUAUCCCAUCAUUGCUGAGAAAUAUGAAAGGACUCCAAUCUUUAGAUUUGUCUUCAAAUCAACUGAAAGGGGCUAUUCCACUUCAGUUAACUGCAUUGACAUUUCUAGAGGUCUUGAACCUCUCGGGAAACCAUCUUAGUGGAGAGAUUCCUCAGAAAGGGCAGUUCAGCACAUUUAACAUUGAUUCUUAUCUAGGAAACUCCGCGUUAUGUGGUUCACCUUUGAUGAAGAAAUGUGCAAACACAGCAUCACCUCCACAAGAAGCCGGAAAUGGUGAUGAAGAUGAAGCUGGUGAUGAAUUGACAUGGGAAGCAAUCGUGAUGGGAUAUGGAUGUGGACUGAUAUGUGGAUUGUCAUCUGCAUACAUUGUUCUCAAACUAGGAAAGCCUUGGUGGUUUGUGAGAUAUAUCGAAGUACUGCAACAGAAGUUGAUGAAAAGAUAUGCAUGAAGAAAGGUACUGGUAGAUCAAGAUGAACUUGAAAGUUGUUGUCGUGGUAGACAUUUGUGAACCAGUAGUGUACUAGCUGCAUAAGUAUUUGGUAUUAUGUAAUAAUCCGUUUGGUCGGGACUCAAAAUGAUUUCUCUUGCUUCAGGGGUAUUAAUAUUAACCUUGCUAUCUUGAUCAAUGUUAGGGCAAAUUAAAAAGAAUAUAAAAGCAAAAAAUUUGCAUCAAACACCUGUUGUACCAACAUGCAUCCAUUAAUUUGCUUUCAUCUAUUAAGUAACAAUUUAAGAGCGCUUCCACUCUGUUUAAGCAUGGAGAUAACACAAAGAAGGCAAGUCCAUGGACUAAUAUAUUAACACGUAGUCCACAUCUAUGGUAUGAACAAUUCAUAUUGCUCUUCUAUCUGUUCAACAGUCUCCCGAAGAUAGGCCAAAAAUGUCAUCUGUGGUUCUUAUGUUUGUCAGUGAAGGAGAAUCUCUGAUGCCUACACAACCUGGUGUUUUUACAGAAAGGAAUGUAGGUGAAACCAGGGGCGUAAAAUGAAUCAGGACUAAAAUCUGCUAAAAUGAUAAUUAUUUACUCAUCAUUCAAGAUUAGUCGGGCUCAAAGAUUUAUAUGGAUUUUAAGAACAAACUAUGACUAAAUAUGAAAAAAUCAUUAAUUUUUCCGACUCAAUAUUUUUUAGCCUCCCCCGGCCCUGGGUGAAACCAUAAGCUUCUCUGGUGCACAUCCAAAUCAUUCAGUUGGUUCUACUUUCAGCUCACCCACAGGAACAUCAUUCUGCAGGUACUCUUUUAUCUGUACUUUCUUAUAUUGUAUGCCAGUAAAUUUUAUAUCGACAAACUGCACAAUACACCUCGAUCUCAUAUUAUUGACAGGUGAGCUCCUCUCAUAAUGCUCACAGGCGAACCCCUGCAUAUAUACUUUGUGAUGUCAUUGAUGAUCGAUAGACUUGAAAAAAAAUUAUGACAAAGAUUCAUAAAAUAUCUACUUCCAUCCUAAUUCAGUAUUCAAUAUUAUUCAUUCGUAUCAUCAUCCAAUCAAUUCUAAUAGUUCUUCUUUAAAUCAGUACAAAUAUUGUUAAAUACCUGGAUGAUGGUUGUCUUUCCGCGAACCAAUCAUGAAAUUACCUCUGUAUAAAUCCAUCGGAAAUAAGACAGUUAAUAUCCCAAUCGAAUACACCCCGUCAGUUGUCAAACUCCUCGAAACGUAUUAAUCACUUUAGAAAAUUUGUUCCACUGGCGCUAGUCAGUCCCAGAGUUGGUGGUGGGUGCUUCUGGGCUUUCGAAAAGCACCCAUUUACUCCAUUGUUUAGAGAAGUAAAACCCCACCUUCCGCUCAUUUGAUUGAUCAGCUGAAUUAGGCAGAGUUUACAUGGUCAUGAUCAUAGUCUCCCAUNUUAAUAGUCUGACAGGACCUAUCCCAACAUUGCUGAGAAAUAUGAAAUAACUCCAUUACUCCAAUCUUAGAUUUGUCCUCAAAUCAACUGACAGGGGCUAUUCCACCUCUGUUAACUGCAUUGACAUUACUUUUCUCUUUAUAUUCUUUCCUUUUGUAUGUACCUAUGCUAAUUAUCUGAUUAUUAAAAUUAUAACAAAGCUUCAAGAUUUUUAACAGGUGAGCUUCCACUAAAAAUUUGCAAAGUCACUUCCCUUUCGCGUCUCAUUAUGUUAGAUAAUGGGUCAAGUGGUGCACUUCCACAGUGUUUGGGGAACCUUUCUUUGCUUGGUUUCAAUAAUCUUGCUAAUUAUCAAUUUCAAGGACCAAUACCAACGACUGUCCAAGACUUGUCUGUGCAUAUCUAAACAUCCAUAACAAUCACUUUGAAGGUUUGUUGCUCCAAUCUUUGGCAAACUGUAAACACUUACAAAUUCUUGAUAUUGGAAACAACGUUGGAGAGCUAGAUGUCCCAGUUAGGGCGGUAAUUCGACUAGAGCAAACCGAGUUUUGAGCGGAGCCAAAUUCGAGCCAAGUUUAAUCGAGUCGAGCCGAGUCGGCUCGUUUAGCUAAUCGAGCCUAAAACUUAGCCCGAACUCGACUCAUUUAAUUUCACGAGUCGAGUCGAGCCAACUCGUUUAGCUAAAUGAGCUGAUUUUAACAAGUCGAGCGAGCGAGCUCGUAUAAUUUUAACUUAGUCGAGCCUGAAUCUCUACCCAAACUAUUGGCUCGUGUAAUUUCGCGAGUCGAAUCGAGCCGGCUCGUUUUAUUAAACAAGCCGAAAUUUUUGCCCGAAUUUGCUCGUUUAACAAGCCGAUCUGAGCCUAGUUAAAUGAGUUCGAGUUAGUCGAGCUCGCGAGCUGCGAGCUCACCUGCCAGCUCUAGUCCUAGUCUUGCAAUCAAAUAGGUUUAACGGUAUAGAAAGUGGAAGGAGCACAAGGCAUCCAUUCCCCAAGGCUAUUUACCAAUUCAGUACUUUGAGGAUACAAAAUCAUUCUGCAGGUACUCUUGUAUCUGUACUUUCUUGUACUGUAUGCCACUUUGACAGUAGAGUAAAAUUUAUAUCGACAAACUGCAUAUGUUCUGAACUACUCCUCUAUCCCAAAUUAGAUGAGCUAGUUGACUUUGAGCACGUAACUUAAGGUACAUUGACCAACUAGUUCCGAUAUUUAUUUUUUUAAUUUUUCUUUUGUAAAUGAAAAUUUCAUAUUUAAAUUUUUAUUUGCAAAACUAAAAUUUAAAAAUAUGUAAUGUGGCUAUGCGGUCAAUGUCAACGAGCUCAUCUAAUUUGGGAUUGGGAUGCAGGGAGUAUUACGUACUAUGUUAUGCAAGCUGUUUACAACUUUCAUCAAAAUUUUCAAACAUUUCUGAAUAUGUAUUUUCAAAGAAUUCUCGGGCACUCUUAAGGCCUAUAAUUAUUGGAACUCUCACGUUAUGGACCAGAGGACCACUAUGUAUUUUACAAGCACGACGAAUCAUGUGGUCAUUAUGGACUCCCCAAGCCUUAGAGGACUCAUUCCAGGUUUUAGGAGGACCACUGCCUAGCUCACCCUUUCGGAGUGAUGUAAAUUAGUUUCCAGACACUAAAAAUAAGUAAUCAGAUUAAUCAUUACAAAAUUUUGAUAUAAAAUCAGAAUAAAUCCUAAACUUUGAUGAUACAAAAAAAAUUAUAAUUGUAAAUUAUACAAUCAAAUUAAGAUCGAAUUAACUUCCCUCACACUUAAAAUUUAUAGCGAUCAAAUCAAAAUCGAAUUAACUUUCCUAUUACUAAAAUUUAAUUACAAUAUUAUUAGAUAAAGAGAAUAUAUAAUAAUCAAGAGAAAAUAGAUUUUUUUUUGCCACUCAACUUAUUGUGUUUUAAGAAACUUACCACCCAACUAAAUUUUUUUCCUUUUGCUCACUAAUGUUAGGUUUGGAUUUGUUUUUAGCCACCAAAUAAGGUUCGGAUUUGAUUACCAGCAUUAUGAUAAUUUUUUUUGUCACUAAACUUAUUGCGUCUUUAGAAACUAACCACUGAACUAAAUUUUUUUUAUUUUACUCACUAAUGUUAGAUUUAGUUUUUUUUGUCACUAUAGUUAGGUUCAGAUUUGAUUAUUAGCAUUACAUUAAUUCUGUGUAGCAUUUUUAAAAUAUGGUAGUAGUCUGUGAUAUUUAGAUGAUUUGAUAUAUGUCUGUAUUUUUAUAUAUAGUAUAUUUUAUGUCCCCAAGGUCGUUUACCUUGGGUCAUAAAAAUUUUACACUCAUUUUAUGACUUUUAAAAGAUGUAGUUUCAUAAAUAAUUUUAUUUUUUUCUUUCGAAUUAAAAUUCAGCAUUUGAAUUUUACACACAAAAAAAUCGCAAGAAUAAGAUAUGAAACUAUGCUUUACAAGAGUCUUAAAAUACGUGCUAAACGGUAGAAAAAACUGUAAACUAAUGAGAGGUACAUAGGGAGUAAUAAUAACAUAAAAUGAUGCACAAUCAUCGAAUUAAGUUUUCCUCUCUCUAUAUAUUUAUUUUGUAAAUUUUAAUAAGAUAAAGUUAUUAAAAUUUAUGAUAUAAAUUUAAGAGAUAUCUUAGAUUGAGUGGCAAAAAUUUAGUUGGGUGGUAAGUUUCUAAAAACACAAUAAAUUGAGUGGGAACAAAAUCUAUUUUCCCAAUAAUGAGUGGGAAUAAAAUCUAUUUUCCCAAUAAUCAAAGUGACGAAAAAUCAAAGUCAUCUAAUAAGUCCAGAAAAAAUAUGACCAUUAGUAUAUUGAAAUAAUAUUCACGCAUUUAUAUACGAGAAUAUAUGGUCCACAAGUUAGUGCACAAUGUCCAAGAAUCUUUAUCAAAUAACACGGCAAGCAUGCAGCAUAUAAAUAAGAGUGGGCAGUAUGGUAUUGCAUUCAUAACCCACUUGAGCAGAAAUAUGGCACACUUCCUAAAGCCUUCUCACCUUCUUCUCUUUGUUUUCUUUCUCUCGUUACUUCAAUCCAUUCUACCAACAAGACCAGAGGGAGAAGCUCUUGUGAAAUGGAAGAAUAGCCUAGCCCCGUCUUCUUUUCUCGAUUCUUGGUCACUAACCAAUCUCGAUAAUCUUUGUAACUGGACUGGCAUUACUUGUAACUCUGCAGGUUCAGUCUCUGGGAUUAACCUUUAUGAGAAACAACUUGAUGGAAUGCUGUCCGAGUUUGGCUUCACUUCAUUUCCGAAUCUCAACAAUCUCACCCUCGCAUACAACUUCUUCUCGGGUCCAAUACCACCAGCCAUUGAGAAUUUAACACAGCUUCAAUAUCUUGAUUUAAGCAUCAAUAGUCUCGAUGGUCCCAUUCCUUUCCAGGUUAGCCAUCUUCAGAGGUUGCUCGUCCUAAACCUGUCACAGAAUGCAUUGCAAGCUCCAAAUUGGUCCCAUUUCUCUUCCAUGCCUUUUUUGCGCAUCCUCAAGCUCAGUAGGAAUCAUCUUGUAUCGAAAUUUCCAGAAUUUAUAUCCAAUUCUCAUAGCUUGGCUAUCCUUGACCUUGGCCAGAACAACUUUACAGGUGAUCUUGUGCGUGAAUUUACCAAUCUACAAAAUCUUGAAACCCUCUGGCUUUAUCGUAAUUCUUUUGAGGGGCCAUUUCCGCCGGAUAUAGUCCAGCUUUCCAAACUAAAAGAUCUUGCCCUGUCAAGUAACAAAUUUUCAGGUUCAGUUCCCAAUAACAUAAGGUUGCUUUGUGAUCUUGAAUACCUAUAUUUAGGCAACAAUUCCUUUAAGGGGCCACUUCCACCAAAUAUAUUUAAGCUUUCAAAAUUAAAACAUCUUGUUCUUUGGAGUAAUAAGUUUUCAGGUUCUGUUUCCAAUGAUAUAGGUUUGCUUCAUGAGCUUGUAACCCUCAAUCUUAACUCUAAUUUUUUUGAGGGGCCGCUUCCGCCAAAUGUAUUCAAGCUCUCCAAACUAAAGUUUUUUGCCCUUCAUGAGAAUAACUUUUCAGGUUUUAUUUCUAAGGAUAUAGGUUUGCUUUCCGAACUUGAAAUCCUCUAUUUUGGCUCUAAUUUUUUUGAGGGGCCGCUUCCUCCACAUGUAUUUAGGCUCUCCAAAUUAAGAGGUCUGGACCUCUCACACAAUAGAAAUUUAUUUGAAGGAAGUAUUCCUAUUGGACUGGGACUCUUGACUAACCUCAGGUACUUAGAUCUACAUUCCAAUAAUCUCGGUGGCUAUAUUCCAUCUGACAUUGGAAACCUGAAGCUACUAGUACUUCUUGAUCUCGGUUCUAAUCAAUUGACUGGACCGCUUUCAAAGAUCGUUUCUAAUCUCACAAAUCUUAUAUGUCUUGAUGUAAGUCAUAAUAGUCUUAGUGGAAAUAUUCAGAGUGACUUGUGGAAAUAUAACGAUCAUCCAACUUUGGAAUACAUCAAUUUAAGUGGGAACCAUUUUACGGGUAUAGUUUUUCUCUAUAGAUCUUUUCCUUUUCUCAUAUGUAACUAAGCUAGUAAUCUGAUUAUUGCAGUUUCACCAAAGUUUCAACAAUCUUGACAGGUGAGCUUCCAACAACAAUUUGCAAUGUCACUUCCCUUUCGGUUCUUGAUUUGUCAAAUAAUGAAUUAAGUGGUGCACUUCCAAACUCUUUGGGGAAUCUUGCUGAUGGAAUGCUUUACCUUAAUCUUGCUAAUAAUCAGUUUCGAGGAACAAUACCAACUACUUUCUCCAGGAGUUGUCGGUUGACAUAUCUAAACAUGGAUAAUAAUGAGUUUGAAGGAUUGUUGCCCCCAUCUUUGGCGAACUGUAAGCACUUGAAAAUUCUUGAUAUAGGCAAUAAUAAAAUAGGUGGUACAUUUCCGUCAUGGCUUUAUGCACUUGGAGAGCUAGAAGUUCUUGUCUUGCGAUCAAAUAAACUCUAUGGUACAAUAAGUGGAAGGAGCAUAGAAGAUCCCUUCCCCAAGUUGCGGAUUGUGGAUCUGUCCCACAAUCAAUUGACAGGCUAUUUGCCAAUUCAAUACUUUAAGAAUAUGAAAUCAACUGAUAAUUUGUAUCGUUAUCAGAAUGACACAGGAGUUUUUUCUUUCCAUUAUGAAGCAUCUGUCUCAUUAACUGUGAAGGGAACAGAGUAUGAAGUGAAAAAUAUCCUUCAUAUUUACACAACCAUUGAUCUGUCCUGCAACAAGUUUCAAGGAGAAAUUCCUGACGUUAUUGGAGAGCUUAGAUGGCUUGCAUUGCUGAACUUAUCUCAUAAUAGUCUAACAGGACAUAUCCCAUCAUUGCUGAGAAAUAUGAAAGGACUCCAAUCUUUAGAUUUGUCUUCAAAUCAACUGAAAGGGGCUAUUCCACUUCAGUUAACUGCAUUGACAUUUCUAGAGGUCUUGAACCUCUCGGGAAACCAUCUUAGUGGAGAGAUUCCUCAGAAAGGGCAGUUCAGCACAUUUAACAUUGAUUCUUAUCUAGGAAACUCCGCGUUAUGUGGUUCACCUUUGAUGAAGAAAUGUGCAAACACAGCAUCACCUCCACAAGAAGCCGGAAAUGGUGAUGAAGAUGAAGCUGGUGAUGAAUUGACAUGGGAAGCAAUCGUGAUGGGAUAUGGAUGUGGACUGAUAUGUGGAUUGUCAUCUGCAUACAUUGUUCUCAAACUAGGAAAGCCUUGGUGGUUUGUGAGAUAUAUCGAAGUACUGCAACAGAAGUUGAUGAAAAGAUAUGCAUGAAGAAAGGUACUGGUAGAUCAAGAUGAACUUGAAAGUUGUUGUCGUGGUAGACAUUUGUGAACCAGUAGUGUACUAGCUGCAUAAGUAUUUGGUAUUAUGUAAUAAUCCGUUUGGUCGGGACUCAAAAUGAUUUCUCUUGCUUCAGGGGUAUUAAUAUUAACCUUGCUAUCUUGAUCAAUGUUAGGGCAAAUUAAAAAGAAUAUAAAAGCAAAAAAUUUGCAUCAAACACCUGUUGUACCAACAUGCAUCCAUUAAUUUGCUUUCAUCUAUUAAGUAACAAUUUAAGAGCGCUUCCACUCUGUUUAAGCAUGGAGAUAACACAAAGAAGGCAAGUCCAUGGACUAAUAUAUUAACACGUAGUCCACAUCUAUGGUAUGAACAAUUCAUAUUGCUCUUCUAUCUGUUCAACAGUCUCCCGAAGAUAGGCCAAAAAUGUCAUCUGUGGUUCUUAUGUUUGUCAGUGAAGGAGAAUCUCUGAUGCCUACACAACCUGGUGUUUUUACAGAAAGGAAUGUAGGUGAAACCAGGGGCGUAAAAUGAAUCAGGACUAAAAUCUGCUAAAAUGAUAAUUAUUUACUCAUCAUUCAAGAUUAGUCGGGCUCAAAGAUUUAUAUGGAUUUUAAGAACAAACUAUGACUAAAUAUGAAAAAAUCAUUAAUUUUUCCGACUCAAUAUUUUUUAGCCUCCCCCGGCCCUGGGUGAAACCAUAAGCUUCUCUGGUGCACAUCCAAAUCAUUCAGUUGGUUCUACUUUCAGCUCACCCACAGGAACAUCAUUCUGCAGGUACUCUUUUAUCUGUACUUUCUUAUAUUGUAUGCCAGUAAAUUUUAUAUCGACAAACUGCACAAUACACCUCGAUCUCAUAUUAUUGACAGGUGAGCUCCUCUCAUAAUGCUCACAGGCGAACCCCUGCAUAUAUACUUUGUGAUGUCAUUGAUGAUCGAUAGACUUGAAAAAAAAUUAUGACAAAGAUUCAUAAAAUAUCUACUUCCAUCCUAAUUCAGUAUUCAAUAUUAUUCAUUCGUAUCAUCAUCCAAUCAAUUCUAAUAGUUCUUCUUUAAAUCAGUACAAAUAUUGUUAAAUACCUGGAUGAUGGUUGUCUUUCCGCGAACCAAUCAUGAAAUUACCUCUGUAUAAAUCCAUCGGAAAUAAGACAGUUAAUAUCCCAAUCGAAUACACCCCGUCAGUUGUCAAACUCCUCGAAACGUAUUAAUCACUUUAGAAAAUUUGUUCCACUGGCGCUAGUCAGUCCCAGAGUUGGUGGUGGGUGCUUCUGGGCUUUCGAAAAGCACCCAUUUACUCCAUUGUUUAGAGAAGUAAAACCCCACCUUCCGCUCAUUUGAUUGAUCAGCUGAAUUAGGCAGAGUUUACAUGGUCAUGAUCAUAGUCUCCCAUAUAUCCCUGAUACGCACAUUAUAGUGGAUUUAUCUUUAUCAGUGAUUUCUGUGGAGAUGCAUAAUCAUUAUAAGCUCCAAUAUAAAAUUUUAAAGUUAGUAUGGGAAUUUGUGUUGAUAAUUUGCGCAAUGUUAACAGGAUUGCUCCCAAGUCUUGGACGGACUCUUUCAAAGUCUUCUCAGGACCCAUCUGCACACUAAUUUGUCUGCCAACUAAAAAAUCAACAAUAUGUUACUCCCUCCGUUUUUCUUAAACUGAGGUUAAAAUUUUUGACACAAGAUGGGUUGACAGUAUAAAAUUAAAAUAUUUGUGAAUAAAAAUUUUGGUUAUAUUUUUUAUUUAAAAAGAAAAUCUUGAAAAUAAUAUUAUUAACUACCAGUCAGAUCACUUAAGUGUAUGUCCAAAAUUAAAGCGGCAUAUAAAAAAAAGGGAGGAAGCAUGUACUAACUGUUUCCAUAACAGUUUACAAGUAUAAGCUAUACCCCCUCUCUAUUUUUUUCUAUGACAGCUUUGAUUUUGGGCACACAUUCUUAAGUGUUUUGACCGGAUAGUUAAAAAUUUAUCUUCUAAAAUUUUUAAAAAAAGUAAAAUCGCAAAAAAAAUUAGAAAGCUGGUAUUUUUGAUAAAUUUCCAAAUAUGUAAUCAAGAAAAAUAACUUUUACUAUCCAAUCAACUCAUUUAAAGAUGUGUGUCAAAAAUCAAAAUAUCAUACAAAAAAUAGGUAUACAUUUUUUUAAUAGAUUAUACUCCCUCUGUUCCAAAAUAAGUGUCAGCUGGGGGUAAUAACAAGACCUUAGUCAACCCAAGCACAGCAGACAGCAGGCAUAAGGCAUCAGGAAUUUCACAGGACCAUUAUCUUUCUCUUAUUAACUGUGAAGGGAACAGCGUAUGAAGUAGCAAGAACCUUCAUAUUUACACAGCCAUUGAUCUGUCGUGCAACAAAUUUCAGGGAGAAAUUCCAAAGGUUACCGGAGAGCUUAGAUGGCUUGCAUUGCUCAAUUUAUCGCAUAAUUAAUAGUCUGACAGGACCUAUCCCAACAUUGCUGAGAAAUAUGAAAUAACUCCAUUACUCCAAUCUUAGAUUUGUCCUCAAAUCAACUGACAGGGGCUAUUCCACCUCUGUUAACUGCAUUGACAUUACUUUUCUCUUUAUAUUCUUUCCUUUUGUAUGUACCUAUGCUAAUUAUCUGAUUAUUAAAAUUAUAACAAAGCUUCAAGAUUUUUAACAGGUGAGCUUCCACUAAAAAUUUGCAAAGUCACUUCCCUUUCGCGUCUCAUUAUGUUAGAUAAUGGGUCAAGUGGUGCACUUCCACAGUGUUUGGGGAACCUUUCUUUGCUUGGUUUCAAUAAUCUUGCUAAUUAUCAAUUUCAAGGACCAAUACCAACGACUGUCCAAGACUUGUCUGUGCAUAUCUAAACAUCCAUAACAAUCACUUUGAAGGUUUGUUGCUCCAAUCUUUGGCAAACUGUAAACACUUACAAAUUCUUGAUAUUGGAAACAACGUUGGAGAGCUAGAUGUCCCAGUUAGGGCGGUAAUUCGACUAGAGCAAACCGAGUUUUGAGCGGAGCCAAAUUCGAGCCAAGUUUAAUCGAGUCGAGCCGAGUCGGCUCGUUUAGCUAAUCGAGCCUAAAACUUAGCCCGAACUCGACUCAUUUAAUUUCACGAGUCGAGUCGAGCCAACUCGUUUAGCUAAAUGAGCUGAUUUUAACAAGUCGAGCGAGCGAGCUCGUAUAAUUUUAACUUAGUCGAGCCUGAAUCUCUACCCAAACUAUUGGCUCGUGUAAUUUCGCGAGUCGAAUCGAGCCGGCUCGUUUUAUUAAACAAGCCGAAAUUUUUGCCCGAAUUUGCUCGUUUAACAAGCCGAUCUGAGCCUAGUUAAAUGAGUUCGAGUUAGUCGAGCUCGCGAGCUGCGAGCUCACCUGCCAGCUCUAGUCCUAGUCUUGCAAUCAAAUAGGUUUAACGGUAUAGAAAGUGGAAGGAGCACAAGGCAUCCAUUCCCCAAGGCUAUUUACCAAUUCAGUACUUUGAGGAUACAAAAUCAUUCUGCAGGUACUCUUGUAUCUGUACUUUCUUGUACUGUAUGCCACUUUGACAGUAGAGUAAAAUUUAUAUCGACAAACUGCAUAUGUUCUGAACUACUCCUCUAUCCCAAAUUAGAUGAGCUAGUUGACUUUGAGCACGUAACUUAAGGUACAUUGACCAACUAGUUCCGAUAUUUAUUUUUUUAAUUUUUCUUUUGUAAAUGAAAAUUUCAUAUUUAAAUUUUUAUUUGCAAAACUAAAAUUUAAAAAUAUGUAAUGUGGCUAUGCGGUCAAUGUCAACGAGCUCAUCUAAUUUGGGAUUGGGAUGCAGGGAGUAUUACGUACUAUGUUAUGCAAGCUGUUUACAACUUUCAUCAAAAUUUUCAAACAUUUCUGAAUAUGUAUUUUCAAAGAAUUCUCGGGCACUCUUAAGGCCUAUAAUUAUUGGAACUCUCACGUUAUGGACCAGAGGACCACUAUGUAUUUUACAAGCACGACGAAUCAUGUGGUCAUUAUGGACUCCCCAAGCCUUAGAGGACUCAUUCCAGGUUUUAGGAGGACCACUGCCUAGCUCACCCUUUCGGAGUGAUGUAAAUUAGUUUCCAGACACUAAAAAUAAGUAAUCAGAUUAAUCAUUACAAAAUUUUGAUAUAAAAUCAGAAUAAAUCCUAAACUUUGAUGAUACAAAAAAAAUUAUAAUUGUAAAUUAUACAAUCAAAUUAAGAUCGAAUUAACUUCCCUCACACUUAAAAUUUAUAGCGAUCAAAUCAAAAUCGAAUUAACUUUCCUAUUACUAAAAUUUAAUUACAAUAUUAUUAGAUAAAGAGAAUAUAUAAUAAUCAAGAGAAAAUAGAUUUUUUUUUGCCACUCAACUUAUUGUGUUUUAAGAAACUUACCACCCAACUAAAUUUUUUUCCUUUUGCUCACUAAUGUUAGGUUUGGAUUUGUUUUUAGCCACCAAAUAAGGUUCGGAUUUGAUUACCAGCAUUAUGAUAAUUUUUUUUGUCACUAAACUUAUUGCGUCUUUAGAAACUAACCACUGAACUAAAUUUUUUUUAUUUUACUCACUAAUGUUAGAUUUAGUUUUUUUUGUCACUAUAGUUAGGUUCAGAUUUGAUUAUUAGCAUUACAUUAAUUCUGUGUAGCAUUUUUAAAAUAUGGUAGUAGUCUGUGAUAUUUAGAUGAUUUGAUAUAUGUCUGUAUUUUUAUAUAUAGUAUAUUUUAUGUCCCCAAGGUCGUUUACCUUGGGUCAUAAAAAUUUUACACUCAUUUUAUGACUUUUAAAAGAUGUAGUUUCAUAAAUAAUUUUAUUUUUUUCUUUCGAAUUAAAAUUCAGCAUUUGAAUUUUACACACAAAAAAAUCGCAAGAAUAAGAUAUGAAACUAUGCUUUACAAGAGUCUUAAAAUACGUGCUAAACGGUAGAAAAAACUGUAAACUAAUGAGAGGUACAUAGGGAGUAAUAAUAACAUAAAAUGAUGCACAAUCAUCGAAUUAAGUUUUCCUCUCUCUAUAUAUUUAUUUUGUAAAUUUUAAUAAGAUAAAGUUAUUAAAAUUUAUGAUAUAAAUUUAAGAGAUAUCUUAGAUUGAGUGGCAAAAAUUUAGUUGGGUGGUAAGUUUCUAAAAACACAAUAAAUUGAGUGGGAACAAAAUCUAUUUUCCCAAUAAUGAGUGGGAAUAAAAUCUAUUUUCCCAAUAAUCAAAGUGACGAAAAAUCAAAGUCAUCUAAUAAGUCCAGAAAAAAUAUGACCAUUAGUAUAUUGAAAUAAUAUUCACGCAUUUAUAUACGAGAAUAUAUGGUCCACAAGUUAGUGCACAAUGUCCAAGAAUCUUUAUCAAAUAACACGGCAAGCAUGCAGCAUAUAAAUAAGAGUGGGCAGUAUGGUAUUGCAUUCAUAACCCACUUGAGCAGAAAUAUGGCACACUUCCUAAAGCCUUCUCACCUUCUUCUCUUUGUUUUCUUUCUCUCGUUACUUCAAUCCAUUCUACCAACAAGACCAGAGGGAGAAGCUCUUGUGAAAUGGAAGAAUAGCCUAGCCCCGUCUUCUUUUCUCGAUUCUUGGUCACUAACCAAUCUCGAUAAUCUUUGUAACUGGACUGGCAUUACUUGUAACUCUGCAGGUUCAGUCUCUGGGAUUAACCUUUAUGAGAAACAACUUGAUGGAAUGCUGUCCGAGUUUGGCUUCACUUCAUUUCCGAAUCUCAACAAUCUCACCCUCGCAUACAACUUCUUCUCGGGUCCAAUACCACCAGCCAUUGAGAAUUUAACACAGCUUCAAUAUCUUGAUUUAAGCAUCAAUAGUCUCGAUGGUCCCAUUCCUUUCCAGGUUAGCCAUCUUCAGAGGUUGCUCGUCCUAAACCUGUCACAGAAUGCAUUGCAAGCUCCAAAUUGGUCCCAUUUCUCUUCCAUGCCUUUUUUGCGCAUCCUCAAGCUCAGUAGGAAUCAUCUUGUAUCNUUUUUAUUUAAAAAGAAAAUCUUGAAAAUAAUAUUAUUAACUACCAGUCAGAUCACUUAAGUGUAUGUCCAAAAUUAAAGCGGCAUAUAAAAAAAAGGGAGGAAGCAUGUACUAACUGUUUCCAUAACAGUUUACAAGUAUAAGCUAUACCCCCUCUCUAUUUUUUUCUAUGACAGCUUUGAUUUUGGGCACACAUUCUUAAGUGUUUUGACCGGAUAGUUAAAAAUUUAUCUUCUAAAAUUUUUAAAAAAAGUAAAAUCGCAAAAAAAAUUAGAAAGCUGGUAUUUUUGAUAAAUUUCCAAAUAUGUAAUCAAGAAAAAUAACUUUUACUAUCCAAUCAACUCAUUUAAAGAUGUGUGUCAAAAAUCAAAAUAUCAUACAAAAAAUAGGUAUACAUUUUUUUAAUAGAUUAUACUCCCUCUGUUCCAAAAUAAGUGUCAGCUGGGGGUAAUAACAAGACCUUAGUCAACCCAAGCACAGCAGACAGCAGGCAUAAGGCAUCAGGAAUUUCACAGGACCAUUAUCUUUCUCUUAUUAACUGUGAAGGGAACAGCGUAUGAAGUAGCAAGAACCUUCAUAUUUACACAGCCAUUGAUCUGUCGUGCAACAAAUUUCAGGGAGAAAUUCCAAAGGUUACCGGAGAGCUUAGAUGGCUUGCAUUGCUCAAUUUAUCGCAUAAUUAAUAGUCUGACAGGACCUAUCCCAACAUUGCUGAGAAAUAUGAAAUAACUCCAUUACUCCAAUCUUAGAUUUGUCCUCAAAUCAACUGACAGGGGCUAUUCCACCUCUGUUAACUGCAUUGACAUUACUUUUCUCUUUAUAUUCUUUCCUUUUGUAUGUACCUAUGCUAAUUAUCUGAUUAUUAAAAUUAUAACAAAGCUUCAAGAUUUUUAACAGGUGAGCUUCCACUAAAAAUUUGCAAAGUCACUUCCCUUUCGCGUCUCAUUAUGUUAGAUAAUGGGUCAAGUGGUGCACUUCCACAGUGUUUGGGGAACCUUUCUUUGCUUGGUUUCAAUAAUCUUGCUAAUUAUCAAUUUCAAGGACCAAUACCAACGACUGUCCAAGACUUGUCUGUGCAUAUCUAAACAUCCAUAACAAUCACUUUGAAGGUUUGUUGCUCCAAUCUUUGGCAAACUGUAAACACUUACAAAUUCUUGAUAUUGGAAACAACGUUGGAGAGCUAGAUGUCCCAGUUAGGGCGGUAAUUCGACUAGAGCAAACCGAGUUUUGAGCGGAGCCAAAUUCGAGCCAAGUUUAAUCGAGUCGAGCCGAGUCGGCUCGUUUAGCUAAUCGAGCCUAAAACUUAGCCCGAACUCGACUCAUUUAAUUUCACGAGUCGAGUCGAGCCAACUCGUUUAGCUAAAUGAGCUGAUUUUAACAAGUCGAGCGAGCGAGCUCGUAUAAUUUUAACUUAGUCGAGCCUGAAUCUCUACCCAAACUAUUGGCUCGUGUAAUUUCGCGAGUCGAAUCGAGCCGGCUCGUUUUAUUAAACAAGCCGAAAUUUUUGCCCGAAUUUGCUCGUUUAACAAGCCGAUCUGAGCCUAGUUAAAUGAGUUCGAGUUAGUCGAGCUCGCGAGCUGCGAGCUCACCUGCCAGCUCUAGUCCUAGUCUUGCAAUCAAAUAGGUUUAACGGUAUAGAAAGUGGAAGGAGCACAAGGCAUCCAUUCCCCAAGGCUAUUUACCAAUUCAGUACUUUGAGGAUACAAAAUCAUUCUGCAGGUACUCUUGUAUCUGUACUUUCUUGUACUGUAUGCCACUUUGACAGUAGAGUAAAAUUUAUAUCGACAAACUGCAUAUGUUCUGAACUACUCCUCUAUCCCAAAUUAGAUGAGCUAGUUGACUUUGAGCACGUAACUUAAGGUACAUUGACCAACUAGUUCCGAUAUUUAUUUUUUUAAUUUUUCUUUUGUAAAUGAAAAUUUCAUAUUUAAAUUUUUAUUUGCAAAACUAAAAUUUAAAAAUAUGUAAUGUGGCUAUGCGGUCAAUGUCAACGAGCUCAUCUAAUUUGGGAUUGGGAUGCAGGGAGUAUUACGUACUAUGUUAUGCAAGCUGUUUACAACUUUCAUCAAAAUUUUCAAACAUUUCUGAAUAUGUAUUUUCAAAGAAUUCUCGGGCACUCUUAAGGCCUAUAAUUAUUGGAACUCUCACGUUAUGGACCAGAGGACCACUAUGUAUUUUACAAGCACGACGAAUCAUGUGGUCAUUAUGGACUCCCCAAGCCUUAGAGGACUCAUUCCAGGUUUUAGGAGGACCACUGCCUAGCUCACCCUUUCGGAGUGAUGUAAAUUAGUUUCCAGACACUAAAAAUAAGUAAUCAGAUUAAUCAUUACAAAAUUUUGAUAUAAAAUCAGAAUAAAUCCUAAACUUUGAUGAUACAAAAAAAAUUAUAAUUGUAAAUUAUACAAUCAAAUUAAGAUCGAAUUAACUUCCCUCACACUUAAAAUUUAUAGCGAUCAAAUCAAAAUCGAAUUAACUUUCCUAUUACUAAAAUUUAAUUACAAUAUUAUUAGAUAAAGAGAAUAUAUAAUAAUCAAGAGAAAAUAGAUUUUUUUUUGCCACUCAACUUAUUGUGUUUUAAGAAACUUACCACCCAACUAAAUUUUUUUCCUUUUGCUCACUAAUGUUAGGUUUGGAUUUGUUUUUAGCCACCAAAUAAGGUUCGGAUUUGAUUACCAGCAUUAUGAUAAUUUUUUUUGUCACUAAACUUAUUGCGUCUUUAGAAACUAACCACUGAACUAAAUUUUUUUUAUUUUACUCACUAAUGUUAGAUUUAGUUUUUUUUGUCACUAUAGUUAGGUUCAGAUUUGAUUAUUAGCAUUACAUUAAUUCUGUGUAGCAUUUUUAAAAUAUGGUAGUAGUCUGUGAUAUUUAGAUGAUUUGAUAUAUGUCUGUAUUUUUAUAUAUAGUAUAUUUUAUGUCCCCAAGGUCGUUUACCUUGGGUCAUAAAAAUUUUACACUCAUUUUAUGACUUUUAAAAGAUGUAGUUUCAUAAAUAAUUUUAUUUUUUUCUUUCGAAUUAAAAUUCAGCAUUUGAAUUUUACACACAAAAAAAUCGCAAGAAUAAGAUAUGAAACUAUGCUUUACAAGAGUCUUAAAAUACGUGCUAAACGGUAGAAAAAACUGUAAACUAAUGAGAGGUACAUAGGGAGUAAUAAUAACAUAAAAUGAUGCACAAUCAUCGAAUUAAGUUUUCCUCUCUCUAUAUAUUUAUUUUGUAAAUUUUAAUAAGAUAAAGUUAUUAAAAUUUAUGAUAUAAAUUUAAGAGAUAUCUUAGAUUGAGUGGCAAAAAUUUAGUUGGGUGGUAAGUUUCUAAAAACACAAUAAAUUGAGUGGGAACAAAAUCUAUUUUCCCAAUAAUGAGUGGGAAUAAAAUCUAUUUUCCCAAUAAUCAAAGUGACGAAAAAUCAAAGUCAUCUAAUAAGUCCAGAAAAAAUAUGACCAUUAGUAUAUUGAAAUAAUAUUCACGCAUUUAUAUACGAGAAUAUAUGGUCCACAAGUUAGUGCACAAUGUCCAAGAAUCUUUAUCAAAUAACACGGCAAGCAUGCAGCAUAUAAAUAAGAGUGGGCAGUAUGGUAUUGCAUUCAUAACCCACUUGAGCAGAAAUAUGGCACACUUCCUAAAGCCUUCUCACCUUCUUCUCUUUGUUUUCUUUCUCUCGUUACUUCAAUCCAUUCUACCAACAAGACCAGAGGGAGAAGCUCUUGUGAAAUGGAAGAAUAGCCUAGCCCCGUCUUCUUUUCUCGAUUCUUGGUCACUAACCAAUCUCGAUAAUCUUUGUAACUGGACUGGCAUUACUUGUAACUCUGCAGGUUCAGUCUCUGGGAUUAACCUUUAUGAGAAACAACUUGAUGGAAUGCUGUCCGAGUUUGGCUUCACUUCAUUUCCGAAUCUCAACAAUCUCACCCUCGCAUACAACUUCUUCUCGGGUCCAAUACCACCAGCCAUUGAGAAUUUAACACAGCUUCAAUAUCUUGAUUUAAGCAUCAAUAGUCUCGAUGGUCCCAUUCCUUUCCAGGUUAGCCAUCUUCAGAGGUUGCUCGUCCUAAACCUGUCACAGAAUGCAUUGCAAGCUCCAAAUUGGUCCCAUUUCUCUUCCAUGCCUUUUUUGCGCAUCCUCAAGCUCAGUAGGAAUCAUCUUGUAUCGAAAUUUCCAGAAUUUAUAUCCAAUUCUCAUAGCUUGGCUAUCCUUGACCUUGGCCAGAACAACUUUACAGGUGAUCUUGUGCGUGAAUUUACCAAUCUACAAAAUCUUGAAACCCUCUGGCUUUAUCGUAAUUCUUUUGAGGGGCCAUUUCCGCCGGAUAUAGUCCAGCUUUCCAAACUAAAAGAUCUUGCCCUGUCAAGUAACAAAUUUUCAGGUUCAGUUCCCAAUAACAUAAGGUUGCUUUGUGAUCUUGAAUACCUAUAUUUAGGCAACAAUUCCUUUAAGGGGCCACUUCCACCAAAUAUAUUUAAGCUUUCAAAAUUAAAACAUCUUGUUCUUUGGAGUAAUAAGUUUUCAGGUUCUGUUUCCAAUGAUAUAGGUUUGCUUCAUGAGCUUGUAACCCUCAAUCUUAACUCUAAUUUUUUUGAGGGGCCGCUUCCGCCAAAUGUAUUCAAGCUCUCCAAACUAAAGUUUUUUGCCCUUCAUGAGAAUAACUUUUCAGGUUUUAUUUCUAAGGAUAUAGGUUUGCUUUCCGAACUUGAAAUCCUCUAUUUUGGCUCUAAUUUUUUUGAGGGGCCGCUUCCUCCACAUGUAUUUAGGCUCUCCAAAUUAAGAGGUCUGGACCUCUCACACAAUAGAAAUUUAUUUGAAGGAAGUAUUCCUAUUGGACUGGGACUCUUGACUAACCUCAGGUACUUAGAUCUACAUUCCAAUAAUCUCGGUGGCUAUAUUCCAUCUGACAUUGGAAACCUGAAGCUACUAGUACUUCUUGAUCUCGGUUCUAAUCAAUUGACUGGACCGCUUUCAAAGAUCGUUUCUAAUCUCACAAAUCUUAUAUGUCUUGAUGUAAGUCAUAAUAGUCUUAGUGGAAAUAUUCAGAGUGACUUGUGGAAAUAUAACGAUCAUCCAACUUUGGAAUACAUCAAUUUAAGUGGGAACCAUUUUACGGGUAUAGUUUUUCUCUAUAGAUCUUUUCCUUUUCUCAUAUGUAACUAAGCUAGUAAUCUGAUUAUUGCAGUUUCACCAAAGUUUCAACAAUCUUGACAGGUGAGCUUCCAACAACAAUUUGCAAUGUCACUUCCCUUUCGGUUCUUGAUUUGUCAAAUAAUGAAUUAAGUGGUGCACUUCCAAACUCUUUGGGGAAUCUUGCUGAUGGAAUGCUUUACCUUAAUCUUGCUAAUAAUCAGUUUCGAGGAACAAUACCAACUACUUUCUCCAGGAGUUGUCGGUUGACAUAUCUAAACAUGGAUAAUAAUGAGUUUGAAGGAUUGUUGCCCCCAUCUUUGGCGAACUGUAAGCACUUGAAAAUUCUUGAUAUAGGCAAUAAUAAAAUAGGUGGUACAUUUCCGUCAUGGCUUUAUGCACUUGGAGAGCUAGAAGUUCUUGUCUUGCGAUCAAAUAAACUCUAUGGUACGAUAAGUGGAAGGAGCAUAGAAGAUCCCUUCCCCAAGUUGCGGAUUGUGGAUCUGUCCCACAAUCAAUUGACAGGCUAUUUGCCAAUUCAAUACUUUAAGAAUAUGAAAUCAACUGAUAAUUUGUAUCGUUAUCGGAAUUCCACAGGACCAUUAUCUUUCUCUUAUGAAGCAGCAGUCUCAUUAACUGUGAAGGGAACAGAGUACGAGGUAGCAAAGAACCUUCAUAUUUACACAGCCAUUGACCUGUCGUGCAACAAAUUUCAGGGAGAAAUUCCAAAGGUUACUGGAGAGCUUAGAUGGCUUGCAUUGCUGAAUUUAUCUCAUAAUAGUCUGACAGGACCUAUCCCAUCCUUGCUGAAAAAUAUGAAAGAACUCCAAUCUUUAGAUUUGUCCUCAAAUCAACUGACAGGGGCUAUUCCACCUCAGUUAACUGCAUUGACAUUUCUGGAGGUCUUCAACCUCUCGGGAAACCAUCUUAGUGGAGAGAUUCCUCAGAAAGGGCAGUUCAGCACAUUUAACAAUGAUUCUUAUCUAGGAAACUCCGCGUUAUGUGGAUCACCUUUGACAAAGAAAUGUGCAAACACAGCAUCACCUCCACAAGAAGUCGGAAAUGGUGAUGAAGAUGAUGCUGGUGAUGAAUGGACAUGGGAAGCAAUCGUGAUGGGAUAUGGAUGUGGACUGAUAUGUGGAUUGUCAUCUGCGUACAUUGUUCUCAAACUAGGAAAGCCUUGGUGGUUUGUGAGAUAUAUCGAAGUGCUGCAACUGAAGUUGAUGAAAAGAUAUGCUUGAAAAAUUGUACUGGCCGAUCAAGACGAACUUGAAAGUUGUUGUCCUUGUGGACAUUUCUGAACCAGUAGUGUACUAGCUGCAUAAGUAUUUGGUAUUAUGUAAUAAUCCGUUUGGUCAGGACUCAUAAUGAUUUCUCUUGCUUCAGGGGUAUUAAUAUUAACCUUGCUAGUUAAUUCAAAUUAAAACAAAUAUAAAAUCAAAAAAUUUGCAUCAAACACCUGUUAUACCAACAUCCAUUAAUUUGCUUUCAUCUCUUACGUAACAAUUUAACAGCGAUUCCACACUGUUUUAGGCAUGGAGAUUACACAAAGAAGGCAAGUCCAUGAACUAAUAUAUUAACCCGUAGUCCACAUCUAUGCUACGAACAAUUCAUAUUGGUCUUCCAUCUAUUCAACCGUCUCCCGAAGAUAGGCCAAAAAUGUCAUCUGUGGUUCUUAUCUUUGUCAGUAAAGGAGAAUCUCUGAUGCCUAUACAACCUGGUUUUCUUACAGAAAGGAAUGUAGGUGAAACCAGGGGCAUAAAAUGAAUCGGGACUAAAAUCUGCUAAAAUGAUAAUUAUUUACUCAUCAUUCGAGAUUAGUCGGGCUCAAAUGAAGAUUUAUAUGGAUUUUAAGAACAAACUAUGACUAAAUAUGAAAACUAGACAACCUGGUUUUCUUACAGAAAGGAAUGUAGGUGAAACCAGGGGCGUAAAAUGAAUCGGGACUAAAAUCUGCUAAAAUGAUAGUAAUUAUUUACUCAUCAUUCAAGAUUAGUCGGGCUCAAAUGAAGAUUUAUAUGGAUUUUUAAGAACAAACUAUGACUAAAUAUGAAAAAAAUCAUUAAUUUUUCCGACUCAAUAUUUUUUAGCCUCCCCCGGCCCUGGGUGAAACCAUAAGCUUCUCUGGUGCACAUCCAAAUCAUUCAGCUGGUUCUGCAGGUACUCUUCUAUCUGUACUUUCUUAUAUUGUUUGCCAGUACAUUUUAUAUCGACAAACUGCACAAUACACCUCGAUCUCAUACACAGGUGAACUCCUGCAUAUGCUUUGUGAUGUCAUUGAUGAUCGAUAGACUUGAAAAAAAAUUAUGACAAAGAUUCAUAAAAUAUCUACUUCCAUCCUAAUUCAGUAUUCAAUAUUAUUCAUCCCGUAUCAUCAUCCAAUCAAUUCUAAUAGUUCUUCUUUAAAUCAGUACAAAUAUUGUUAAAUACCUCGAUGAUGGUUGUCUUCCCGUGAACCAAUCAUAAAAUUACCUCUGUAUAAAUCCAUCGGAAAUAAGACAGUUAAUAUCCCAAUCGAAUACACCCCGUCAGUUGUCAAACUCCUCGAAACGUAUUAAUCACUUUAGAAAAUUUGUUCCACUGGCGCUAGUCAGUCCCAGAGUUGGUGGUGGGUGCUUCUGGGCUUUCGAAAAACACCCAUUUACUCCAUUGUUUAGAGAAGUAAAACCCCACCUUCCGCUCAUUUGAUUGAUCAGCUGAAUUAGGCAGAGUUUACAUGGUCAUGAUCAUAGUCUCCCAUUUCCCAGAUACGCGAAUUAUAGUGGAUUUAUCUUUAUCAGUAAUUUCUGUGGAGAUGCAUAAUCAUUAUAAGCUCCAAUAUAAAAAUUUAAAGUUAGUAUGGGCAUUUGUGUUGAUAAUUUGCGCAAUGUUAACAGGAUUGCUCCCAAGUCUUGGACGGACUCUUUCAAAGUCUUCUCAGGACCCAUCUGCACACUGAUUUGUCUGCCAACUAAAAAAUCAACAAUAUGUUACUCACUCCGUUUUUCUUAAACGAGGUUAAAAUUUUUGACACAAGAUGGGUUGACAGUAUAAUAAAAUUAACAUUUUUGUGAAUAAAAAUUUUGGUUGUAUUAUUUUAUUUAGAAAAAGAAAAUCUUGAAAAUAAUAUUAUUAACUACCCAGUCAAAUCACUUAAAAGUAUAUGUCCAAAAUUAAAGCGGCAUAUAAAAAAACCGAGAGAGAGUAUGUACUAACCUGUUUCCAUAACAGUUUACAAGUAUAAGUUAUACUCCCUCUCUAUUUUUUUAUAUGACGCUUUGAUUUUGGGCACAUAUUUUUAAGUGUUUUGACCGGAUAAUUAAAAAUAUUAUUUUCUAAAAUUUUUAAAAGAAAGUAAAAUUGAAAAAAAAAUAGAAAGCUGGUAUUUUUGAUAAAUUUCCAAACAUAAUCAAGAACAAUAAUUUUUACUAUCCAAUCAACUCAUUUACAGAUGUGUGUCAAAAAUCAAAAUAUCAUAUAAAAAACAACAAUAUGUUACUCCCUCCGUUUUUCUUAAACUGAGGUUAAAAUUUUUGACACAAGAUGGGUUGACAGUAUAAAAUUAAAAUUUUUGUGAAUAAAAAUUUUGGUUAUAUUUUUUAUUUAAAAAGAAAAUCUUGAAAAUAAUAUUAUUAACUACCAGUCAGAUCACUUAAGUGUAUGUCCAAAAUUAAAGCGGCAUAUAAAAAAAAGGGAGGAAGCAUGUACUAACUGUUUCCAUAACAGUUUACAAGUACAAGUUAUACUCCCUCUCUAUUUUUUCUAUGACGCUUUGAUUUUGGGCACACAUUCUUAAGUGUUUUGACCGGAUAGUUAAAAAUUUAUCUUCUAAAAUUUUUAAAAAGAAGUAAAAUCGCAAAAAAAAUUAGAAAGCUGGUAUUUUUGAUAAAUUUCCAAAUAUGUAAUCAAGAACAAUAACUUUUACUAUCCAAUCAACUCAUUUAAAGAUGUGUGUCAAAAAUCAAAAUAUCAUACAAAAAAUAGGUAUACAUUUUUUUUAAUAGAUUAUACUCCCUCUGUUCCAAAAUAAUUGUCAGCUGUGACAUUUUGCAAAAGUAGCUGGGGGGUAAUAACAAGACCUUAGUCAACCCAAGCACAGCAGACAGCAGGCAUAAGGCAUCAGGAAUUUCACAGCACCAUUAUCUUUCUCUUAUUAACUGUGAAGGGAACAGAGUAUGAAGUAGCAAGAACCUUCAUAUUUACACAGCCAUUGAUCUGUCGUGCAACGAAUUUCAGGGAGAAAUUUCAAAGGUUACUGGAGAGCUUAGAUGGCUUGCAUUGCUCAAUUUAUCUCAUAAUAGUCUCACAGGACCUAUCCCAUCAUUGCUGAGAAAAAUGAAAGAACUCCAAUCUUUAGAUUUGUCCUCAAAUCAACUGACAGGGGCUAUUCCACCUCAGUUAACUGCAUUGACAUUACUUUUCUCUUUAUAUCCUUUCCUUUUGUAUGUACCUAUGCUAAUUAUCUGAUUAUCAAAAUUAUAACAAAGCUUCAAGAUUUUUAACAGGUGAGCUUCCACUAAAAAUUUGCAAAGUCACUUCCCUUUCGCGUCUCAUUAUGUCAGAUAAUGGGUCAAGUGGUGCACAUCCACAGUGUUUGGGGAACCUUUCUUUGCUUGGUUUCAAUAAUCUUGCUAAUUAUCAAUUUCAAGGACCAAUACCAACGACUGUCCAAGACUUGUCUGUGCAUAUCUAAACAUCCAUAACAAUCACUUUGAAGGUUUGUUGCUGCAAUCUUUGACAAACUGUAAACACUUACAAAUUCUUGAUAUUGGAAACAACAAAAUAGGUGGUACAUUUCGGUCAUGGCUAUUUAUUUUGGAGAGCUAGAUGUCCUAGUUAGGGCGGUAAUUCAACUAGAGCAAACCGAGUUUUGAGCGGAGCCAAAUUCGAGCCAAGUUUAAUCGAGUCAAGCCGAGUCGGCUCGUUUAGCUAAUCGAGCCUAAAACUCUGCCCGAACUCGACUCGUUUAAUUUCACGAACGAGUCAAGCGAGUGAGCUCGUAUAAUUUUAACUUAAUCGAGCCUAAAUCUCUACCCGAACUAUUGGCUCGUGUAAUUUCGCGAGUAGAAUCGAGCCGGCUCGUUUUAUUAUAGAAGCCGAAAUUUUUGCCCGAAUUUGGCUUGUUUAACAAGCCGAUCUUUCAUCAAAAAUUUCAAACAUUUCUGAAUAUGUAUUUUCAGAGAAUUUCUCCAGCACUCUUAAGGCCUAUAAUUAUUGCAACUCUCACGUUAUGGACCACUGUGUAUUUUACAAGCACGACGAAUCAUGUUGUCAUUAUGGACUCCCCAAGCCUUAGAGGACUCAUUCCAGGUCUUAGGAGGACCACUGCCUAGCUCACCCUUUCGGAGUGAUGUAAAUUAUUUUCCAAACAUUAAAAAUAAAUAAUCAGAUUAAUCAAUACAAAAUUAAAGAUAUAAAAUCAGAAUAAAUCCUAAACUUUGAAUAUACAAAAAAAAUUAUAAUUGUAAAUUAUACAAUCAAAUUAAAAUUGAAUUAACUUCCCUCACACUUAAAAUUUAUAGCGAUCAAAUCAAAAUCGAAUUAACUUUCCUAUUACUAAAAUUUAGUUACAAUAUUAUUAGAUAAAGAGAAUAUAUAAUAAUCAAGGGAAAAUAGAUUUUUUUUUUUUGCCACUCAACUUAUUGUUUUUUAAGAAACUUACCACCCAACUAAUUAUUUUUUCCUUUUGCUCACUAAUGUUAGGUUUGGAUUUGUUUUUAGCCACCAACUAAGGUUCGGAUUUGAUUACUAGCAUUAUGAUAAUUUUUUUUGUCACUAAACUUAUUGUGUCUUUAGAAACUAACCACUCAACUAAUUUUUUUUUAAUUUACUCACUAAUGUUAGGUUCAGUUUUUUUUUGUCACUGAAGUUAGGUUCGGAUUUGAUUAUUAGCAUUACAUUAAUUCUGUGUAGCAUUUUUAAAAUAUGGCUCAUAAGAAUUUUACACGCAUUUUAUGACUUUUAAAAGAUGUAGUUUCAUUAAUAAUUUUAUUUUUUUCUUCCGAAUUAAAAUUUAGCGUUUGAAUUUUACACACAAAAAAUCGAAAGAAUAAGUUAUGAAAGUAUGCUUUAUAAGAGUCUUAAAAUACGUGCUAAACGGUAGAAAAAACUGUACACUAAUGACAGGUAAAUAGGGAGUAAUAAUAACAUAAAAUGAUGCACAAUCAUCGAAUUAAGUUUUCCUCUCUCUAUAUAUUUAUUUUGAAAAUUUUAAUAAGAUAAAGUUAUUAAAAUUUAUGAUAUAAAUUUAAGAGAUAUCUUAGAUUGAGUGGCAAAAAUUUAGUUGGGUGAUAAAUUUCUAAAAACACAAUAAAUUGAAUGGGAACAAAAUCUAUUUUCCCGAUAAUCAAAGUGACGAAAAAUCAAAGUCAUCUAAUAAGUCCAGAAAAAAUAUGACCAUUAGUAUAUCGGAAUAAUAUUCACACAUUUAUAUACGAGAAUAUAUGGUCCACAAGUUAGUGCACAAUGUCCAAGAAUCUUUAUUAAAGUAACACGGCAAGCAUGCAGCAUAUAAAUAAGAGUGGGCACUGGGCAGUAUGGUAUUGCAUUCAUAACCCACUUGAGGAGAAAUAUGGCACACUUCCUAAAGCCUUCUCACCUUCUUCUCUUUGUUUUCUUUCUCUCGUUACUUCAAUCCAUUCUACUAACAAGACCAGAGGGAGAAGCUCUUGUGAAAUGGAAGAAUAGCCUUGCCCCUUCUUCUUUUCUCGAUUCUUGGUCACUCACCAAUCUCGAUGAUCUUUGUAACUGGACUGGCAUUACUUGUAACUCUGCAGGUUCAGUCUCUGAGAUUAACCUUUAUGAGAAACAACUUGAUGGAAUGCUGUCCGAGUUUAGUUUCACUUCAUUUCCAAAUCUUAACAGUCUCACUCUCGCAUACAACUUCUUCUCGGGUCCAAUACCACCAGCCAUUGAGAAUUUAACACAGCUUCAAUAUCUUGAUUUAAGCAUCAAUAGUCUCGAUGGUCUCAUUCCGUUCCAGGUUAGCCAUCUUCAGAGGUUGCUCGUCUUAAACCUGUCACAGAAUGCAUUGCAAGCUCCAAAUUGGUCCCAAUUCUCUCCCAUGCCCUUUUUGUGCAGCCUCAACCUCAGUAGCAAUCCUCUUGCGUCGAAAUUCCCAAAUUUCAUAUCCAAUUCUCAUGGCCUGACUCACCUUAGCCUUGAUCAAAACGAGUUUACAGGUGAUUUAGCGCGUGAAUCAAUAUUUGCCAAUCUGCAUAAUCUUGAAGUCCUCAGUCUUGUUGGCAAUUCUUUUGAGGGGCCAUUUCUGCCAAAUAUAUUCAAGCUUUCCAAAUUAAAACGUCUCACCCUGUCAAGUAACAAAUUUUUAGGAUCAAUUCCCAAUGACAUAAGGUUGCUUUGUGAUCUUGAAUUCCUGUAUUUAGGAAACAAUUCUUUUGAAGGACCGCUUCCACCAAAUAUAUUCAAGCUUUCAAAAUUAAAACAUCUUGUUCUUUGGAGUAAUAAGUUUUCAGGUUCUGUUUCCAAUGAUAUAGGUUUGCUUUCUGCGCUUGAACUUUUGAAUCUUCACUCUAAUUUUUUUGAGGGGCCGCUUCCGCCAAAUGUAUUCAAGCUCUCUAAACUAAGGUUUCUUAACCUCUGGGGUAACAACUUUUCAGGUUCUGUUUCCAAUGAUAUAGGUUUGCUUCCGGAGCUAGAAAUCCUCAAUCUUCACUCUAAUUUUUUUGAGGGCCGCUUCCGCCAAAUAUAUUCAAGCUCUCUAAACUAAGGUUUCUUAACCUUUGGGGUAAUAACUUUUCAGGUUCUGUUUCCAAUGAUAUAGGUUUGCUUCCUGAGCUAGAAUUCCUCAAUCUUCACUCUAAUUUUUUUGAGGGUCCGCUUCCGCCAAAUGUAUUCAAGCUCUCUAAACUAAAGUUUCUUCAUCUUCGAGGUAAUAAGUUUUCAGGUUCUGUUUCCAAUGAUAUAGGUUUGCUUCCUGAGCUUGAAAUCCUCAAUCUUCGCUCUAAUUUUUUUGAGGGGCCGCUUCCGCCAAAUGUAUUCAAGCUCUCCAAACUAAGGUUUCUUUCCCUUAAGGAAAAUAAAUUUUCAGGUUCUGUUUCCAAUGAUAUAGGUUUCCUUUCUGAGCUUGAAUACCUAUAUCUUGACUAUAAUUUAUUUGAAGGAAGUAUUCCUAUUGGACUGGGACUCUUGACUAACCUCAGCUACUUAGAUCUAAGUUCCAAUAAUCUCAGUGGCUAUAUUCCAUCUGACAUUGGAAACCUGAAGCUACUAGUAUUUCUUGAUCUCAGUUCUAACCAAUUGACUGGACCGCUUUUAAAGAUCGUUUCUAAUCUCACAAAUCUUAUGAAUCUUGAUGUAAGUGAUAAUAGUCUUAGUGGAAAUAUUCAGAGUGACUUGUGGAAGAACUCUAUAUCCUUACGUUACAUUAAUUUUGCAAAUAAUUAUUUGUCUGGGAACAUUCCUAAGGAAUACAACGAUCAUCCAACUUUGGAAUACAUCAAUUUAAGUGGGAACCAUUUUACAGGUAUAUUUUUCUCUAUAUAUCUUUUCCUUUUCUCAUAUGUAACUAAGCUGGUAAUCUGAUUAUUGCAGUUUUACCAAAGUUUCAACAAUCUUGACAGGUGAGCUUCCAACAACAAUUUGCAAUGUCACUUCCCUUGCGGUUCUUGUUUUGUCAAAUAAUGGAUUAAGUGGAGCACUUCCAAAUUGUUUCGGGAAACUUGCUGAUAGAUUGCUUUCCAUUAAUCUUGCUAAUAAUCAGUUUCGAGGAACAAUACCAACUACUUUCUCCAGGAGUUGUCAGGUGAAAUAUCUAAACAUGGAUAAUAAUGAGUUUGAAGGAUUCUUGCCCCCAUCUUUGGCGAACUGUAAGCACUUGAAAAUUCUUGAUAUUGGCAAUAACAAAAUAGGUGGUCCAUUUCCGUCAUGGCUUUAUGUACUUGGAGAGAUAGAAGUCCUUGUCUUGCGAUUAAAUAAACUCUAUGGUACAAUAAGUGGAAGGAGCGUAAAAGAUCCCUUCCCCAAGUUGCGGAUUGUGGAUCAAUAGACAUCGGCUAAAAAGCGAUGUCUAUGUAAAAUCAGACCGAUGUCUUCGUGGGUGAUGAGAAAAGUAAGUGCAUUACACAUCGCUUUCUAGCCGAUGUCUAUAACCUAUUUACACAUCGUUUAAUAUGACAAUCUGAUGUAUUUUUUAACAGUAGAUACCUUCACUAUAAUUUCAGUUCCUCAUUCCUAUGCCCUCUAUAUCAUUUUAAACUUGUCACAUGCUUAAUAAAAUGAUACUUUAACAUCUUAAAACUUGUAAAAUAGAUGUAUAUGAUAACCUUUUACAUCAUGCUUUUAUAGGAAGUGAUGUGGUACCCUUCUUUUCUUUAAGAAAGCGAUGUCUUUGUUCUUGUUUUACAUCAGUGAUUUUUAUACUCUGAUAUCUAUUAUAUAGUUUAACAUCAGGCUUUUUCUUGUUAACUGAUAUGUAUUCAUUCUUAUGACAUCGCUUACUAAGUGAUGUAAAUGUUAGUUUUAAAUUGCCAUGAAUCCUCCUGUUUCUUAUGAAUCCCCCUGUUUCAUUUAAAUUUCCAACAAAUUCCAAAACAACACCAAAGCUAUACUAAUUAAACAACCAAUUACCAAUGUCUAGCCUACCAUAACAGAACUAAAACAAAACUAGCUAGCAAAACAAUACUUCCGCAAAAGCCAAAUAUAUUACCAUCAAUCAUUACCAAUCAAAUUACAUCCCACAAUCAAAGAAACUGCACAAAUCCUAAAUAUUAACCAAGCAACCAUAAUUUACAAGCAGUUCACCACGUACUCCAGCAACCAUAAUUUACCAACUACAUUUCCCUCCAUUUAUCAACAAAAUCUACUUAGCUAGCUAGUGUCACUGUCUUACAUAAACUGAACUAAUUAAAGGAAACCAAAGUUCUCCAAUAAACCAAAGGCCUGUUUAUAAGAAGGACUCGAUAUGGCUAAGUGUCUCAAACCGAACCUCGUCAAGCUCAGCCUUGGAACAAAUCACUUUUCGAUUCUUGGAUGCCCACUGAAAAAUGUAAAACAAUAACAUUGAAUUAUACCUAAAUUUAUAUGUACACCAUUUAAUUAUAUCAACAAUGGAUUAGGCAAAGAAAAAUACCCUUUUAAAAAAUGUCAUUUCAUUGUCCAUGACAAUCUCUUUCAUAUACCGCAUAAUAACAUAGCCGCAUUCAGUUCCACCGGGCUGUUUAGGACAUCCCUAUUUAACCAAAAAAAACUCAAAAUAGUAAGUAAAGUAAUGCCCCUGGUUCUAAGCAUCAGUAGCACAAAUUGUUAAAAAUAAAUACGAAAGCUUACUGUAAUAUAUUUGAAGCUUGGGGCUUUAUUUCCCCUUCCGGCCUGAACAUUGAAAGUAAUCACAGCCCUGUCAUCUUGGCAGUGUUAAUAAUGCACAUGCAUUUAUAUCUCCAUAAGAAAGAUAAUCAAUAAAAAAAUAAAUGAAAAUACCUUGAUAUUGCUUUUUCCAAGUUGGGGAAACUAGUUGAACGAGGCAGAGGAUUAAGUAUGAAAACCUCGCCACCCCAAAACAGAACCAAUACCCAAUGGAAACUAUUUUUAACAAAUAUUUAUGAAAAACACAAUUACUAUCAAAAUCAUAUAAAUUUUAUUUUCAGUCAUGUAAAAAACUAAAUAAAAGAGAUUUAUAAUAAAUAAGAAAACACUUAAGCUACUUACUUGCUAUUAUGCGGCAUCAAAAAGAGACGAUCAGGAUUACCCUCUUUAAAUCGAUUAACCAAGUUAUCUUCAAAAGAAUUGUUCAUCAAGUUCAGCGAGGCUCCAGGAUCACAAAAAGCAAAUUGAUCCUUAGUGCCAUUUUCACGAACCACGCAAUGCAAGUAUCUACAUUGUAAAUGAAAUGAAAUUAUAUAAAAUUACACGAAUAUGAAUUAUAACUAAACAACAGUCAUGAUCUAGAAGACAGUAAUUAAAAAAAGUUUACUCACGCCAUGUAUGCAGCAAUUGCUGCUUGGCCAAUCAUAUUAAACUCCAGCAAGGCGACUAUGUUUUCAUACAAGAUGAAGAUUCUUUUCUCGAUACCAAACACCUCAGCAUCACACGGGAUUUGAAUUGAGUCUCCGGAGGAUUGCAUAAAUGUUGUUGCAUGUUUAUACAACAACCGAAAGCGUUUUGGAACAUUUUUAUUGAUCUCCAUGUUAUGAAACAAGGACUGGACUUUAUCUAAAUCGGUUUUAGGUUCCUUUACUUUCCGUUUACCUUUCUGAAAAAUGAACAAAAUUAAUUUAAAACAAAAUAUAACAAAAUAUAGGGGUAACAUAUAAUAGUACAAUCCAGUACAACAAUUAUGUUAAAGUACACACCAUAGUAGGAAUAGUAGGAGGGGCAUUUGGGAAUAUGAUCAAGUCGCGGGGCCAUGAGACGUACGAGCCAACAGCUUGCUCUACUGUUUCAAUCUCACCUGGUACCGGUUUAGGAAUCUUGGCUUGUCCUUGAAUUGGGCCAUCCACUGAGACGCGAACACAUCCAGGCUCUAUCGGCACUCCAUGUAUAGAUUUGUUCAUGUUAUCAUCAUCAAACAACAAACCAAAUGCCACUUUAUUUUCUAUUGUGCCUACAGCCAACUCACAUUUUCGUGGACCGGCCUACACACAUAUAUUUAAACAAUUAUGACGAAUGCUUGAAAUAUGUUGAGCUAAAUUGAAUAAAUGUGCUAGUUAUUUUACCUUAUUCUCUGGUGGAUUAGGUUCCAAGUCAACUUCAAUCAUCUCUGGUUCCAGUUUUUUCACCACCUCUGUCUUAGCUUCUUUGACAGUGUUUGCCUCACAACUUGCUUUAUCAGAAGCAAUAGGAGAUGAAAUAUUUGCUUUGCUGAGCAAGGCCUUCAUUUCAGCCAUCUCCUGCCUUGUCUUCUCCAUUUCCAUGGCCAUCUCUUUCUUGGCUUUCUCCAGCUCCGCGUCCCUCUCUCGAUCCCUCUCCAACAACUCAGCUUUGGUGAUUCUAUUUCUUCUUCCUGGUGGUAUAUUAAAAAAAAUUGACGGGCUCACAAAGCCUCCAACUCCUCGAACCCUCCCCGAAUGUUCAGGAGUUUGUAGGGCCGUAGUCAACACAUCUCGACUCCCAGAAGGAGUGAAUUCCCCCUUACUUUGCUGCUCUAGUAAAAUAUUCUGACAUGAAAAAUAUGAACAUACAAAUCAUCAUCUAGUGAACCUCAUCAUCAAUAUUAACUUUAAUUUUACGAGCCUUUUAAUUAUAAAUACUCACAAUUCUUUUUCCUAUUUCAGCUAGGUCUGAAUCCUCAUCAUCAGCAUCAUCAGCCUCAUCAUCAUCAUCAACAUUAUCAUUAUCAUCAUCAAUUUUAAUUUUACGAGCCUUUUGCCACAUGAGAGCCCGAUCAGGUUCUUCAUCGGCAGCCAAAGUUCCUUUCUUGAUCUGAUUAAAAUCAAAAAAAAAUUAAAAAGGCCAAGAUAUGUAAAAUACAAUUAUUUAGGUUCAAUGCUUAAAAUACAACUAUUUUUAUACCUCUUCUUCCAAUAAUCCAAUGUAACCCUUUCUUGAUGUCCGGUGAGGAUAUUUUCGAUUACUCACCCUCAGCUUUUGUUUUUCACUAAAAGACUUCAAAUAUUUUAAAUAAUAUUAGAAUACUAUUUUUCAGAAUAUAAAAAGACAUUUAUAUCACAAUAAAGCAGAACAUAAAAUAUAUUUCAUACCAGAAAUUUCGAGGUAGUCCUCUCAGCAACAAAAUUUUUCCAAGCCUCCUUUCCAACAAAAGCAUACUUCUUUGGAGGCUUUCGUAAUUUCUUCUUCUGCCCAAGAUACGGCCUCACAUAAUCUCUUGUUAAAUUUGCUUUAAAAUUCCUCCACUUUGCUCCUGCAGACCUGAUCAACCCCUUCUCAAGUUGCUUAGGAACUUUAAAUGUCUCCUGCAACCAAUGUUAAUUGACAAAAUUUACAAAAUUAUACUCUAAAUGAGUAGAAGAAAAUGCAAAAUUUACAAAAUGCAUAGGAGAUUACUUAUUUUUAUACCUUCACAUCAAUCCAUAUUUUCUCCUUUAGUUCAUCAGGUACCUUUGACCAGUUAGGAUAAUCAAUCGGAAUCAUUGUCCUAGCCAACAUUCCAGUGUAGGAUUGUAGACUGUGCCUUGCAUCCCCUGUAGGAACUCCAUGUGCAUUACAUGAAACCUUUGUUUUCUUGCCCUGCGCCUUCCUCACCACCACUUUAUACAUAGCAGAAACCCCUCGGGCACCCCCACGCUUUUUCUUUGCUGUUUCAGAUGUUGUAACUGUUGCAUCCGUUUCCUCCACAGAAUUCACAUUUUCUCCCUGAGGUUCUGUUGUCAGCUCCAACCUUUUAUCUGAUGCCUCAUCCGACUUUUUGGAGUCUUCAUGGAAUUGUACUUUGGUUUUUUGCUUUUUAUUUGCCAUUUAUCUUCUUCAAUCUGAAAAUGAAACAUAUAUAAUCCAUUAGUCACAGGCAUAUAUACGAGCAAUUACAGGAUAAGCAGUUAUAAAGUUACAUAAGCCUACAUAAGCCGUUACAAAAUUGUAAAAAUGCAUAACUAAACAUUUACACAGAGUGAAAAUUACAGGAGUCUAAUUACACAGAGUAAAUUACAAAGUUGCAUCACAUAUAUUACAUGACUUGAAAUAAUGUUAUCACAGAGUAAAUUACAAAGUCUCAUCACAAAAUUAACUAUUACAUGACUUGAAAUAAUGUUAUCACUUCUUAACCCAAGUGCCCUUAAUAUUUUCUCUAAUACUUUUCUCAACAUCAUCACCGACAUCACAUGUAGGAAUUUGGCAGCAGAAUGGAGGAUUUUCCAUGGUUGUGUCUCCUAAAUCAUCAUCGUUAUACACCUCUUGGUAGUCUCGAGUUGUAGAGGUUAAUACGACGGACCACUUGGCAUCCACCGGAUCUUCAAUAUAAUAAACUUGCUUUACUUGAUCUAUAGACACGUAUUUAUCUCUCUUGUGGCCUUGUCGACUUAGAUCGACAAGUGUGAACCCAAGAUCAUCCACCUUAAUUCCCUUGUCAUUGUCCGCCCAAUUACAUAAAAACAGUGGGGCUUUGAAUGCAUGAUAAUCCAGCUCCCAUAUAUCUAGGAUAACACCAUAAAAUGUCAAGUCACUUUCUACGGGGUUUAAAUCUUUAGCGCUAGACACUUGGACAGUUUUAGCAACUAAAGACACUCCGCUGUUUUGAACUACCCUCACAUUGUCUCGCUGUUUUGUAAAGUAUCGGACCCCGUCUACUAGAUAAGCUUCGUAAGUCAUAACUGAAAAUGAUGGUUUUCCAGCUAUCCAUCUUACUGUCUCUGAAACUCCUCCAGGAUUCUCCACCAUUUCACUACUGACCUACACAUUUCAUAAACAGAAAUUAUCCUAAAUUACUAUAGAGAAAAUAAAUUAGGCACAAAUGAAACUAUAAAAAUACUAACUUUUUCUAGAAACCAAUCAGCAAAACUGUUAUUGUGCUCUCUCAAGAGCCAAUGAACGCUUUUCUUUUUCCCACGAUGGAUUUCCUCUAGAUACUCCUUAUGCAUUCUGCCAAAAAUUAUAUAUUCAUUAAAGAAGUAGUUUAUACAGAAUGUAUAUAUUAAUUGAACAGCCACAAAAUUAAAAAAAUCUUACAAGAUAUAUGGCUGUACUUCAAGGUUGUUUAGAAGAACGUGUAAAUGAGCUUCAUCCCUCUCUUUUUCUUCGAUUGAUUUCAUUACCGCAACAGAUAAUGGACCACUUAACUUGCCUUCAUCUUUGCGAAGACCAGCAGUGGUGCAAGUUUGCUUGACAAACUCUUGGCAGAAUUCAAUCGAUUCUUCUCCAAGAUAACAUUCUGCUAUACAACCUUCGGGGUAGUAACGAUUGCGUACGUAACUCUUCAACACCUUAUUAAACCUCUCAAAUGCAUACAUCCAUCUAUAGAAGACUGGCCCACAUAACCGUAAUUCCCGAACCAAGUGCACUAUGAGAUGUAUCAUUACAUCAAAAAAUGAUGCAGGAAAAAUUUUUUCUAGCUCGCACAAAGUUACUAUUACAUCUGAUUGCAAUUUAUCUAGUUUAGAUACGUCGACAACUUUGCUGCAUAAAGCAUUAAAGAAGAAACACAAUCUAAUUAUUGUGACCCUGACUUUUUUUGGAAGUACCGCGCGAAUUGCAAUAGGAAGUAAUUGUUGAAGUAGGAUGUGGCAAUCGUGGGACUUCAACCCAAACAUUUUUAAUUCUUCCAUGGAAACACAGUUUUUAAUGUUUGACGCGUGUCCAUAAGGAAGUUUCAUGUGCAUUAACGAUGACAACAUCUUCUUCUUUUCUGCCUUGGACAAAUUAAAAAUCGAAGGAGGUAAAUAGGUCUUUCUUUCUCCUUUUUGUGGAGCUAGAUCAGCCCUAACCCCCAUGUCAAUCAUGUCAAGACGAGAAGCUUCACUAUCUUUAGACUUAUGUUUCAUAUUCAGUAGUGUGCCAAUCAAGCUAUCACACACGUUUUUCUCCACGUGCAUAACAUCUAGACAAUGACGGACAUGGUGAAAUUUCCAAUACUCUAACUCGAAGAAAAUUGACUUUUUCUUCCAUGGACAGUCAACCUUCUUUGACUUCCUUACUUCUUUCCCAAACUGAAAUUCAAUUUUUUCUUGCUGCAAUAAAACCUCUUCUCCCGAAAGAGGUUGACGUGCCUGCCCUAAUUCUUGUUGUCCAUUAAAAGCAGCUUUUUGCUUCCUAUAUGGAUGAUUUCUAGCCAAGUAACGUCGAUGACCUUGGUAACACAUCUUCCUACUAUGGCUUAAAUACUUUGCAACAGUAUCAUCACCACAUAUUGGACAAGACAUAUAACCUUUAUUAACACAUCCGGACAGAUUUCCAUAUGCGGGAAAGUCGUUUAUUGUCCACAAUAAAAUUGCUUUUAAAGUGAAAUACGACUUAGUGUGUGCAUCAUAGACAUUUGGUUCACCUUCCUCCCACAACUUCUUUAAAUCAUCGAUUAGAGGCUGUAAAUAUACAUCAAGGUCAUUACCAGGCUCAUGAGGACCGGGAACUAAAACUGUUAGCAUCAUAAACUUCCUCUUCAUGCAUAACCACGGAGGAAGAUUAUAAGUCACUAGUACUACUGGCCAACAAGUGUAUCUAUUGGUUAGACCGUUAUUAUGCGGGUUUAUACCAUCUGCAGACAACGCCAAGCGAAUAUUUCUUGCCUCACUACCGAAGGCAGGCCACCUAUAGUCGAUAUUUCUCCAAGAAGGAGAGUCGGCUGGAUGCCGCAUCUUUCCAUCUUCUAUUCGCUGCUUUGCGUGCCAGGUAAUCAGUUCAGAUGUAGAAGGAGAUUUAAACAUUCGCUUCAAUCUCGGAAUAAUUGGAAAAUACCACAUUAUUUUAGCAGGAACAUUAAUCCUUACUUUACCAUCCUUUCCUAACUUCCAGCGAGAUAGACUACACUUAGGACACUUAGAAGCAUCAACAUAUACCCCCCGAUAUAGUAUGCAAUCGUUUGGACAUGAGUGGUACUUUAUGUAUUCUAGGCCUAAGUUGGAUAAUGUUUUCUUGGCUUCAUAUGCAUUAGGUGGCAUCACAUUUUCCUUAGGAAGGAGAGAGCCAACAGUAGACAAUAAAUCUGUAAAGGCGCUAUCACUAAUUCCAAACCUUGCUUUCCAAUUAUGCAGUUUUAGCAUCGACUCCAAUUUGGUACAUUCACUACCCUCAUACAAAGGCUGUUGAGCAUCAGCCACAAAUCUCCUAAACUGAUACGACUCAUUAUUGUACUCACUCGAAUUAUACGCAGCAUCACAAACAUUGACUGUUUGUGAUGCAUGACCAGGGGAAUGCAUCGAUGCAGGGUCAAGCGUAGGUGCAGGGCUAGGGGCAUUGUCAUGAACUGUUGAUCCAGUGAUUCCACACCCUUGUGUGUGCCAAAUCCAAUCAAGGUAUCCCAAACUAAAACCGUAUUCAUAUAAAUGUCCCCUAAUAAUCUUAACUGCAAAUUUUUUAAAGUUAACACAUCUUUUGCAGGGGCAUGGGAUUUUUUUAGUAUCACUAGCAUUUUCCUCGGCAAAUAUUAAAAACUCUUCAACCCCGAUUUCAUAGUCAAGUGUAUCCCUAUCUUUGAAAAUCCAAGACUUGUCCAUGUUAUUCUCAAACUACCUGAUUGUCAAAUAUGAUAUCAAAUUACAUGGUAACAAAGAUCCAAACACAAUAUACAAUUACAUUUACAAACUAAACAAACACAAAUAUAUUUACACAGCUGUGCAUAAAACAUAAAAAACAAAUCCCAAGCUCUAAACAUAUAUAACACAGUACAUAAAAAAGAAACCCCAAGCUCCAAACAUAUAUAAAACAUAUAUACAACUACACGUUUAAUUUUCACAUGCAUACAUAUAACUACAAAAAGUUAUACUUGCAACCGAAACAUUUAUAUAAAUAUAAAGAAGAAUAUAGAAGAAUAUAUAUACCUAAAACCCAGCAGCUUCGAAACCCAGCACCUCCAAAAUCCAGCAGCUAUCCAGCAGCUUCGAAAACCCAGCAACUACCCUAAUCUCCAAGCUUCAAAUCUCCAAGCUUCAAAGAACCCUAAUCUCCAAGCUCCACUCGACCCUAAGCUUGAAGAUCGAACCUUAAGCUUGAACACAGCAGCUUCGAAUCGCGCACAAAUCGCACCUAGGGUUUAGAAGAGAGGGAAUCAGUUAAUAGAACAUUUGAAAGGGGGUUUAGAAGAGAGGGAAUCAGUUAUUAAACCAAGAACGAGGAUUGAAGGACUGAAGGAUUGAAGAAAAUCGCAUACCUAGGUUUAGCUGUCGAGAGAAAGGGGGAAGAGCUGCUGUCUGAAAGAAAUAUGUAUAUAUGUCCCGAUUGUUUUCUUUUGAAUGCUUUUGUUUUAAUUUUGAUUUAUUUUUAAUGUUUUUUUAUUGUUUUAUACUGAGGCGGGAGUGAAUGAUAUGUUAAAGGGGGGGAAAACAGUAGGGGGAACUAAUUAAAAAAUUGACUAAGGGCGGGGGAGCGGAGGGCGCGGGCUUUAAUAUUUUUAAAAUUGAGAUUAGACAUCGCUUAAUAAACAAUGUGAUGUGAAAAAAUUUUAAAGUGAGAGCUUAGACAUCACUUAUGUUAAGGACUGAUGUAAAGAUACCAGAAAGACAUCACAUAUAAAACGAGCGAUGUAAAAAAGGCAUUUUACAUCGGUGACACUUCCGACUGAUGUCUAAUGUGCGAUGUCUAUUGACGAAUUUCUAGUAGUCUCCAAAGGAUAUUUAUCUUUCCAUCAUGAUGCAGCAGUCUCCUUAACUGUGAAGGGAACGGAGUAUGAGGUAGCAAAGAACCUUCAUAUUUACACAGCCAUUGAUCUGUCGGGCACCUAAUUUCAGGGUCGAAUUCCAAACGUCACUGGAGAGCUUAGAUGGCUUGCAUUGCUCAAUUUAUCGCAUAAUAGUUUAACAGGACCUAUCCCAUCAUUGCUGAGAAAUAUGAAAGAACUCCAAUCUUUAGAUUUGUCCUCAAAUCGACUGACAGGGGCUAUUCCACCUCAGCUAACUGCAUUGACAUUUCUAGAGGUCUUGAACCUCUCGAAAAACCAUCUUAGUGGAGAGAUUCCUCAGAAAGGACAGUUCAGCACAUUCAACAAUGAUUCUUAUCUAGGAAACUCCGCGUUAUGUGGAUCACCUUUGACGAAGAAAUGUGCAAACACAGCAUCACCUCCACAAGAAGUCGGAAAUGGUGAUGAAGAUGAUGCUGGAGAUGAAUUGACAUGGGAAGCAAUCGUGAUGGGAUAUGGAUGUGGACUGAUAUGUGGAUUGUCAUCUGCGUACAUUGUUCUCAAACUAGGAAAGCCUUGGUGGUUUGUGAGAUAUAUCGAAGUACUGCAACUGAAGUUGAUGAAAAGAUAUGCAUGAAGAAUGGUACUGCACUACAACAAAAACAGCAUCACACAACGGUUUUUGCCCGUUGUCUGAUACCCAAGAAAACCGUGGUCUAUUGCGAUGCCGUCUGAUACGCGCCUCAGACAACGUUUUAUUAGUUAAAGGCUUGUCUAUAAGGCCAUGCUACGAUGGUAACAAAAACACUUGUAUGUUAGCUUCCUGGUCACACAACACUGUAUGGAACCCUUGUUUAAACGGCUCGUAAACAACACAACAAAUAAAACACUUGUCUAAUUACAACAACGGUUUCUUGAAAUAUUGUCUGAAGUUUCUUCACACAUCGGCUCUAAAAACAGUUGUCUAACGUGCAUCAUUACACAAUAUCACAGUUAAGAUACCGUUGUCUGAUUGAAUUUACUAGACAACACUUUUUAAACCGUUGUAGGUUGUAGGUGUUGGACAAUAGUUUUUCGAGGACGAAAAUAAAGUGUUGUGUCUUUGUUUCGGCCAACACUUUUUCCAGCGUCCGUUGUCUGACUAGUGUCGUGUGAUGCCAGUUUUGUUGUAGUGCUGGUUGAUCCAGACGAACUAGAAAGUUGUUGUCCUGGUAGACAUUUCUGAACCAUUUGUGUCCUGGCUGAAUAAGUAUUUGGUAUUAUGUAAUAAUCCGUUUGGUUGGGACUCAAAAUGAUUUCUCUUGCUUCAGGGGUAUUAAUAUUAACCUUCCUAUCUUGAUCAAUGUUAAAUCAAAUUAAAUGAAUGAAAAAACAAAAAGUAUGCAUCAAAUCCGCUCCUGCUGUACCUAACAAUUUAACAGCACCCUUCCACACUGUUCAUACCUAAUUUGCGUGUAAUAUGAAAACUAAGAGGCAUGGCUUUUGUCUUUGAGAGAACUUAUUCCAAGUCUUCUUCGGAGGCCUACUGCCUCAACAACCUUUCAAAGACUAUGCAAUAAUCCACGUGACAGAAAAACCAAAGUCCAAUUAGUAUUAUAAGUUCAUAAAAAAUACUAUAGGAUCAUUAGCAUUAGCAUUACAUUAGCAUACAGCAUAUAUAUAAAUAGAAGAAUGCAGUGUGGUAUUGGAUUCAUAAUCCAAUUGAGCAGAAACAUGGCACACUUUGUAAAGCCUUAUGACCUUCUUCUCUGUGUUUUCUUUCUCUCAUCACUUGAAUCCAUUCUUGCAACAAGACGAGAAGGAGAAGCUCUUGUGAAAUGGAAGAACAGCCUAGCCCCGUCUUCUUCUCUUGAUUCUUGGUCACUCACUCAUCUCGAUAAUCUUUGUAACUGGACUGGCAUUACUUGUAACUCUGCAGGUUCAGUCUCUGACAUUAACCUUUUCAACAAACAACUCACUGGAAAGCUUUUCGAGUUUGGUUUCACUUCAUUUCCGAAUCUCAACAAUCUCACCCUCGCAGAUAACUUCUUCUCUGGUCCAAUACCAUCAGCCAUUGGGAAUUUAACACAGCUUCAAUAUCUUGAUUUGAGCAAUAAUUAUCUCAAUGGUUCCAUUCCGUACCAGGUUAGCCAUCUUUCAAAAUUACACGUCUUAAACCUGUCAGAGAAUGAACUGCAAGCUCCAAAUUGGUCCAAUUUCUCCCCCAUGCCUUAUUUGACCAUCCUCGACCUUUAUCAGAAUAAUCUUAUGUUGGAAUUUCCAGAAUUUAUAUCUAACUCGCGUAACCUGACAUACCUUGACCUUUCAUAUAACAAGUUCACAGGCGAUCUUGUGCGCGAAUCAGUAUUAGCCAAUCCAGGUGAUCUCGAAACCCUCUAUCUUAAUGAAAAUUCUUUUGGGGGGCCAUUUCCACCAGACAUAUUCAAACUUUCCAAGUUGAGAGUUCUUGCCCUGUUCAAUAAUCUUUUUGAGGGGCCGCUUCCGUCAAAUAUAUUCAAGCUCUCUAAACUAAGAUUCCUUUUACUUUGGAGUAAUAAUUUUUCAGGUACUCUUUCGAAUGAAAUAGGUUUGCUUUCUGAGCUUGAAGACCUAGAUCUUCACUCCAAUUUUUUUGUGGGGCCGCUUCCGCCAAAUAUAUUCAAGCUCUCUAAACUAAGAACCCUUUUCCUCUUGGGUAAUAACUUCUCAGGUUCUAUUUCCAACGACAUAGGUUUGCUUUCUGAGCUUGAACACCUAUAUCUCGACUCCAAUUCUUUUGAGGGACCUUUUCCAACAAAUAUUUUCAAGCUUUCCAAAUUAAUACAACUUGGUCUCGCAAACAAUACAAAUUUAUUUGAAGGAAGUAUUCCUCCAGGACUGGGGCUCUUGACUAACCUAGAGGACUUGUCUCUUGCUUACAAUAAUCUUGGUGGCUAUAUUCCGUCUUCCUUUGGAAACCUAACACUACUAGUAUAUCUUAAUCUCGCUCGUAAUCAAUUGGUUGGAACACUAUCAAAGACCAUUUCUAAUCUCACAAAUCUAUGGUUUCUUGAUGUACAUCAUAAUAGUCUCUCUGGGAAUAUUCAGAGUGACUUCUGGAAAAACUCUACAUCACUGCGUUACAUUAAUUUGGCAGACAAUAAUUUUUCUGGGAACAUUCCUAAGGAAUAUAAUGUUCUUCCAAUCCUGGAUCACAUCAAUUUUAGGGGGAACAAUUUUACAGGUAUUUUUCUUUCCAUAUUUUUUCCUUCUGUUGUAUUCAAUUAUGCUAGAAACUACAGCCUCUGUUUUUUCAAAUACAUAUCGUUUAACUUUUUGGCACAAAACUUUAUAAUAAUUCUAACUAAAAGGUCAAUGAACUCAAAAAUGUGUGUCAAAAAGUCAAACGUCAUUUAUCUGAAAUCAGAGGGAGUAUAUAUUACUGUUUUACCAAAGUUUCAACAAUCAUGACAGGUGAGCUUCCACCAACAAUUUGCGAUGCCACUUCCCUUUCGAUUCUUGAUCUGUCAAAUAAUGGAUUUAGUGGUGCAGUUCCACAUUGUUUGGGGAAUCUUGCGGAUAAAUUGAUUUCGAUUAAUCUUGCUAAUAAUCAGUUUCAAGGACCAAUACCAACAAAUUUCUCCGAGAGUUGUCGUCUGACGUAUCUUAACAUCUAUAACAAUCACUUCAAAGGUUUGGUUCCCCAAUCUUUGGCAAACUGUAAGCACUUGCAAAUUCUUGAUUUUGGAAAAAAUGAAAUAGGUGGAACACUUCCGUCAUGGUUUUUUACUCUUGGAGAGCUAGAAGUCCUGAUCCUGCGAUCAAACAGAUUUUUCGGGAGAAUAACUAGAAGGAGCAUACCACGCCCCUUUCCCAAGUUGCGGAUUUUGGAUCUAUCCAACAAUCAGUUCACCGGCUAUCUGCCAAUUUUAUACUUCAAGAAUAUGAAACCAAAUGAUAAUAAUUAUGAUUAUUUCAACAACACAAACGAAGCCUAUUACGUUUAUCAAGUUUCUAUCACAUUAAAUGUGAAAGGAAGCGAGCAUGAAGUGACAAAUAUUCUUCAUAUUUACACGGCCAUUGAUCUGUCGUGCAACAAAUUUGAAGGAAAAGUUCCAGACAUUACCGGAGAGCUUAGAUGGCUUGCAUUGCUAAAUUUAUCUCAUAAUAGUCUUUCGGGGCCUAUUCCAUCACAACUGGGAAAAAUGAAAGAGCUCCAGUCUCUAGAUUUGUCGUCAAAUCAAUUGACAGGUGUUAUUCCGGAUCAACUUACUAGUAUGACAUUUCUUGCUAGUUUGAACCUCUCAGAAAACCAUCUUUCUGGGAAAAUCCCUCGGAAAGGACAGUUCAGCACUUUUGGCGAAGAAUCUUACUUAGGUAAAUCGGCCUUGUGUGGAGUUCCUUUGACAAAGAACUGUAUAGACGAUGUGCCACCUUCACAAGUUGGAAAUGGCAAUGAUGAAAAUGUUGAUGAAGAUGAUACCGUUGAUGAAUUCAAUUGGAAAGUGAUCCUGAUGGGAUAUGCAUGUGGAUUAAUAGGCGGAUUGUCUGCAGGAUACAUUGUCUUCACAGUCGGAAAGCCUUGGUGGUUUUUGAGAUACAUUGAGACACUGCAGCAGAAGUUGAUCUGAUGCGCAACUAGAAACAACGUUAUAAUCUUAGAAUGACUUGUGUCUUUAAACAGAGUUAGGAACUUAGGAUGACUUGUGGUGCUAUAUUUUUUUUUUGAAAAAAAAAAACAUAUUUUUGUAAUUUUUUAGAUACAGAUGUUAAGAAGGUGUUGUAUAUUCAUUUUUUACCCAAAAAAAAAAAGAGGGCUUAUUUCAUGAAAAUUAGAGUUUUAUGUAUUUUCUCCAGAAAUUAGUCCUUAUUUCUGAAAAUAAGGUUAGUCAAAACGGUCACUACACGAUUGGUAGCCUUUCAGUUCUUCCUAGUGUCCACUACAGUUUCAUUCCUUACCAGUUAUUUUAUGCUCUGCACUGCAUUAUGCAGCUUUCAUAUUACUGACAGCUAAUCUCCUUCCAACACUUUGCGAUGCGAAGCAGGGACGCAUAAGUAUUUUUAUAUGUGUAUUAGUUUUGAAGAUUAAAGUUGCAUGGACAAUUGUGUUGAUAAUUUGAGCAAUGUUAACCGGGAUAGGUCUUCUUCUCUCUCCCAAGUCUUCUGAGGACUCAUCGGCUCAGAUUAGUCUAUCCAAAAAUUAUGAUCUGACGGCUAUUGGCACACUAACGAUUUACAUAUCACUUGAAUAUUACUGGAUACCCGCAUCUUGUUUUAAAUGGCGUAUAUCGGCUAAUAGUUCAACGAUGGUGACAAAUCCCGGUGAUCCAAAUAAUUGAUUGUCGCAAAAUUUUCCGCUUACAUCCAACUAACACGUAUUAGGAAAAAAAAUUAUAUAAUUAAACACGCUCAUGUAUCUAUAUCUUUUACAAGAUUGUAAGUCCCCAAUUCUAUGUGAUAUUAGCUAUAUGUGACUAGAAGGUUUAGAAAUACUAGAUUAUCAAGAUUUCUUUUUAUUCUAGCUAGUGUUGAGUUAUAUUUAUUUUCUUCAAACAAUCAAUACUUAUUUUUUAUUAAUAUGUGAAACUCCAAUAUAUAUUAUUAUACGAUAUAUUAUGAAAACACUAUAUUUUGUAAUGUUCAUCUUAUCCUACCAGCAAAAUUACAUCGCUAACAAAAUUAUAUCAAUUUUAUUUUAUAAACUCAAAUAAUUUAAUUUAUGAAACAACUCUAUGAGAUUCUUAUCAUGAGUUAGAAUUCAAAUAAAUAAAGAGUUCAUAUUGAUAAGUGGAAUUGAUGUGCAAGUAAGGGGUAUAAAAAAAUCUCAAAAUAACUCCAAAAAGCACAUGACAUGUUUGAUUUAAUAGAACUGGUACAUAAACAGGGGGACCAUUAUAUUUAUAAGCAAGUGACCAACAAUAGUUUACUACUGAUAUUUUGUGAUAUUUUUUGUGAUAUUUUUUGAGACCUUUAACAUUAUUCUGUGAAGUGGUAUACUACUGUUACUAGUUCUGAAACUUCAAACAAAGUAGGCGCAACAUUGUAAGAGUGAUUAAUAAAGUUGAGAAACAGUGUGUACAUUGAGCAGUAUGACAAUCAGGUUCAGCAUAUAAUACAAUCAGAUUCACAAUCAGGUUCACGAGAAACAUGCUGCAUUCCAAAAAGCCUUAUUAUCUUCUUCACUAAAUAACAAGGCAAAUACAGCAUAUAAAUACAAGUUAUAAGUACAAGUGUGGUAUUAGAUUCAUAACCCAGUUGAGGAGAAACAUGGCACACUUUGUAAGGCCUUCUCACCUUCUUCUCUUUGUUUUCUUUCUCUCAUCACUAGAAUCCAUUCUUGCAACAAGACGAGAGGGGGAAGCUCUUGUGAAGUGGAAGAAUAGCCUAGCCCCUUCUUCUUUUCUCCACUCUUGGUCACUCUCCAAUCUCGAAAAUCUUUGCAACUGGACUGGCAUUACUUGUAACUCUGCAGGUUCAGUCUCUGAGAUUGACCUUUGUGAGAAACAACUUGAUGGAAUGCUGUCCGAGUUUGGUCUCACUUCAUUUCCAAAUCUCAACAAUCUCACCCUCGCAGACAACUUCUUCUCAGGUCCAAUACCACCAGCCAUUGAGAAUUUAACACAGCUUCAAUAUCUUGAUUUAAGCAUGAAAAGUCUUAAUGGUCCCAUUCCGUUCCAGGUUAGCCAUCGUCAGAGCUUGCUCAUCUUAGACCUGUCACAGAAUGCAUUGCAAGCUUCAAAUUGGUCCAAUUUCUCUCCCAUGCCUCAGUUGCGCUUCCUCAAGCUCAGUAGCAAUCAUCUUGUGUCGAAAUUCCCAAAUUUUAUAUCCAGUUCUCAUAGCCUGACUUACCUCAACCUCUCAUAUAACAUUGGAAACCUCAAAAAAUAUAUAUUUAUAUAUUUAUAAUUAAAAAAUUGAAUUACUUAAUAUAUUAAAAAAUUGAAUAAAAUUUUAUAUAUUUUAUUAAAAAAUUGAAUAAAAAUUGAAUAAAAUUGAAUAAAAUUGAAGUACACGAAAAGGUACACGACACGAAAUACACGACUGAGAAGUCGUGUCGGUUUUGUGUUUACCCUUCGGGUACACGACACGAGGUACACGAAAUAAAUAAAUAAAUAUAUAUAUAUAUAUUUACCCUUCGGAUUAAGAGUUGGUCGCGGACAAAUUCAAAGUUUCCCAAUUAUCCUUUAUUUUAUGUAACUUUGCUUAUGUUUAAGCCUAAAUUUGGACAAUAUUUGUAAAAUAUUAAUAUUUCGUGUACUAAUUCGUUACCAGUUUCGUGUAUUUUUUCGUGUAUAUUUCGUGUUUUCGUGUUUUCAUGUACUAUUUCGUAUCGUGUCGUUUUCGUGUACAUGAAAAAAUUCGUGUACUACAGUUCGUGUCGUUUUUACCUGUUUCUAAAUCGUGUCGUGUUCGUGUUUACAAUCGUGUACACGAAUUGAAUUCGUGUCGUGUUCGUGUAUACCCACCAGAUACACGAAACACGAAAGUACACGACACGUUUAUACACGACACGAACGAUUUGCCAGGUCUANGAAACACGAAAGUACACGACACGUUUAUACAUGACACGAACGAUUUGCCAGGUCUAUUCAAACCUAGCAAGUAACCAAGAGGGGGCAAACUCCACCAGAGACAAAUCAAAGACCAUACCUGAGUAUUGCCAACAUAACAUUACAAACUGGCAGGUGAAAAAUAUGUGAAUAAGGUCUUCGUCACCAGAGUUACACAUGGGACAGUCAAGAGAAAGAUUUACUCCCUUAGAUUGUAAUCGACUUUUCACAGGCACAUUAUUCCUGCAAAAACGCCAUAAAAACACUUUGAUCUUAAGAGGAACCUCCAACUGCCAGAGUUUCUUCCACCCACUAGAUUGUGUAACAGUGCCAGUGCCAAUAUUUUGGGCAUGCCAAAACUGGUAACCUGUUUUCACAGAAUUUUGGCCGUUAGUAGUCUUUGACCAAGCUAGAUGAUCCACGGUCGACCUAUAGGGAACAGAAGUUUUUAAAAAUUAUGUAAUUCAUUCAAUUCCGUAUCAGACAAUACAUCUUAUCAUCGGUGAUAAUGGAAAUAGUGUAGAUGUUUGACCUAGUCCAUGUUUGACAACCAAUAUAAUAAGAAAUAAAUUCUUAUUUUUCUAAAAAAUAUAUUUUUGUAUAUAAAUGUUAAAGAGAUAUUUCUUAUUUGUUGUUUGAAAAAAGUAAAGACUUAUUUCAGAAUAAAUAAAAAUUAUUGUACAUUCUCUUUAUUUUUAAAAAUAAGUUUGGUCAAAUCGCCCAUAAUUCUCGUAAUUCAAAAGCCCAUUAUUUUUUUUUUUCUUGCUAAUUGAUCAGCACACGCACACGUUUCCAACUUCCCGCAAAGGGUACCGGAGUACCACCACACCGACGCUUUGUUGGGCCCAAUAAUUGGCUGAAGUUGAACGGGGCUUUCUGCCUCCGCUGGACCCCAGUUGGGAGGACUCUUUCCAAGUCUUUCGGAGACUCUUUCCCAUUGACUCCAACUUUCCAGGGUGUAUACAAAUUUUUUGAAAGAGGGUGUAUACAAAUUAUUCACGGCCAUCAAAUUAACCAGCGUAGCUGGUGAACAAAUAUUAUUGUUUAUUAUAAUUUUAUUUAAUUUAAAUGUGAUUAUAAAGAACAUAAGAGGACGUUUGAAAGUGUGGGUCUUAUUUCAAACAGUAGAUUUCAAAAAAUAUGAUUUCAAUUGUUAUUUAAAAUUCUUAAAUUUAUAUUAUAUUAAAAUGUUCUUAUCUAUACUAUACUAUUAAAACCGAAACAUUAAAAGUUUGGUCGGUCGGUACUUGGGCCGAUAUAUGGGCCUAUCUAUAUAACUAAUUAUUUUUUUUUAAUUUUGGGCCGAAAUACAGGCCUGUCUAUAUAAUCAAUUAUUCUUUUUAACUAAAAUAUGUUAUCUUUUUUACUAUUAAAGCCAAAACAUUAAAAAUUUGAUCGGUCGGUACUUGGGCCGAAAUAUGAGCGUAUCUAUAUAACUAAUUAUUUUUAUUUUUUUUUAUUUUUGGCCGAAAUACAGGCCUAUCUAUAAAAUCAAUUAUUCUUUUUAACUAAAAUAUGUUAAUUUUUUUUACUAUUAAAGCCGAAAUAUUGAAAGUUUGGUCGGUCGGUACUUGGGCUUCUAGGCCGAAAUAUAGGCCUAUCUAUAUCAUCAAUUAUUCUUUUAAACUAAAAUAUGUUAUCUUUUUUACUAUUAAAAUCGAAACAUUGAAAGUUUGAUCGGUCGGUACUUGAGUCGAAAUACGGGCCUAUCUAUAUAACUACUUAUUAUUUUUAACUUGGGCCGAAAUACAGGCCAAUCUAUGUAAUCAAUUACGCGGUAUUCUUUUUAACUAAAAUAUGUUAUUUUUUUAACUAUUAAAGUUGAAAUAUUGAAAGUUUAGUCGCUCGAUACUUGAGCCGAAAUACGGAUCUAUCUAAAUAACUAAUUAAUUUUUUUUAACUUUGGAUGGAAAUACAGCCCUAUCUAUAUAAACAAAUAUCUUUUUAACUAAAAUAUGUUAUCUUCUUUAUACUUUCUAACUAAAAACUCAAUCUUCUAAAUGAACAUGGAAGAAUAUAGUAAUUAUCUUUUUAACUAAAACAAAUUAUCGUCUAUUAAAUCAAAUUAUAACAAACUAUCCAUAAACAUCCUUAAUUUAUAACAAAUUAUUAAAUAUUUUUUAUCAUCUACUAAAUCAAAACAUUAAAAAUUAGAUUACCAUUAUGGAUCAGUAUUUGAAUUACGCUUCUCUUUAACUUAUAAUAUGUUUUAUACUAUAUUAUUAACUAUUAAUAACUAAAUAUUAAAACGCUGAUUGGGUUGUUUCUAUCUGGGUUUACGGGUCUCCUCAAAUUAUAAUCCCUCCGUUCUUAAAUAUCUGCCUUUUGACUUUUUGGCACGCAUGUUAAAGUGUUUUGAAUUUAUAGUAAAAAUAUUAUUUUUAAAUUUCUUUUUCUGAAUAAAAAUUUUAUAUCAAUACUUUUAUUCAUAAAAAGAAAUAUUUGAAAAUAACAUUUCUAGCUAUGUGGUCAAAAUAUCUUAAAAUGUGUGCGAAAAAGUCAAAAGGCAUAUAUUCAAGAACGGAGGGAGUAACAUGUAAAAAAAAUUAUUUUAACAUUAUCAUUAAAAAAUUAUAUAUUUGACCUAAUUAUAAAUUAACUAUUUGAAGGAAUAAACUAUUAAGAAUUUAUUUAGCUGCUAAAUAAAAGUUUUUUUAAUAACAUUAUUCUAUCACAAUUUUACUUUCAAUAAAAUUCGUUAAAUCUAAAAUAUAUGCGAUGAAAUAACAAAUAUUAAAACCGCCCGUGCAUUGCACGGGUUUUAAGCUAGUUCUAAUUAAUGAGUCACUAUUCGUAUUCUCAAGCAUGUUAGUUUGUUAAAAUUUAAAAUUUCAAAUGAAAUUAGGCUAAAAGACCAUAAUAUCAAAUCAAAAUCUCAUUAUCCAAUAUAUUGGUGGGCAAAAAUAUUAAACCUGGCUAUUCAUUAAUAUUGGUUCUUUAUUCAAAUUAUGUCAAAUUUAUAUAAAAUUUCGAAAAUUAUUUAUGAAUAAGAGUCGGCAUUCAUAUAUUUAUUAAGGAUACAAGUGAGAAAAUGUUAUUAAAUUAAUAUUUUUUAAUAUACGUAAGUUUUUUAAAAUAAAUUUGUAGCGUGGGACGGGAGUAUUAGACUGAUUCUGGCUUGGAGUGAAUCAGCCCAUAAAGUUUACAGGGUAGAUGACCAUUCUUAAAUCUUAAAGAAUCUUACGGUGACAGCUAACUGAACGACUCGGUUUCAGAAGUGCUGAAAAGUUUCGACGUAAACUACAAUUUGCCUAGCAUGUAAUUUCCAUGCAUUUUCUCGUUACGAGUAGGUUUGUCCGGAAGUACAAUUCAAAAUAGAGUGCUGUUAAAAAAAAUUGAGUUACUUAUUCAAUAACUUUUUUGAUAUUUAUAUAUUUUUAAUUAUAAUAAAGAUACUAGUGAUUAUGGUUAGCUUUUGGAGUACUUUUGGAGUACUUGGAAAUUUUCUUUUCGAGAAAAACGAGAGUACCUAUUUCAAUUUUUUACCAAAAAUUAUAAUUGAAAACAACGGACUUUUAUACUUAUCAUAACAAUUUUUAACAUCUUGUUUAGAAAUAACCUGUUGUUGUAUUAUGCAAAAGUAAUAUCACUAGUUUCUAUAUCCGUAUUCUAAUGAUAAUAAAAACAUCUCUAAUUCAUUAAAACUCUUACAUAGAAAUUGAUAAAAAAAGAAGAUAUAAAAUAAUUUAUUAAAAAUAUAUCAAAGUUUUUGCACUCGGUUAUAAUUAUUGUGUAAUUUUUUUUUUCAAUUCCAAGAUAUUGUUAUAAGAAAAUUUUACAUCAUAUAUAUAUUACAAAAAAAAUUAAUGUAUUAUAUAUAUAUAGGGUCCUACUCUGGUACAAACCUUUUUAGCGUACAAACUACAAACCAAAAUUAAAAAGUCUCUAAAUCAAAUCAGAAUAUAGCACAUAUGGUAUGGAAAUUGAUCGUUGCGAGAUGAACAAAAAUAAUGAUUAUAAAGUUUGUAUUUGAGCCAUUAUAUAUAUACUUACAAUAAAAGUAAUAAUAUAUUAUAUUCUAAAUAUAGUUAACCACUGCAGUUGGUCGCUUAUAAAUAGAAGUGUGCAUUAUAGGAUGAAACGUACAUCAAGCUGAGGAGAAACAUGGUACACUCUGCAAAGCUAUAUCAUCUUCUUUUACUUGUUUUCUUUUCCUCCUUACUUCCAUCCAUUCUAUUGGCAACAAGACGAGAAGGAGAAGCUCUUGUGAAAUGGAAGAAUAGCCUAGCCCCGUCUUCUUUUCUUGAUUCUUGGUCACUCUCCGAUCUCGAUAAUCUUUGCAACUGGACUGGCAUUACUUGUAACUCUGCAAGUUCAGUGUCUCAGAUAAAUCUUUCCCAAAAACAGCUCGAUGGAACGCUGUCCGAAUUUGGUUUCACUUCAUUUCCGAAUCUCGAAAAUUUGACUAUAAGAGACAACAGCUUCUCCGGGCUAAUACCACCAGGCAUUGCGAAUUUAACACAGCUUCAAUACCUUGAUUUAAGCUACAAUUAUUUCAGUGGUUCCAUUCCGUACGAGGUUAGCCAUCUUCAGAGAUUACGUGUUUUAGACUUGUCGUAUAAUGAAAUGCAGGCUCCAAAGUGGUCUGACUUCUCUCCCAUGCCUUUUAUGAGCAUCCUCAACCUACGGGCCAAUCAUCUUGUGUCGAAAUUCCCAGAAUUUAUAUCCAAUUCUUUUAGCCUGACUUUCCUUGACCUUGGAGACAACAAGUUCACCGCUGAUCAUCUUGUGCUCGAAUCAGAAUUUACCAAUUUGCAAAAUCUUGAAACGCUGUUUCUUGAUGGUAAUUCUUUUGAGGGGACGUUUCCACCGAAUAUAUUCAGGCUUUCUAAAUUAAAAUACCUUUCCCUAUCUGCUAAUAAGUUUUCAGGUUCUGUGCCGGAUGACAUAGGGAUGCUUCGUGAUCUUGAAUCCCUUUAUCUUGGUAACAAUUCUUUCAAAGGGAUGCUUCCACAAAAUAUUUUCAGACUUCCCAAAUUACGGGAUCUUUCCCUCUGGGGUAACAAUUUUUCAGGUCUUAUUUCAGAUGAUAUAAGGAUGCUUUCUAACCUGGAAUCUCUUGAUCUUAAUGGUAAUUCUUUUCAGGGUCCGCUUCCACCAAAUUUCUUCAAGCUUUCCAAAUUAAGACAUCUCGCCCUCUCAAAUAAUAAAAGAGUAUUUAAAGGAAGUAUUCCUCUUGGGUUGGGGCUUUUGACUAACCUUGACUACUUAUGUCUUAAUUCCAAUUAUCUCACUGGCUACAUUCCAUCUGACAUUGGAAAUCUAAAGCUACUAGAACAUCUUGAUCUCAGUUUUAAUCAAUUGACCGGACCGCUCCCAAAGAUCAUUUCUAACCUCACUAAUCUAACGCGUCUUGGUCUGAAUGAUAAUUGGUUUUCCGGCAGUAUUCCAAGUGACUUCUUGGAAAACUCUACAUUAUUAUUUUACAUUGAUCUUUCAAACAAUGAUCUGUCUGGAAGCAUUCCUAAGGAAUUCAACGUUCAUCCGACAUUGGAUUAUAUCAAUUUAAGUGGAAACCGUUUUAGAGGUCUACUUCUCUCUUUAAAUUUUUAUGUUCGUUUUGUAUAUGCUAGUAACCUGAUUAUUACACUUUUACUGAAGCUUCAACAAUUCUAACUGCAGGCAAGCUUCCAGCAACGAUUUGCAAUGCUACAUCCCUUUCGACUCUUGUUCUGUCAAAUAAUGAAUUCAGCAAUGCACUUCCACAUUGUUUGGGGAAUCUUGCUGAUCAACUUCUUUCCAUUAAUCUUGCUAAUAAUUUGUUUCGAGGACCAAUACCAACAACUUUCUCUAAGAGUUGUCGGCUGACAUAUCUAAACAUGUACAACAAUCACUUUGAAGGGUUGUUGCCGCAAUCUCUGGCAAACUGUAAGCACCUACAAAUUCUUGAUAUUGGAAACAAUGAAAUAGGUGGUAAAUUCCCGUCAUGGCUGUUUACUCUUGGAGAGCUGGAAGUCCUAGUCUUGCGAUCAAAUAGAUUCCACGGUCCAGUCAAUGGAACAAGCUCAGCAAAUUUAUUCCCCAAGUUGCGGAUUGUUGAUCUCUCCAACAAUCAAUUUACAGGCGAUUUACCAAUUCAGUAUUUUAAGAAUAUGAAACCAACAGAUAACCACUAUAGUUAUUUUUAUACAGAAAGUGGUUUUUACUAUCAUCAAGCAUCGAUCUCAUUAACUGUGAAAGGAAGAGAGUAUGAAGUGAAAAAGAUCCUUCAUAUUUAUACAGCCAUAGAUGUGUCAUGCAACAAAUUUCAGGGAGAAAUUCCCGAGGUUAUUGGAGAACUUAAAUGGCUUGCAUUGCUCAAUCUAUCACAUAAUAGUCUUAUUGGACCUAUCCCAUCACAGCUCGGAAAUAUGGAAUCACUUUUAUCUCUAGAUUUGUCUUCAAAUCAUUUGACAGGGGGUAUUCCCGAUCAGUUGAUUAGGUUGACAUUUCUAGAGGUCUUGAACCUCUCGGAAAAUCAUCUGACAGGGCCUAUCCCCCAAAAAGGACAGUUCAGCACAUUCAACAAGGAUUCUUACCUAGGUAACUUUGCCUUGUGUGGAUUACCUUUAACUAAUAACUGUACACACACUGUGUCACCACCACAAGAAGGCGGAACUGGUGACAAUGAUGCCUAUGAUGAACCCGAUUGGGAAGUGAUCCUCAUGGGAUAUGGAUGUGGACUAAUAUGCGGAUUGUCCACAGGGUACGUUGUCUUCACAUUCAGAAAGCCUCAGUGGUUUAUGAGAUACACUGAAAGCGUGCAACAGAAGUUGAUGAGAUGAUGCAUGUUGAGUACCGUUCAAUCAUGAAGCACAACUGGAAACAAUGUUAUCUUAGGAAAACAUGUGUUCUGAACCAGUAGUGUUUGCACAAAAUUUGUGGUGCUAUGUAAUACUUAUAUAAUUGUACGUAUGAUUAUUGAUUAGUCGUUGAGAAAAUGCAUUUUAUUUCAGUGUCAAUGAUAAUCUACAUGUUUUGGAUACUUCCAGCUUCUCAUACUAAUAUAGGAACCACUUGAAAAAUUUUGGACAGGCUCUGAGGAUGCUAAUGCUGCUGUUUAGUUUCUACCGCGGAAUUGACUUUAGCAUAUACUCGUAUGACAUAUUACUAGAUAUAUGGUUGUUAAAUAAAAUUAUCUUUUUGUGGAAUAAAUAGGAAAGCAAAAUCAUAGAAUAAUGUAUGUUAUAUAGGAAGGUAUUGUCCUCUUAGAUAGGUAUCAUUUAUGCCUCAUUGGCAUGUCUCAGAAAACUUUUGGGUUAACACAAUGUUUACUUAGAGCAUUGCCAUUCCUUAAAUAUAAUAUAAAAUAUUGGAUCUUAGUGACUUAAGAUGAUAAUAGCUAUUCGCACCUCCAACAAUAUUCCUUAUAUUCAUUCCUUAUAUACUAUUUUAUUAUUAAAAGUUACCAUUAUUGCAAUAGGUGAAAAGAGAGAACAUGUUUGUAUUCAAAAUUUAUUGUAAAAUAAUAUUUAGGAGAGGAGAGAGGUUACCUAAAGAUAAGGCAUGGCUAGUUAUUUAGAGAAUCACUAGGAUACUGUUGGAGUGGAUUAUUUUCCCAUAUUACUCAUAUUUUGGUUUAAGAUUCCUAAUAGGGAAGCUGCUGGAGUUGCUCUUAGAGCAUCUCCAAGAGAUUCUUCAUUUAAGCUCCUAACUUGAGAUUUGAGUAGGGAGAGGAAAAAUGUUGCUCCAAGAGACUCUUAAGUGGCUCUUAAAUCACUAAGAGCCUCUUGUUUCUCUCUCCUCUCUCCUCAAAGUUAAGAGCCACCACAUUGCUCCUAACUUAUUUUUUCACAAUAAAAAAAUCUUUUCCUCCAAUUCAGCUCCAUCUUUCCAUCUCUUUUGUUAUAGUGGAGCCCAAUAUAUGAAUAAAAUAUGAAAUAGAGAAGAGAUGUAGAGAGUAUUGUUGGAGUUUACACUCUUAACUUUGUCUUAAAUUGCUAAGAGCUAUUUUUUUAUAUUAUAUUUAGGAGCCAAUAAGGAGGCUCUUGGAGAUGCUUUUAGUACUAAUUGUUAGAAUAUGAAAAUGCAGUUAUGAACUAUUAUGCUAGAGAGAGAAAAAUUCAACAAACUUCAUUUCUGUAAACUACAACUAUUAGUCUGUUACAUUGCUGAAAGCUACAUUUAUACAUUUACAGUUUACAACAAACUAUGAAACUGAUUUUCCCGCGUCCUCCUCACUUGUCCACGUGGCCUGACUGGCUUGGUGUCCUUGACACUCUUUAUUAUUGCUAAUAUAUACUUAACACUAAUACCUCAAAGCAGGGUAUAAAUUCAAUAGCACAGCUUCUGGAUAAUGGAAAUUUAGUUAUCCAGAGGUCUUGGUUUUACAUAUCACUUGUAUAUUAUGUCUCGGUCUCAUUGAAGCAUACCAAACGAGAUUUUGGGUUUGUUAAUAUUUUUUUAGUCCAAAUUUGAAUAAUACUGUUAUGCUUAUUCACACGGUAGACGUGUUUUUAUUAAAAUACUGCAACUGAAAUUGAUGAAAACAUGCACAAAGCAUAGCAGACGAAAGACUUGAGGAGAUAUUGUCUUAGGCGAUGCAAUACGUUCUAAUAUAAUGCUAUAUUAUGCAAUCUCGUUUAAUACUUUCAUCAUUAUUCUCCAAGAUGUCUGAACAUGUAUUUUCAAAGAAUUCUCAGUUCACCUUUAGUCUUAUAGCGACAUUUUGAAGGCACUCUCAACUUACACCCUAUAUAUACACGUACGGUUCACUUCAGUACAAAGAUUUUAUGAUACAACUCUCAUAUUAUGAACUAGUUCUGUCGAAUACAUGAAUAUUGAUCAAUCAUUUGAACUCGAGUUUCCCAGCUGGCCAGAUACCCAGAUUAUUAGCCAUGCAAAACAUGCAGAACCACUAGUAAUGCAGAAAAACAAUAUAUUAGUUUUCUCCGGUGUUACAGAAAUCAGGAAUCGGACCUAAUCGGUUUAGCUACCGAUUUAGGGAUUAAUAGGAAAUAGGGGAUUAAUCGGAGUGAAAAUCGGAUUUAUUUUAAUAUUAAAAUAUUAUUUAAUAUUUAGUUAUUAUUAUAUUAGCUAUUUAGUAACUAAUAUAUUUACUAUAUUCAUAAACUCUAUAAUUAUUCGUAUUGAAAGUAAUAUAGUAUUUUAAUUUUAAUAAUUUACUAUAUAUACUUCGAUUAAGAAAUAUAUAUAUAAGGAUUAAUCGGAUUUCAAAAAUCGAAUCGGUGGCCAACCUUGCAGAGGAUUAAUCGGGGAUUAAUUGGUUGAAUCGGGGAUGUUUAGAACACUGGUUUUCUCCAAAUAUCACUACAACAAAACUGCCAUUUUACGACGGAAAUCUAAUAUUCUAAAGGGUUACGACCAAACUAUGUCGGUGGACUUUAUUUUAAUUUACCGUUUAACAGUAGUUAAUUUUGGAUAUCUACACUUGCGAUGGAAAACAUACGACAGUCUACUUCGUGAGAGAAAAUCAUUUUAUUUUAUUUUUUAGCGCCAGAAUUUUAAUACUGAAAUAUUAUAUAUAUGAAGGAAACUGAUCUCUAAUGUUUUCAGCUUGCUCAUCCAUCGUAAGUAAUCCGUCGAAAAAGUUAGUUUGUUGUGGUGGUGUCUUAUCAUGAGAGAAAAUGAUAAUAUCGCAAAAUAUUUGCAACUGAAAGAUAAAUUAUAAUUCUAGAAACCAUUUAGGUAACGAUGCACGAAGUUAUUUUCACUCACUUAGAAUUAAUGNUGAAAACAUGCACAAAGCAUAGCAGACGAAAGACUUGAGGAGAUAUUGUCUUAGGCGAUGCAAUACGUUCUAAUAUAAUGCUAUAUUAUGCAAUCUCGUUUAAUACUUUCAUCAUUAUUCUCCAAGAUGUCUGAACAUGUAUUUUCAAAGAAUUCUCAGUUCACCUUUAGUCUUAUAGCGACAUUUUGAAGGCACUCUCAACUUACACCCUAUAUAUACACGUACGGUUCACUUCAGUACAAAGAUUUUAUGAUACAACUCUCAUAUUAUGAACUAGUUCUGUCGAAUACAUGAAUAUUGAUCAAUCAUUUGAACUCGAGUUUCCCAGCUGGCCAGAUACCCAGAUUAUUAGCCAUGCAAAACAUGCAGAACCACUAGUAAUGCAGAAAAACAAUAUAUUAGUUUUCUCCGGUGUUACAGAAAUCAGGAAUCGGACCUAAUCGGUUUAGCUACCGAUUUAGGGAUUAAUAGGAAAUAGGGGAUUAAUCGGAGUGAAAAUCGGAUUUAUUUUAAUAUUAAAAUAUUAUUUAAUAUUUAGUUAUUAUUAUAUUAGCUAUUUAGUAACUAAUAUAUUUACUAUAUUCAUAAACUCUAUAAUUAUUCGUAUUGAAAGUAAUAUAGUAUUUUAAUUUUAAUAAUUUACUAUAUAUACUUCGAUUAAGAAAUAUAUAUAUAAGGAUUAAUCGGAUUUCAAAAAUCGAAUCGGUGGCCAACCUUGCAGAGGAUUAAUCGGGGAUUAAUUGGUUGAAUCGGGGAUGUUUAGAACACUGGUUUUCUCCAAAUAUCACUACAACAAAACUGCCAUUUUACGACGGAAAUCUAAUAUUCUAAAGGGUUACGACCAAACUAUGUCGGUGGACUUUAUUUUAAUUUACCGUUUAACAGUAGUUAAUUUUGGAUAUCUACACUUGCGAUGGAAAACAUACGACAGUCUACUUCGUGAGAGAAAAUCAUUUUAUUUUAUUUUUUAGCGCCAGAAUUUUAAUACUGAAAUAUUAUAUAUAUGAAGGAAACUGAUCUCUAAUGUUUUCAGUUUGCUCAUCCAUCGUAAGUAAUCCGUCGAAAAAGUUAGUUUGUUGUGGUGGUGUCUUAUCAUGAGAGAAAAUGAUAAUAUCGCAAAAUAUUUGCAACUGAAAGAUAAAUUAUAAUUCUAGAAACCAUUUUGGUAACGAUGCACGAAGUUAUUUUCACUCACUUAGAAUUAAUGCUAAAUAUUUGCAACUGAAAGAUAAAUUAUAAUUCUAGAAACCAUUUAGGUAACGAUGAGCGGAGUUAUUUUCACUCACUUAGAAUUAAUGAUAAAUAUUUGCAACUGAAAGAUACAUCAUAGUUCUAGAAAAGGAUCCACGAAGUUAUUUUCACUCACUUAGAAUUAAUUGUAAGUUAUUGUGAGUUUUUGAAUAUGAAUUAUCUCAAAUUUUAUUAAAACACAUGUUGAUUCUUAUAUACAAAUUUGCCUAUCUAAUAUUAUAAUAUUUAUGGAGAAGGUGUAUGAACAAUUGUGUAGAUAAUUAUACUUUACAAAGCAUACUUCUGCUAGCUGAAUUUUGAUUAAAAAAAUCGAAAGGGAUAGGUCUGGGUCUCUCCAAGUCUUUGAGGACUCAUUCCAAGUCUUCUGAUGAGGACAAAAUAUAUUGCUGGAAGUCUUUCAGUCCUUCCUAGAGUAUUUUGUGCUCUGCACUGCAUUAUGCAGCUCUCAUAUAACUGACCGCUAACCUCCUUCCAACACUUUGCGAUGCAAAACAGUGGCAUGUUAUAAGUAUUUCCGUAUGUGUAUUUAUUUGGAUAUUAAAGUUGCGUAACAUUUGUGUUGAUAAUUUGCGCAAUGUUGAUGAGGAUUGCUCCCAAGUCUUGGCGGACUCUUUCCAAAUCUUCUGAGGACCUAUGGGUUCAAAUUAGUCCAUUAAAAUGAAUACCAUUGUUUUGUGAUUAAGUUGUAUGGUUAAGAGCUUAUCCUCUGUCGUCCCAGGUCCUGGGUUCGACCCUGGCUCACCCCGAGAGUUUCGUAGAACAGAUACUCAUUAUAAGGCUAUAAGCCAUAUUUGUCAAAAAAAAAGUUGUAUAGGCAAUAUGCAUUGCAAAAUCAGCAACAGAAUAUAUACUAAUUAAUUACCUGAUAUCGGUUUGAACAAAUACUUUCUAUGUAGUUGUAAUAUUAGUCUUCUUUAAAAGUUAUCAUGAGGGAAGAUAUAUAUUGUGAUGCGGGGGAAAUAUUGUAACCGAAAAUAAUUAUAAUUCUAAAAAUUUCCAUUAUACACUUUUUUUAGUGUUCGUACGUGGUAAGUACUUCAGACGACAUUUCUCGCGUAUGCCUCCAAUUAAGAAUUUGAUGUUCAGCCUAGUCCUAAACUAAAAUUAUUAUAAAUGUGUAAUUCAAAAUUAUAUUGCUGGUAGGCUCUGAGAUUAACCUUAAACAAAAACAACUCAGUGGAACGCUUUCCGAGUUUGGUUUCACUUCAUUUCCAAAUCUCAACAAUCUCAACAUAGCACGAAACAACUUUUACGGUCCAAUACCACCAGCCAUUAAGAAUUCUAUUUUAAUAUGUAACAUUCUAUUUUCUAAAAUAAUAAAUAUUUUUUUUAAUAGUUGGUCAAAAAUUAGUCAAUUUGACUUCUCAAAAAGCAGAAAGGACAUGUAAAUUGAGACGGGGGAGUAUUUAACGGAAUUCAACGAAAGGUGUGCGUAUCGUUCUUGAAAUGUAAAAAUAGGUGGUGCAAUUCGAGUUUCCAAACCUAUGGGUACAAUAUCGUUUUUAAACGUAAGCUAGGGGGUCCAAAUUACAAUUACAUGUAUAUAUAGUGACUUAACGGAGUGCAUAUAGUUAACGGAAGUUAACGGCAGGGAGUGCAUCUCGGGCUUGAAUAGUAAAGAUAAAAGGUGCGAGUUGAGUUUCUCAAAGUAUGAGUACAAUAUCGUUUUUGAAUGAUAGUUAAGGGGUGCGAUAUGCAAUUACCUCAAAAAAAUAUGAUCAUUAGUAUAUUAUAUUAGUAUCCACACACUUAUAUCUCAAAAUCUAUCCUCCAAAAUUAUCAUCUAUAUAGGCUAGCCACAUAAAAUAAAAAUUUAAAGAUAUUAGAUAUUUAGUUAUUUCAAUUAUAUAAUUUUUCCACGCAAAAUAACAAAAUAUCUUUAUCAACUUAUUAUUUAUGAGUUAAAUAUUCAACUUAUAUAAUUCGGGCAUGCUGGGUAUAAAUAGAAGUGUAACGCCUAAUUUCCGGGGUCUGGGAGUAGUUAGCGGGGUAUGAGAGAGCAGGCUAUUUAGAAGUCUUGGUCAUGAAAACUUCCAAGCUAACUUCGACAACGGAAUCUUCUGAGGCUACUAUUCUAAAGCACGCAUAAUCAUUGUAUUCAUUUUCCUCUAACACUGGCAAAAAGUCUAUUUAAGCAAAUGAAAUACAAACAACUGAGUGGAAUGCUGACCGAAAGUCUUUUUGGCUGAGCUUAUGAUUUAUUAGUACAUGAUUAAUAUGAUAAGCUAAGCUGAGAGCAUAAGAUAUCGUGUGUAUAAUUUUGUGUUUAUUAAUGACUUAUAAAUUAUUAAAAAUAUAAUAAGAAAAAUAAAAAUGAUUUAUAACUAAUUUAUGUUUUAUGAGUAAUUUUUAUUAGAAAAAAGUUUUAAAAAAUUAUUUCACUGAAAAAAAAUCCUCCAACUAACUUUUGGCUCUAAGUCAGUUUUUGAUUUAUUUAUGAUUUUAAGUCGGAUUCUGAUUUUUACACAAACAGAAAAUUUCCAGCUUAAAGUUAAAAACAACUUUAAGCUCCGGUUUUAAACCUCUGAGUUUGGUUUCACUUCAUUUACAAAUCUCAACAAUUUCACCAUCAAACACAAUGACUUCUCCAAUCUCCGGUCCAGUUCACCAGCCAUUGAGAAUUUGGCACAACUUCAAUUCCAUACCAGGUUAGUCGGCUUCGGAGGUUACACGCCUUAGACCUGUCAAAUACAAAUUUCAAUCUCCAAACUGGUCCGAUUUAUCUUCUAUGCAUUUUGUUGAGUCCGGCUCAUCUAAAACCUGAAGGUGUUAGAAGAAACCCGAAUGAAUCUUAUAUAUGAAUCUUAUAUAUGCUAUAUUUAAACAAUUCUGAGCACACUCAACCUUGGUAUUAAUAAUAUCGUGUCGAUAAUUCCAGAAUUUAUAUCUAAUUCUCAUAGCCUAACUUUCCUUGACCUUUCCAUAUAACAAAUUUACAGUUAAUCCUGUGCUUGAAUCAGUAUUUGCAACCAAAAUUAUGCAAUUAUAGUGCAGGUAGUCUUCCAGUUCUUCCUACUCUAUGCUAUAAUUUCAUUUGAUACCAAUAAUUUUACGCUCUACACUCCAGGAUGAGCUCGCAUAUUAUUGACAGCAAUAAUCCUUCCAACACUUUGUGAUGCAAAGCAGGGGGGCGCCUGUAUUUUCAUAUGUCUAUAUUAUUGGAGAUUAAAGUUGUGUGGACAAUUGUGUUGAUAAUUUGCCCAAUGUUAACAGGGAUAGGUUGGCUUAAAAAUAUAUAAGGUCACUUGUGCAUCGCUGUUCACACACUUAGACCCUGUUUGUGUAAGCUUUAAGUCCGGGCUCAAGCAAUUUCGACUUAAUCACUUCCGAGGACCAAUACCAACAGCCUUCUCAAAGAGUUGCCAGCUAAGAUAUCUAAACAUGUAUGACAAUCAGUUAGAAGGACUAUUGCCCCGAUCUUUGUCAAACUGUAAGCACUUAAAAAUUCUUGACAUCGGGAACAAUAAAAUGGGUGGUACAUUCCCUUCAUGGCUAUUUAAUCUCGGAGAGCUAGAAAUCCUAGUCUUGCGAUCAAAUAGACUGUACGGUCCUGUAAGUGGAAGGAGCACAUCACAUCCAUUCCCCAAGUUGCGGAUUCUAGAUCUCUCCAACAAACAAUUCGCGGGCUAUUUGCCAAUUCUAAACUUUAAGAAUAUGAAACCAGCUGCUGAUGAUAACGCGUAUAGUUAUAAAAAUAAGUCACAAGGACUAAUUAAUUACAUCUAUGAAGCAUCUAUCUCCUUAAAUGUGAAAGGAACAGAGUAUGAAGUGAAGAACAUUCUUCAUAUUUACACAGCCAUUGAUCUAUCGUGCAACAAAUUUCACGGAGAAGUUCCAAAGAGAGCUUAAAUGGCUUGCAUUGCUCAAUCUAUCUCAUAAUAGUCUUGCCGGACAUAUGUUCUGAAUUAUUAUUAUGCUUUCAUCAAUAUUUUCAAACAUUUCUCAAUAUGUAUUUCAAAGAAUUCUCAAGCCCUGGAACAUUUGGACCGGUCCUUUCGAAGCCAAGAUGCCCAGGUUAUCAUGGCCAUGCACAAAAAUGAAUAAAUUAUUCCAAGUCUUCCAUGACUCAUUCCAAGUCUUCGGAGGAGACCCUGAGCACAAAGAUGCUCAGGGUCUCCCCAAGCCUUCCAGGACUCAUUCCAAGUCUUCGGAGCACGGCCUCGACUCGCCCUUUCAAAGAUGUGAUAGUAGCUCGAGAGUGAUAUAAAUUAUUUUCCGGACACUAAAAAUAAAUAAUCAGAUCAAAUUAAUCAAUAAUAAAUUAAGGAUGAAAUCCAAAUUAAUCCUAAAUUUUGAUAAUAUAUAAAAAUUAUAAUUAUAAAUUAUAUAACCAAAUCAGAAUUGAAUUAACUUCCUUGGCACUAAAUUGAUAAGGAAAGUAUAAUAAUUUAAAUUUAAUUGAUGAAAAGUCAAAGUCUUCUAAUAAAUCCAUAAAGAAUAUGAUAAUCAAAAUAACGAAAAUUAUAAUUGAAAAAUCAAAAUCAUUAGUGUAUUGGAAUAGUGUUCACACACUUAUAUAUCAAAAUUUGUGGUCCAAAAACUAUAGCACAAUAUCCUAAAUACACCACAUUAAAUAUUAGUUCAAAAAUAUUCUGUAAAUAAUUGUUUUCAUUCAUCAUUUUGUUAUUUAAAAAACUAAUAAUUUGGGUUGAUGUUAACCUAUAUUUUAAUAUAUAAUUAUAUUAUUUUCGUAUUAUUUUAUUUAACUAGAAACAAUAUUUUUAUCAGACAUCAAUUAUAUUAAAAGAUAUAAUUUUAUUAAAAAAAAUUGAAUUAAAUUAAUAGGAUAACUCUACGCCUCACCAAGUCUACAAGACUCAUUUCAAGUCUACCAAGGACCACUACCUCGGUCCUCAACCAUUGGGAGAUGUGAAAGUAGCUUGAGAGUGACAAAAAUUAUUUUCCUCACAAUAAAAUUUAAUAUCUGAUAUAAAUUAAUUAAAUUAGUUAAUAAUAAAUUAAAACUAAUCAUGAAUUAUGAUAAUAAUUAAAUAAAUUAUAAUUAAAUUAUAUAAAUCAACUCCAAAUGAUACAAAUGACACUAAACCUUAGUUACUUUAUUGGUAAAUAAAUAUAAUAUAAUAAUCAAAUUGAUGAAAAAUCAAAAUCAUCUAAUAAAUUCAUAAAAAAUAUAUGAUCAUUAAUAUAUAUUAUAUUAGUAUCCACACACUUAUAUUUCAAAAUCUAUCCUCCAAACUUAUCAUCUCUGUAAACUAGCCACAUAAAAUAAAAAUUUAAAGAUAUUAGAUAUUUAGUUAUUUUCAUUAUAUAAUUUUUCCACACUAAACAACAAAAUAUCUUUAUCAAAUUAGUAUUUAUGAGUUAAAUAUUCAAGUUAUAAAUCCAGCAUGCAGCGUAUAAAUAGGAGAAACAUGGCACACUCUGCAAAGCCUUCUCACCUUCUUCUCUUUGUUUUCUUUCUCUCAUCACUUGAAUCCAUUCUUGCAACAACACGAGAAGGAGAAGCUCUUGUGAAAUGGAAGAAUAGCCUAGCCCCGUCUUCUUUUCUUGAUUCUUGGUCACUCACUCAUCUCGAUAAUCUUUGUAACUGGACUGGCAUUACUUGUAACUCUGCAGGUUCAGUCUCUGAGAUUUACCUUUAUGAGAAACAACUUGAUGGAAUGUUGUCGGAGUUUGGUUUCACUUCAUUUCCAAAUCUCAACAAUCUCACCCUCGCAUACAACUUCUUCUCCGGUCCAAUACCACCAGCCAUUGAGAAUUUAACACAGCUUCAAUAUCUUGAUUUGAGAAAUAAUUAUCUAGAUGGUCCCAUUCCUUUCCAGGUUAGCCAUCUUCAGAGCUUGCUCAUCUUAAACCUGUCAGAGAAUGCAUUGCAAGCUCCAAAUUGGUCCCAUUUCUCUCCCAUGCCUUUUUUGCGCAUCCUCAACCUCAGUCACAAUCCUCUUGCGUCGAAAUUCCCAGAUUUUAUAUCCAAUUCUCAUAGCCUGACUCACCUUAGCCUUAAUUAUAACGAGUUUACUGGUGAUUUAGCACGUGAAUCAAUAUUUGCCAAUCUGCAUAAUCUUGAAGUCCUCAGUCUUAAUGGCAAUUCUUUUGAGGGGCCAUUUCCACCAGAUAUAUUCAAGCUUUCAAGAUUAAAACGUCUCUUCCUGGCAGUUAACAAAUUUUCAGGUUCAAUUCCCAAUGACAUAAGGUUACUUUGUGAUCUUGAAUACCUAUAUUUAGGCAACAAUUCUUUUGAAGGACCGCUUCCACCAAAUUUAUUCAAGCUUUCGAAAUUAAAGCGUCUUUUUCUUUGGAGUAAUAAGUUUACAGGUUCUAUUUCCAAUGAUAUAGGUUUGCUUUCUGAACUUGAAACCCUCAAUCUUCAAUUUAAUUUUUUUGAGGGGCCGCUUCCCCCACAUAUAUUUAGGCUCUCUAAGUUAACAGGUCUAGAACUCGGAGACAAUAGAAAUUUAUUUGAAGGAAGUAAUAUUCCUAUCGGACUGGGACUCUUGACUAACCUCAGGUACUUAGAUUUACAUUUCAGUAAUCUCAGUGGCUAUAUUCCAUCUGACAUUGGAAACCUGAAGCUACUAGUACUUCUUAGUCUCGGUUCUAAUCAAUUGACUGGACCGCUUUCAAAGAUCGUUUCUAAUCUCACAAAUCUUAUAUUCCUUGAUGUAAGUGAUAAUAGUCUUAGUGGAAAUAUUCAGAGUGACUUGUGGAAAUAUAACCAUCAUCCUACUUUGGAAUACAUCGAUUUUAGUGGGAACCAUUUUACAGGUAUAUUUUUUCUCUAUAGAUCUUUUCCUUUUGUCAUAUGUAACUAAGCUAGUAAUCUGAUUAUUGCAGUUUUACCGAAGUUUCAACAAUCUUGACAGGUGAGCUUCCAACAACAAUUUGCAAUGUCACUUCCCUUUCGGUUCUUGAUUUGUCAAAUAAUGAAUUAAGUGGUGCACUUCCAAACUGUUUCGGGAAUCUUGCUGAUGGAUUGCUUUACAUUAAUCUUGCUAAUAAUCAGUUUCGAGGAACAAUACCAACUACUUUCUCCAGGAGUUGUCAGCUGACAUAUCUAAACAUGGAUAAUAAUGAGUUUGAAGGAUUGUUGCCCCCAUCUUUGGCGAACUGUAAGCACUUGAAAAUUCUUGAUAUAGGCAAUAAUAAAAUAGGUGGUACAUUUCCGUCAUGGCUUUAUGCACUUGGAGAGCUAGAAGUUCUUGUCUUGCGAUCAAAUAAACUCUAUGGUACAAUAAGUGGAAGGAGCAUAGAAGAUCCCUUCCCCAAGUUGCGGAUUGUGGAUCUGUCCAACAAUCAAUUCACAGGCCAUUUGCCAAUUCAAUACUUUAAGAAUAUGAAAUCAACUGAUAAUUUGUAUCGUUAUCAGAAUUCCACAAAAGUUUUUUCUUUCCAUUAUGAAGCAUCUGUCUCAUUAACUGUGAAGGGAACAGAGUAUGAAGUGAAAAAUAUCCUUCAUAUUUACACAGCCAUUGAUCUGUCCUGCAACAAGUUUCAAGGAGAAAUUCCUGACGUUAUUGGAGAGCUUAGAUGGCUUGCAUUGCUCAACUUAUCUCAUAAUAGUCUAACAGGACCUAUCCCAUCAUUGCUGAGAAAUAUGAAAGGACUCCAAUCUUUAGAUUUGUCUUCAAAUCAACUGACAGGGGCUAUUCCACCUCAGUUAACUGCACUGACAUUUCUAGAGGUCUUAAACCUCUCGGGAAACCAUCUUAGUGGAGGGAUUCCUCAGAAAGGACAGUUCAGCACAUUCAACAAUGAUUCUUAUCUAGGAAACUCAGCGUUAUGUGGAUCACCAUUGACGAAGAAAUGUGCAAACACAGCAUCAC
rnacentral:lncRNA from 1 species